UUAACUUCCUUACCAUAGUUUUGAAACCUCAAGGAUUGCUUCUUCUUUUUAAAGGGGACCAUCCCCCUAAAUGAAAUAAUUUGUCGAAAACAUGACUGGUGGGUACUUUAUACAGGAGAAACCAAAAGAAGCACUUAAGCAUUUAAAAUUGCUUGCUGAAAAAUCAAGGGUUUGGGACCCCUUAGUCCUCAAGUGCAUCUUCUAGAACGUGAAAGCCAACCCCAACAACAUAUAAUCUCUCAUCUCAUCUCUCAAUUUAUCAUUUCCCCUUAGAACAAGAGUUUUGACGAAGAUGAUUUUUGGAUGCUGUAAGAGGACGAAGCCACUGAAGUUAAGGAAAAGGAAACUGUGUACAUAGCAGUUGAAAGAAUUUGUUGAAAAAGAAUCAGUUGAAGAAGAGAACUUCCAACAGGUUGCAAAUAAGGUUAUAAGCUGCAUUUUUUCUUCUUUCCCAAAAAAAUAAAAAUAAAACAAAAAUAAAACAAAGAUAGAAAAAGAAACCCGUAAAGAGCAAGAAACAGAGGAGGAAUGGAGCAAUGUAUUGCAUGAUCACACCAACUUUAUUUGUCUCUCAAUUCCCUUCUCUUUACAACCCGAAGAGCCAUUGGCUAGCUAGAAGCUAGCCAAAAACUUGUAAAUAGCUUUCAUUUUUUAUUUUCUUUAUUAUUUUUGUUUCUAUUGCUUUGGCCAAUUUAGUGUGUAGGAGCACCAUCAUUGUGAAGCCUAUAAUAUUAUGUUCUCAGUCCACUCAACGCAUUUGGGUAACCUUUAUCUUCUCAUAAGAACUCAAGUAUAAAUUUCUCUAUACUCUAUUGGUUUUAUCAUGCUUCAGAGUAGGUGUAAAUUGUUAGCACCAGGAAGGUGCACUAAGUGUAGGACAUAUAGCAAUCAUUUCCCAUGGGAUGCCUACUUAUUCUUUUGUAUCAUUGUGCAAGCACGCCAUCCAUAAUAAAAAUCUUUAUUCUCUUAUGUAAACUUUUUGGAAGAAAAAUGUCUUCCCAAAUAAAACCAUUAUUGCUUAGAGACUUUUGUCCACCCCACCAUCGUAUCAAUUGAGGUGUGGGUAGGUAACCGAGAAGUCUUCUAAGUUUUAUAUAAAAGAAGUAAUUUUCACUACUUUUGCAUGCACUCAAACAAGAACACACACAAUAACGCAACAUGAAAACUCUAAAGAAUGGUAAAACCAAAACACUGAUCCUAAAUAAGAUAAGGAAGUGAGAUAAAAAUGAACAACCGAGCCAAUUUGUUGAAGUCAAGGUAACUAAAGUAGUCACUGCAAUACAGAUAUUCCUAUUCAAUACAUAGAGACAAGCUUAUAUGGCCUUGUAGGCGUCUCUCACCUUCCUAUUCAAUACAGAUAAAUUAAUCUGUACAAAUUGGAAAUGGAUAUCACCAUUAUCGAAAAACUAAAAAGACAAUAGAUUAUGAAAUGAAAAGGGGAAUCCACGUGGGUGGGUGGGUGGGUGAGAAUGAGAUGCCUGCUUUUCUAUGUGGCCAGAAGAAUCGAAUGAACAGGCUUGUUUAUUACAUCAUGGAAGUGGGAGAAAAAAUAUUCAUUUAUGAUGAUGGUUGUGUUUGCCAACUUCUUUAGGAAAGCCACCACUACUGCUUCCUCAGAGACAUUACAAGUCAACGAAGAUGAGGUUGCAGUGGCAGUGGGGAAAACCAGUGAAAGUCCCACUCAACUAACUCGCACAAUGGACCAAGAAGAGUGUUCCAUUACCACAUAUAUCAGUAGACAACUCCAAUUUUUUUUCUUUUGAUAUUAAUAGCCAAUCAAGCCACCAAUAUGCGACAUUGGUUUUGCUCAACUACAAUGUUCUUGGGCUUAUAACUCACCAAGUGGGGAAAAUUUGUUGAAGUCAAGGUGACUAAAGUAGUCACUGCAAUAGCCACAAUACUAAAAUAAUACAACAAAGCAUUCAGUGGAAUGAGCAUUUGGACAGAAAGGGAUCACAUUAAAUUUAAAAGCAUUGACCACAUCUUCAAUUAUUAUUACUUUAUCUUUGGGAUGAUAUCACCAUAUAAAGAGCAUUUGAAGCUAACAAUGGACGAUAUCAGCAACUUUUCUGGGGAAAAUGGAGAUUUUUUUUUUUUUUUUUUAAAUUCCUCAUGUAUUUUUCUUACAUUUUUAUAUUAUCCAAAGACAGAAAAUUAAUUAGUCCUUUCAAGUUUUUUUUUUCUUUUUUAUUUAUUGGACAGAGCUAAACAGGAUUAACAUAAAAGAAAAUAACUUGACUUAUAAACAAAAGCAAGGGAGAUGCAAUGGCAAACACAAAGCAAUUUAGAAGGGGCAAGCGAGUAAAGAAACUAACAGUGAUAUAUCAUGAGUUGCCAUAAUUUGAAGCAACUUCCACUUCGGAAAGCCCAAGGCCUUUUAGCCAAUACAGUCAAAAGGGAAAAAUCCUCAUCAGAAUCAUUUGCAUCAUCGUGGCGGGCGGAAUCGAAAUGGCAUGUGGCAAGGUCAGGAUAACGUUUAACCAGAUACAGUGCUACAUCUGCAUAUUAUAAAAUUGUACAUGGGAAGACGACAGUAAUUCAUAUCAAGAAAGUAGAUAGGGGAUAGUAAAUAUAGCUUACCAUGAAACCCCACCAUUAGAGCUCUGCGCAAAAGUUCGAAUCCAGGCUUGUCUGCGAAAGGACUUGGAUCUACAUCAUCUCUGGUGACGGUUAAUAAAUAUAAAGUCAGCUCUUUAUGAGCACACCUAAGAGCGCUGUGAAGAGGCACUAAAAGUUGUAGUUGGCAGAUAUUGGGCAAGCUUGGGUUUUUGUUCACUAACAACUUGACUGCUUUUAUAUUGCCAGCACUUACAGCGUUGAAAAGGGCAGUGGCGCCAUCAGAAUCCUGCAGAGCCAGUUUAUCACUUGGCAUAAACUCAACCAACUUCUUCACGAAACCCAUUCUGGCCUCUCCUAACCCAACUGCUAUGUGAAGCACUGGGGAAUCAUCUGUUCCGAUCGGGGCGGACAAUGAUUGUGGAUCAUCCUCCAAUAUUUUUGAAGCACUUUCCCAGUCACCAUUGAGCACAGCUUGGUACAGUUCCAAGUAAUAGAUUAAACCUGCUUCAUAGAAUUCUGCAGUCACAAAGCCAAAAGAUGUAUAGGUCAGCCUAGAUUUCCCUGAUAUGUAUAUUUCUUCAACGUUCACAACAUCCUAAUACUAAAAUUAUUUUUUUAAAAAUAAAUCAUUUAAGUUAUAUUUGGUUCUUAGAAAAUUUGACAAAAAUUACAAGGAAAAGAAAGUAAAUUGAAAAAAUUGAAGGUAAGAAAAAGUGAAAUAAAAUACAUCUAAAAUCAAUAAAUUAAUUAUUUUUAUAUGCUACUCAUUUCACUUAUUUUAACUAUUCAAUAUAAAAAUUAAAUAAUUUAAAAUUUCAUAAAUUUAUAACUAAUUUAAUUAUAUUUGAUUUUCUUAAAUAUUUUUGUGGAUACAACCAAAUAUGAUAAAAUCAUUUUCCUUAAUAUCGUUUCUUUGCUAAUUAUUUUCUUGGACUUCUUUGUUUACCUCUAAUCAACAUCUUUAUAUCUUUCAAUAAUAGUUUGAACCUCCAAUAAACUAAUUUCAAUAAAAUUUAAUUUAGUUUCAUUUGUUUUUUUAACAGCAGGUUGUAAAACACUUCUACUUGUAUGCUAAUUAUGCCCAAAAGUUGCAGAAGGACCUCAAGCGGAAAUGGACAUGAACAUAGUUUUUAGCAUCUUACCGGAGCUGCUAAUCCUUUGCAAAGAUGAAGGGGAAGAGACUGGAGCAUAUUCAUCAGCAUUCUGCGCCAUAUUGAUGCUACUACGGUUAGGAUUGUUUGGGCUGUCAUCAAUUACCGAGAUGGUAAUGAAGAGGAAGCCACUGCAGUAAACUCCUCAUCAUGCUCAGCAAUGUCGAUGUUACUGUUUUUAGGACUGUUUGCGCUGUUGUCAUUUCUAGGACGUAGUGGAGAAGAAGAAGCCAUUACAACAAAUUCCUUAUCGUUCUAUAGUAUUGCCAUGUUUAGCGAAGUUAUUCUAAUGUGUAACAGAAAACCUAAACAAAAUCUGCAGUUGACAAAGGUCAAAAUUAACUUACCUCGCAGAUGGAAGAUUAUAUUUAACUAUAUCAAGGCAGAGAAGAUACUCUCAUCCAAAGAGAAACAACAGCAGCCCUUUUUCCCACUGUCUUCAAAAGAUACAGGAACCAUUGAAGCAUAAGAGGUGCAAUGAUAAAGUCUUCCAAGUCAACUUUAUUUAGUUGAGUAUUGGGUAAGGAGUAGAUAGCGUUGAAAAGUUUUGAUAAUUUUUGUUGCGGAGAAAACGAUGUUUUAUAUCCCUUUAUUUCUAUCAGAUAUUACAAUUUUUAUCACUUGUUUAUAAAAUAAAAGAUAACGAAAUAUUUAACAUUCUUCAAUAGUAAAAACAUGUAUCGAAUAUAAAAAAAUUCUCACAAGUGCUGCAAUUAACAUUUUUUUUCUUCAAUAAUAUGUAUAAUAUAUACGAUAUGAUGUAUUAUUUCUACUUUAAGUUUUGUUUGGAUUUAUUUUUUAUUUUUUAUAUAUAAAAAUAAAUUAUAUUUUAAAAUUUAUAUGUGAUAUAAAAAAGUUAUUAUUUUUAAGUAUUUGAUAUAAUACAUUUAUAUAUUUAUUAAAUUAUGACAAUAAAUGAAAAUAAAGUGGAGAGGACGAUGUAGGUUGGCAAUCCUUUCUGAAGUGAAUGCAGUGCAACAAAAGAGAAGGUACCAUUAACUUGAAUGCGAGAAGGGUGAUUGAUCGAUCAAUCUGUACGUGUCCUUCUUGAAAGGGACCAGAUUCUAUGGGGUAGGUUAAGGAUUAAUGUGGGUGCCUGUAGCAUGAAAGCGGAAGGAAUUAAUCCUGUGCACCACACAUUGCUAUGAUCGUUUGCAAUAACCAAUUAUAUAAAAUCUAUUGAAAUAUUUUAUAUAAUUAACUUUUUGGAAUUUUUUUAUCAAGUUGUAAAAUAAAGAAAAUUUAGGAAAAAAUAUUUUUGUAAAAUGAUAAAAUUUUACAAAAAUGAUUAAUGUGGGUGCCUAUAGCAUGAAAGUGAAAGGAAUUUUGGGUCACCAAGGCGCCUCCCAUAAAAAUAUAUCUUUUAGGUCCUUUUAAAACCUAUAUUUAGUAUCCUCUUUCCCAUCACGUGAGUGUCCUGUCAUCCUCCCAUAAAAAUAAAAUUUUAAUUAAUAAUUAAAAUUUUAAUUUUAAAAUAAAAUUAUAAUUAUUAAUUAAGAUUUCGAUUAAAAAAUAAAGCACUAAUCGAUAAUUAAAACUUUAUUUUUAGCUAAAAUUUUAAUUGAUAAAUAAAAUUUUGGGUUAAUAGUUGUUCGUAAAAAAGAUUUAUAUUAUUUCUACGGGCAAGUUGAACAUAGACUUAAAUUUCACUUAGAAUGAUAAACAUUCAUGGAGCCAAAAUGUAAAUCCGCACUCUUGGACAUAAUAUUAUUGAGCCAUUGGUUACCGAAAAUUACUCUAAGCUAUCAUACCCACCUUUUAGGCCAAUAAAAUUAAGAACCAUGGCAAGGAAAUUUGAAAAAAAAAAAAAACAAUUCUCCAGGUUUAGCAUGGUUGCCGAGGGAAUUAAUCUUUUGCACCACACAUUGCUAUGAUCGUUUGCAAUAACCAAUUAUAUAAAAUCUGUUGAAAUAUUUUAUAUAAUUAACUUUUUGGAAUUUUUUUUAUCAAGUAGUAAAAUAAAGAAAAUUUAGGAAAAAUAUUUUUGUAAAAAGAUAAAAUUUUACAAAAAUGAUAAAUUUUUGUAAAAUAUAGAAAAGGAUACAAGGCUAUUAAUUCAUAAUUGUAUGAUAACCUUUUAGUAUUUCAAUCUUUGAAUGUUUUUGGAGAUUAUUUCCAUAAAUUCCACAUUCCAAAAACAAUGAUAACCUUUACACAAUAUUAUUGUUAUUUAAAGUGGGAAAAAAAUUAUAAAAAAAAAUUUCAAAAAAAUUAGAGAUUACAAAGAAUACAAGGAUACGAAGAAUGUGAGGAUUAUCAUAUUUUUUGUACCCUCCUCACAUUCUUCAUGCCCCAAACCAUUUGAAUAUUUUAAUCUUUUAAUUUUUCCAAACAUUAUUUACUUCAAUUGCAAGUGUAAUUAGCGUUUUUACACAAUACAUUGUCAAAUGAAGUAAAAAAGAAAUUCAAAAUUUAAAUUUUCAAAAAAUUUACAGGGUACAAAAAUGUGAAGAGGCUACGAAGAAUGUGAAGAGCCUCACAUUUCUCGUACCAUCCUCACAUUCUUCGUACCUAUUGUAAUUUUUAAAUUUUUUAAUCUUUCAAUUUUUUCAAACAUUAUUUGCAUCAAUUUCAAGUGUAAUUAAUAUUUUUACCCAAUAUUAUCAUCAAGUGAUGUGAAGAAAAACUUAAAAUUAAAAAAUUUUAGAGGGUACAAAAAAUAUGAGAGAGGAGGGUGUGAGAAAUGUAAAAAGGAUAUGAGAAAUGUGAGGGUACAAGAAAUGAAAAAAAAGAAAGAAAAAAAAAAUCUCAUACCCUUCUCACUUUCUUCGUACCUCUACAAAUUUUUUAAUAUUUUAAUCUUUUAAAUUUUUUGAACAUUAUUUGCUUCAAUUUCAAGUGUAAUUAGUCUUUUUACAAUAUAUUAUUGUCAAGUCAAUUAAAAAAAAUUAAAACAAUUUAGAGGGUACAACAAAUGUGAGGAGGGUGUGAGAAAUGUGAAUAGGGUAUGAGAAAUAUAAGGGUACAAGAAAUGAAAAAAAAUAAUUUCUCAUACCCUCUUCACAUUUCUUGUACUCUCCUCACAUUCUUUGUAUUUUCACCAAUUUUUUAAUAUUUUAAAUUUUUUUCAAAUAUUAUUUGCUUCAAUUUCAACAAAAUUCUCAUAUUUUUUGUACCCCACCAAUUUUGUAAUAUUUUAAUAUUUUUAACAUUAUUUGUUUCAAUUUCAAGUGUAUUUAGUCUUUUUACAUGCACAAUAUUAUUGUCGAGUGAUAUGAAAAAGAAAAACAUAAAAUUAAAAUUUUCAAAAAAAUUAAAGGGUACAAAAAAUGUGAGAAGGGUAUAAAGAAUGUGAAGAGGGUGCAUGAAAUGUGAGGGUAUAAGAAAUGAAAAAACAAAAUUCUCAUCCCCUCCUCAUAUUCUUUGUACCUUCACCAACUUUUGAAUAUUUUAAUCUUUUAAUUUUAACUCAUCUAGCCCUUAUAAAUCAUGUCAUUAAGGAAUAUGAGCUCAAAGUAAGGACCAUUGGGAUCCAUAGGAGUAUUGGCUCCCUUAGAAUCAAAUUCUUAAAUUGAUUCAACAUCCCACUAUAGAGAGUCAACUAUACUUUAAUAUCCUAUGUAUAUUACAACAAGACACCAAGUACUUGGGUUUAUGAUCUACUAUCUAUUGCAUGCAAACUCCCCAUGAACCGAUGUUCAUAAUCUAAUAAGGUAGUGUUGUCACCUAUCAAGAUUACCCCUCAAAUCCUUUAGUUACAGAUCACACUUUUUAUGUGAUCAAAUGACAUACUCUACCUCUAAGAAGCAUAUGUCAAAUUCCACUGAAGGAAUUACUAUGGCCACUGAUGCGACUCAUGGUAGCUUAGCUUUAAAGGCGUAUCAACAAAAUUUAUACCUUAAAUACUAUUACUAAAGUAGCCAAGCUACUAUAGCAUAGUGGUUCUAGGAUCGUUCACUGGGAAGGGUUUUCGCAAACACAAUUGAUAUUCAAAUUAGGAAAAUAGGUGAUUUUCUUAUGGAUGUUAGCUUUAAAAGAGAAUGUAAAUGUUUUAGAAAGAUUUAAACUAAUCUAAGCUAACAUUAAAGACUAAAAUGAAAGGGUGUAAAAACAAGUUUCUCAAAGAUAGGAUAGCUAUGCUCUGGCUCUUAUGCAAAUUGGAAAUCUCAGGAUAGGCUCCUCGCGUUGGGGUUGCAACUAUGGUGAUGCUUGCUUCCCGAACCGGUAUGGAUUUAGCAAAUCAAGUUUUAAUCCUUUAAAAUAGCAAAACAGAUGGUAGUGAAUUUCAUAAAUGGUUAUUCACCUUAGACUUCCUUUGAAUGGCUCGUAAGAGAUAACUAAUGGUCUAAAGCCAAAAGCUUACCAAAUAUUGGCAACUCAAAGUCAUUCCNNNNNNNNNNNNNNNNNNNNNNNNNNNNNNNNNNNNNNNNNNNNNNNNNNNNNNNNNNNNNNNNNNNNNNNNNNNNNNNNNNNNNNNNNNNNNNNNNNNNUGCUCUGGCUCUUAUGCAAAUUGGAAAUCUCAGGAUAGGCUCCUCGCGUUGGGGUUGCAACUAUGGUGAUGCUUGCUUCCCGAACCGGUAUGGAUUUAGCAAAUCAAGUUUUAAUCCUUUAAAAUAGCAAAACAGAUGGUAGUGAAUUUCAUAAAUGGUUAUUCACCUUAGACUUCCUUUGAAUGGCUCGUAAGAGAUAACUAAUGGUCUAAAGCCAAAAGCUUACCAAAUAUUGGCAACUCAAAGUCAUUCCAGGUGAUAAACUCACCUUUCAAUGGCCAUUGAAAUUGGUUCUAACUGAUUAAUGCAAAACUUGGAAUUGAAAACCUCACCUUCCAAUAGCUCGUAGGAGAUAACUAAUGGAUAGAAAUCCAAAAGCUUAUCAAGUAUUGGCCGUUGGAAGUUGUCAAAAGGAAAUAAAAACCAAACUUUGCAUUAAUGAACCAUUAAUGAAAAACCAUCUACCUUACCUUCCGGGUGCGAGAAAUUUCCAUGGGAUUGCAUCCAAGCCAUCACAUAACAUCCAUACUUUGAGAAACUAAAAGUUUUAGCCAAUCAUCCUUUGAGGAAAAGCCCUCAGAGGCUGUUUGGCUACUAAGAAAAUAGAAAUGGGGAAGAACAGGAGAAGAGAGAAAAACAGAGCAAGGCUCUGUAUAUUCUAUAUAUUGAUCGAUAUCUAUUACAAUGGAUGCAAGGGAAUAUAUAUAGAGAAGUUUUUCCAACCUUCCUAACUAAGAAAUUACAUGAGUGGUGGAUUACAAGGAGAAGAAUGGAAAUUUAUACAAAAAUAUCCAAAAGAAAAGAUCUCGUGUGGAGUCGGCAGAAACAGGGGAAAAUUCGCACCAUGCAAGGGGGUGUGCGAAUUUGGAAGGUGUUGUGCGAAAAUUUCGCACACCCCUGGAGCAGUUGUCUUCCAAAGGCCAUAUCUUCCUCAUUUCAGCUCCAAAUUGUACACGGUUUGAAGCGUUGGAUUCUUGACUUCCUGAGCUUUGAAACGGUAUAUAGAAUGUAAAAAAUGGACUUCGGGAAGUGCUCCAAAAGUGCCAAAGAAGACUGCAGCUGCUGUCCUCUGUUUUCCUCCUUGCUUCUUUUUGCUUCUCUUUGCUUCUCUCCAUUGUUCUUUCCUUGCAUACUUUGAACGAAUUUGGCAAAGGGCUAUGGAGCUCCAAAGCUUGGUUCUUCAUGAAUUUGAGCUUCCAAAAGCUUUGCCAUAACUUGUCCAAGUAGCUCCUCUAUCAUUUGGCAUGCUUGAAUUGAUUCAUAAGCUGAUAUAAACAUGUAAACUUGCCACAAAAUGGUUAAAACCAAUUACUAAGGACCUUAAUGAAUUAAUUGGGUUAAAUGAAUAUGAUUACUACUCAAAGGUGCUUAAAACCAUUAUAAUUAGGUCUACAAAAUAGCACUUUUUGGUAGUAAUCAGCCACUGAUUUCAUGAUCACAUGCCCUCUGGAUCACCUAAUGGGACAUAUUGUCUCAAUCCUAUGAGAUAUCAUGGUGCCUCUAUUAAGAAUACCUAUUGUCGUCAGCUUCCAUCAACAGUGACCCAAUUCAUAGGGAUAUAUGACCAUUUUAGUCACUCAUAGGUUGAAGUAUCUAUUAAUUUUGGCAUAGACUCAAUAUCCUCUAAGGUUGAGAGUCUAUACAGUAUAGUAGUUUAGUGAAUCAUGACAAUUGAUAGCCUUGCAUCAUGAUUCACCGCAGGUUCUAUUUAGUAUGCAUCACAUACACUAGUACUCUUCAUUGGAAACUCAUCCCAAUGGUCAAGACCAAUCAUCCCUCUAAUUAGGAGGUGGUGCACUAUAGUUUAUACUAGAUUGCCUAAAUCCAUGAACCAACUGUGGACAACUUAUCUACUUACAAGGAAUCCAUGACUUAUACUUCUAUGCAACUCCUAAUACACCCAAUCAUGUACAAUGUAAGAAACAUGGGUUGAAUGCUUAAAUCAAUGUCAAUACACUUGAGGGAUAACAAGGGGAUAGUUAAGUCUAACUUCGUUAUAUCAUGUCUUGCUUAGUUAAGUCUAACUUUGUUACAUCAUGUCUUGCUUAGUUAAAUCUAACUUUAUUACAUCAUGUCUUGCUUUUAGGGCUCAAUCCAAACAAACUCCUACUAGCCCCAAAAGUAUACUGGGUACUAUAGAAAAAAUCUAUUCUACAGUCACGUCACCUUUCUAUACUAUCCCACAACAAGGUAUCACUUGUUUUCUAUAUGUUCUCUCUUAUAGUGGUACUUUAGUUAUUUGGACUAUGCCACCGUCCUAUAUAACAAUAUCUUAGGCGAUAUAGCCAAUGGAAAUACCCAUAAGCUAAAAGGCUUCCUUUGUUGCUAAAGAAGUAACAAAAACCACUUAGAGUGUACACAUUCCCAGAGGUAGACUUGCGAGAGUCCUCAUUAGACUGAAAGUCCAAUUUCCCAGUACAAGGACUCACAAACAUAUAAUCCUUCAUUCUCUAAGGAUACUAGAGUAUAUGUUUGACAUUCGCUCAAAGCUUUAAUCAAGAAGUGAACUAAUAUUCACUCAUUAUUCUUAAGACAAAGCAAAUAUUUGGUUUAACACAUAGCAUUGUAUGCUUAAGGCUAUCCAUUGUAGAGGCCUUGGAUACCACCUUAAUAUGAUCUCUCUCCAAAAAUGUCCAAGGACAUUGAUCCUAAGAAAGAUAGCUCCAAAUCUAAAGAGUAACAAUCCCUUCUUGGAGUUUUACAUCAUAUACUUAACCAAAUGCUCAUCAAUGUAGAUGACAUGGCAUAAUUUUUCCUAUUCCUACAAUACUAAAAGACCUUAACCCUAAGAAUAUAUUGUGCAUUCCUCUAAAUUUUUAUCUAGAACUGAGUAAACAACUAGAUCUUGACAGAUGACAAUAUCCUUACAUCAUAUCCAAUGAGUAGAUUAUCAUCCACCUAUAAGAUCUUAGAGCAUUACUACACUUUCCUGUGCUUUCAUAUACACACAAGGCCCAUUGUUAUGAAAAUGUUUGGUUGUUAUAUCUCAUAAACGAGACACACUGCAAUAGAUAAGCGUAAUCUAAUAGAUUUGAGUAUGAUCACUGUUGAAAAGGUUUUCCAUAGUUGAAACAAAGUCUCAAACUAUAACCUUUAGCUAUAGUCUUAGCCACAUAAAACUCAAGCUUUCCAUCUACUUCUAUGUUCCUCUUAUGGACCAACUUACACCUAUGAGUUUUAUCCCUUUAGGUGCUUCUAUAGGAACCCAAACUAUUUUAGAAUACAAAGAUUCCAACUACCUCUUUAUAGCUCAUUACCUUAAGUGAGCAUAAACACUGCUCAAUGCUUCAUCAUAAUCUAUGAUAUAUAAACUUCCAUUACGAUGAGGCGUUGGUGUACUAGAAAUCAUAGAAACGGUAUGCCUUUAGCCCUCUAGAUCCUAAGAAUCCUAUGCAAUGUGGGACUAUCUUCUAAUUUAUCCUUCAAUCUAUAUCAUUCUUUAUCUUAUUCCUUAUCAUAUAGUUUUCAUAAAAAAAUUUGAUAUUUGUGUUAGCAAAUAUCUUUUAAUGAUCCUAACUAUAAAGGUAGUAACCCAAAAAUGCUCUUAUAUAUCCUAUAAACUGAUAUACCUCUUAAGAAAAAGGGUAACCACCUUUUUAAAAAGUAGUGAGUAAAAUAUACUUGAUACAUACCUUCAACCUUUUGCAUGUUUUACAUUUUGGUAUCUUAUAUUUGAAAUCCAUCAUUUUACCCAUUCAAACUUAUUAGAAAGCAACACUUCAAUAUCAUUUGCAAACCCUUUAUAAAUUAUAAAAAAUAUUUUUUAUUUUUAUUUUUUUUCCACAUUCUUGUUUGAACAUUGGUUUGAAUUUAGGUAAAACCAAAUUUGAAUUGAUAGCCUUAGGUAGUAUUUCCCAAACAUAUUUAUUUUAUUAUUUAUUAUCUAACCCUUCAUGUCUUGCAGAAGCACUUUACAAGUUAUCUAUGCUAUCCAGGUAUGCCCCCUAUCACCUACCUUCUAAAUUUUGUGAACAUGCUUGUCACUAUGAACCGCACCUAUGUUUGAUAGUGCAUGGGUGUCUUGCUAUAUUGUUUCAUUGUUCAAUUAUUUUUUAUAAACCGCAUGCUAGAUGAUAUGCUAUUUCAACUAACUUUGAUGUCUUGUGAUAGUGCUUAAGAAGCAAUCUAGGUAUGCACCCUAAAUCUUCUUUAAAAAAUUUGUGAUUGGUUCUUUUGUUUAGCAUGCUAUUUUUUAAAAUCACCUUAGUCAACCUAGGUACCCUCAAUCAACCAAUUAAUUUUCCCAAUCCCCUCAACUUAGCUAGUAGAGACCUUUUUAGGGCUUAGAUGGGUGCUACCUCUUAGAGGUAUCUUCCCAAUAGGUAACCUGAUCCCCGAACCUAGACUCAGGUUUUUCAAAGGUAUGCUUUUCCAAAAACUAUGGAGUCACUUCUUUAGGGUUUUGUUUCUUAUUUUAUUUUCCUUUUUAAAAUAAAAUAAAAUAAGUGGUGACUUCGACUUUUCCAAAAUUAAUUUUUUUCACCAAUAAAAGCGAGUCUCGUUGAUUGAGUGGGAGCGCAUGUGAAAAAUACGAGUCCACACUACGACUUUUGUAGUACUCCGGGUAUCGUCCUCAUGGACUAGCUUAUGGAAAUUGUCAAUACUAAAAUAAAUGAAUUGCUUUCGUUUAAAUCCUAAAGUGAAAAACACUAUGAGAAUAAUGUCAAACUAAGUAAAAGAAAAUAAAUUAAUAAAAAAAUGGAUAUUUAUUUUAAAUUCGAUUGAUUCAAGUUUGGGGUUUUCCACAAUCCAACAUAGGGUAUAGAAAUAGAAAUUAGAGAAAACAAGGGUCUUUUAAGUAAUAUGAUCUUAGGGUUUUGGGAUCCUUGGCCGCUCAUGAUCAAGUUGAGUUCUAUAACACAAAAUUGCAUCCGAAACUUAAUUUUUCCUUUUUAAAACAAAUUCCUAAAACCAUCAAAUGAAUGAUAUUGAUUACUAGUUUAAGAUUUGGCUUUUUAACCCUUCCUACUCCUUAUAGCUUUGUUUUGGGGUAAAUAACGAUAGAGAAGACGAGGAUAACUAAUGAUGAAAAUUUACCAAGAAUCACUAGUAUUGGGUAAUAACCUACCGUAUCAUUCCCUAAACUAACUCACAAGAAUAGGAUAAAAAAAUGAUAAAUUUUCACCCAACCAAUAAUUAAUCUCAUUGUUAUAAUAAUUUUACCCAUUGUCCCUAUAGGUUUCCUAACCAUUAGGUUUUCAUGCUUUAAGCCCCAAGUUGGCUCUUAACCUCUCAUGGGGGUGAUGUCACAUUCACAAUCCAUAAUAGGGUAAAAAUCCAUAAUUUGAAUCAAAAGAGCAUAAAACAAUAUGUUUAAUAAGGAAGAAAAAGAAAUCAAACCAAAGUUCCCGUCUUCUUCCACCUUCAAUGUCAAACUUUCUGGAAAAAAAAUAAAUCCAAGAUCUCUAAAGCCUAGAAGUAAGAGAGUUUAGAUAAUAACAUCAAUUACCUAAUCUGUGGCACACUCUCAUUGGCCACUUAUUACAAAAAUAAUUACCUAAAAAUAAUUAAAAAUAAUAAUAAAAUGGUGAUUUCUAGUCGUGUGGGGUCCAUUUAAGGUUGAUGGAGUGCCUUAGAUGCAAUUCCCUAGGUAGAGGAGGUGAAACAUCAAAGUGGCAGUGGGUGAAUUUGAAAUUGGUGUCAUUUCGAUGUGGAUUUCAAAUUCAUAAGUUGAAUUUCGAAAUCAUUUUGAAAUGACCCUUAAGCUUUGUGCAUUUGUUUUCAAAUGGCCAUAACUUCUUCAUUUUAGCUUUGAUUUGCACAUUGUUUGAAGUGUUGGACUCUUGACCUCCCAAGCUUUGAAAAAUAUGUGUAUGUAUAAAAUGGACUCUGAGAAAUGCUCCAAAUUUGUCCUCAAAGUCAAACUAUAUAUUACUAUUAGAUUUUGAGUUCUAAAUUUCCAUGCAACUGAAUCUUGCUUCAUGCCUCAUUUCCUAUGUUUUCUUGCCCCUUUUCUUACUCCAUUAUGGUCAUUUCUCAUCUUCUAAACUCAUGAUAUCCUCAUCUUGCCUUUCCUCAUGAUCCAUGAGUCCCGACUCACUUAUUUCCUCAUUUAACCCUUUCUUAAUCUUUCAAAAUCUAAAGUAAUUCAACUGGCACCCUUUUCUUCCCUUGAACUUGAGAUAAGUCUCCAAAGUACAAAUUAAACUCAUGGCUAGAGCCUUAGCAUUGAUUUAGGUCAAGUAGGGUGCUUUGAAUGUCCUUUGGUGCACAAAUCAUAUCGAAUAUGUGCCAUUAGAGCACACAUUUUGGUUCCAAUCAUCCCCCUCAACUAAACUUUGCUAAUCCCUAGCAAAUGAAAAGAGUAAAGAAAAAAGUUAAAAAUAUGUAAUGAGAUUCAUGAAACCAUAUUGACUCAACGUAGCAUGUUUCACACAAAAGAUACCCAAGUAGUCAAAUUUCCUAGAAUUAAGCAAAAUGAAACAAGAUAUGCAAUUUCUUAGUUUUCUCACCUUAUCUUCAUAUACUUAAAUGUGCAUCCAUGUUUAACAUUCCCCUUAGUGUCUCUUGAUUUUCCCAUGAUUGGUUCUUUCCACCUAAACCUCAUGUGCUUAAUUUUGGUGUCCCCUCAUAGUAUUUUUCUUAAGACUUUUCUUAAACUCAAACUUCAUCAUUCUUUAAGUUAAAGAGGGAGGAAAAUUUAUUUUGAUUUUUCUUUCUUAGUUUAGGAAAUCUCCUUCUAUAUGGCUUAAUAGGGAUCCAUCGGCAACUCCCAAGUUUUCACCCAAGGUACCAGGUAUUGAGAACCUUUAUAGGCCACUUACCUUUCAAGAAUCACCCUAGCUCAAGGUAGAACAAUGUUGAAUUUCCCAAACACUUAUUUAUUUAUUUAUUUAUUUUUUUCAAAACUGAGUUUAGCUUAUGUUACGAGCAAGAUACCGAUGACUCCUAACCAGUCGGUUUUCAGGCACCAGGGUUUGAAGACAUAAGGCCAUUACCCCCUCAAAUAAUUACUCAAGCUUAAAUCAGUUAUUUUCAAAAAAAAAAAUUCAUCAAUUUGUUUUUUUUUUUUUUAUUUCCUCAUUUUAUUGCUUAAGAACAACUCCUUUUAAGCUAAAGAAAUUAUCUUAAUCAAGAUACCAUAAGGGUAUAUGUGCUUUGUGUGUGCUUUGAGUCUUAAAUAGAAAAUAACCAUUAAAAAGAAAAAUGGAAGGUAUUCCAAGGAUUCAACCUAACUAUUUUUGCAUGUAAAGGUAUAUAAAGAUAAGGUAAGUGAACUAAUACUCUUGCUCUGACUAUAUUUUUUUCUAAAAUUCUAAAGAAAUAAUACUACUUAAAGCAUUCUCAUGCAAAAUAAACCAUGAGUUACCAAGGCAAAUCAAGAAUCUCAUUAACUAACCAAAGAUAACAUGCAAAAUUUUGAAAAAAAUUAGGGUUAGUAGAGCUUCCCCCCUCAACCUAAAUUACACAUUGCCCCCAAUGUCUAGGAUAUUGGGUCAAAAUAAAGGAAAAGUGAGAUGUUACCUCAAGAUCAUCGAGUGAGAAUUUUGUUAUGAGGACUUCAUAUAAACUAGUCUUGCACAAAAGCAACAAGAUUAGUGGCAAAAGUAUGCAUAGAGAAAAAUAUAAAUGGUGAGAAUCUAAAAGAGAGAAUAAGUGUAUCAAUAUGCUCCAAAAAUAAGAUAGUGUAUACAACCAUAUUGAAUAAGGUAUAUAUAGAAAUGAACAUCAAGCACCAAUGAUAGGAUCGACAACUCCAUCUAUUUCCUCCAACAUAGGGGUGGCUACUUGGUCAAUAUCCUCCAAUAUAGGUGUAGUAGCCUGAUUAGUGAUCUCCAUAAUAGGUGUAAUGGCCUUGCCAGCAGCCUGUACCAUAUGGGGGGUCAUCCCUAAUAAUGAUGUCCACACUAGUGUCAGUAGCAGAAAUGAAGAUCUCACCAUCGACCUGUCCUACAGAAUUUGGAAUAUCAAUAGUUGAGGUAAAAAUCUUAGUUGCGACAUCACCUGAUGUUUGUAAAAUAGGCAUGGUCUCAUGGGCUACUGUCAGUGCUCUAGUGUUUGAGCUAGAACUAAUCACCUCUGUACUGCCAUCAACCUCUAAGUUGGUAUCAGUUGGUAUAACCAAAUCUCCCCUCUGUUUAGAUGGAAUAACCAAAGAAGUGAGUUGUUGUACAGAAAAAGUGAGGUCAUCCAUCUGAGUCUCCAUCUUACUUAGGUGAGCAUCAAUGCAGGACUCCACAAACACAAAUAACUCCUAAAGUGUGUCUAGACGAGCCAUGAUUGAUAAGGUACUUGAGGUAGCAUCAGCAACCUAAGGAUAUGAAGGUUUAGGAAGAUCGAAGAUUGGUACUGUUGGUGUAGAAAUAUGAAUAGAAGGCUUUGGGGCACAUGAAAGAGGUGGUGGAAGCAUUGGUAAGCUCGUGUAAAAAAUAGGAAUAAGUGGGAGCGAGCUCUCUGUAUUAGAUGGAAGUGGAGCAACAUGCAAAGCUAUCUUUCACCUAAUGCCAUGGGUAGUCAACUGUGUCCCUGAAUGAAUUGUUCGAGCCCACUGAUUGAUAACAUAAGUGUGAGAAGCCAUGUGAUGAUAAGACUCAAGUAACUAGUGUCCACGAUGGAGCAAGUAAUAUGAGAGCAACCGAGGCAAAGGAAUGAGAUAUCUUUGAGCUGAAGCUAUCUGUUUCUCCUUGACCUUCUGAAAAAAAAAAUGAUGGUAUCCAUGAUGAGUUGAGGUGGACUCCACCACUCGCCUACGUACAUGUGAUAACACUCCCAUAAGACUAAACCAGAACGCUUUAUAGAGUGUCCACAACAAGUACCCCGAGGUGCUAGUAUACGUGUAAUCCUCGAAAAAGAUGGUCGUGACUAAGGUGCAAAUCGGGCUUCAGGAGGAGUCGAUGAUGGUAAACCAAAGGCUGCAACAAUGGUCUCAGUGGAAAUAAUAUCAGCUUAUCCUCUGGUAGAAAAAUGGAGCUCUCGGUACCCCCUUUCCAAUCCUCGAGAGUAGAGAAUAACUCUCAUACACUAGCAGUAUAAAAAUAUGGGAGAGGAUCCAUCAAUGUGAGAAAAUAAUAUCGGUCGAGGAGAUACAUGGACUAUGUAGUGGGCUCAUAAGUACUAAAUGCCUUUAUGUCAUAAGAGAACUCUUGACCAAACUCCCAUUGAGAUAGGUUCACCCUAGGGGCAUCAUCACAAACUCUUAGAGAUGGAGGACGUGUUGGGCUCAGAGUAGGGGGAGCUGGCCAUGGAUGUGGAAGAGUGGUAGUAGGCCUGGUGGUCUUAGCAGUGGUUGAGUGAUCAAAACGAGCCUUUGUCCUAGCCUUUACAUGCAUGGCUUUAGUUCUCUUAGUGGUUGGGCGGUCAAAACGAGCCUUCGUCCUGGCCUUUACAUGCUUGGCUUGACAAGUGAUAUGCCUCUCGAUAGACUCACUAAUCAUUACACCACUUUGACUUUGGACGAGAGGUUAGGCAUGCUUUUACCUUGGGGAAUGCUUAGUCUCAUUGUCACUUUGAAUAACAACUUUUCUUUUAUCUAAAAUAAAUGGCAAAAAAUAAACUAAACUUAAAAAAGGGAAAUAAAAACAAAAACAAAAAUUAAGGAUUAAGAAAACAAUCCAAAAAUAAAAUAAAAUUGGAUGCUCAUGAAAUUUAUGGAUUCAUGUGAAAAGGUGGUAAACCAUUCCUAAAUUGCGGGAGAACAUUCAAGGUGUCCAACAAUGAUGAAAACAUGAGUAUUUGAAGCCUUAGAUAUAAUUUAAAUAAUACCUAAGUUCAAAUAUCAUCUGACAAGGAAAUCAAAGUGAUUGGUUAGCUUAGGAGAAUGUGUAGAACAAACAGAAAAAUCUAUUAGAGAGUUUAAAAUGUUCUAGAGCUUAUAAAACAUAAAUUAGGCAACAAUUAUGCAAAACUCAUGGAAAAAUAAGAACUUUGCUCUCAAAGUAUUCUAAGAUGAUCAACAAGCCCUAAAAAUCAUGUAGAAAAAAUUUUAAAAUUUUUCUCUAAGUAUAAACCAAAAAUUCUAACACCCUGAAUUUCCAAGCAAAAUAAACGAAUCGUGUGUAACCAAAAUCAAUCUUAUUGUGCUACGCUCGGGUUUUCGGGGGUUGAGCUCCCCGUUGAGCUCGUGGGAGCCGGGGGGCAGCGCUCUCUAUAAUUUUUUUUUCAUUACAUUUAUUAUUUUUUAUUUAUCUAUCCAACUGAAACAAUAGAAACCCUAAACAAUGUUAAUGAGAGUUGGGUAACACUGCAUUUUAUAUAGAGCAACACUACACAAAGAAACCAUAAAGAUCAAGGAAAAUCCAUAAAAAAUAAACAAGAAAUGAGUAUGAGUGUAAUACGUACCUGGAAAGUGACAAACCCACAAUGAAACCCUAAAAUCGCCUUCAAUGGAAGUUAGGACGAUGAACAAGGGAAGAGGAAAUAAGGGGAAAAUGAGAUGAAAUGGUCUAGAAGUGGAAAUGACUAUUUGUAAAGGAGUUUGGGUGAUUUCAAAGUGAGCUCAAAAUAGAAAUUAAGUAUUUUGAAUUGGAUUUUUGGUUAAGAAAAGUCAUUUCGAAAUUUAACUAUUGAAUUCGAAAAUAACCUUAUUUUAUAUUCAUUAAUUAAUGGUAAAAAAAAUGCCCAUUUUAAAAUGUAACCAUUGGAUUCGAAAACUACCUUAUUUCGAAAUGGCUCACUAUAUAAAACAAAAACAUUUCAAACACCUCAUUUAGAAAUGAAAAAAAAAAAUCAUUUCUAAAUUGGGCAAAUUUUGAAUUCACCUUCUAAAGUUAAAAAAUCUCAAUUCUAAAGCAAAAGUUUCAAUUUUGAAAAGCCCACCAUUUUGAAUUUGCUAAAUGUAGCCUCAAUACAGUGUAAAAAAACCCGUUUAAAAAUUCCACUAAUGAUUUUGAAAAUAGCUCCAUUUUGAAAUGGCUCACUAUUGAUUCCAACUUUUAUUUCGAAAUUCAAAAUUCAUUGUAUUUCGAACUCAUUGUUUGUGAGUUCAAAACACCUAUUUCGACAUUUACUAGUUAUUUCAAAAUUAAUAUCAAUUCGAACACACUUUCUAUAGAUUUAAAAUUGCAAUUCCAAGACAAAAAUUUUGAAUUCGAAAGGAUCAUAAUAUUGAAAUCACCCAUUACUGGUCUCCAAAAGUGUCAUCUCCAUUUGAGAUUUCAAAUUCAAAAAAAAAAGAAAAGGAAUUUUGAAUUCAUCCACUAUACCUUUAACCUUUUAUCAUAAAAAUUUAGGAUUUCUCUCCCAAGGGCUACUCAGUUUUGUAUUUCAUCCUUUGUUUUCAAAGUUCACCAAUGAUCCUCACAAGUAAAUUUUUGGGUGACCUGUUGUCUUAAAUAUAGAUCAACAUACCUAUAAAAGCUUUGUCACCUUGAACACAUGUGAGGCUUACCAUUUCACUCCCUUGAAGUUCACAUUUACCUAUAUCACUCGGAUGUUUGCAAGCUAAGUUGCUACAACUCAUAAACUCAUUAGUAAGUUAAAAACAACUAAAAAAAAUGCUAACCAUAUUGCUAAUGACUAAUUGGAAAUGCAAAACUAAACAAAGGAAAAUAAAUAAUAAAAUAAACUAAAACAAAAUAAAAGAGAAAUUAAAUAAAUAAAAGUUUUACCUAAAUUUAUUUUUUACCUACUAGAUUUUCAAAAAAUACUUCAACCCUUUUAAACAUUCCCAUAAAUAAAAAUGGAGAUUCUCCUCUUGUGUCACAAAUCUUUCAAUGAAAUGCUUUAAGCGUUGAUCAUUAACUUUGAAUUCAUUACCAGUCUUCAGAUUUUGAAUAGUCACAGUGCCAUAAGGGAAGACUUCCUUUACCACAUAAGGGCUAUUCCACCUUGACCUAAGCUUUCCUGGAAAAAUGUGAAGCUUGGAGUCGUACAACAACACCUUUUCACCUUGCUUGAACUCCAUUCAUAAAAUAAGUUUGUCAUGGUAGAUUUUGUGUUUUUUCCCUUGCAUUACGUAAAUAUUCAUAACUCUAAUUUUGAUAUGCCUCAAGUUCAUUAAGAUCAUAUUUCCUUUUAGCUCCAGUUUGAUCCAAAUCAAAGUUCAUCUUCUUUAUAGCCCAAUAUGCACGAUGUUCAAGCUCUAUAGGCAAAUGACAUGAUUUACCAUAAACAAUCUGAUUCGGUGACAUGCCAAAUCCAGUCUUAUAGGUUGUCAUAUAUGCCUGAAGUACAUCACUCAACUUGGUAGACCAAUCUUUUCUUGUAGUAUUGACUACUUUGGUGAGGAUUCUCUUAAUCUCUCGAUUUGCUAGCUCAAUUUGCCCAACGUUUGAGAGUGAUAUGGGGUGGACACUUUAUGCCUCACUCCAUAUUUCUGCAAAAGAGUGGAAAAGGGCUUGUUACAAAAGUGUGAACCUCCAUCAUUAAUGAUUUCUCUCAAAAUGUCAAACCUAGAGAAAAUAUUCUCCUUUAAAAAUUUGAGUACCAAUUUAUAAUCAUUGCUCUUGCAUGCCACUGCUUCUACCCAUUUAGAAACAUAACCCAUUCUCACCAAAAUAUAGAGAUUACCAAAAGAAAGAGGGAAUGGUCCCAUAAACUUAAGACCCCAACAAUCAAAUACCUCAACAACACAAAUAUAAUUUUGUGGCAUUUGAUACCUUGUGUUGAUUUUCCCCAAUUGUUGACAUUGUGGACAACUUCUAUAGUGAGUGUUACAAUCCUUGAAUAUAGUUGGCCAAUAGAAUCAACUUUGUAGAAUGUUUGCUAAAGUCUUCAUUGGAGCAAAAUGACCUCCACAAGCUCCCUCAUGGCACAUUCAUAAUAUGUUUUGUUGUUCAUCCUUUGAAACACAUCUCUGAAUAAUUUGAUUUGGGCAAAACUUAUACAAAUAUGGAUCAUCUCAAGUAUAGUGUUUUGCUCAUGAAAGAAAAUACUUUUUCAUCUCCAUGUUCCAUUUUGAGAAAAGCUCUCUUGUUGCCAAGUAGUUGACUAUAUUUGCGAACCAAGGCAACCUCUCCACUACACAAAGUGCAUCAUCAAGAAACUCAUCAUUAAUCUAUGCUUCCUCGAAAUGUGACUCUACUUUAACUCGGGAGAGAUGAUCAGUAACCACAUUCUCUACCCCUUGCUUAUCCUUUAUUUGAAUGUUAAAUUCUUGAAGAAGAAGGAUCCAUAUAAUAAGUCUUGUUUUGACGUCCUUUUUGUUAAGUAGAUAUUUCAAGGCCGAAUGAUUAGUAAAAAUUACUAUUGAAGUUCCCAAAAGGUAGUUCCUAAAUUUAUCAAUUGCGAACACCACUACAAAGAGCUCUUUUAUAGUAGUUGUGUAGUUCUUCUGAGCAUCAUUAAGGGUCUUACUAGCAUAGUACACCACAUAUGGUUUUCCAUCCUCCAUUUGACCUAGUACGACUCCCACUACAUAAUCACUGGCAUCACACAUUAACUUAAAUGGAAGAGACCAAUUGGGAGGUCUCAUAAUUGGUGCGGUAGUGAGUAGUGACUUUAGCCUCUCAAAAGCUUCUUGGCAUGCUUUACUCCAUAUGAAUUCUGCAUCCUUAAGUAAUAAAGCACAAAGAGGUUGAGAGAUUUUUUAGAAGUCGUGUAUGAACCUUCUAUAAAAAUCUACAUGCCCCAAAAAUUAUCUCACCCCAUUAUCAGUAUUGGGGGAAGGUAGCUUUGAGAUGAGCUCAAUUUUAGUUGGAUCUACCUGAAUGCCUUCUCUAGAGAUGAUAUGACCAAGUACUAUCCCUGAGGUUGACAUGAAGUGACACUUCUCCCAAUUUAGGACCAAGUCCUUCUCAAUGCACCUUUUCAAAACUUUUUUCAAAUUUAAGAGACAAUUGUCAAAGGUCUUCCCAUAAACUAUCAAAUCAUCCAUGAAAGCUUCCAUGAUUCUCUCUACCAUUUCAUUGAAGAUAUUGAGCAUACACCUUUGAAAGGUGGUCGGCACAUUACAAAGACCAAAAGGCAUACACUUAUAAGCAUAGAUACCAAAUGGGCAUGUGAAUGUGGUUUUCUCCUGAUCCUCCAAUGCAAUGGCAAUUUGAAAGUAGCCCGAAUAACCAUCCAAUAAGCAAUAAUAGUCAUGACCAACUAGCUUCUCCAAAAAUGACCAACUACUUUCUCCAAAACCUGAUCUAAUAAAGGUAAUGGGAAAUGAUAUUUCUUGGUGACUGCAUUCAACUUCCUAAAAUAAAUGCAUACUUGCCAACCUGUAGUCAACCUUGUAGAAAUGAGCUCUCCUUCAUCAUUCUUCACUACAGUUAUCCCACUUUUCUUGCGUACUACUUGAGUAGGGCUCGCCAAACUACUAUCGGAGAUAGGAUAUAUAAUACUUGCAUCUAAAAGCUUCAAUACCUCAUUUCUGGCCCCAUCUUGCAUUAGGGGAUUUGGCCUUCUUUGUGGUUGCCUUAUUGGUUUUGCAUUCUCUUCCAAAUAAAUAUGAUGCAUGCAAAUCAUGGGAUUUAUCCCUUUCAAAUCUAAAAUAAACCAACCAAUCACUCUUUUCUUCUCUUUAAGCACUUUUAAAAUUUUGAUUUCUUGCUCUUCAGUUAAUGUAGUUGAAAUGACCAAAGGUUUUUCUUCAUUUUCCUCUAAAUAAACAUACUUUAAACCAUGUGGUAGGGGCUUUAACUCUGGUUUGUUGAUCACAACCUUCCCAUUUUUUAUUUCUUCAUUAUUUUCAACACUGUUCAAAGACUGAAUGGUAUUUUUUUUUCCACUUUGUAACAACUUCAACACGUUCUUCCUUAAUGAUUGUAGAGAAAAAAUCAUCUAUAUUUUCUUCCAUGAACUUUUCUGUGUUUUCUUGCACCAAGGCCUCUAUAAGGCAUGCUUCCUCAUCCUCCGCAUCAUCAUGGUCCAUUAGUUGCUUGCAUAAAUUGAAGACAUUCAUUUCCACUGUCAUGUUCCCAAAAGAUAAUUACAUCAAUCCAUUCCAAUAGUUAAUGAGAGCAUUGGUUGUUGCAAGGAAGGGUCUCCCAAGAAUAAUUGGAACAGAAUUCACACAUUUUUUCAACGGUUCUGUAUCUAACACCACAAAGUCCAAUGGGUAGUAGAACUUUUCAACUUGCACCAAGACAUCUUCGACUACUCCUUUGAGUACUUAAAUUGAACAGUCUGCUAAAGAGAGUGUAAUGGUAGUAGCCUUAAGCUCUCCCAAUAAUCCCAAUUUCUUAUAGAUUGAAUAUGGAAGCAAGUUUACACUAGCUCCCAAAUCUAACAAAGCCCUUUCCAUGAAUAAGUCUCUAAUCUGGACUGAGAUGGUAAAACAUCCUGGAUCUUUGUACUUCACCAUUGCCUUAUUCUCAAUGAUGGCAUUGACUUGCUCGGUGAGGAAUGCUUUCUUGCUUAAUUUAAUCCUUAUCUUCAUAGUGCAUAAGUCAUUAAGGAACUUUACAUAAGAAAGCACUUGCUUGAUCAUAUCAAGGAAUGGAAUGUUGAACUUCACUUGCUUCAAAACUUCCAAAAUCUCCAAAGUCUUAUCCCCCACUUUGUGUCUGCGCAUUGAUGAAGGGAAAGAGAAAUGAUUGAAACACUCUUUUCAUCUUUGCUCACAAUGAAUUUCUGAUAUUUUUCACUCUUUCUCACUUCUAGCAUUUUUCUCCGCGGUUGGUUCAUUUCUAGCAGGAAUAUCUUCACUUAUUGCUAACUUGGGCCUUUCAUAUUCUUUCCCAUUUCUAAGUGUGAUAAAUGCAUUGCAAUCUUCCUUUUGCACUUCAGGAACUUCAUUUACUCAUCUUAGAUUUUUCUAUGGUUGAGUUGUGAACUUUCUUUUCUCUUGAGGUAAGCCUGCAGCAAGUUGGCGUUUGAAUAUCUUCUAGUUCUUAAGAUGUUUGAGCAUUUAUCUUAUUUUGAUCCUCAUUACGCUUGUCUUGCUUUUAUAUAAACUCUCUCAUCGUAUCUUCUAGGCUUGAGUUAAAUGAUGAGGUCUGGGGUUGCUGUUGAAAAUUUUGGGAUGGCAUACCUUGUGGUUGAAAACCUUGCUACCCAUUAGUUUGAUUACCCUAAAAUCGAUUUCCUUGCUGCUGAAAUUGGCCAUUGUUACCUCAUCUCCAUGAUGGAUUUGGAUAAUUCCUCCAACUCGGAUUAUAAGUGUUGGAAUAUGAAGAAUUGCUUAAAUAUUGCUUGUAUGUCCUUAAGGAAUUGGCUUGCUUUGAAAACAUGUUUUGCACUACAAGUAGAGUGGAACAAGAUUGCACACCAUGUUCCAUAGACUUACAUAUCAAGAACGGUUGAGUUAUUCCCUCAUUGACUCUUUGUACCUCUUAACCUCCCUUAGCUUCCAAAUCAUCCAACCUUCUCAUAAUGGUUACAAACUUGACUUGGACAUCUAAACUCUCUGGUAAGGUAUACACUCCAUUAGCUCUUGCCCUAUUCAUUGUUCUAUCUCUAGAUGUUUCCUUGACGAUUGGUUCUUCCUAACUUCUAGAUACCUCAACAACAUAAUCAAGGAAUUGAAAUGUUUCAUCAAGGUUUUUAUUCAUGAAAUCUCCUCCACGGGGGUGAUGUCAUAUUCACAAUCCAUAAUUUGGUAAAAAUCCAUAAUUUGAAUCAAAAGAACCUAAAACAAUAUAUUUAAUAAAGAAAAGAAAGAAAACAAACCAAAGUUCUCGUCUUCUUCCACCUUCAAUGUCAAACUCUCCAAAAAAAAAAAAAAAAUUCCAAGAUCCCUAAAACCUAGAACUAAGAGAGUUUAUAUAAUAUCAUCAAUUACCUAACAUGUGAAACACUCUCAUUGGCCCCUUAUUGCAAAAAUAAUUACCUAAAAAUGAUUAAAAAAAUAAUAAAAUAGUGAUUUCUAGUCACGUGGGGUCCAUUUAGGGCGGAUGGAGUGCCCUAAAUGCUAUUCCCGAGGUAAAGGAGGUGAAACAUCAAAGUGGCAGUGGGUGAAUUUGAAAUUGGUGUCAUUUCGAUGUGGAUUUCGAAUUCAUAAGUUAAAUUUCGAAAUCAUUUGAAAUGACCCUUAAACUUUGUGCAGUUGUUUUCAAAUAGCCAUAACUUCUUCAUUUCAACUCCGAUUUGCACACUGUUUGAAGCGUUGGACUCGUAACCUCCCAAGAAACAAUAUAUUUUAUAUAUAAAAAGGACUUCAAGAAGUGCUCCAAAUUUGUUCUCAAAGUUAAAGUAUAUAUUACCAUUAGAUUUUUUAGUUCUAAAUUUCCAUGUAGCUGAAUCUUGCUUCAUGCCUCAUUUCCUAUGUUUUCUUGCCUUCUUUCUUACUCCAUAAUGGUCAUGUAGGCCCUCAAUUUUGUCCCUUUAGCACAUGUCUUUAAAAUUCGUUUUCAAUGCUCCACAAUAGUUCUUUGGUGGCCCAUAGCUACUCAUACCACUUACCUUUUUUUUGAGUCACCUCGGAGACUUUGGUUGAGGGAUUAUUUGAUCCCUUAUUGUGACCCUUGGCAGUUUUGAUUUAGAUUUAGGUUUUUCUUGCUUUUUUUAGGAUAGCUUUUAGAUACACUUGGCCCAUUAGGCACCACCUUAGGCCCACUUAGUCUCACCUUAGGCCCGUUUAGGUAUACUGGGUCUAUUAAGACUUUUUUUUUAGCGUGACUUAUAUAACUUGCAUGUUUGCAUGGCUCGUGGGCCCAUUUUUUGUUAAUUUGUUUAUUUUUAUUUUAUUUUAUUUUAUUUUUAUUAUUUUUAUUAUUAUUUUUAUUUUUAGUUUUAGUUUUAUGAUUAUCAGUCACUUUUUAUUGGUUAUCUUCCUCUUUAUAUUAUUUUCCUUAACUUAUUUAUUUAUUUAUUAUUUUUACCAUUUUCUAAUUUAUUUACUUAUUUAUCUAUUCAUGCAAUUGUUUAACUUCUAAAAUUUCAUGCUUUUGCAAGGAAACUUACUAUUGGAGUUUAAGGAAGGUGGGACUCUCCUUGGAAGGUUUUGGAGAGGAAUUUGAAAUUGGGAAGAUUGCUUUUGAAUUGGAAGAUUUAAAAAAGGAUAAGGAGAAAAAAGGAGAGAAAAUAGGGGAUUUUCCUUUCGGGAACAGAUUUAGGAUUUGGGAGGUGAUAUAUAUAGAUACGUGAGAGAGGAAGAAAGGAGAGGAGAAAAAGAGCUUUUUUUUUUUUGUGGGAGGAGAUUUUUUUUGGCGGGAAGCACGUAUUGGAGUCUAGAAAGGGAGAAGGAGGAAGAAAGAACAAGCAAAAAGAGGAUUUUUACUUGGGAAUUGUCUUCAGAAAGAAGAGAAAAGAUAGCCAUAAGUCAAGCCAUUGCAACCAAAGCUAUCCAGGUAUGCACCCCGUUGCUUUUGGAAUUCUUACCUAUAUUUGAUUUUUCCGUGUGUUCGAUUCUUGAAAAUUUAAUUGUUUUGUUGAUUUUUGGUAUGGACGAAAAGGGCCACAAUUUGCUUUGUUGAGAUUGGUUACUUGCCUGUUUGCCUUGUUUUGAUUUCGGAUGUCAUUAAUGUCUUCGGAAGCAUAUAACUCCAUGCCUGUUCCCACUAACCUGAGCCUAUUGAAAAAUCAGGAGAUGUGGUUUUAUUUUCUUUUAAUCUCCCAUGUCUGUUUUCCCAUUGUUUCCUCUACUCUCUACCAUAUCUGUUUUGCCUUUUCUUCCUACCCAUCACACGGCCAUCAGCUUUUCAUAUGGGGGUGACUCUAAAGCAUGGGCAUAUAGUCAUGAGUUUCAGUAAAGAGGUCAAACGCUUCAAAAUUCUGGAACUGCUAUCACAAUAUGGGAUCUAGAGAAGAUUGUCCGAAGGGUAUGUCAGCUGUUUAUUGCACUUGCUAAGUUUGGUUACCAUAACGUAAAUUUGUGAGUUCAUAUGGGGAUUAGAGAUGUGGCUCCUUGGAAUUCGAUUAUUCUAGGGUAUUUACACUGAGAGUAUAUUGGGGAGCGUGGGAGAAAGCAACAUUGAAAAGAAAAGAAAGAAAAAAAAGGGGUGGGGAUCGUUUUGGUGAAAAGAGGAAGGAAGCGCAGGAAAAUUAGUGGCAAAAAUCAGAGAAUACAAAACCAGAGGAGAUUCUCUUGUCGGAAGGCAGUUUUUCCAGGCUUGAUCCAGAUUGCGAAAUCAGUGCACUAUUCUUUUGGGCUCGGGGUGGUUUUGAAGGUAAUGUGUUUGUGAAGACGACUUUGGUUGACGUGUACUCAAAAUUUGGAUGUAUGGGUAUUGCGAGGCAAUUGUUUGAGAGUAUGUCAGAAAGAAACGUUGUUUCAUAGAAUGCGCGGCUUAAUGUAAUUACUUCUCUACACUUGAUCAGUCAUUAGGGCAGAUUAUUGCUUGAAAGCUUGUUACUAAACAGGUUGUCUAUUUCCCUGAACUUAGUUCUCUUCUAACUUCAGAGCGUAUGGAACUCUGUACACUUUUUUUUGCUUCUGAUUUCUCUUCUAAUGGCUCUAAGUGUAGAAGGGAAGAGCUUGAAGUUUUACGUGCUCUGCAAAUGAUGUUUUCUGUUUGAUCUCAAUGAUGUUUUGUUAAUAUCUGUGUUCUUCGGUCAGAGAAAGAAAUUUCAUGGAGAAGGGUUUACUACAGAAUGGGUGACUUCGGAUAUUAAGAAGAAAACUGGCCUUCGAACUACAGCUGAAGCACAUGUGACACUUGACUGUGCCAGAAGAGUCGAAUUUCUUAGCAAUAAAUGCAUGAAGCCCAGAGGGGAUCUUGAUGAUUUUGGCAACAACUUCUGUCUUGAAAGCAACUGCUUUUGCUGAAAAGAAUUCGGGCAGUGGCCCACAGUAUGAUAGCCUCUACUGAAAAGACCAGCUUUCCAGCAAUGAACAGCAUCAUCACUGAUGUCUCCUCUCACCCUCUCAACGGUUUUCUCUCCUCGUUCUUCUCAGAUGCAUCCCCGUUGUCUCCAUUUCCUCUCUCACUCGCUUCCCAUUUUCUACAAAUUCAAGAGUCCCCACAGUUUCUGCCCAAAAUCCUAGAACCGCCCUAUUUUCCUUGUUCGAAACUGCGCUUCCAUUACCGCAAAACCCUCUUCUCAGUUUCGGAAGAAAUCUGCCGAUUCCGAGCAGGAUGAGAAGCUUCGUUCUCUGUGUGAGCUGUUCUCGAAGCCCGGAAUUGGAAUUGAUGCGUAUAUUAUCCCUUCCCAGGACGCCCACCAGGGAACAAAUUAAGCCUCCAGUUCCACUUGGAGGUUUAUCUGGAUUCAUGUUCUUUGGUUCCAUUUACCACAUAGUACUUGUCGUCGGUGAGUCAACUGGAUAUUUAAUUCUGAAGCACUUCUAUUUUGGCUUCUAGAGUGAGUUCAUUGCUGAACGUUAUAUGAGGAGGGCCUACAUAUCAGGGUUUACUGGCAGUGCUGGUAUUGCUGUUGUCACAAAGGAUAAAGCAGCUCUUUGGACAGAUGGGCGUUAUUUUCUCCAGGCAGAGAAGCAGUUAAGCUCUAAUUGGAUUCUUAUGCGGGCUGGUAACUAUGGAGUUCCUACAACCAGUGAAUGGCUUAAUGAUGUCUUGGAUCCUGGUUGUAGAAUUGGCAUUGAUCCUUUUCUUUUUUCUUCUGAUGCUGCAGAGGAAUUGAAAGAGGCCAUUGCUAAGAAGAAUCAUGAAUUGGUUUACCUAUAUGAUUUAAAUCUUGUGGAUGAAAUAUGGAAAGAAUCAAGGUCGGAGCCUCUAAGAAAACCAAUUAGAGUGCAUGAGCUGACGUAUGCUGGUUUAGAUGUCUCAUCAAAAUUGUCUUCCUUGAGGUCUGAACUCAUUGAUGCUGGUUGUUCUGCUAUUGUUGUUUCUAUGCUUGAUGAAGUUUCUUGGCUGUUAAACUUGAGAGGAAAUGAUGUUCCAAACUCACCUGUUAUGUAUGCAUACUUAAUUGUGGAGAUUGAUGGGGCAAAAUUAUUUAUUGAUGAUUCUAAAGUUAGCCCAGAAGUGAUGGAUCACUUGAAGAAUGCAGGCAUAGAGUUGAGACCAUAUGAAUCCAUUCUAGCUGAAAUAAAGAAUUUGGCAGCAAAAGGGGCACACCUCUGGUUGGAUACGUCUUCUGUUAAUGCUACUAUUGUCAACACCUACGAGGCUGCUUGUGACCAGUAUUCUGGGAGCCUUGAUAAUAAGAGGAAAAAUAAGUCUGAGGCCUAUGGAGUCGCCAAUAGUCAAUCUGGGGUGCCCACUGGAGUUUAUAAGAUUUCACCUAUUUUGCUGGCGAAGGCUGUGAAAAAUCAGGCUGAAUUAGAAGGGAUGCGCAAUUCUCAUCUAAGGGAUGCAGCUGCUCUUGCACAGUUUUAGUCCUGGCUGGAAGAAGAAAUCCUUAAGGGUGUGCUAUUGACAGAGGUAGAUGUUGCAGAUAAACUUCUUCAAAUUCCGUUCUAUGCAGCUGUUCUACUGAAAGGCACAUGCGAGUAAUCACUAAACUCGUUAAAACAUUAUCUUCAUUUUCGAACCUGGAGUGUAAUCCCUCGAAGAGCAUUUUUUUAUUGCUAUAUAAAAAAGGCAAAAAAAAAAAAAACAUGAUAGAUGGAGGAAUGGCUCGGCACCUAGCUAGCAUUUUUAAGUGAUCCAGUUUUCAAGUCUGAUGGUUUGAACAAGAAAAAUCCCCAGCUUCAAACGGAAUAUCUGACGACCAGUGGAUUGCACCAUUGGCUAUAGAGAUUGGAAAGAAUAGUCGGAAUAGAAACAUCCAACAAGGACUCAUGGAUGCAGCAGGAACAGAGCAGCGACAGCGUGAAGGAAUUUCGCAAAGUGAAGGAAAUCAUUCAUUUACAGAUUCGGUCAGAUCAUGGAUGAAAAAUAACAAUGAGGAGUCUGCUUGGUGAUGGCAACGACAAGGGUACAUAUUCUAGUAGAACCAUUGAAUCAAAUCUUGGUGGUGGGAAAUUAACACAGAAUGCAGGAAAUCUGUCAAUACAAAGAAAUUGGGGAUUUUGAAUUUUAUGUUCCGUGUUUGAUCAAUGUUGGGGAGAAUCCAUUUGAGCUCACGAACCAAGUUACCUUAUACAUGGAAAUGCUUUUGACCACUGAAUAUCCUGCCGACGAAUUGGGUCCUUCUAUCCCGAAUUUUGAGGCUCCACUCCCUCUCGGCCACCUUGCCACACAUCAUACUCCCAAUGUUUCUUUUUCUUCUUUUUGUGAUCUUAUACAUUUUAAAUUUGGAUUUCAAAAUCUUUUUUUUUUCAUUAAAACAACUUCAAUUUUCUUCAAAUUCCAUCCUUAGGGAUUUCUAGGCAUAAAAUUUAGAUUUCAAUAAUCUUUUGCUGCCACUUUCCUUCGGGCAUGCAUUUUCACUAUUUUCUUUUAUUUUUCAUGGUUUUCUCGAUUUUCUCAAGCAUGAAUAAAACUUCAUAAUUCCAAAUCAUGGAAUUUAUGGAAUCAACUCAUGCGAAAUUAAUUAGGGCUUUGGUGGGGGCCCGACAUUCAUGAUAUUAUCUUCAAUAUUGUUUGCUUGAUAUCUGAUUGAUUUUUUAUUCUUCUCGAUGAAAUACUUGAAUUCGCUUUAUAUUUAUUGUUGAGAUAUCCUUGUUUCCCAUAGACGUGUGGAUGCUCGCUAAAUCAGGUACGCUCUUCCCACCCUACAACUCUGAAAUUCUAUGAAUGUGUACGUUAUCAUGAGCCAUGACCAUGUUUGAUGCCACAUUUGAUUGUGUUGAUGCUUGUUUGAUCAUCUUUGAUAAAAUACAUGUAAUGCGUCAUAUUUCCAAACUAAUCUCCUAUGUUUUAUGAUAGCGCUUGAGAAGCCGUUCAGGUUUGCACUUCGACCCUCUCUUAUGGUUGGUUUUCUUAUUAGGCAUGCAAUAUUUGAAAUCACCUAGCCUACUUAGGUAUCCAUAAUUAACUUAUUAAUGGCCACACUUCCCUUAACUUUGUCAGUAGAGACCUUCAGAGGGCUUAGAGGGGUGCUACCUUUUAAAGGUACCUUCCCAAUAGUAAACCUGAUCCCCGGACUUAGACUUGGGUUUUUCAAAGACAUGCUUUUUCCAAAAAUUAUGGAGUCACAUUUUAGGGUUUUUCUUUCUUGUUUUAUUUUCCCUUUAAAAUAAAAAUAAAAUAAGUGGCGACUCCAACUUUUUCCAAAAAUUAUUUUUUCACAAAUAAAAAGCGAGUCUCACCGAUCGAGUGGGGACACACAUGAAAUAUGCGGGUCCACAAGUCAUUUAUCAUCUUCCAAACUCAUGAUAUUCUUGUCUUGCCUUUCCUCAUGGUCCAUGAGUCUUGACUCACUUAUUUUCUCAUUUAACCCUUUCUUAGUCUUUUAAAAUUUAAAAUGAUUCAACUUGCACCCUUUUCUUCCCUUGAACCUAAGAUAAGUCUCCAAAGUACAAAUUAAACUCAUGGCUAGGGCCUUAGUAUUGAUUUAGGUCAAGUUGGGUGAUUUGAAUGUCCUUUGGUGUAUAAAUCAUAUAGAAUAUGUGCCAUUAGAGCACAUAUUUUGGCUCCAAUCAAGCUUACUCGCCAAAUUCCGUAUGUCAAACAUUGAGUGAUAGAAUGGAGUGGGUUGGUCAAAGAUUCAUUUGAGGCUCUAUAGUAUAGUCAUGAGAGCACACAAAUUAGAUGAUAUGUAGUUGGUUGCUCUCUUCCCCAUGUCACUUAGUUGAGCAGCAUAUAGGUGGUUGGCAUUAAUUAAGCCUUCGAGACUCUGCACUUAGGAGGAUGUGGCCUAUAAGUUUUUGACACAGUUUGCCUUUAGUGUCAAUAUUGAUUUUUUUAUUUUUUUUACUAAGCAAGAUGUCGAGAGUGUUACUUAAACAUCCCUAUGACAAAAGCAAAAGUUGUUGUCUUUAGUGCUAAUAUUGAUGUUUCUAGGAGAGAGUUAGAGGCUACUAAGUAGAAGCUAAAUGAAUCUGUUUCUUCAUUUAUUAGUCAUUGGAGGGCUAAGGUGGUUGGUAUGAUAGAUUGACUUAAGGAGUAAGAUUAGAUUGAUGUGCUUCUUUGGAACCUUCAGCCGAGGUUUGCCAGAUGUCUUGUAGGUAUUCCAUUUCAAGACUUCUUAAAUUUGGUUCAAUUCAUUUUUAGUGUUCAGGAGGGUAUUGCUAGAGUGUUAUAGACAAACACUAUUCCUUCCUUAGACAUUAAAGGAAAGAAGCUUGUAGGAUCAUUAGGGAGGCUUGGAGAUGUUAACACUAUCAGUUAUCAUCAUCGAGGUCAACUUAUUAGUCAUACCAAAGGUCUCCUACAAUCAAAGCCUACUUUCCUCAUCCAUUGUGCCAAUUGAUUCAUGCCCAAUUGGUGUCUCAGCUGAUUUGCAUCCAGCUAGUGCUCCUGAUUGAGGGAGUAAUCAACAAAAUUUAUAACCUAUAACACCAUAUACUAGGGUAGCAAAGACAAAGCUACUAUAGUAUAGUGGCUUUAGGAUCGUUCACUGGGAAUGAUUAACAAGCAAUCAAUGAUACCAAUUCCAAGUGAAUUGGCCUUGUUUCAUUUCAAGGUUAGCUUAAGAAGUAACACACAAACUUUGAUUGGUAAAGGUUUAGACUUAAACUAACUAACAUAACAGAAGUUUGGAAUAAUUUAGGAAGAAAAGCAUUCCUUAGAGAUUUAGGUUCACUAGGGUGGUUCCUCAUGCAAAAGACACGGCUUUGGUUAGAUGGUUCAUUUCCUCGCAUUAGAGAUUCAACAUAUAGUCAAUUCUCUAACCGGUGAUGUACAGAGACUCCUUCAAUUAGAUUUCACUUUAAUUCUCUCACUGAUGCAACUUGCAAUGGUUUAAGCCUCUCACUAAGCCUUAACCAUUCAAGGUGAUCUUUAACCUUGGAUUACCCGUCAAAAGCUCGCAAGAGAUAACUAAUGGAUGUCUCCUAGGAGUCCAAAAGCUUACCAAGUGUUGGCUAUUCUAGAAAAUCCUACCUUGAAGUCACCUCCCAGAGGCUCGCAAGGGGUAAACUAGUGCAUUUCCAUGGUUGGAAAUCACUUGCCUUACCAAGUGUUGGCCCAGGUGACUCCAAGGUGUUUUAAGUUAACUAAAAACAUAGAAAUCAUUGAAGGAUUUCACUUCCUCUUCAUUACUAGCUAAAACCACAAAGCUUUGCAUUCUUGCACUUGGAACCUCCCCCGGCAACCUUAGCUCCAAGGAAUUAGAGGUUUAGUUACUCAUUCUCUGGGGAAAACUCCUCAGAGAGUUCAUAACUUAGUAAUAAGUAAAAAAUACAAAGUGAGAAGGUAAGGCAGUAGAAAGAAAAGAGACUUUACUUGCUUACCCAAACUUUUUCAGAAGGAACUCCUCUCUGAGAACAGGCUCUCGAGAGGUAUAUAUAUGAACAUAAUAUAAAACUAAUUAUUACAUAGAUAUUUAGUCUUUUUACUAACUUAAAAACUAAGGAAUCAUGUAAUUGGUGGUUUACAAGGAGUAUUUUGGGAUUUAGACAACAAAAAUCUAAUGGAAAAUAUCUCCCAAUGUCGGUAGCAAAUAUCGGGAGGCUUCAGGAACCAUUUCGCAGGAGAAAAAUGGUGUCUGCGAGAUUUCGCAGACACUCAAGAGGGCUGCGAAAUUAUUUCGCAACACCAAGCUAUCUUCACAGGGCUGCGAAGUUGGCUUCUACCUUGAGGUUCCUAGCUUCCUUCUCGCGGCAUAAAUCGUGCAUCGUCAGAAGGACAAACACCUUACUGUACAAAAAUGCUGCGAAAUCACUUCGCAACAAAAGGGUGAUUUCGCAACACUUUGCAAAAUGCUUCCUUCAGCUCGAAGUGAUUGGCUUGUAAUGGCUGCAACUUUUUCGUUUCAACUCCGAAUUGCACACCGUUUGAAGCAUUGGAUUGUUGACUUCCUGAGCUUUGAAAUGGUAUAUAGCAUGCAUCAUUUGGACUUCAGAAAGUGCUCCAAAAGUGGCUGCUACGACUGUCAUCAAGAAUAUGCUUUAUGGCAGAUUCUCUUUACUUUUUCUCCUUGCAAUCCGGAUUUACUCUUGGCAAAUGACUUCUCAACUUUGCCCAAGAUUCCUCAUAGCUCUCCUCAGACUUGACUUGCUUUGGUGAUCAAAAUACUAACAAAAACACCAAAACUUACACAAAGUGAUUAAAAUUGCUUUAAAGGAUCCUUAACAUGCCAAUUGAGUUAAAAGGCUUAAACUACUACUCAAAAGUGUUUAAAAGGAUUAAUUAUAGGCUAUCAAAUAGCACUUUUUGAGUAGUAACCACUCCCCCCAACCGACAUAUUGCUAGUCCCUUAGCAAUAUAGGAGAGAAAAAUAAAAAUAAAUAGCAAACUAAUCUAAAAUUUACAACAUCAUGCUGAAAGGAAAUAAUUCUCAAGUGGCAUGAUGAUCUAAUUCUCACAUGAAUCAUUAAAGAAAUACAAACCCAAAUCUCAACAAGAGUCAUAACACCUAUGCUAAACACUGUCAAUCAAGGGAGUGCGUUAUGCAAACUGAAGUUUUAAAAUCAUUUCCACUUUCUAAGAAUCAAACUUUAAUCUUCCACAAAAAUCUAUGUGUAUUGGUUCCUUAGGUUCCGAUAAUAAUAUGCUAAACUAGUCUCUCCCCCCAACCUAUNNNNNNNNNNNNNNNNNNNNNNNNNNNNNNUACUCAAAAGUGUUUAAAAGGAUUAAUUAUAGGCUAUCAAAUAGCACUUUUGAGUAGUAACCACUCCCCCCAACCGACAUAUUGCUAGUCCCUUAGCAAUAUAGGAGAGAAAAAUAAAAAUAAAUAGCAAACUAAUCUAAAAUUUACAACAUCAUGCUGAAAGGAAAUAAUUCUCAAGUGGCAUGAUGAUCUAAUUCUCACAUGAAUCAUUAAAGAAAUACAAACCCAAAUCUCAACAAGAGUCAUAACACCUAUGCUAAACACUGUCAAUCAAGGGAGUGCGUUAUGCAAACUGAAGUUUUAAAAUCAUUUCCACUUUCUAAGAAUCAAACUUUAAUCUUCCACAAAAAUCUAUGUGUAUUGGUUCCUUAGGUUCCGAUAAUAAUAUGCUAAACUAGUCUCUCCCCCCAACCUAUCUCUUUUCAACACUUUAGCAAACUGACCAAAAUCAAUAAGAAAAGAACACACUUUCAUCAUCUAUUUUUAUUUUUAUUAUUAUUUUUUUUUCAAGGUAGCUUUAUGGGGUACUCUUUCUGACUUGUCCAUGUAAUGGGGGUCCAUCGAUGACUCCCAACCAAUUAAGGUUUAGGGCACCAAGUUUUAAGGAUCUUUCAACCACUAACUCCUCGGAUUUUUCCCCGGACUUUUAAGAAUGAAUUUCUAAUACCCAAGCAUCUACCAUAUGCUAACUCUACCUAUUCACCCUUAUAACGAGCAUUGAGGUCGGUGUCUCCCAACCAAUUAAGGCUUAGGGCACCAGGCUUUAAAGGCUUUCACCAUAUGCCCCUCAGACCUUGCUCGGGUUUCAAGGCAAGCAAACAACUUUCUUUAUUUCAAAGGCUCAUUGGCCUUUUGCAGGGUGUUUCAAUUUUUAUCAAAUGAGGUCAAAUAUACCAAGUCCCAAAAUUGUCCUAAGUCAAGAGGGAAAUAGCUUUUCAUCUUAUAAUCGGAAACUAAUGUGCACAGUGUGUGGAUAGCUUAAAGUGGAAGAACUAACUUCAAUUUCAAUAGAAGCUUCAACAAUUGAACCACUUUAGUAAGCAUAAUCCAUACUCUAAGUCAAGUGAAAAACAACAGUUCAAUUUCUCUUGGUUUAAUUUGAAAAUUUUUCCUCAAAAUUCAUGGAGAAUAGAGUAACAAGAGUAAAAAGUAAAAACUACAACUAAUUAACCAAUAUAAUUGCAAUACCAAAAAGAUUUAGAAUACUUCCUUUCUCAUACCCCCCAACCGAACUGAGCAUUGUCCUCAAUGUGAUUUGAGUGACUGUAAUAAAAGGGAGGAAGUGGUACCUCCUUGCUGAAAUCAAAUUCGAAUAUUGAUUGGGGAAAACCACAUGUUUCAAAAAGAAUAGAAUAUGUGAGAAAAGGAAAUAAGAAUAACUUAAUGCUAACUUUUAACAAGAAAUAUUCAACUUGUAUUACUUUAAAUUCAUUUGAUUACAAUGCAAAAGACAAGUAACACAAGGAAUCCCAAAUAUAGUACCAAAAUACUGGGAUUUCUUUUCAACUAAAAAAAACGAAAUACAUAAAAAUAUUAGAUAUCUAAUAUAGUCUAAUGAGUGGGGUGGUGCUGGGAUUAGGCAGAAGGAUCUACCUCUUCAGUAGGUGCAUCAGCUGGGGCUUAGGGCUCAGGAGGAUGAGACUCUGAAGGAUGAGGGUGUGGCUCUGUUGGAGUAUCAGUGGAGGGCUCUACAGCUUGUGGCAGAUCGAAAUGGACUUGGAGCUGCCUUAAGAUGGCAGCUUGUUGAGCCUAAGUGGCUAACAUCUGCUCUUGGCAUGCUCUGAUGGCUGCCAUCUCUUGAGCAAGAUUGCUUUGAGAAGCUGUAAGUGUCUCCAAUGCACGGCACAACUCUCGAUAUUCAGAUAUAGGAAUGGCCAUCCUCGGCUCAGCUGAUGUGGAUGGCUGAGAUGAAGCAGGUGCAGCUGGUGGAGCUCUAGGAAUGGCAGGAGCAGCAACUGUUAUACCUUCAAGUAUAUGUCUUGGGGAGGCUCUCCUUGCAGCUGGUUGAGGCUGCCCAAGCUGAUCAACUUUGUAGGUCGUCAUAUUAUUCCAUUUAUCAAGAGUGAAUAGCUCACGGCAAAUUCGCUUUCUCUCCAGCUGAGGCUCAGAGGGGUAUCCCAGAUGCUCCAAAAUUUGGCAUAGCAGCCUUGGGAAGAGGAGGGGAAUGCAAUCUGCUCUCUGAAGCUUCUUUUUGUGAACCUUCUCUUCAAAAUAGAGAAGGGCUGCCAUGAUCAGAUGAUGAGGCCCAAUGAAAAAUCCUUCUGACAUCUUGUAAAGAGCUUCUAGGAGGACUCCCCUUCUUUGGGUCCAAUGUUGCAAUGGGUAUAUAUUAUGACGCAAAAAGGCAUCAAUCAAAAACAUAACUGGAGGAAGCUCCCCCCUCAGCAGAUGUGAUCGAUUUGCAGCUCAUCUGGAAAGGGUGUGAACCACCUCUAGCUCAGUAGGAUUUGCCCAAGCUCUAAAAUUAUCGAAUUGGGUUGGCUCAAAGGGAAUUUGCAAGGCUUCAGCAAUAUGUCGUGCUCCCAAUAUGCCAUGUCUCCCAUCGAUUGUGAAAUGAAUCAAGGUUGGAUUUCUGACCUCUUUGGUUGUCAUGGAUUGGUAGAAAUUCGUGGCUAUCCGGGGAUAGAAAAAGUCUCUUGGAGCUAGCAGUUGCUCCAUGUGAUACCUCCUCAGCAGCUGGAAUGAUUGGGCAAGCUCUGGCCUCACUCUGAAUGCCAGUAAGUCGAAGCAAAGCUCGGAGUGAAAUGCCCGUGUUCUACAAUCCAAGUUUCCCUCAAUUGGGGGCUGAGGUAGCAUUGGCCUUUGGAUUACUUCUUCCAGAGCUGUUUCAGCUUGAAUUUGGGGCUCGGGAAGUGGCGCUUGAGGCUCCUGAGAUUUUUCUUGCGGCGCCGGAGAUGGUACCGGCGAUGGAACUGGUAGGGGACUCGGCAAGGGAACUGGAGACGGCACUGGAGUUUGAACCGGUGAUGGAAUUGGUGAAGGCUCUGGAGAUUGCUCAGUCAAAUCGAUGGGUUCUGAGCUCUCCACCCUGGGUUUCUUCUGCAAUGGCCGACCUCCUGACCUGGUAAGGUAUCGUCUUGUCAGCGGCUUUGGUGGCGCGGGCUUCACCGGAGGAGGAUUUGGCCUUGACGGCGAAGGCUCUGGAGCAGAACCUGGACUUGGCUCCUUUCACAGACUCUUCUUGCGGUUCGAAGGAGAUGAAGACUUAGCCCCUCGUGUUCGUGCCAUUUCGGGAUACCAAACUUUGGCCGGCAUUGCUGAUCGGAGGAGAUGACAGGAGGCUCGGACGGCGUGGCUCAAGGAAGAAGAUGAAAGGUCUACGAAAAUGGCGCUCUGAUUUUUGAAACCCUUUUCGCAGCUUAAAUGACCGGUAUAAAUAGGAAAAACGGAAGCCUAAGGGUCAGUUUAAGUUUCGUAACAAAACCCCAAUUUCGUAGCAAAAUGCCAUUUUCGCAGCAACUUCGCAGUGAGUUUCGCAGCUGCAAAAUGAGAGUUCUUGUGCUGCAAAGUGGCACUUGUGUGCCAAAACCACUUUCGCAAUUGCGAAAUACCCUGCGGAAUGGGACUUUUGGUGCGAAAUCACGCUUUUCCACUUCGCAAUGCGUUUCGCAGCUGCCAAAUGGAUGCUACUGUACUGCGAAGUGGCACUCGUGUGCCAAAUUUGCUUUCGCAGCUGCGAAAUACCCUCGCAGAGACUUCUACAGUGUUGCGGAAUGGUUUGGCAACAAAAUGCUCAUUUCGCAGAAGUUUCCUUCACUCUGCGAAAUUUCGUAGAGCUCUGUUUUUCCCCUGUUUUUGCUCUGUUUUGGCUCCGAUUUCGACCCAAUUUUUUUUCUUUCAAUUUCCUUGAAAUUUCUUCCACCUGGGAUCAUUCAAAACAAUUAAAACACACCUAAAAACAUCAUUUAAGAUCAAAAACUAAGAUCAAAAGUAUGGAAACAACUUGAAAAUUUACAAAAUUUACAAAAAUUUUGGACUGUGGUAAAACCACGUCCAGCAAACCCUUUUUCACUUAAGCUUUUUGAGGUUCAAGGAGGUUGAUCUCCUCCUUUUCUGGUUUGAAUGGCUCCAAGAAUGGCUUGAGACGAUAUCCAUUGACUUUAAAGCUAUCCUUGCCAUUGGAAUUCAAUAAUUCCACCACUCCAUUGGAAUAUACUCGGUGAAUAAUGAACGGGCCUAUCCACCUUGACUUGAGUUUCCCAAGAAAGAUAUGGAGUCUUGUGUCAUACAUCUAAACUCUUUGUCCUUCCUGAAAUUCCUUGUUGGAGAUGAGUUGAUCAUGCCACUUCUUCAUCCUCUGUUUUGCAACUUUGGAAUUGAUAUAAGCAUUAUUUCUUAAUUCCUCCAUCUCAUUAAGGUCUAGAAAUCUCUUUUCUCCUGCCUUGAUCAAGUCCAUGUUCAGCUUCUUAACUGCCCACCAAGCUUUGUAUUCAACUUCCACAGGGAGAUGGCAUGCUUUACUAUAGACAAGACGAUAGGGAGACAUCCCAAGAAUAGUCUUAUAAGCUGUUCUAUAUGCCCACAAUGAAUCAUGAAGAUGUUCUUUAUUUCCCUGUUAGCUAGCUCAACUUGCCCGGAAGUCUGAGGAUGAUAAGUUGUAGCCACCUUAUGCUUCACUCCAUACUUGGAUAAUAGAGCUUCAAAAGGUUUGUUGCAAAAAUGAGCACCUCCAUCACUGAUUAUGGCCUUGGGCACCCCAAAUCUUGAGAAAAUGUUCUCUUUAAGAAACUUGAGAACCACCCUGUGAUCAUUUUGUUUACAGGGGAUUGCCUCAACCCAUUUAGAAACAUAAUCCAUCCCCACCAAAAUGUAAGAAUUACCAAAAGACAUUGGGAAAGGUCCUAUGAAGUCAAUGCCCCAUACAUCAAAUAACUCAACUAUCAGAAUGGGGUUCAUAGGCAUUUGAUUUCUUUUUGUUAGCUUUCCAAGCCUUUGGCAUCUAUCACAAUUCCUACACAUGAUGUGGGCAUCUUUGAAAAGAGAUGACCAAGUAAACCCUGAUUGCAAUACCUUCAUGGUUGUUUUCUGAGAAGCAAAGUGGCCUCCACAUGCAUUCUCAUGACAAUGAGAUAGAAUCCCUUGCUACUCAUCUUCAGGGACACACUUCCUAAUAAUCUGAUAUGCACAAUACUUAAAGAGAAAGGGCUCUUCCCAAUAAUAAGAAUGAAUUUUGGCAAAGAAGUGCUUCCUGUCCUGUGCAUUCCACUCACUUGGAAUUUCACCAGUUACUAAAUAAUUAGCAAUAUGAGCAUACCAAGGAGUUUUCACUAGGAACAUGAGUGAUUCUUCAGGAAAAUCAUCAUUGAUAGGCAAGGGAUGGGAGUUAUGUGCUAUAACUAACCUUGAGAAGUGGUCAGCUACCACAUUCUCCACUCCUUUCUUAUCUUUGAUUUGAAGAUCGAAUUCUUGUAACAAAAGAAUCCAUCUAAUCAACCUUGCUUUUGCAUCUUGCUUUGUCAAUAAAUACUUCAAGGCUGAAUGGUCAGUGAAGACAAUGAUGAAAGACCCCACUAAAUAAGCACGAAAUUUGUCCAAAGCAAAUACCACAGCUAACAAUUCUUUCUCUGUAGUUGUGUAGUUCCUCUGAGCUUCAUUUAGUGUUUUACUUGCAUAGUAAAUCACAUAGGGCUUCCCAUAUUCUCUUUGGCCAAGCACAGCUCCUAUAGCAAAGUCACUGGCAUCACACAUCAGUUCAAAAGGUAAUUGCCAGUUAGGGGCUCUCACUAUUGGAGUUGUUGUUAAAAAUUUCUUCAGUUGAUCAAAGCUAUUCUGACACCUUUCAUCCCAUAUAAACUUAGCAUCCUUAGCUAACAGCUCACAAAGAGGUUUUGAAAGACUUGAAAAACCUUUUAUAAACCUCCUAUAGAACCCUGCAUGGCCAAGGAACUGUCUUACUCCUUUUACAGUUGUUGGAGAUGGUAAUUUGACAAUAAGCUCCACCUUUGCUUUAUCAACUUCAAUGCCUUUUUCAGAGAUGAUAUGGCCAAGGACAAUUCCUUGACGUACCAUAAAAUGGCAUUUUUCCCAAUUAAGCACCAGGUCUUUUUCAAUGCAUCUAUGAAGAACUGCUUCCAAAUUAACCAAGCAUUCCUCAAAUGUACAUCCAUAUACGGUGAUGUCAUCCAUGAAAACCUCCAUAAUUCGCUCCACCAUAUCACUGAAAAUACUCAACAUACAUCUUUGAAAUGUAGCAGGUGCAUUGCAUAAACCAAAAGGCAUUCUUCUAUAAGCAUAUGUUCCAAAUGGACAUGUAAAAGUGGUCUUUUCUUGAUCUGCCAAAUCAAUUUCAAUCUGAAAAUACCCUGAAUACCCAUCCAAGAAACAAUAGAAUGGAUGUCCAGAGACUCUCUCCAGCACUUGAUCAAUAAAUGGCAAUGAAAAAUGAUCUUUCCUAGUGACAGCAUUCAGCUUUCUAUAAUCAAUACACACCCUCCAACCUGAAGUGAGGCGUGUAGUAAUUUCUUCCCCUUUUUCAUUCUGAACCACUGUGAUCCCUGACUUCUUUGGUACUACUUGAGUAGGACUCACCCAAGGGCUAUCAGAUAUAGGGUAAAUGAUUCCUGCUUGAAGUAGCUUCAACACCUCAGCUCGUACCACCUCUUGUAGAUGAGGAUUCAACCUUCUUUGAAAUUGAUGAAUUGACUUUGCUUCCUCCUCCAUAUAUAUAUGAUGAGUACAAACUAAAGGACUAAUGCCUUUCAAAUCAGAUAUUUGUCAUCCUAUUGCCUUCUUACACCUCUUGAGAACUUCCAUUAAACAAUUCUCUUGAUGACUAGUCAGAGAUGAAGAUAUCACAACAGGACAUUGAUUAUUUGCUUCAAGAUAUGUAUAUUUCAGCUCCACAGGUAAAAGCUUCAGAUUGAGUUUUGGAAUUUCUUUUUCAGCAGCUGCCUCCUCUUCCUUAUUGAACAAAGGUAGAAUUCCUUCUAUCUUUCUCCAACUUUGUAGAGUAGCAAGCCCAAUAGGAGAUUCAGAAAAACCUUCCUCAAUAUCCUCAAGACUUUCAUUCAACUUUUCUUGCAUAUGUUGAUUGCAGUGCUCCUCUACCAAAGAAUCAAUUAUACAUAGCUCUUCUGGACCUUCUUCUUCCUCCGGAGUGAUUUGCUUUUUAGACAUGUAGAAAAUAUUGAGAUCCAGUGUCAUGUUACCAAAAGUGAGUUGCAUAAGCCCAUUCCUGCAGUUGAUGAUUGCAUUUGAAGUUGCAAGAAAUGGCCUUCCAAGGAUGAUAGGAACUAAAUUAGCUUCCUUUACAGUAGGAUCUGUAUCAAGAACAAUAAAAUCUACUGGAUAGUAGAAAUUAUCCACUUGAACCAAUACAUCCUCAAUUACCCCUCUUGGAAUUUUCACUGAUCUAUCUGCCAGAGAUAGAGUGAUUGCUGUUGGCUUCAACUCUCCAAGUCCCAAUUGCUUGUAGACAGAAUAUGGAAGCAAAUUCACACUUGCUCCCAAAUCUAACAAGGCUUUCUCCACUACCUUUCCUCCAAUCAUGACUGAAAUGGUAGGACUUCCAGAGUCUUUGUACUUCAAAGGAGACUUACACUGUAAGAUUGCACUUACUUCCUCAGUCAAGAAGGCUUUCUUGUUUACAGUCAACCCUCUUUUGAUAGUACACAAGUCCUUUAGGAAUUUUGCAUACGUUGGAACUUGUUUGAUCAUAUCUAGUAGUGGAAUAUUAACUUUCACUUGUCUCAAGACUUCAAGGAUUUCAGCUGCAUUUCUAACCCCCUUUUUCCCAUGUAAUGCUUGAGGAAAAGGUGGAGAAGUUGAUUUCUUCAGCAUUUCUUCCUUCAGAAGCUCCUUCUCUGGAAUUGCAUUCAUUGUUGCAUCAGAGUUCUUCUUUUCUUCACUGAUCUCACUCUCUUUAUCUUCCAUUUCCUUCCCUUUCUUUAUCUCUUCUUCUUUCUCAACAUGUGGCUUGGGUGUUGGCUGCUCAAUUUUUUUACCACUCCUUAGAGUGAUCAAGGCUUUCACAUCUUUCACCUGUGAUGAUUCUCCCUCUUGGCUUUCCACUUCAUGGACACCUUUGGGAUUUUGGUGAGGUUGAGAAGGAAAUCUUCCCUUUUCUUGCAGUGUAUUCAAAUUUGUAAGCCUUGAAAUUGAAUAUUGGAUGUUAUCAAACUUUUGGUUCAUAUCAUUUUGCAUUCCAUCCAUCCUUUUAUUCAACAUACUCUCCACUCUAUCAAUUCUUUGAUCGACUCGAGCAUUAGUGGCUUCUUGCUUUUCAAUAAAAUCUCCCAUUACUUUGCUGAGAUUAGCCAUUGCUUGUUCAAUACUUGAAGAUUGCUGAGAUGGUGGAUCCGGCUGUUGGUAUUGAGUUGCUCUGGCCUUCCAUGAAAAAUUUGGAUGAUUCCUCCAACUUGAGUUGUAGGUAUUUCCAUAUGGCGCAUUGUUAUUAGGCCUAAAUUGUCCAACAACAUUUGCUUGAUCUCUAAACAUUUCCCUUUCAGUUGGAAUUGCAGGGCAUUCCUCCACCAAAUGUUCAUAUGAUUGACAAUUGGGACACAGCUUCACUUGCACUGGUGCUUCAGCAACAGCUUGCACUUCAUGUAUUCUUUUCAACUCCAGCUCCUCCAAUCUUCUUGUCAUAGCUGCCAACUUUGCUUUCGUAUCAUCAUCUUCUUUCAAGGUAUACAUCCCAGCCUUUGCAUUGUAAGCAUUCAACUGAGACUUCAUUUUUCCCACUUCUCCUUUAGUUGGUUCAUCCCAUCCCCUUGAAACAUCAGCUACAUAGCUCAAGAAAUCCAUAGCUUCCUCUGGAUUUUUGCUCAUGAAAUCUCCUCCACACAUUGUCUCGAGGAGUUGCUUCAUUGAGGAUGACAUACCAUCAUAAAAAUAGCUCACCAAUAGCCAAGUAUCAAAGCCAUGGUGAGGACAAGCAUUUAUAGCUUCCAUGUAUCUUUCCCAACACUCAUAGAAUUUCUCAUUCUCUUUAGCUGAGAAGUUUGAAAUUUGCCUUUUCAAGCCAUUUGUUCUAUGAGUGGGAAAAAAUUUCUUGAGGAAUUCAGCUUGUAAAUCAGUCCAAGAGCGGAUACUCCUUGGCCUUAAAGAAUUAAGCCAAAUUUUGGCCUUAUCCUUUAAAGCAAAAGGAAAUAACUUAAGCCUCAUCAAAUCAAUUGAAGCUCUUCCCUCUUGGAAUGUAUUACAAACAUCUUCAAAUUCCUUGAUGUGUGCAUACGGAUUCUCACUUUCCAUCCCAUGGAAAGUUGGUAGAAGUGGAACAAGAUACGGUCUGAUCACUAGCUGCUCUGUAGGGGGCACUAUACAUGAUGGUGCACUCAUACGAGGUGGAUGCAUGCGGUCCCUCAUUGAUCUGAAUUCAUUGAGAUUAUCUUGACGACCUUGGUGACUAUGCUGAUCUUCAGGUGUAGCUUCCAUGAUAUUCAAGAUUACUUCAAAUUCUCCCCUCUGAGGUGUAUCACACUUAACAAGCCUUCCUCCACUGUCUCGUAUCCACUUUGGCAUACACAACUAGUAUCCAGCUACAACUUGAAUAAAAAUAAAGGACAACAAAAGAAACAGGGCUACAACAAUAAAACUAAACUAGGCUAAAUUUUAAAUGAUAAACUUAGAUUAUAAAUAAACAAAGAAAGAAUGAAAAUUAGUAAAGUGAAAGAAACUUUACCAACUUGUGAUGAAAAUCACAAGUGCUCAAAAAUGGUAUCAAUAUAAACUUGACACUCAUUCCCCAGCAACAGCGCCAUUUGAUUCGUCCUUAGCAACGGAAGUGGCAAUGGCACCAUCUGAUUCGGGGUUCGAUCCCCAGCAACGGCGCCAUUUGAUUCAUGCCCAAUUGGUGUCUCAGCUGAUUUGUGUCCAGCUGGUGCUCCUUGAUUGAGGGAGUAAUCAACAAAAUUUAUAACCUAUAACACCAUAUACUAGGGUAGCAAAGACAAAGCUACUAUAGUAUAGUGGCUCUAGGAUCGUUCACUGGGAAUGAUUAACAAACAAUCAAUGAUACCAAUUCCAAGUGAAUUGGCCUUGUUUCAUUUCAAGGUUAGCUUAAGAAGUAAAACACAAACUUUGAUUGGUAAAGGUUUAGACUUAAACUAACUAACAUAACAGAAGUUUGGAAUAAUUUAGGAAGAAAAGCAUUCCUUGGAGAUUUAGGUUCACUGGGGUGGUUCCUCAUGCAAAAGACACGGCUUUGGUUAGAUGGUUCAUUUCCUCGCAUUAGAGAUUCAACAUAUAGUCAAUUCUCUAACCGGUGAUGUACAGAGACUCCUUCAAUUAGAUUUCACUUUAAUUCUCUCACUGAUGCAACUUGCAAUGGUUUAAGCCUCUCACUAAGCCUUAACCAUUCAAGGUGAUCUUUAACCUUGGAUUACCCGUCAAAAGCUCGCAAGAGAUAACUAAUGGAUGUCUCCUAGGAGUCCAAAAGCUUACCAAGUGUUGGCUAUUCUAGAAAAUCCUACCUUGAAGUCACCUCCCAGAGGCUCGCAAGUGGUAAACUAGUGCAUUUCCAUGGUUGGAAAUCACUUGCCUUACCAAGUGUUGGCCCAGGUGACUCCAAGGUGUUUUAAGUUAACUAAAAACAUAGAAAUCAUUGAAGGAUUUCACUUCCUCUUCAUUACUAGCUAAAACCACAAAGCUUUGCAUUCUUGCACUUGGAACCUCCCCCGAAAACCUUAGCUCCAAGGAAUUAGAGGUUUAGUUACUCAUUCUCUGGGGAAAACUCCUCAGAGAGUUCAUAACUUAGUAAUAAGUAAAAAAUACAAAGUGAGAAGGUAAGGCAGUAGAAAGAAAAGAGACUUUACUUGCUUACCCAAACUUUUCCAGAAGGAACUCCUCUCUGAGAACAGGCUCUCGAGAGGUAUAUAUAUGAACAUAAUAUAAAACUAAUUAUUACAUAGAUAUUUAGUCUUUUUACUAACUUAAAAACUAAGGAAUCAUGUAAUUGGUGGUUUACAAGGAGUAUUUUGGGAUUUAGACAACAAAAAUCUAAUGGAAAAUAUCUCCCAAUGUCGGUAGCAAAUAUCGGGAGGCUUCAGGAACCAUUUCGCAGGAGAAAAAUGGUGUCUGCGAGAUUUCGCAGACACUCAAGAGGGCUGCGAAAUUAUUUCGCAACACCAAGCUAUCUUCACAGGGCUGCGAAGUUGGCUUCUACCUUGAGGUUCCUAGCUUCCUUCUCGCGGCAUAAAUCGUGCAUCGUCAGAAGGAGAAACACCUUACUGUACAAAAAGGCUGCGAAAUCACUUCGCAACAAAAGGGUGAUUUCGCAACACUUUGCAAAAUGCUUCCUUCAGCUCGAAGUGAUUGUCUUGUAAUGGUUGCAACUUCUUCGUUUCAACUCCGAAUUGCACACCAUUUGAAGAAUUGGAUUGUUGACUUCCUGAGCUUUGAAAUGGUAUAUAGCAUGCAUCAUUUGGACUUCAGAAAGUGCUCCAAAAGUGGCUGCUACGACUGUCAUCAAGAAUAUGCUUUAUGGCAUAUUCUCUUUACUUUUUCUCCUUGCAAUCCGGAUUUACUAUUGUCAAAUGACUUCUCAACUUUGCCCAAGAUUCCUCAUAGCUCUCCUCAGACUUGACUUGCUUUGGUGAUCAAAAUACUAACAAAAACACCAAAACUUACACAAAGUGAUUAAAAUUGCUUUAAAGGAUCCUUAACAUGCCAAUUGAGUUAAAAGGCCUAAACUACUACUCAAAAGUGUUUAAAAGGAUUAAUUAUAGGCUAUCAAAUAGCACUUUUUGAGUAGUAAUCACCAAUAUUAGUCCACCUAUAUUCAACAACCUUUCAUUGCUCGAACCAGUAUGCAACCACAACUGCCAUAUCCCAGAGCCACUAGAUCCCAUUCAUUACUCAUGUUCCUAUUCAUAUUUUUUUAUACACGUGAUCUUUAUCAAAGAGGGGCAUAUUUGUACACCCUCCAUUCUAUCUUCUUAAUACAAGCCCUAUUAAGUGUUCUUUCAAUAGUCCGCAAUGGUUCCCUAGUGGCUCUUUGCUGCUCAUAUAGCCUACAUUUUUCAGUCACUUUGGAGACUUUGGUUGAGGAAAUUAUUAUACCCCUCAUUAUGACCCUUGGCAGAAUUGAGUUAGAUUUAGGUUUUUAUUUUUUCUUUUUAGGAUAGCUCCUUUAAGUACAUCUCUAGGAUAGAAUAAUUAGGCAUCAUUUUUCGACCACCUUGGCCCAUUAAGGCACAUCCGACCCCUUUAGGAUCACCCUAACCCAUUUAGAUACAUCUGGCCUAUUUAGAUCACCUUGACCGAUUUAGACACAUUUGGCCUAUUUAGGUACAUCCAACUCAUAUAGGUCAUCCUAGCCCAUUUAGACACAAAUAGGCCCAUUUAGGCACAUCCUGCCCAUUUAGGGUCACCCUAGCCUAUUUAGACACAUCCAACCUAUUUAGGAUGACCUUGUCCCAUUUAGACACAUUUGACCCAUUUAGAAUUACCCAGGCCCAUUUAGGCACAUUCGACCCAUUUAGGUCAUCCUAGCCCAUUUAGACCACUUAGACCCGUUUAAGCACAUUGGACCUAUUUAGGAUCACCCUGACCUACUUAGGCACGCCUUGACCUAUUUAGAUCACUUGGCCCAUCUAGGCAUAUUUGGCCCAUUUAGGAUCACCUAGGCCAAUUUAGGCACAUUCGACCCAUUUAGGUUGACUUGGCCCAUUUAGAAACACCCAAGCCUAUUUAGGUCACUUAGGUGCCUACUUAGGCACACCUUGGCCUAUUUAGGUCACUUAGGCCCAUUUAGGCGCAUUCGACCCAUUUUGGAUCACUCUGACCCAUUUAGCCAUAUUUGGCCCAUUUAGGAUCAUCGUGCCCCAUUUAAACACACCUUGGCCCAUUUAGGUCAUUUAUGCCCAUUUAAGAACACAUUAACCCAUUUAGGUCACUUAGGCCCAUUUAGGUACAUUUGACCCAUUUAGGAUCAUCCCCCAGCCCAUUUAGACACACCUAAGCCCAUUUAGGUGACUUAGGCCAAUUUAGGCAUAUUUGGUCCAUUUAGACACUUUGGGCCCAUUUAGGAUCACCUAGGCCCAUUUAGGCAAAUUCGAUACAUUUAUGAUCACCCUAACCCAUUUUGACACAUUCGGCCCAUUUAGGAUCGUCUUGGCCCAUUGUAGCACAUUUGGCCCAUUUAUGAUCACCAUGGCACAUUGGGCCCAUUUAGGGUCACUUUGGCCCAUCUAGGCACACCCUAAGCCCAUUUAGGUCACCCGUUGUCUCACUUCUUAUUGCAUGGUUUGUGUGAUUGCAUUGUUGAACUUCCUUGCAUGGCUUGCAUGACACUUUGUUUUUUUUUUUUUUGUUAUUAUUAAUUACUUAUUUAUUUUUAUUUAUUAUCUUGCCAUUAUUUAUUUAUUAUUUAUCUAUUAUUAUUUCAUCAGUUUCUGAAUUAUUUUUAAUUACUAUUCAUUUGUUCAAUCUAAUUUUUUUUUUUUUUUUUGUGUUUUUGUAGGGAAAUUUACCAAAGAGAGAGCCAACGGAGAUGGAAAAUAAGAAUCACCAAAAUGAAAAAGGAAGAUAAAGGCAAAAGAGAGUAAAACUUACCAAAAGGAGAGGGGAUUGUGAGUUGCAUUAUGAAAGUAUGGAGAACGCAUUUUGGGAAGUUUAUCAAAGAGAGAGUGAAUGGAGGUGUAAAGCAAGAAUUACCAAAAUAAAAAAGGAAGACAAAACGAGAGAGAGUAAAACUUACCAAGAGAAGAGGGGAUUGAGGGUUGCAUUAUGAAAAUAUGGAGAACAUGUUUUGGUAACUGAGAAAUUCAGCACAUGGAGGUUUUGGAGUAAGGAGAGGAAGGAUUUGGUCAAGGUGGAAUUUUAAGAAAAAAGGAUAUUCAAUGUGGUAGGAAGGAAUGUUUAGCAUAUUAAGGAAGAAUGUGGGGAUUGGUAGGGGGGAAGAAGAACAAUUGCAAUUUUGAGCAUAAUUUUUAUAAAAUUUAUUGGAUGAUUGGUUUGUAUAAUUUUAAUGUUAGUAGAUUUUAAAAUUUUAUGGAAUGAUUGUUAGGUUAAAUUCCCAUCUUGAAUGUGUUUUAAAAAUUCGUUAAAAAAAUUAAAUAAAAAUUCUUUGAAUGUUUGUUAGGUUAAAUUCUCAUGUGAGUGUUAUUAUUAUUAUUAUUUAAUGCUAUAUUUGGUUGAAUUUUCAUGUCAAUAGAUUUUUUUUUUAUUAAAAAAAAAAUUGUUGAAUGUUUGUUAGUUUAAAUGUUUAUGUUAAUAUAUUUUUAAAAUUCAUAGGAUGUUCUUGGCAUAAUUCUUAGUUGCCCUUAUCUCUAAAACCUUUCUAAAAUAAGAAAGUCAUCCAAGAAAAUAAAAAUAAUAUAAGAGAAAGGCAAAGUUGCUGCCUUUUUUUUUUUGGGGGGGGGGGGGGGGGGGGGGGGGGGCCCUUUUUUUUGGGAAAAUUUUUUUUUGGCCCCCCCCGCCCCCAAAAAAAAAAAAAAAACCCCCCCCCCCCCCUAUUUUUUUUUGAGGGAAAAGGGGGGGAAAAAAAAAAAAAACCCUUUUUUUUUUUCCCCCCCCUUUUUUUUUUUUAACCCCCCCCUUUUNNNNNNNNNNNNNNNNNNNNNNNNNNNNNNNNNNNNNNNNNNNNNNNNNNNNNNNNNNNNNNNNNNNNNNNNNNNNNNNNNNNNNNNNNNNNNNNNNNNNAAAAAAUUUGAAUUGGAACAUGAGUAAUGAAUGGGAUCUUGUGGCUCUGGGAUAUGGCAGUUGUGGUUGCAUACUGGUUCGAGCAAUGAAAGGUUGUUGCAUAUAGGUGGACUAAUAUUGGUGAUUACUACUCAAAAAGUGCUAUAUGAUAGCCUAUAAUUAAUCCUUUUAAACAGUUUUGAGUAGUAGUUUAGGCCUUUUAAGUCAAUUGGCAUGUUAAGGAUCCUUUAAAGCAAUUUUAAUCACUUUGUGUAAGUUUCGGUGUUUUUGUUAGUAUUUUGAUCACCAAACCAAGUCAAUUUUGAGGAGAGGUGGGGGGGGGGGGGGGCGCUUUAUUUAGGGAGAAUUGUGUUUUGGGCCCAGCUAGGCCCAAAAAUUAAUAAAAGAUCCUCCAAACACCUAUAAUUGAUUGUAAGGAUAUAAGGUUGGAAUAGACAAAAAUACCCAUUUUUACUUACACCCAUCAUUUUGUCUUUAUACCACCACUCUUUACAUGCCCCAUCCAUAAAAUUCUCCUUUAUUUAAUCAUUUGUUUAUUUUUUAUUAUUUUUUAAACUCCUUUAAAAAUAAUUGAAAAAUCAACAUUAUUUUCUAUUUUUAAAUUAUAAAUAAAUAAAAAUUAUAUUAAUGAUUCAAAAAUUAUUUUGGAACAUACUUUUGAAAAAAAUAUUAAUUUAAAUGAAUAAAAAUUAUUUUUUACAUUUUACAAGUAAAUAAUUUAAUGAUUAAAACACUAUUUAAAAUAAAUAUAUUUACUAUUUUUUUUCUUUUAUACUAAAAACUAUUUAAAUUUUUUAUUUAUUAUUAUUAUAAAAUAAAAAGCUUAAAGUUUUUUUUUUUUUAAUCUUUUUCUUUCCAUAGUUUAAUAAUUUUUUGAACAUAGACUUUUGUAAUAAGUUAUAUGAAUGUUCCAAAUUUAUUUAUUAAGGAAUUUUUUAAUGAUUUGAAUUAAUUGAAAAUUUAUUGAAAUGAGAAAAAAGAAAAAGAGAGAAAGAGGAUAGAUGAAGAGUUUUUAUUUUAAAUAUCCAACUAAAAUGUUUUCGUAUUUAGAAAUGGAUUAUAUCAAUACAUAGUAUAGUAGAGAUUGAUUUUGAACAUAGACUUUUGUAAUAAGUUAUAUGAAUGUUCCAAAUUUAUUUAUUAAGGAAUUUUUUAAUGAUUUGAAUUAAUUGAAAAUUUAUUGAAAUGAGAAAAAAGAAAAAGAGAGAAAGAGGAUAGAUGAAGAGUUUUUAUUUUAAAUAUCCAACUAAAAUGUUUUCGUAUUUAGAAAUGGAUUAUAUCAAUACAUAGUAUAGUAGAGAUUGAUUUUUUUCUCAUACAAAGGGUUAAAUGAUAUGUUUACUCAUUUUAAAUAAAAACAAGUAGUUAAAAAUUAUAUAGAUUAUGUUUGAGUUUGGUUUUAAAAUAUUUUUUCUAGUUUUUAUUAUUUUUUAUUUUAAAAAAUUAUUUUUAUUUUCUAUAUUGUCUCUUUUUGAAAAUACAUUUAAUUAAAAAAAUGAAAAAUAUUUUUAAAAAUGAAAAUUGAAGACCUUGUUUAAUAUUAAGAUAAUAAAAAGAAUUAAAUUUCAUUUAUUAAUUAUUCUUUUUUAUUUUUAAAAUAUAAUAUGUUCACAAUUAAAUAAAGGAAUUGGUCAAUUGUAUAUUUUUUUCACAAAAAUGUAAUAUGUUCAUAAAAAAAUUGGAUUGAAGUUUUUCAUCAUUUUUUUAAUCAAACUACUAGAAUCAUGUUUAAUACAAAUAUAGGCAUAUAUGCACUACGGGAAUAUGAAAUUUGUGUCACUAAACAAGAGUAUUUACUAACUGUAUAAGGGAAAUGUACUAAGUGUACAAGCAGUGUAUAAGAUUACCAUUUAUAAAAGAUUUCAAUCUAUUUUAAACCACUCCUUUAUUUUCCUUGUCACCCACAAAUUGAAUACUCAUGUCAUGCAUUUUAUUUAACUCCCAUAUGGAAAUUCCGAUACUUUCCCCAAUAAUGAUGUUUGGGAAAAAAAAAAACUAACCCUAAUUCAUCCAUCCUUUUAUUAGUUAAACCAUUAGAAAUAUGGUUAACACACCUACAUGGACAUAUUACUUAGGAUAGAUAUAUUGUACAAUGGUAUUACACUAAUUGUACAAGGGAAAUGUACUAAGUGUACACGGAAAAUGUACUAAGUGUACAAGGGUGUACAAGACUAUCAUCUAUAAAAAAAUUUAAUCGAUUUUGAAUCACUUUUUCAUUUUCCUUGUCACCCAUAGAUUGCAUACCUACGUCAUGCAAUUUAUUUAACUUUCACAUGAAAAUUUCGAUACUUUUCUUAGUAAUAAUGUUUGGGGAAAAAAAUUUAAUCAUAAUUCAUCCACCAUUUUGUUAGCCAAACCAUUAGAAAUAAGAUUAAUAUAUUUACGUGGACACACAACUUAAGAGGGAUAUAUUGCACCAUUGUACAAUGAUGUUACACUAACUGUACAAGGGAAAUGUAUUAAGUGUAUAAGGGAAAUAUACUAAGUGUACAAGGGUGUACAAGGCUACCAUUUGUGAAAGAUUUUAGUUGAUUUUGAAUCAUUUCUUUAUUUUUUUUGUUACCCAUAAAUUGUUUAUGAAAUUUGCACUAUUAUAUAAGGGUGUUACACUAACUAUAAAAGAGUAUUCCACUCACUGUGUAAGGCAAUGUACUAACUGUAUGGGGUAAAUGUACUAAUUAUACAAGGGUGUACAAGGUUAUUUUUUAUGCAAGAUUUUAAUCAAUUCUGAACUAUUUUUUUUCUUGUCACCUAAGGAUUGAACACUUUUCCCCCACACAUUCCUUCACCUAAAAAUUGUUUUAAUUUUAAAUUUUAAAUUUCGUCAUCCAAAAUUUGUAAUUGCAUAUUUCAUUUAAGUAGUUUUAACAAUAUUUUUUCUUACUACAUUUACAUCCUAUAUAAAGGAAAAUUAACCAUAAUAUUUAGGUAUUACCUUUUUUUUUUGUGAAAUCAAAUUAAUAUAAAUGGAUAACACAUUAAUGUCAUUGUUUCAAAUAACUUAAGACAAUAUAAACAACAUAUAAUAACUGUUGAGGAAAAAUUAUGAAUAUUUUUUUACUAAACUAUGUCAUUUAGAUCUUCUCUACCAAAAUUAAAACAUAGGAAAUAAAAUUAAAAUUAAUCACAUUUAAAGUGUUUAUUACAAGUAAACCGAAUGAAAUAUAUAUUUUUACUAUUUUACCUUUAUAAACAUAAUGUUAGCAGAUAUUAAAAAAAAUCAUAUUUAAAUAGAAUUAAAAAGGAUAAAAAAUUAUCUUUGUAACAUUUGUAAUUUUUUUUUUAUAAAAAAUCAUUAAUUUAAAUUAUCAAGUUAAUUUAAAAUAUUUUUUUGUUGUAAUUAUAGUUUUAAAGAUUCUACGAUUUUUAUAUUAUUACUUUUAAUUUAUUUUCUUUGAUUUUUUAUUUUAAAUUUCAUCUAAACUUGUUUUUUCUUACAUUUAUAUGUUUUCUAUUAUAUCCUUAUUUAAAGUGAUUCUCAUCUAAUUUGUAUUCCAUUAUAUUCUCUUUUCAAUUUUAAUGUGUUGUUAUACCUCUUUACAUAUCAAAAGAUUUUAUUAUUUUUCAUCUACAAAACUUUAUACAAAAGAUAUCAUGUACGAGGAAAAAAAAAUAAAAAAAGAGAAAAUUAUGAUAUAAUUUACAUACACAUCUCUUAAUAUGAUACAUUUACUUGACUUAAUGACAUCAUGCUUUAAUAAUUUAAAUCAUGUCAAGUCCACAUCUAUUUUAGAUUUAAAAAGGCAUUUGAAUAUUUUACAAAUUAUUAAGUUAUAAUACAUUAUUCAAUUAAAAAUUAAUUAUCACCAUUAGUUAAAAGAUGAUCAUGUUACAAAAUAAUAUAUUAAAACAAUAUCAAUGUAUUGUCCAAAAAAUAGAGAAAAUAUUCAAAUAAUUGUCUACAACCUUAAAGAUAUUUAUAUAUAUAUUGGAUAAAAAAGAAUAAUAAUAUUUUUUAAGGUGCUUAAAAAUUAUUUAUUAUAUAUUUUGUAAGUUUAAAAAAAAAUAUUUUAUGAGGUAUUUAAAAAAAAUUUACUUUAAAAAUAUAGUAAUAAUCCUUUUCAACCAUUGAUUACCAAUAUUUAAUUUAUUAGGCAUGGUUUUUGGGAGAAAAAUAAUUGAUGAAAAUAGUAACACCUUUCUAGAAAAGAAUUAAUUUACAUGUCCCACCGAUUAAUAUGUGAGAGAAAAAGAUAAGGUGAAUGAUGAAAGAGAGAGGGAAAAAAAGAAUGAAAGAGAGUGGGAAGUUAGUUGUUUUCUUUUUCUUUUUGACAAUAAAGGGCAUUUUCGGAAAAUUAAAUAUUUCAUAUCCUUCUUUUUAAUUUAUAGAUUUUCUUUAGGUGUUGGGUUUAUGAAGAUCUUUUAUCAAUUUUUGGGCCCAGCUGGGCCCAAAACACAAUUCUCCCCUUUAUUUAUUUAUUUAUUAAUUUAUUUUUGUCAAUCUCCUACAAGAUGAUAUCCCACUUACACCCUUACGCAACAAGAGCGCGUGGGACACCCACUUCGACCCAACAACUUUAUGAUGAAUCUGAACCCUGUGGACAAUAAUACCAUGUGCAUAUAUAUAUACGAGCCUGUAACACUCAUUUAUAAGUUUAAAUUCAUUCAAAUGAGUCAGUAGUAAAAGCUAUGAAAUAUAUCGAACCCCACCAUUUUUUUUUCUUUUUUUUCGUUUUUAAAUUUUCUGGGGUCCCUCAGUUACUUUACAGAAGGUGGCAGAGAAAGAGAAACGAAUAAUCACUUUCCAUGCUGUUGUCUUCUUGUUGUAAGGGUAAAAUAAGAGGCAAAGAAAUUAAUGAAUUCAUUAUCUUACCUUUCUAUUGAAAUGCCUUCCAAGAAAUGUUUUGAGAGCUUUGAGUUUAGUCUAGAAUAAUGGUAGUAUAUUUCAAUGAAUAUGCAUUCUAGAAAAAUAUAUACCUUUAGCAUAUACCAAGAUAUCCUAGGGUUUCAAGUCAAGUAACAACCAAUCAAAACAAAAUCACUCUUCUUGGAAAACAUGGAUGUUCGAGUAUCCAGCUCUUUUCUUUAAUUGUGCUAACAUCGGCUCUCUCUCCAGCAUGCCAGUGUGCGUCCCAGGCAGCUCUUUUGUGCUUUAAAUGAAUUGAAUUCUUGAUCUUAUUCUGCCAUUGUUUUGGCUCAAACCUAAGAAGUAUAUUUACCCUAACUUCUUUUCAUGUCUUCAACUUACUCAAAGGCUCACAAGUCCCAUUGGAAGUAAGCAGUUAAGGAUUUUUGAACUAAAAUUAUCAAACAUAGUCUAAUAGGUUAUACUCUUUUCAACAGUUUAAAUUGUUUUUGUUGAUAGAUUAUUUGAUUUUUCUCCUAGCUGGCCCAGUUGUUUAUUUCAAAGUGCAGUUUAGAACAACUUUCAACAUUUGAAUAAGGAAAAGAAAAUAUAUAGAUGAAUUGACUGAUUCAAAGGGCAUAUUACAGUCAGUCUGUGCGUAACAGGGCGGGUGACUUCAAAUGGAUACACUGAGGUCUAUCUGUGCGUGUUAGGCAUUCAUGAACCUGUUUUCUUCGGUCAAAGAGCAGCCAAUACAAGGAAAAAACAUGGCGAAAAUUAAGUGAAGUGUGACUUCUGGAAGAUUUAUCACCUUCGUAAAUGAAGUGAGAGUUUUGACCGAAUUGAAGUAGAAAAAUUAAAUACAAUGGCCGGACCGGCUCCAACUAUUAAGAUUAUAAGUGCCACACAGAAAGAACAGAAAGAACGGUCCUAGUAAAUGAAGUAUAAAGACAUGUAAACAUAAAAUUGUCCAGGUAAAUGAAGACAUGCAAUGAAGAAGAAAUCUGUUGCAGACUACACAAAUCACAACCACAUAAAUCAACCACCCACCCAUUUUUCAAACUUCCAGCUCUCAUGCACUGGCACAGUUCGGUCCUUUCAAAGAUUAAAGUAGGCAUCUAAAAUUUUAUUGGUUUCAAGAAAUUUGGUGCACUAGGCUCCUAGAAAUUAAACAAUUGAAAAGUAAAAACAGUACUUUUCAAAGUGGAAGUAUACUAAUUUCAAAGUGGAACUACCACUGAAAUCUAAACCUUUGGUUUAAUUUUAAAAAGAGGGAAAAAAAAAACAGAAAGGAAAAGAAAAAUAGUUAGGAAGAGAAGAGCAGAAAACAAACAACUGCUUUAGGGCAGUAUAAAAAAGUUGGCCAUAAUUUGAAGAGAUCAGCAAACUUUAAUACUAUGAUGAAAAGUAAUAACUCAUAUCGCGGAGCAAUAUCAUCGGAGAGGCUGAUUGGUCUUGAAUAUGCUUCUUUUAACAUCAUGGACAUCUCUUUGAAGUCCCCAUGUAAUAGCCUAUAAGAAUUCCCAGCCAGGCCUUGCUCUCUAAGGCAUCUUUCUAACCUCUUUGGCCUCAACCACACCCAAUUCAGUAGCCUCCAUAAACAGCUUAUGAGCACAGUAAGGAACCCAAAAGAAAUUGCAAUUGAGCUAUGCUUCAUUUCCAGUUUGAGGGACUUGUAUCAGGAGAGGUGUGUUAAAUCACUUCAGAGUGAGAGAAGGACUUUAUGCUGCCGAUAUGUAUAAAUUGGCCCCUAUUCUAUUCCCUGGUGCCGGCGAACAUAGAAGAUUUCGUCAAUGCCUAAUGGGGAGAAGAAGGUCUAGUAUUUUAAAAUCUAUAAAUUAUCUAUUUUAAUUGUCUCCAUCAAUAUGGCUUUUAAACUUCUCAACGAAUUAUUAAGUUAUUCUAUUUGAUACAUUUCAAAGUUUGUGCAAUCAUCACUGCUUAUUAAAAACUAUAUAUGCCAUGAAUGUUGAAGGCAAAAUUUGAGCAUACGGAAUAUGGAAUUCUAUUUGACGGACCAGCUUUCACUUGUGAGUCGAUGGAGCAUGUGGAUGCUCACUUUCAGAGCCUCAAGGGGCAGCUCGCAUCCCUCACAUCUUGGCAGAUGUCGCUGGGUGCUUUCAGCUCUACAAAUCCAUCUGACAUCGAAAUAUAUGUACUUAGAAGCUAUUUUAAUUAUCAACACCAUAGAAUUGGCAUCGAAAGAAAAAUUAAGAUUUAACCAAUUCUACAGAUAACUACCAAUUCAAUUAUGCUUUGGGCACAAAUGACUGAUAAAAAUUCAUCCAAAAGUGCCUUAACUUGAAACGUCAUAGACUAAUUUCAACACCUGAAAAAAAAGGUAAAAAUUUGGCAUAAAUUAAAAGUUAUUCACAGCUCCCAGAAAUUAAACAAUUGAAAAAUAGAAACAGUCCUUUUCAAAGUGGAAGUAUAUUAAUUUCUUGAUGAAAGAAAUUGCAAUACUGUUAGCAAAGAUUAAGAACUAGCAGUGAAAUCUAAAACUUCGGUGUAAUUUAAAAAAGAAGAGAAAAAAGACAGAAAGGAAAAGAAAAAUAGUUAGGAAGAGAAGAGCAGAAAAUAAACAACUGCUUUGGGGCAGUAUAAAAAAGUUGACCAUAAUUUGAAGAAAUCAGCAAACUUUAAUACUAUGAUGAAAAGUUAUAACUCAUAUCGGUACCAUAUUUCUUAAUGAAACGACAAUGGAAGGGCAGGACACAUAGAGCAAUAUCAUCGGAGAGGUUGAUUGGUCUUGAAUAUGCUUCUUUUAACAUCAUGGACAUCUCUUUGAAGUCCCCAUGUAAUAAUAGCCUAUAAGAAUUCCCAGCCAGGCCUUGCUCUCUAAGGCAUCUUUCUAACCUCUUUGGCCUCAACCACACCCAAUUCAGUAGCCUCCAUAAAUAGCUUAUGAGCACAGUAAGGAACCCAAAAGAAAUUGCAACUGAGCUAUGCUUCAUUUCCAGUUUGAGGGACUUGUAUCAGGAGAUGUAUGUUAAAUCACUUCAGAGUGAGAGAAUGACUUUAUGCUGCCGAUAUGUAUAAAUUGGCCCCUAUUCUAUUCCCUGGUGCCGGCAAACAUAGAAGAUUUCGUCAAUGCCUAAUGGGGUGAAGAACGUCAAUGCCCCUAUUCUAUUUUAAUUGUCUCCAUCAAUAUGGAUUUCAAAACUUCUCAAUGAAUUAUUAAUUUAUUCUAUUUGAUACAUUUCAAAGUUUGUGCAAUUAUCACUGCUUAUUAAAAACUAUAUAUGCCAUGAAUGUAGAAGGCCAAAUUUGAGCAUACGGAAUAUGAAAUUCUAUUUGAGUGGAUGCUCACUUGUGAGUCGAUGGAGCAUCAUCACUGCUUUCACUUGUGAAUCGACGGAGCAUCAUCACUGCUUUCACUUGUGAGUCGAUGGAGCAUGUGGAUGCCCACUUUCAGAGCCUCACGGGGCAGCUCGCAUCCCUCACAUCUUGGUAGAUGUCACAGGGUGCUUCCAGCUCUACAACUCCAUCUGAUCUGGACUUUUUGAUACUUCAUGUUUUUUAUUUUUUAUUUUUUAUUUGUGGAUAAGUUUAUUUUGUACACCUAACCCAUCUUGGCUCAGUUUAUCAUAUAUUUUGUUUGUCUAGAUGUACUUUUAUUUUCUUAUCUCUUGUAUCCAGAACCUUUUUUACUAUAUAUGUCCAUGUGUUUGCUUUUCUUAUCUCCUUUUCAUAUGCUUACUGCUUUAUCAUGCUCUUUGUCAUUUUUUGCAACAAAAAGGGGGAGAUGGAUUGUUGAUUUGAUUAAGUGUUUUGACAUCUGUUUCAUGACUUGCAUCCCCUUACUCGGUUACCUAAUUUGAUAAAAUUGAUCAGUUAUCUUUCUUUCCACACUACUUUAUCUGGGUAUGUUGUUUAGUUUGUGCAAGUUCUAGGUACUAGGGUAUUGCUCAUUUUUUGGAUGUGGCUUCUAGUCCUUUGCACGUUAAAUGAUGAAUUGGUUUAGACAAGAGCUAUUGAGAGAUUUGUAAACUCCAUUCGAGAGUAUUAAGGGGUUUAUCCAAUUUGUAUUUUAUCACAAAAUUGCCAAAGGGAGAGAUUGUUCGUACAUCAGGCAAUGUAGUUUAAAAUUGUCGAUUUUGUUCUAUUCAUUUUGGUUUAGGAUCUUUCUAGAUUGUAUCACUCCCCAUUGAAGACUCAAGGUUAUAAUUAAUUGAUAAACCAGAAUGACAUAGGUAAGUGUAAAAAGAUUUGGAAAAGGCAAGUUAGUGUUUGGUAUGAAAUGGCAUGAAUUGAGCGGUUUAAAAUUGAGCAAAAUGAUUUUCUAACCGGUUUAAAAAAUGCGUAAAGCGCUUAAACACUCUAAGAGCAUUUGAGCCCUAGCAACAUAAUUCUCUACAACUUUGGAGAUCUAUCUUUCUAUUUUUAAAGGAUUUAUUUUGAGGAACUUUUUAGAAUUAGUCCACUAGGUUCCUAGGCUUAUAUAUAUGUUGCAUAAAAAGGUUUUUAGUUUGAUGCUUCUGAAUUGAAAAACGAAGUUUGUCUUUCUGUUCCCAAAAUUCUAGAAGAAACUUUCAUAUUUGCUUCUACCUAGUUGAGAAAGAGAUUUGUAUCCCCCUCAAGUGCUAAAGUGAAAUCCUCUAGGAGCAUAUUAGAUGUUGCUCAAGUGCUAAAGUGAGAUCCUCUAGGAGCACAUGAGAUGUUGCAUUGUAGACGUAAAACACAGUGUAGGUGUUAGGUAGUGAGUCUUAGUAGUAGCUUUCAUAAGAUAAAAUUGAGUACAUACCCCAUUAUAUAUGAUGGAGAGCUCCUCAAAUGCAAAUCCUAGAAUCGAAUCAAUUUUUACUAAAUUAACAGCCAACCCAUAUUUCAAACAAAAUCUUGCAAUUUCACAUUUUGAGCACUAAUCCAUGAAAAUGGUGUUUUUGGGGAGAAUUUCAAUUGAUUUAAGUGUAUUUGAAGAUGAUGCAACAAGAGAAGGCUAAGAGGAAUGCUAUUUUUUAACAUGUAAUUUUAUUUUAUUUAAAAAAAAAACAUUUCAAUACCAAUUUCAACAAUUGCUCUAUAGAUUUUGAUAAUGACCUAGAGAAGAAGUCUUUGUUGAAAUUUUUAUGACACUUUUAUCUUGUAUCAAAAGUUUUGAUACUAGUUGCAAAUUUUGUUAUCGUUUGCCAAGAAUUUUUCCAAUUACUUCUCUUGUUUACUUUUAUGACAUUUUAGGGAUUUUCUUGAUGUUUUAAGGUUAGGUUACAAGUAUAAAUACAUUCCUUAGAGAUUUUUAUGAGGAGGGUGAAUGAAAAACACAUAUAUUUAAUUUCAUAAUUUUAGUACUAUCUUUAUUAAUUUAUUUAAUUCAAUGCAUUUUGUUGGAAUGACAAUGAAUGGCUAAAUGCCUCAUUUUUCUAGAUAAGGUGGAUCUCCUAAGGAAAAAUCUCGGUAGAGUGCAUCUAAGGCAUUAAGAAAAGUUAUCCAAGUAUAAAAUCCCUCUUUCCCAUAAAUUUUGAAAAGCAAAAUAACUCGACCAAGGUUAGAUAUAUCCAAUUCAUAUUAGAUUCAAUGAGUGCUUCUUCACAGGUUAGGAAGUGAAUGUGAAAAAGUGUGACCAUCAUAGGAGUAUAUUAGAUCUUAUCCUUCCCUUCUUGAGACUUGAACUUAGGAGUAACCUGUUUUUGGAUGGCUUCAAUAUCACUAAUUGAUUAAUUUCUAUGUACAAUAUGUUUUUCUAAAUUUCAAACUCAUAAAAAUUCCAUCCUUUUAUUUCUAUUAGAAUAACAUAAAUCAUAUGGAAGUUAGAUUCUUAAUCUUAAGUCUUCUCAGCAUCAAGUAUCAACUAUAAGAACUCAAACUCAACACUUUAGUGGCUCUAAAGAGUCUAUUUAGUGCAUUUGAGGUAUUUAAAAAUGACCUAAUGCUUGGUUUUUUUAAUUAUUAAUGCCUUAGCCAUUUGCUUUUGAUAAUUUUUGUGAGUAUUUUUUAAACUUUAAGGCAUUUUGAAAAUAAAGUAUACUUUGUGGAGGAUUCUCAAAGAAUAAAAUGCCUAAGAAGAGAGCAAGAACAAAUUGUGUACCUUUCAGGUACACAAGAGUCUAUUGUGCAUCCCUCAAGUGAUCCAUCAAACUAGAUUGCACACUCCCUCUAGCAAUUUAAAUUGAGCACCUUUCCCACGAUUCAAAGGUUGCAUGCCCCCUCAACAAUUAAACCCAACAAGAGCACUCAACUUGUGCAUGUUCGUAACAUCUUAAUUGCACUUUUCCCUACCACUACAGUAGCAUAUCCCUAGGGUCACUCACUAUGCACACUGUUACCACUCUUGUAAAGGUUGAGCGCUUGAGAAAACUCCUUCCAAUGAUUUGUACACUCACCAAAGUAAUGUAAGCAUCUAAGCCUUAAGUCAUCAUCUAUACUAUCAAUUCUCUCAUAUUGAUUGCAUUGAAAGCCAAGUGCAACCACCAACUCCAAGUUGACAAGUCAAGUACAAGAAAGAUGGCUAGUUGACUACAUUGACACAUGAUCUGAUCCCCAAAAUGGGCAAGGGGCAGUUCUAGGAGAAUAGUUUGAGCAAUAAGAAUGGAUUACCUAAAGGGAAACCCAUUUAUAAAUAGAGGAUUGUCUGGGCGCGCGCCCACACACACACACACACACACACAUAUAUAUAUAAUAUGUAUGUAUGUAUGGGGAGAAAAAAAAAAAAAAAUGUUGAAGAGUUAGAAUCUUUAAUGGAGAUGAUAUCAACCUUUUUAGGAUUUAGUUAGGAAUUUAUUUUGGUAAUUAAAAUGACAAUUAAUAAUUUGGAUAGGAUUUGUUAAGUAGUUUCCUAUUUCUUUCUAUAUAUUUUCCUUAUUUUUUAUUGUUUCCUACAGUUAUAUAUAUAAAGGACAUUUUUCUCUUCUUUUCUCUAUGAAAAAAAAUACAUGACUAGGUAAAAUUAAGCUAUAGGUUUCUUAAUGGUAUCAAAGACAUCUUCUGGUUACUAGGAAUAAUGGUUAAAGGAGCAAUGAGAGGUACUUCCCAUUACAAUAACAACUUGAAGGAGGCAAAAAGAAAACCUAUCCCUCACUAGAAUUUUGUGACCAAUGGUCAUGUUCACUCUUCUUAGCUAAUUACCUCUCACAAAUUAACUUAAUGGAGAAAAUUAUCUUUAAUGGUUUCAAUUUGUCAAACCUUUUAUUUGUGGGCAUGGACAAAUUGAAUAUUUUAUUAAAGCAACAUCAAUACCACAAGGAACAAUUCUCAUCGAGAAAUAGGAAGUAAAGAAUGCCAUGAUUAUGUCAUGGCUGAUCAACUCAAUGGAACUCAAGAUUAUGAAGACAAACAUGUUCAUGCCUAUAACUAGAGAGAUAUAGGAGGCUACCAAGGAAACCUAUUAUGACUUGGUAACUUGCUCAGGUCCACACGAUAGCUAUACAAAUAAAAAAUACCAAGCAAGGUAAUAUGAAUGUAAUUCAGUACUAUAAUACACUCAAAACUCUUUGGUAAGAACUUAAUUUGUUCUAUGAUUAUGAAUAACAUUGUGCAUAAGAUAGUGAAAUGUUCUAAAAUAUGAUUGAGAAAGAUCGAGUCUCUGCAUUCCUAGUGGGGUUUAAAUCAGAAAUUAGAUGAGGUUUAAAGUUGAAUCUUAGUUUUGAAUAAUUCUAGCAAAAUCUGAUACCUCUUCACUUAACACUGCCCUAGCUAUGAAAAACCGUAAGCUUCACAUUUCAGCUAAUGAUCCAAAAUUCAAAAGGAUCCAUGGAAAGCCCUAGUGUGAUCAUCAUCUCCUCUAAAUGCUUCCAAAAUUCAAAAUAUUCAUUAACAAGUGAUUAACCAUCAUCUUUUCAAAAUGCAUCUUUAGAUGUCAUAUGCCCAAAGGUGUUCAAAUUCGUAAGAUAUUGACCAAGUCCAAAUAUUUAGAAGAAGGUAUAUCAUCCUCUACAAUUAGAAAGAAGAAAAUACAUUAUCCUUUACUAGUGAAAGCACAUAUGCCAUCACCUCAACAAAUCAAGCAUGCGUGCAAAUCUGUCUUAUUGGUCUUCUAAUUGCGGUUGAGCAAGUAUUAAGGAAGUACUUAAUUUGAAGCAUCUCUUCAUCAUCUAUAGUGGUUGUAGUUUCUAAUCCAAUAAUUGUACUCCUUUGAAAGUGGUACAAAUUAUUCUUCCUUAUUCCUUGCGUUACCACAAGUUUGCUUGGCCUAACUUUCACCCAUAUUUUAUAGUAACAAUAUUGAACCCUAUGGGUUAUAAUACUCUCAUUGAGAUGAGACACUUAUUCAUUCUAGGAACAUACUAAACAUCACUCAAAAUUUUAGUUGAUUAAUCACGAGUCUUCAACUGGAUGGUAUCUAUUAUUGUUAUCUCACAAACAUUAUCAUUCCCCAUGUAAACAACUCCAUCUUGGAGUUCUUCAAAGCAGGAAAACCACUCCUUGUAGGAAUGCAUGUGAAGGUGGACCCAAUAUCCAAAAUCCAUUCAUCUAAGUUAUAAAGCAAGGAUAAGGAAACCAAAGCAAAGUUUGAACCAUCUUCUCCAAACUUAGCCAGACAAGCAUCUAAUACUAUCUCUUCUUAAUUCUUCUUCUAUAACUUAGGACAAUCAUUGUUCCAACACUACCAAAAAUUAAGUAUGGGUGACCCAUUUAUAUUUACUUUUGCGACGAAUUUAAGUUGAUGCAAAUUUCUAACACACCUAUUAUGCCGCAAAUUGAAUUGUCUAUUGCUUAUAUGUAAUUAUUUACCAACGAUAAUUGUAACAACAGAUACUUGUUGGAAAAAAUAUUAUUGCAAUGGAUUUAAACCAUUGCAAAUGUUCAACUAAUAUACUUUGUCACAAAAGCAAUUUACUUAUUAAAAAAAAAAGAAAAAAAAAAGAACUUUCAUAAAUAAUUUUUUCUAUGAAAAUUACUACUUAAUAAAACAUUUUUAUUAUAGUGGAUAAUAAUACCACACAUAAUUUAUUCCAAAAAUAAUUGUUGUCUUAUGAAUAUAAAAUCUUUUCACCAUAGUUGUAUGAUAAAUACGAUCUAGCUAGUGACAAAACAAUUUUCUGAUCAUUUUUUAGGUUCAUACAAUAUUUACAUUUUUUUAAUCAUAAUAGUUUUAAUAUUUUUUAACUACUUUUUAUAGUCCAUUUUAGAAAGAAAUAAAUUAAAAAUUAUUGAUAUAUAUAUAUAUAUAUAUAUAUAUAUAUGUAUAAUAUAAUUUAUGAUAUCGAAUACUAAUAUUUAAAUUUUAAAAAUACAUUUUAUAGAGAUUUAUCUAAUUUGAAUGUAUUCAAUAACAUAAAAAAAAAAAAUUGAUAGUACAUGCAUAAGUAUUUUUAUUUUAAAAUGUUGAUAAUUUCAUUUAUAAAUUUAUAUUUAUUUUAUAUUUAAUUAUUAUACAAAAUACAAAAGAAUUAAAAUUAAUUAAUUUAUAAUAAUUUUAUUUUAAAUAAUUUAUAAUUUAUACUAUAUAUAUAUAUAUAUAUAUAUAUAUAUAUAUAUAUAUAUAUAUAUAUGAAUUCAUGCAUGUGUAAUUUAUAUAUAAUAUGUAUUUAUAUAUAGAUAAUAUUUAUAAUAUAAAUGCAUAAGUAUAGGAUAUUUACAUUUAUGAAUCUUAUAUAAAUUCUGUAUAUUGCACAUAACAAAGUUACUUGGUAGCAUAGUUACUUCCUUUCAAACUUGAGGUUAAGGGUUUCAAUCUUGAGAAACAACAUCCAAGCCAAUAUCCAAAACUAGAAAAGAGAUGAGUGUCCAUGUGAAUGUAAUGAAAUCAAAAUUUCAUGACAACCUAAAAUAUUUUAUUAUUUACAUUUCUCAACCAAUUUAAUCCGUUGGUAAUAGUGAGAGUCCAAAUCCAUUGGAUAGUUUGUCACUAAAUAUUUUUUAUUGGCAAUGGAAAAUUCCCAUCAAUAGAGUUUUGUCAACACACCUUUCCUCGAUUACCAUGUGAUGGGAUUAUCGAUUGGUAAAUGUUUAUUUCGACCAUGUAUAUCAGUUGAGAAAAGUAAUAUUUCUUGUAGUGUGAUGACCCUUGUCAUGAAAAGGACACAUUCAUCUUUUGCAAGUAUACAUUUAAAUUAAGAAUUGUCUCAUUUUCUAGGUUUUCAACUUUGAGAUUAGUCAUUAACUAUUGAAGCUUCCAAUGAUAUAUCCCAAUGAUUGCUUUGGUCCUUCUUUCUUUAUUCAGAGCUUAGCGAAGUGGAACGCACAACAUCAAAAGGAAUCUUAUCCUUACCAUAAAGUAAGGUGAUGGUAAGAUUUUCAUACACAUCAAGAAGAAAAUUCAAUAACAAUAAGGCCUUAUUCUCAUCUUCAAUGAUCUCAUCUAAAUUCAACAAAUUUGCUCUGAUUCUAUCAUAAGCAUGCAUAUGAUCAUUCAUAGACAUUUGUUUAUACUUGAAGCAAAAAAGUUUGUUAUUCAAAUAUAGUUGAUUUUCUAGACCUUUUUUCAUAUACUUGUCCUCCAAUGUCUUUCAUAAAUGUUUUUGUAGAUAUCUCUUUCAUAAUGGAAUAAUUUUAAGCUUUAACAAGAUAUAAGUGGAUGGAAUUAUAAAAUUGACAAUUGAUCCCUUACCCAUUCUUUAUCAUUCAUGUUUUCAGGUUUUUCUUCCAAAAAAAUAUCCAAAUUCUAUUUGACAUAUCUAAUUAAUGCCUCUUACUGCCACAUUCCAAAAGUACUAGUUCUAUCAAAUUUCUCUAUUACAAAUUUCACAUUAGUAACCAUUGUCUUAACUAACGAAGUUUUUGACUUUUCUUUUAACUAGUGCAAUAACAAAUAACCUUGAAACCAACCUUGGAUAGAACUAAUGCUCUUAUACCAUUUUGUUGUGCUUUAACCUAAUCCCAGAAGACUUCCAAAAAUACUAAAUAAAAUACAAACUAAACUUUAGUCCAUAAUAUAAAGAUAAAUAGCAAGAGAAAUAAAAAUAAAAGAUGAUACACAAUAUUUAUGAGGUUUAGUAAGGAUAUCUUACCUAUAUCAUCAGACAAUGAUGAUCAAUCCACUAAUCUUCAAAUCAAAAUUACAAAAUCAAGUUGGGAAAGCUUGUCUCACAAAGUGGUUGCAAUUACAAAGAUUGACUAAAACCUUAAAGAUUGAUUGAAGCUGCUCUAACAACUUUCCUAAAGUCAUUCUCACACUACCAUGAUGAAAGGACUUAGACUCAUUUAUAGAACCUGAAUAAGUCCUCGAGCCUUGAAAAAACUAAUUCAUAAUUCCUGUGGGACACGAACUCCUAACAUAUAACAGAUUAUGAAAUCAUAAUCCUUAUAGGACAAGGAUCCUUAAAAUAUAUUAAACUCUUAAUUGAGCUAAAAGCCAAUGCCUAAUAUAGAACUCACACCAUAUUUGCCAUAACUCUACUAAGUAGUUGGUUGUUAAGCAGAAUUAUCAGUUUCAAAGAUUAAAUAAGCCUUUCUUUUUCCUUCCCUUUCCAUUUUUCUUAUCAUCCAAACAACAAUGAUAAAAAAUUUAGUGUAACUUUUGUUGCUUUGCUACUUGUUCUCUCAACUUACUUGCCUGCUUGCGAAUGACCUCCAAAAUCAAAGUAAAUGGGGAAAUAAUGUGGAGUUCCAAGAUAUACAUAGAAAAGAGUGGACAACUAGAUCUACAACAUAGCUAGCAAUUUUGUCUCUAAAUUUCUCUUUGUCGUGGUAAUGGCCAUUGAAGAUGUCAUCACUGAGAAGAUCACAAAGUGAAGAAGGCAUGAUUGAGGGUUGGUAGAGUAGAGAGUUAAGGUAGAAAAUAACAAAGAUAGGAUUUUGACAUUUUUAGAAUUUGUAAAUAAAAAAUAAAUACAAUCCAAAAAUCACUUUCAGAACAUAAUUUUACUUGACCAUGGCAAACACGUUUUUUGUUAUGUGGAUUGUACUUGAUGUUCUUGAAAACAUUGAAUGCAUUUUGGAUUGACUACUAAACAUGACCUUAGUAAUUAAAUUAGCAUAUUGAUAAAUUAUUAAGAGGCUUUUAUCAAUUUGGUCAACUCUUAGAAAAGUGUUGUUGAAAACACUAAAUAAAAUCUAUAUAAUUUUUUUUUUUGAAACAUGCUUGACCAUACCAAACACAUUAUUUUUUAUUUGGAUUGUAUUUAAUAUUUUCAAAAACACUAAAUACAUGCAAUUUGAUUGACUGCUGAACAUGAACUUAGUAAUUAAAUUAGAAAUUUCAAAUGAAUUAAUGUUUUCUAUUUUGCAAGCAAGUCAAGAUUUUAUGUUUUCUACUAAAAUUUUGAAUGCAUCACUAAAAGUAACAUCACCACUUUCUAGUUAUAAAGUUUUAAGAAUAUAUUUUUUAUCAAUACAUAUGGUUGUUUUCUUUCGUGUCAAGAUACGAAAUACUUUUUUCCUAAAAUUUUUCCUUUUUACGCAAAUAAUAAAGUGGGGUUUUUUCUUGAUUUAUUUUUUAACAUAGUUUUCCAUUCUAUAUUGUUAAUAUACCAACACUUUUCAUUUUUUUCUUGAAUUUUGGAUCUUCCUUCAUUGUUUGAUGAACUAUUUCCUUAGCCAUAACCAUGAUGACCAUGACCAUGAUUGUUUUGGCUUCCUUCAUACCAAAUGUUUUUUUGCCCUCUUGUUGAUAUAUUAAACUACGUUGACAAUUUUCUAUUAUUUAUAUAUUGAGUCUGAUACAUCAUACUUCCAAGGGUCAUACUGAUGUCAUUCAACUUCAAGCUACUUUUGAGUUAACUAUAUUACAAGGUAUAUGUGCAAAAUUAGGUUGAAUCAGGGUACAAGGAAUGGCUACCACAUGUAUGCUAGGUGAAAUUUUAGAGAUUUUUUUUUUUUUUUUUUGUCAAGGUUAAGGAUUUGAAUAACUAAAGUCUCAAUAAAGUCUUUGAGGUAACUAAGGAGCACAAGGAGUGUUGCAUGGGGCAUGGAAGAAGAAUGUAAGUUACGUAUAUCUUAUUUUUAUAUUUAAUAGAUUGUUUGUGGUUGAUAGACUAUUCAUUGAUCUUUACACCCAAAAGGUUUUAAGCGGUUUUUUCAUGUUACAUUUUGUGUCAUAUGUUUAAUUGAUUAAUCUUAUUCAAGGAAUUGAUGAAAACUUAAUUAUAAUUGAUAUAGCUAGAUGUUUAGGAAUGUUUCAAUUUAAAGUGCUUUUAAUUGAAUUGUUUUUUUUAGAAGCAUUUUUAUAUAUUAAAGAAUCACCUCUCAAGCACUUCUCCAAAAAGUAUUACAAGUGAUUUUUAACUUUAUAAAGAAUGCUUUCUAAGUUUUUCCAAGCGUAUAGUUUUUCUCUAAAAGUGUUUUCUUUUUAAUACUAUAAGCAUUUUCGAAAAGUACUACUAAAUGGACUCUUAAUUUUUGAGGAUAUUUCACUUAGACAGCCCAUUCAUCCCUCUCUCUAUAUGGUUUUGUGUCUCAAGAUAAAAGCUCUCUCCUUUAUUUUAAUAUAAUCUUUGUUUGAAGAAUUAUUCUAAUUUUUACUUGACUUUUGUUUUUAAUAUGUCUUCCUAGGCUUUUAAUGAUCCCAUAAAUUGGUCAAUGACUAUAGAAUCCAAAUAUUUAGGCCUUUCAAUAACAAAAAAAAAAAAAAAAAGAUGAAAACUUUUUUUUUUUUAGUUACACAAAUAUCAUUAAACUUUCCCCAUUUAUUUUGACUUAAUUUACAUAUGUCAAUAUUUUUGGAAAAUAAUCAAAGAUUCUCUUAUAUUUAAACUUAAAAAUUCACUUUUAAAAGUAUGAAAUUGAACUUUUUUUUUUUUUUAAACUUAUCAAACUUUUAUAUUUAUUUGUAAUAUUUUUCAUGUUUCCUUUGAACUAGUUGCACUUAAAAUCAUUUCAAAGGUGUCUACAUCUAUUUCUUAAUAAAUAAGGUUAAAAGCUUUCUUGUCUUUCUUUCUUAUAUCUUCAAAAAGUCUAUUUAAUUUUGGGAUAGAUUGGUUUUAUCCUAUAGCUCCUUGUAGUUUUUCUCUACAAUCUAUUAUAUAUCUUGCAACCAAAUAAAACCUUUGUCUUGAAAUUCAAAUAGUCAAAAUUGUUAAAACAAUCUUUAUUGAGUUAAGCAACUUAAUUGCAUUACACCUUUUCCGAAAAAUAAAAUAAAAUAAGAAUCAUAUUAUAUGCAUAAAUUUCAUGAAAGUCCUGCAACCUAUAGGGGGUAGGCCUUGAAGUUACAGUGAUAAUUUAUUCCACUAAAAAUUUUGAUCUCUACAAUUAUACCUUUUUUUUUUUUUGGAGUAAUAGGGAUAAAUACACAAAUAAUAGUACUAUUAAAAGGGAUAAGUAGAGGAAUUUAAAAGAAAUUUAUUGUGUUUUUAAAACUUUAAUUCAAGUAUUAUAUACAAAACUCCAAUUACAAUAUGUUUUAAUUCACUUUUUAAAACUAAUCAAAUGUAAUUUUUGAAAACUUCUCGAAACUCAAAUUUCGAUUUCAACAUGUGAUUGAAUGAUAGGGAUGAUAAAAAAUAGGUAAAUAAAAUAUAUGUAAUAUUAUUGUACAUUAUUAACCGCUUUCAUACCAUUAGCAUAUCAAUGGCAUCUUGCUAAGAAGAAUAACCACCGACAAUAGUCCAUUAUAAUUGUUUCAGAAUGAAUGACAUUUAUUUGUUCGUAUUCUAUUGUUUUGCUAUUUAGGCCAUAUUCACUUGAACUGACUUUUUGUUUGGAGUAGUGUUUUAGUAGAGAAUUUGUAGGAGGACACCUAGAUUUAGCCUAUGGGUUGCCUUAAUUAAUGGUUUUGGCACAACUUAACAAAAUUCUAUGCUAUCAUAAAGUAGCUGAUUGACCAUGAUUGCGCAAUGCCAUCAUAAAGGAACUGAAUGCCCAACACACAUACAUGUGAGGUACCAUAUUUUUUAAGAAAGACAAGUCAGUUUGCAAUUGAUGUUAAUAUCUUUCCAAGGCGGAGACAUCAUUUUGUAGGUAUAAUUGAAUUAGUUAAACUUAAAGCCCAAUUGACAUUCUUUCAAGUAAAAUCAUUUUUAACCUAUAAUGCUCAACACUUUUAUUAUGAGAAUCAUAGAAGUAUCAGAAUCGUAGAGAAUCUGAGAAAGUGAUUCUAUAGUGUUGUUGAUAAUAUGUCACAUGACUAUAAAAUGUUUUUAAUAUUAGUAAAUUAUCAAAAAGGACAUCAAAUUUAAUUACAACAAGGAAAUAUUAUAAUAAACUAAUAAUUUUUCAUGAUAAAAGAAUAUAUAAACAUUUAUAGUAAAAGAAUAUAUAAACAUCUAUAUUACUAACAAAAACUAAAAAAAAAAUAAUAGUUCUGGUGAUUACAAGAAAAUUUUAGAGAAAAUUUACAACAUGAUUUGGAUUAAUAAACAAACAUCAAUCAUAAUAUAAUAAUUUUCAAAAUAAAAUAAAUUAUUUGAUUAUUUAUUCACUUAAAAAUAAUAUUUUUUUAUUACUACAAAAAAAUUUUGAAAAAUACUUACAAAAAAUCUAGAUUAAUAAUGAAGAAUUGAAUAAAAACAUAUUAGAUUUUAAAAAUAAAUUAGUAAUUAAAAGCAAAUGAGAAGACAAAUUUUCUCAUAGAAAAAAAAGGAGAAAAUUGUAUAUAUUUUUUCAUAUUAGUGUUAUAAUAAAACAUCAACAAAAUAUAAGAAGACUAGCAAUUCGAUCACGUUCUUUUUACAUCUCUCUUGCAUGAUAGAACCAUCUUUCUCAACUCGUAAAUUCACUAUAAUCUCUUUUUUAUUAAGUAGAUGUAACCCUUGAUCAUCAUCAUAAGGUUUAAAUUUCAUAUCUAUUCUAACAUUAAUCAUUAUUAAGUUGUAAAAACCAUCAAAGUAAUAACAAUGUUCACUUAUUUUUUAAGAGGAAAAACUAUGCAUUUCUCAUAUUGUUCCACAUCUGUUCUUCAAAAAGGCAAAUGUUCAAUUGUUCUCCUCAAAUAUGUCUAUGGUUAGAUAUUUCCUUCUUACCUCUUGGUAAACUACUCCAUCAAAAUUUGGAAGUUGGUAACACUCGCCCUCUAAGGGCCUAAUUAUAUAUCCACUCAUUUAAGGAUAACCAACAUUGAGUAAAUAAUAUUUACCUACAAAACAAAAACAAAAUAUUAUAUAAGAGAAUAAAAAUUUAAUCACAAAAGUAACUUUCAUAUUUUUAGUCACAAAUCUCUAGAUGGAUGAGGAAAACCCAAUUCUAGCAUUUUUUUUUAAUGCCCCUACAAAGACGCAUGCAUCAUGAGCAAUACCUCCCCAUCUAGCCAAUGCAAAUGUGAAAUACAUAUUGAAAUAAUAUAUGGCCAUAAUAUUUUAGGUAGUUAUGCUUUUUGUACCAAUAUGUGAUAUUUGCCUAUCUCUAAAAAUCAUAAUGGGCAUAUGAGUUCCAUUAAUUACCCCUGUACAAUUCUUAAAAUAUGGCCAAUAACGGUCAACAUUUCUUAUUUUAUCAAGGAUCUCCCUAAACUAUGAAUCACUUGGUUUUACAAUAUCCAUAGCUAUAAGACAAAUAACAUCUAAUAUAAUCUCAAACCAUCUAGAAAUAAAUUCAUUGGAGUGUACCCUCCCCCGAUCCACCGACCGGCGUGACUCACAAUUGAAACGAUAAGUAGAGAAAAAAAUGUUUUCCAGUUUUGGAAAAUCCAUCCCAACGAGGGAUGGUUUUUGUUUGGAGUCGCCACUUACUUUUUAUUUUUAUUUUUGAAAUGGGAAAAAUUAUGGAAGAACAAAAACCCCUCAAUGACUCCAGUUAGGAAAAAAACGGUCUGCGAAACUAGAUUUCUAGGUCCGAGGAUUAGGUUACCUAUCAGGAAGGUACCUCAUAUGAGGUAGCACCCCUCUAGGCCCGAAAUCUGGUCUCUACUAGUGAAUUGGGUACAUUGGAGCAUAUGGUAAAAGAUCAAUCAAUUCCCACCUCGAGCUACAUGAAUGACAAGACUUGCGCAAUUCUAGUUGGUAUUUGACAUGCUUAGGAAAUCGACAAUCAGAACAAAGAUGCGUACCUGAGGUCCCUAGUUGUGCGCUGAGAGAAAAGGUUAGUCAAUAAGCACAAGCGUACAACAUAUACAACCCUGUGAUUUACUAAAAUUUAGCCGCAUUCCUACUUGAAUUGAUAGAAUUUCUAGUCAUGACCUGACCCUAUACAUGUAACCUCUAAUCUUCGCUAAACAACCAUCAAAAUUGAAACUUAAAAAAUUAAAUUCAAAAUUUCAAGAUUUUUGGAAAUUUUGGGAACGGAAACUUGAAAAAAAUAAAUCCGGAGUUUUCGAAACUUUGGAAAUUUUGGGGAAUGGACUCUUAAAAAAAAUGAAUCCAGAAUUUUGAGCAUUUUGGAAAUUUUGGGAAUGGAAACUUAAAAAAAUUUAAAUAUGGAAUUCUCAAAAUUUUGGAAAUUGAAACUUAAAAAAUAAAAUCCGGAAUUUUUGAAACUUUGGAAAUUUUUGGAAAUGGACACUUAAAAAAAUUAAGUCUCGAAUUUUCGAAACUUCGGAAAAUUUUGGAAAUGGAAACUUAAAAAAAAUGAAUCCGGAACUUUCGAAAUUGGAAACCUUCAAUUUUAAAAGUUUUGGAGUUUUGGAAAAUUUGAUAGUGGAAACUUAAAGAAUUAAAUUUGGGAAUUCGGGAAUUUUGGUAAUGGAAACUUAAAGAAUAAAUUCUGAAUUUUGGAAACUUUGGAAUUUUGGAAAUAAAACUUUGAGGAUAGUAUUUAAAAAUGAAACUUUGGAACUUUGAAAAAAUAAACUUUGAGGAUAGUAUUUAAAAUGAAACCUUGGGAUUUUGACUUUUGGGAAUUUGAAAAAUUAAUUUAAGAAUGCCAUUAAAAAAAAAUUGAAAUUGCGGAAUUUUGAGAGUUGUGGAAUUUUGGAACAUUAAUUUUAACAAUGGUGUUUUUAAAAAUGAAAAUUUGGAAUUUUAAGAGAAAUGGAACUUUAGAAAACUUAUUUAAAGUUAGUAUUUUAAAAAAAAAAACUAGAUUUGGGAGUUUUAGAAAUGGAAACUUAAAAAAUUAUAUUCGAAAAUUUUGAAACUUUGGAAUUUUAGGGAACAGAAAUUUUAAAAAUUGAAUUCGGAACUUUGAGAAUUUUUGGAAAUUUUGGGUACCCUAAUUUUAAAAAUUGAAUCCGAAACUUUAUAAUUUUUUUGGAUAUUUGGGCAUAGGAAUUUUAGAAAAUGAAUUUGGAACUUUGUGAAUUUUUUGGAAACUUUUUUGGUAUGGAAAUUUUAAAAAUUAAAUCCAGAACUUUGUGAAUUUUUUGGAAACUUUGGGUACGAGAAUUUUAGAAAAUAAAUUCGGAACUUUAUGAAUUUUUAUAAAUUUGGUGUACGGGAAUUUAAAAAAAUGAAUCCGGAACUUUGUGAAUUUUUUGGAAAUUUGGUUACGGGAAUUUUAAAAAACGAAUCUGGAACUUUACGAAUUUUUGGAAAUUUGGGUAUGGGAAUUUUAGAAAAUGAAUUUGGAACUUUACGAAUUUUUUGGAAACUUGGGUACCGGAAUUUUAAAAAAUGAAUCCGGAACUUGGCAAAUUUUUUGGAAACAUUGGGUACAGGAAUUUUAAAAAAUAAAUCCGGAACUUUAUGAAAUUUUUGGAAACUUUGGGUACUAGAAUUUUAAAAAAUGAAUCCAAAAUUUGGCAAUUUUUUUUGGAAACUUUGGAUAUGAGAAUUUUUAAAAAAUGAAUCCAGAACUUUACGAAUUUUUGAAAACGUUGAGUAGUGGAAUUUUAAAAAAUGAAUUCAGGACUUUACAAAUUUUUGGAAACUUUAGGUAUGAGAAUUUUAAAAAAUGAACCCGGAACUUGGAGAUUUUUUUGGAAACUUUGGGUACGAGAAUUUUUUAAAAAUUAAUCCGGAACUUUACGAAUUUUUAGAAACGUUGGGUACUGGAAUUUUAAAAAAUGAAUCCGAAACUUUACGAAUUUUUGGAAACUUUGGGUACAAGAAUUUUAAAAAAUGAAUAUGGAAUUUUACGAAUUUUUGGAAACUUUGGGUAUGGGAAUUUUUAAAAAAAUGUUAAGUUGGAAUUUUGGGGAAUAUUGGAAAUGAUAUUUUAAAAGUUAAGUUGGGAAUUUGGAAAAUUAGAAAUGUUGGAAAUGAUAUUUUAAAGGUUAAGUUGGGAAUUUGGACAAGUGGAAAUGUUGGAAAUAAUAUUUUAGAUGUUAAGUUGCAUGUGGGCUGUGCAUGGGAAGUGCAUGGGCUAAAUGGGAGGUGUAGACGUAUGAGAGGAGUUGUGGGGAGAUGUAUUUGAUGGCUGUUUGAAGACCCUGAGCUUCCUGUGAGCUAUAGGAUGGCUUUAAGCUAUAUGUGGGUUGCACUUGGUGGCCAUUUGGAGACCUUGAGUUGUAUAUGGGCAGUAGGGUGGUUUUAAGCUGCAUGGGGGCUGCAUGUGUGACCUUUAGGCUAUGUGUGUGGGCUAUAGGUGUGAGGGUAUGGAGGCCAUGGGUGCAUGUGAGGAUUGUUAAGAUAUGGACUCGCAUAUCUAACAAUAGUUCAUGACUAAGCUACUCACCCUUAAUGUAUUUUUUUUCUAUUCGUUCUAAGUAUGGGCCAUCUCAUGUGUAGAGCCCGAUACCGUAUAUGUCUCAAAUGAUGGGCUUAAGACACAUAUGACCCAAUCUUUGCAACGGAAUGGUACCUAAGGCAGGAGGGUAUAAAAGGAUAAGUGUCAGUUCUUGAACAUCACAACUUUUGAAAAACUAAACUAAACUCGUUCUCUCCUACUCCCAUCGUCAGAGAGAAUACCAAAAAGAGGUGGUACCCUCCAUAGCCUUAGAAGAUCCAUACCUUCUUCAACACCCAAAAAGAGGCGGUGCCCUCCAUAGCCUUAAAAGGCAUGAUUUUAUGAAUGAAUUGAUAUAUAUACAUCUAUCUUGUAUGCAUGUUUGGUGUUAAUGGAGAAGACAGUUUAUUAUCAAGGAUGAGGUGUGAACUGUACGGAUGUCAUGGUGGGGUGUGAGGAUGUAUGUGGUAGUGUGGGCUGCACAAUGGGUGGGUUGUGGGCUGUGGGAGAUGAGUUUCGUGAAGAAUGAACAGUGGAGGAGGUAGAGAGAGAAGUGGGUUUGGUGGGUGUGGAAGAUGAAAACAUGGAUAUGGUGGUGUGAAUGAGCUAUGAGGUUACAUGGGUUGCAUUGUGAUGGUAUGAACGAGCUGUAGGUUGCAUGGGCUGCAUGGUGAUGGUAUGGAUGAGUUGUGAGGUUGCAUGGGUGAGCCAUGGAGGUUAUGGGUUGCAUGGGUGAUCCAUGGAGGUCAUGGGUGCAUGCGUGAACUGGGUGUGAGCUGUGGGUGCAUGUGGGCUGUAUGUGGAAAGUGUGAGUGAGCUUUGUGUGGGAUGUGGGUGCAUGUGGGCUGUAUAUGGAGAGUGUGAUGCCUUUUAGGGCUAUGAGGGAGCUAUGGGACGGCCGUGAGGGGAUGAGGGCUGCGUGUGGACUGUAUGGUGGGCGUGAGUGGCCUGUGAGGGAGCUAUGGUUGCUGGUGAAGCGGUGUGGUGACUGUGGAGGCUGCAUGCGGGCUGUAGGUCGGCUUUGAGGGCCAUGAGGGGGCUAUGGGAUGGCCGUGAGGGGGGGUAAGGGCUGCAUGUGGACUGUAUGGUGGGCGUGGGGUACAUGUAUGGGCUGUAGGUGAUGUGCGGGCUGCAUCAUUUUAUCCUGUAUGCCAUUUUAGGUUUAAACUCAUUUUUAACUUAAAACAUCUGAAAUUAACCCAAAACCAUGGCGAUGGGAAAAGAGAGGGUAAGGAAAAAUGGCCCAGAAAGGUUUUCAAUUUUCUUUAAUUGCAUUCCAUAUCUCCCUCAUGAAGCAUCCCUUCCUCACUUUCAAAUUGUAACUUAACUCCAAAAGAACCCCAUCAAUUCUUCACAACUACAUAAGAAUAAUUGAUCACCUCCCUUGCCUUCCCUUCAGAAUUAGUUUCUUUGCAUAGACCAGUCCACUCACCAAGAGUUUUAUCAUUGAGUGCCGAUAUAAGGCUGACAUUAUGGUCAGCACAAAUAAAUUUAAUACAGUCCAGCUGAUUACAAAUCUCUUCCAAUACACACAAUUGGGCAGCAUGUUUUUCAAUCAUCUUAGCACUUUCGUGGAAGCUUCGCAUAGGUCCAACAUGAGCCAAUGAUUACCUUAAGACGGGUAUCAGGGCUGUCUUGAGGUCUAUGGUCUUACCUAGGAGGGGCACCAGCAGCCUCAACCACAACAACUUCAUCUCCAAACAUUUUCCUCAAUCAUCCCCCCUAGAUGAUCUUGGUGUGCAAGCUUACCCAUAUGAUUCUAACCGAGCAUGAGAAAUCGGUAUACAUGGCGUAUAGAACCAAAAACAUAGGACAUCGGGAAGACCAGACAAGAAGUUGAAACGAAAAUAGGGUAAAUGAAAACAAGGAUAAAACAAAGGACAUGCAAAAUAAUCACCAAUCCAUAUUCCAUAAACAGAGAGUCAAUAGACUUGUAUUAAGGAUGGGUGAGAAGAAUUUCCAGAAAUUAUCAAGAGGCUUAAAACAGAGUUCAAACCAAUCUCUGUAAAGCACAAUGAAAAUGGAACAUAAAAGCACUAUAACUCAGCCCAAACAAUCCAAAGAUCAGCCACUAUACAGCCUGAUACCUAUACCUAAAAUUAAUGACGAGCAUAUAGGCCUUCGACCACCAAAACAUCUAACAAAUGGAAUAAAUCUAGAAAAGAGUAGAUGUUUUAAUGUAAAGAACUUACCUCCUAGAAUAUGUGGAUUGUCCUGAAUCCUCAUUGCCUUGCUCUCUGUUCUGACUUUUUUCUCUGUUCUCCCUUCAGAAUCCGUUUUUCUUUCUUUCUCUCAAAACCUCCCCCUUUCCUCCAGAUUUUUCUGCUCCAGACCCCCUCUUUUUGAAACCUCCUCAACUUUUCUUCUCCUCUCUCCUCUUUUUUUUUUUUUUCUUUUUAUACCAGAAUCUCCUUUCUACCUCCUCCCAUGCCUUCUCAAAAUCCUCAAAUUCUUUCAAAAACUCUGUUCCACCUCUGCAAACUCUCCUUCCCAUAAAAAAAAAAAUCCUCUUCCUCAGGUCAACUUAUCUAUCUCUUCCCCAUUUUCCAAUUAAUUAAAUCCUUUUUUUUUUCAAAACCUUUGUUUUUCUUCUUUUAGCCAACGACCCUUGGAAUUUUUAUUUAUUUAUUUAUUUAUUUUAAAACCUCAUUUUCUGCACCCUUCCAUUUUCAAAAAUAUCAACCUCUUUUUUUUUUUUUUUAUGCACUCGAUUUUUUACUUUGCCAAGUCUUUUUUUUUUUAAAGUAAAUAAAAUAAAAUAAAUUGAAUAAAAUAAAAUAAUAAUAAAAAACAUAAAGUAAAUAAAUAAUAAUAAUAAUAAUGAUAAUAAUGACUUACCAAAAAAAAAAGCUAUUCAUAAAAAAAAUUAUAUUGAAACAUUUCAAAAUAAAUAAAUAAAUUGAAUAAAAUAAAAUAAAAUAAUAAAAUAAUUUACCAAAUUAAUAAUAAUAAUAAUAAUAAUAAUAAUAAGAUAAGAGCAAUAAUCACAUGCAAAUUUUUUGAAAAUAAAUAAGUAGGUGAAUAUAUAAAUAAAAUAAGAAAAAUAAAUAAAUAUCAAAUGCAUAUAAUUAAUAAUCUAAAUAUUAAACUAAAACACAAUAAAAAAUUAAAUUUAAAAAAAUUAUCAAAUUGACACAAUUAAACAUCGAAAAUUCUUUUUAGGCAAUCAAAAUCAAAAUCAAAAUCAAGAUCAAACCCAAUACUUACCUAAUCUCAAACAUCUAGCAAUCAAGAAAUUAAUCUUAGGGAAUUAACCCCAAAAAAGCAUCUAAGUGACCUAGGUGAAAAAGUGUCUAAGUGACCAAAGUGGAAAGUGCCAAGGUGAAUUAGGUGGAAAUUAAACUAAGGAGGUGUCUAAGUGAUCAAAAAUGCGCUAAGUGACCUAGAAGGUUUAAAAAAGGGCCUAAGUGAUGUAGGGUGAUUAGAAACGUGUUAAGUGGCCUACGAGUGUAUUUAAUGGGCCAAAUGCAUUUAAAUAGGCCUAAGGUGCCAAAGUGGGCCUAAGGUGGUGCCCAAUGGGUCACCAGAGAAUUAUUGAAAAGUAUCAAAUGGACACAUAAUAGAACAUGUGCUAGUAGGACAAAAUGGAGGGUCUACAUGGAAUGCUAAAAUCUUUCUUAGGUCGUCAUGUUGCCAAGUCUAUGACCUAUUAUAGUGAGAAACAUUGCUAAAGCCUCUAUUAAGGGCAUAUCCAAACCUUCUCUUAGACCAUGCCUUUUAAUAAGUGUUUCUAAUCAUUAAUGCAUACAUGUUUUUCCAUCCUAAAUUGCUCAAAACUCUAAUUUCGAAAAAGUUCUACAAGGUUUUUAUUUUUUAUUUUUGUAGUUAGUAAGUGUUACAGGUACAACACAUCAAACCAACACCAAUUGAUAAAAAACAUUUCACCAUUGCUUUCAUCUUUAAUAUUAUGAUUGCAACUAUUAUUAUAAUUAGAAAACAUAUAUACAAAAAAUAAAAAUAAGAAAUACAUUAAAAAAAAACCAAUAAUGUACAUUUUAUGUUAAUAUAGCUUAAACUUAUGCAUGUUUACUAAAAUAAAAGGAUUUUUUAUUUAAAAAUUUAUUUGAACAGGCCAAUUCAAGAGUAGUAGUAGUAGUAAGCAAAAUAAUAGCACUAAAAAAUAAGAGCAUAAAUACAUGUAAUCAUAUAAUUAUAUUUUUCCAUAAUAAUAAUAAUAAUAAUAAUAAUCUAGCUCAUGUGGGUCACCCUAGGAUAAGACUCCUCCCAUAACACCCCUAUUUUCAAUCCAUUUCUAUUCUUAAUAGCUUGAUUAAUUAAACAAAAUUUUAAAUUCGAAAGUGUUGUGUUGAGAAAUCAAAUACAUUAUAAAGCUCAUCUAAUUAACGACUUGACUGAAACAAAAUUUUAGAUUCAAAAGUGUUGUGUUGCAAAAUCAAAUACAUUAUAAAGCUCAUCUAAUGGUCACAACUUUUAGAGAAAGAAACAAUUAAAUAUACCAUGUGAUAGGCAUAUAUGUCUUCCUCACUCAAAAAUUUCACUCAAUACCAACAUACAAAUCCAAUUUAAAACAAUAUUAGGUAGCAAAAUAUGUUUCAACAUUAGAAUAAGAAAUAACUCAAAUAGUCAAACAUGUUUUUGCUUAUGUCGUGCAAUUUGAUCAAUUGAGUUUUCUAAUGUAAGAAACAUCUCAUUAUUUUCCUUGACAACUUGAAUAACUAUGACUUUCAUAUACAACUUAAGGUCAUUCUCCACUUCAAGCAUGCCACAUAUAACUUUUAUUACUUUAACCAUGCUACAACCAAACUUAUCUACUCUAGAUGUAACUUUAAAAAUGGGCUCUAACUGCAUAGUAAAAACACAAGAUUUGGUUCCAUCUCUUAUCUUCUUUCUUCUUCUCUUAUUUUGCCUUGAAAUUUAUUGCCUUGGGGUUCUUCUACAAAAGUAUCCAAUUCAUUAUAUUUCACAACCAAAAUAUAAAUUAACCAAAUAAACUUAGUAAAUAAAUAAAAAUGUAUCUUCAAUUUAUUAUCCUACCAUUCGUUUUUAGCAUUAGUGGUUUGUGUCAUAGGUUCCACCCAAGGCCAAUCUCUUUUUGAAUCAAGGCAUUCCAAAGUUGUCAAUCAUUUUUUAAGAGUACUUACUGUUAUAGUUGAACAAAAAAUGAUCUCUUCAAGAAUAUUUUAGAGACUUCAAAAUUAUAUAUGAUAAUCUUGCCGCAAUCAAAAGCUAAUUUCAAACCAAGACAAAGUUUGUUGAUUCACUCGUGGUUUAGGAUAAUGGAAUGAUUUUUUAUUUUUUUUUAAUCUACAAUGCUUUUCUAGCCAAUUCAUAGUAUCUCUUUAAGGACAUAAGCAAUCACUCACUCGAAAGAGAUGGAAAGAAAAUUUUCCUAGAGGAUGUACAAGUUUUUAAAGAAAAUUUUCCUAAAGGAUGUACAAGUUUUUAUUUGGACAACAUAGUUAUGGUCAUAAUGGUUAAAAAGGCGGAAAUUUUAAUUUGAGGGGAAGAAUCUUUACACUUCCUAGUGUUACGAUUUUUAUUUUUUAUUUUUUAAAUAUUUUUAUGAUUUUAUCAAGUCCUUGUCAAAGGAUGUCUUCACCAUGUUUUGAGAUAAGUCGGGUGUGCAUAUUCAUUCCCACUCCAACUUUAGCGGGCAUAUUAAAGGAAAGAAUAAAAUAAGACAAAAAGAACAUAGGAUGGCAACACGUAGGAUGAUAAAAAUCCGCUUCAAUUAAUAUUUCCAUAAAUCAAGAGUAAUCAAAUAUUAAAAUAUCUGAUUUUCCUAAUUUAGGAUAUAAUAUUUAUUUUAAAUAAAUAAAGAACAAUCAAAUAUUAAUAAUAUUUUAUUAUCUUAAUUUAGGAAAUAAUACUUAUUUUCCUUAAUUUUAGGAUACUUGUUAUUUCUUUCUUUGUAUAAUUCACAAUGCAUUCUUGUAUAAAUUUUCUAAAAGAAACAAUAAAAUUCAUCAUUUUCAUUGCCAAAUUAUCAAAUCCUUUACUAAUGACCUUAUGAUUAAAAUCUUGUUUGUUUGGUAAGCUAUGAAUUUUAAUGAUAUUCCAUCAUUUCUAGGCCUCUCAAACCUUCAAUUUAGUAGGGUUACAAAACAUAAUUUCUCAAACAGCAUUCUUUCCAUAGUCAUAUCUCUAGCCUUGCUAUAAACCAAGACCAUCAAGGACCAAGACACAACAUUCUUGUCUACCAUCUUGUCAAACAACUCAAAUGUUGUAUUUAUAUAUCCUACUUUAACACACCCAUCGAAUAUUAUGUUCAAACUAAUAACAUCUCCAUUUGGCAUUUCAUCAAAAGCCUUGCUCACCUUUUCUUGAUCCACAUGGGCAUAAAUCACUCUCAACUAUUAACACAAACAACAUAGAUUUUAGCCUAUUACAAACCAAACUGAUAUAUCACCCCUAGUAGUUGUAAUUUCCUUCAUUAAUCUCCCUCCCAUUUCCACAUCUCUUUUCUGACACAACCCAUAAAAAAAAUAAAAAAAAAAUCAUGACAUUUGAGUCUAGAUAGGAGAAAGCACAAAUCUCAGUGCACAAAAAUUUGAUUUCAAUCAUUCACAAAAAUUUAAUUUUAUACAUGGUAAAACAUUAUAAUAGUAAAAUAACAAAUUGAGAAGAACUUCCUAGGAAAAUAUAAUCAAAGGAAAACAAGGUAAUCAAAAGACUCAUAUAAUUUUUUACUUCCAUUUUCUAAGUAACUAAAUAGAAAUGUGGCAAGGAAAGUAUCUCUAACUAUGGAUGUAAAGAGUCAUUGUUAAUGAGAAAGGGGUGAGAAUUGGAAUUAUGAAAAGAGUAGAAGAAGACUGCUUGGACUAUGGAGAGUGAAGGAGAAAGAGAAUGCUUGUUGAAAGGGAAAGAGUGGGUUAUUGGGUAACACUUACGGUUAUUUUAGGUACAUUUGAAAAUUUGAAAAUUAUUUUUUAAAUAAUCACCUCUCAAGUGCUUUUCUAAAAAUCACUUCAAGUGAUUUUUUUUCUUUUAAAGGUUUUUAAAAGUGUUUUUGAAAAUUUUUCCAAACAUUUAUUUUUCACCCAAAAACCUCUUUUAAUUAUUCAAAAUGCUAGACGCUCUUCUUAAAAACACUACUAAACAAGUUCUUAAUAAGAUUUUAUUUAUUAUCACAGUUUCUUAGUCUUUAACCAAGGAUAUGUCUAUAUUAUAUAAUAAAAGCAAGGAUAUAAUUUUAUUCUAACUAUUUUUCAACCUUAUUUUCUUUAAAUAUCUACUAAAAUGCCAUUUUAUUAUUGUUCAUUGAUUAACCCAUUAAGAAUGGAAUUACUAUGAUUUCACCCCAACUCCAACUCUCUUUUCUACAAAAAGGAAAACUAAUUUUUUUUAGGAAUAUGUAUGGAAAGGCAAUGUUAUAGAUGUAGUUAUACAUGGAGAUUGAUAGAAGUGAUAGAAGCGGGAUCAUGCUAGGGUUUUAGAGCCAAAGAUGAUGGGUUAGCGAUGAUGGGUCAUAAGGGAAGAGAUGGAGAAGUUAGGAAUUGAGGUUAGAUUUAAGGUUAAGGUUAGGGCUAGGGUUUCAUCAAUGGAUGGUGAUGAAGAUGAAGAUAUGCACAUCCCUUGCAAAAUCUACCAAUAUGAUCCGUUUCUACUACAUAAUCAACUGAAAUUUGAAUCAAUUCUUCUUCUCAAACUAUGAUAAUACGAUUUUAGAUGGUUUUUGAUAAUGAUUUCUUUUCCUCUCAAUGAAACUGUAGAUCAAUUCUAUGUUACAACCCGAAUAAAGGAUCAUUAGGAUCCCUUAAUCUUUAGUUUCUAUUUAGAUUAGGGAAUAAAGGAUCCCUAAGGUCCGUCAAUCUUUAAUUUCUAUUUAGUUUCCUAUAUAAAAUAAGAAGAGCAUAAUGAGGAAAGAAAUGGAAAAAUAAUCUCAGUAAGAAAAAUUUGUUCUCUCAAUUUUGCAUCUUCUCCUUGAGUCAUAAGAAUUGGUAUUAGAACACGGUCUUGGCACUAAUCAUGGCGAAAGGGACUAGAGCGUAAGAACAACAUAGACUUAAAGAUACUAUUAAACAGUUGAAAGAAACAUUGGAUAAACAAGUGACUACCUUAUUAGAACUAUCAAAGAUGGUUGCAACCAUAAACUUGAAAUUCAAACACAUGAAUUCAAGGAUAGAAAAGUAAAGUAAUGGGUAUAAUGCUUCAAUCAAUAAAAGCAUGAUAGACUAUCACUCAUAUGUCAUAAACUCCAUUCAAACCAGGUUUUCCAAACUCAAUUUUCCAAAAUUUGAAGGUGAGAAUUGGGAAUUAGGAAAAGGUUGGAUUGGCUUCCUUACAUUUAAAACAAAGGGCCUUAAAAAGGUUUCAAGGGUGCGAGGCUAGUAACAAGGAAAUCAAUUGGACACUAUUUUAUAUAGAUGUUGUUUCUAGGUUUAGCCCUAGUGUUUAUGAUAGCCUUAUGGGGCAAAUAAUCAAAUUGAAAUAGGUUUCUACAGUUUAGGCAUACCAAAAUUAGUUUAAAGUAUUGAUGACCAAAACUAGUGGGUUAUCAAAGAAUUUUUUUUUUUUGUCUAGUGUUUCAUUAGUAGCUUGAAAAAGGAAAUUAAAAAUCAAGUCACCAUGUUUCAACCAAUCACACUAGCCCAAACCAUCGAGUUAGUCUUGUUGCAGAAAUGAAUAAUGGAGGUAAUUCUCAAGGAAUUCAAGGACUCUAACAAAAGUGGGGAGAGUACAGUGAACUUUACAAGAAUCAUAAUGAAUCAUAAUAACAAAUUACCACCCCUUAAGAAGAUUUUAGCCAUAGAAGUGUAAGAGAUGAAAAAAAAAAUUGUUAUUAUUGUGAUGAGAAGUAUGAUUCUAGCUAUAAAUAUAAAAUGAGUCCAAAUUUUCUAUUAAAUGGUCAUAAAAGUGAAGGGAACGCAACAUCUAAAGCUAAAAAUGAUAUCAAGAGGAUGAUAUUAUGGUUUUAAUCAAUGCAAUAUUUAGUUCACCGUCUCAUCAAACCAUGAGAAUCUAUGACAACAUAAAAAAGAAGGUCGUCACCGUACUAAUUAAUUUAGAAAGCACCCAUAACUUCCUUGAUCUUGUAGUGGCCAAAAGAACAAGCUGCUCAAUACAAACUACCAACCCCAUGAAGGUGGUAGUAACAUAUGGAACUAGAAUUGCUAGUGAUGCAAUUUGUAGGCAAUGUUAGGAUAGAACCCUUAAAAGCAUGACAUAAUGUAAUAAAUUUGGAAUUCAUUAUUUAUUUAAUGAUGUUCCAGUUUCACUUUUAUCUAUCCUUAUUCCAUGUAUUAUACUUUAUAAGCAUUUUUGUCUACAUCUUUUGCAUUGUAUGUGACUUAGGUACAUUAGGAGUUGUAUAGAAGAUCUAAGUCAUGAGUUCUUUGCAAAUAGAUGACUUAUUCACAACCAAUUCAUGGGUCUAGGAAACCCAUUAGAGGUUGUAGUGCACCACUUCCUAAUUGGAGGGAUGGUUGGUCUUGGCUAUUGGGAUGGGUUUCAUAUGAUGAGUGCACUAGUAUGUAUGAAUGCACAUUGGACAGGACCUAUGAUGAGUUAUGACUUAAGGCUAUCAAGUAGUCAUGAUUUCACCAAGUUGCUUCAUUAUGUUGUUUCUCAACCUUGAGAGAAUAUUAAGUUUGUGUUGAAGUUAGCAGUGGCUUCGACCUAUGGGUGAGAUAGUAAGAUGAUCAUAUAUUCCUUAUAGAUUUGAUCACUAUUGAUGGAUGUUGGUAGCAAUAAGUAUUCUCAAUAGAGGCACCAUGAUAUCUCUUAGGAAUAAGAUAGUGUGUCCUUUUGGGUGAUCCUAAGAAGGUGUGUUCAUGGAAACUGUGGCCAUAGUAGUUCCUUAGGUGGAACUUGGCAUAAGCUCUUUGAGAGCUAAGAUAUGUCAAUUUAACACACAAUAAGAGGAUUUGUAACUCAAGAAUGGCAGAGGUAGUAUUAAAAGACUGAUUGCUUUCACCUUGUUAGACUAUAGGCACUAAUUCAUGGGAGGACUGAACACAAUGGAUACUAGGUCACGGACCCAAGCACUUGGUGUAUCAUUGCUAUUUACAUAGGAUAUUGGAUUUCAGUUGGUUCUCUGUAGUGGGAUGUUGAAUCAAAUUUGGAAUUGGAUUAUGAGGGAACCAAUAUUCUUAUGGGUCCUAGUGUCCUCGCUUUAAGCUUAUAUACCUUGUUGGCACUGAUUAUGAGGGUCAGAUUGGCUUUAGGUUCACUUUUGUACAUAAGGACAUUUUGGUAAUCAUGCAAGAUUGCACAAAGGUAAGUGAACAAGGUUUUUGGAUUGGGUUAAUUGAUUAAUUAGGAGGCCCUAUUGGGUUAACUAAUCAAUUAUGACCCAUUUUGGGCUAGAUUAAGUGACCCAAUCCCUUAGUGGACUCAAGUCACUUAAGCCUAGUAGGAAACCCUACAAAUACCCCUUUAGGGGUUAGGGUUCAUAUUGCUUUUUCUAGAGAUCCAUCUUCCAUCCUUAGAGAGAGAGAGAGAUUCAUAGCCUUUAGUCUUCUUUCUAUUCCCACCGGAAGUGUGUCAAUAUCAAGUUUUGACUCAUCAAGCGGAAGACUUUGGGUUUAAGAGACUUCUAAGAUUUUGUUCUUCAUCUUCACCAUGUGGAUUUGAUUUAGGAACAUCCGAAUCUAAGGUAUGGCUUUUGUUAACACUUUCUGAAUCCCUUUAAAGUUUAAAAAUGUUAUUUUUCCUUUGUACAUAGGAUUUAGAAAAAGCCUAGGAUAGUUAUGCAUGUUCCUAACCUGAUCCGAGCUUAGGAAAUGGAGAGAUUCGAGUUUUCCCAUUAGGCAGUUGACAUGAAACAUGUAAGAGAAGAAAUUUUAGACAUAUUUAAGGCUCAUACCUUUGAGUGGGUGCGAUAUGGUAUUGGGAAUUCAAUGGCUAGCUGAAUUGGGACUCAUAUUGUGGGAUUUCAAGAAUUUAAAAAUGGAAUUUAUUAUUGAUGGGAGGAAAUUCAUGUUGAAAGGUGCAACUAUAGGUUCCAAAAAUUUAGUUUCAACAAAUCAAAUUCAAAAGGAUUUAAGGCAUAUGUAUCAAGCAUCUACCAUUCAAAUUUUCACUAUACAAAGGAAUAAGGAAAAUAAAGUUGAAAAGGAACAACAUGGCAACUGUCCAACUCAUUUCCAAGAGAUGUAACAUGGAAAGAUGCUUACAAGAUUCAAUAAAAGUUUCCGUAGUUUCAACCUUGAGGACAAGGCUUCUUUUGAUGGGGGAGGGAAUGUUACAGCCCCAAAUAAAGGAUCCCUAGAAUCCCUUAAUCUUUAGUUUCUAUUUCUACUUAGUUUCUAUUUCUAUUUGGUUUCUAUUUGAUUGGGGAAUAAAGUAUCCCUAAGAUCCCUCAAUCUUUAGUUUCUAUUUCUAUUUAGUUUCCUAUAUAAAAUAAGGAAAGUGUAAUGGAGAAAAACAUGAAAAAAAUAAUCUGAAUAAGAAAAAUUUGUUCUCUCAAUUUUUCAUCUUUUCCUCAUAUCAUAAAAUUCUAAAUGUGGAUUUUCUCCUUUUGAAGCUCUAUAUGAUACGAAAUCAAUUCUCUUUUACUCUAAUUCCAAGUAUGUAUUUAUCGAAAGGGGUAUGCUUUGACUCUCAAUGAACACAUUUUCUCAAAUUUUCUUCAUAGCUAAGUGGAAAUAACAUAAGGCAGUUAAACUUGCUUUGAGAUUAAUUGUGGUUUUGACAAGCAUUUCAUCUAUAAUUCAUUUAUACAAAAUUUUAUUUCAAAGUUCAAAUAAUCAUUUGAAUUUUACAUUUAAAUUUUAUUUUUAAAUUUAAGACUUAAUUAUUUUGUAAUUAGAGUACUUGUCAUAAAAUUGAAGCUCAUAUAUAUAUAUAAAUGCUUCCACUUUCGUACCUGUCAUAAAAUUAGAGCCUACUUUUUUUUAUUUUCUUUUGUGUGUUUAUAAACGUCUCCAAUUCCAUAUCUAGCUAUGAUAUAUUUUUGUAGAUGAUUGUGAUUGAAGUAUAAUUUCUUUUGAUUUUAAUUUUAUAAGAAUUAAAAGUCUUAUCUAAAUUUGAUUAUUAUUCUAGUUUUCUAAAAGUUCAGAGUAUUACAAAGAAACUAUUGAGUAGAAAGAUGUUUCCCUCCAUACAUAUCUAAUUAAAAAAAAAACCACAAAGAAAAAAAAUUAUUAUUCAUCUGUUGUGUUAGUGCAAAAUAUGAAAAAGAAGACAGAAGCGUGCAUCUUCACUGUGACUGAGGAUCAAAUUCUCUUUGAGAUUGAUAUAAAUUAUUUAUAGCUUCAUUGUUCGUGGAGAGUUGAUUCAGUAGUGUCUUCCAUUUGAAGACAUACAGAAAUGGUAAGAAUUAUUUAUUAAUAUGAAGAGAUAACUUGCAUCUAUGACCCUCAUACUCCCAUGAACUUUGAUCUUAUAAACAUAGUGGGCUUGUUUUAUUUAUAAAAUAUAUAUGAAAAGAGAAUAUAAAAAAAUUAUUUUCAUGGGAAGUGUAUUUUGGAAAAAAUAAUUCUCACUUGAUACAUUGGAAAAGUGCCUACCUCAAAUUACCCAAAAAUGACGUUAUAUGUGUACAUGUGUCAUCAUCCAUACUAGCCCAACUUACAUGAGGAUGGUACAUCAUUCAACCAACAAAGGUACUUUAAGCUCAAAACAAUGGUACAUUAUAAUCAAAACAAUGUUACUUUAAUAUCAAAAUACAUGUAAGGACAUUUUCGGGUAAUGUGAGGUAAAUACUAUUCUAAUACAUUAAAUAAGAAUUAUUUUCCCAAAAAUGUACUCCACAUGAAAAUGACUUUUGUGGGUUUUCUUUUAUUUAUAUUUUAUAAAUAGUACAUGUUUACAUAAUUCCCUCAUAAAUAUAAUACAAUCAUCUAUACCUGAUAAUUAAGGAAAUCGAAAAUAUUUACAUACUAAGCAAGGAUAAUGGAAAUUAAAGAGUAUGUCAAAAGAGAAGAAAAAUACUAAAGAUAAAUUAAAACUCUAAAAUACAAGCCUUCAUUUGCACAUAUAGGCUAAUAUCUUAGGAGGUAUUUGAUUAAAUAAUAAUAAUAAUAAAAAAAAUAAUAAUAAUAAUGAUUAAAAAAUGGAAAAAAUUAUGAGUCCCAUUUUUUAAGUGUUUUCAAUAACAUAAUUAUAAACCCCUUAAAAUUUAAAAUCAUUUAUUUAAACCACUUUAUUCAUUUAGCAACAAGGACUUAAUUAAUCACUAAGAUCAAACAUAAUGAUUUAUAUUUUUUAUAAUUUAAUUUUUUUUUCCAUUUUAAUAAAAUGAAGAUUACUAUUAAUAAAACAAAUUAUUAUGAAAUAAUUUUGUUCAUUAUAAAAUUUAUCUUUCUUUUCUAAAUCAGAAUUUUUGUCAUGUCCAUUCAUAUAAUAAAAUUAAAAUUAUAAAUAAAAAAACUUAUUUUAAUUGACAACACCAUGGAAUCUCUCCAUGCACACUCAUGCAGCCAUCAGUUCCCACGGCAACCAUGUGUCUUCCAACAAGUAUAUUUGCUUUCUUUGGCCCUCCAUGUGUUUGUGUUCUAUUUUUAUUUAUUUAUUUUAUCUUGAUUAGUAGUUCACUAAACAAGCAUGACAAGGAUAUGAGCAGAUAUGUCAUGGCUAUGAUCACUUCUAACACUUAACCCUCUUAAACUAAGUGAAGUAUGAAUGCAGUAUGCAAGUCUAAAUAAUGGUGAAAGAAUAAAAACAAAGGAGAAUGCAUGUAAGAUGUAUAUAUAACUAUAAAUAAGGAUUCAAAAUGAAGGGAAAAAUCAUCGAGAAGGGUGAACCAUGGGUGAUAAGCCACUUCAAGGUUCAUCCUUUGGAUAAAUAUUAAAAGUUAAAGAGUAUAAAAAGUCUACACAUGUCGUCAUUUUUUUUUUCACUUUUAAGUUAAAUAUAUUUUUAUUGUUAUAAAUGAAGUAAUGAAUGCCACCACAUUUAUUAUAUUAAAUGUUCAUUAAAAGCCUAUAAAAAUGUUUCUUAUGUAAAAUGCUUCCCAAGCAAAGAAAGAAAUUCUCUUUUCUUAUUCUCUCUUUUUCUUAUUCUCCAUAUCUUUCAUUCUUUCAACUCUCUUAAUUCUCUUUUAUGAUUCCUUCCUCUCCAUUAUAUAUUAUUAUUUAAAUAAUAUGUAGUUGUUCUCUACUUUUAUUUGGGUUGCAUUUAUCCCCUUUUUACAACAUGUUACCAGCACGAAUUGUUCUUAAGGUAAUUCUCAUAUCUUAAACUUGAAGUUAUUUACAUAGAAUAAAAAGCUAUAAGCAAAUUAUUUGAUUUUGAUUAUAAUCAAAAGUUAUACCAAUGCUAUUAAUUUAUAACUAAUUCUAGUAAUAUUUUUUUAACAUAUAUCUAAAGUUAUUUGACAAUGUCAAAUCUCACAAAACUCGAAUUUGUGGCACUUGACAUUUCAGGAAAGAACUAUCUAUCUUGGAUCCUUGAUGCUGAAAUACAUCUUGAUGCAAUGAAUCUUGGAACUACGAUCAAAGUAGGAAAUCAAGCAUCCUUAUAGGAUCACACAAAAGUGUUGAUUUUUCUUCGCCAUCAUUUCUAUGAAGGUUUUUAAAAUGGGUAUCUUAUAGUAAAGGACGUUUUUACUCUAUGGAGUAAUUUGAAGGAAAGAUAUGACCACUAGAAAAUUGUGAUUUUCCCAAAAGCUCGAUAUGAUUGGAUGCACUUAUGGUUGCAGGAUUUUAAAACAAUUAGUGAAUAUAACUCUGCACUUUUCAGAUUCAGCUCUCAAUUAUAGCUGUGUGGAGAAAAAAUCACAGAAGAAGACAUGUUAGAUAAAACUUUACUACAUUUCAUGCCUUAAAUGUGCUCUUAUAGCAGUAAUACCUAGGGUGUAGAUUUAUAAAAUACUUUGAACUAAUAUCAUAUCUUCUUGUUGCUGAACAAAAUAAUGAGCUUUUGAUGAGAAAUCACUAGUCUCAUCCAAUUGGAUUUGAACCAUUCCUUGAAGUGAAUGCAAUAUCGUCUCAAACUCGUAGACGUGGAUGAGGACAUGGUCGUGGUUGUGGAAGGCAUCCCUAAUAUAAUGGUUAUUGUGGUAAUAAUUCCUCAAAUUCUCAUAAAAGGAAAACUUCAUUGCACCACCGAAAGUGGAAUAAUACUGAGGCAAAACAAGAAAAUGGGAAGUGUUUACAAGAUAAACCUCCCAAGAACCAUGAGAAUGAUUGUUAUAAAUGUGGUAUGAAGGGCCAUUGGUCCCAUACCUAUCGUACACUCAAACAUUUGGUCGACCUUUACCAAGCAUCAAUAAAAGCAAAAAGAAAAAAUGUAGAGAUGAACUUUACCAAUGGUGAUGGAUUGGACCUAACCUACUAUGACAUUGAUAUGACAUUGAUUUGUUUGGAGGUCCUAGUGAAAAAACAAACCAUUUAAUAAAUGAUGAGAAUGCUAACAUUGAUUGGUGUUACUUUAUAAAUCAAAUAAUAUAUUAUUAUGUCUUAUAUUUAUAUCUUAUUAUUACAUUUUCUUUUAUAUUGUUAUUUAUAUUAUGUGUUGUUUUUUUAAUAUUAGUUGUAUCUAAAAUCCACGUGUUAUUUGGUCUCAAGAUGAAUGAGGAUGAUGUAUGUCUCAUAAGAUUAUGAAACCACACACACAAUUCUUCGAGAUAAAAGAUAUUUCCUUGAAUUAACAUUGAUAAAAGCUAAUGUAAGUACCAUAUCUAGUACUACAAACUUAGUAGAAGGCUCUAGAAGAGCAAACAUAAUGCUACCAAAUGGAACUAGAUUUCAUAUAAAUGAUGAUUUAUAUUAUAGCAAAUCCAAAAGAAAUUUGCUCAAUUUUAAAGAUAUCCGUAAAAAUGUAUAUCAUAUUGAAACUAUGAAUGAAGAUAAUGUAAUUAUCUUUACAUUACUUCCAUUAUAUUUGGGCAAAAACUUAUAAUAGAAAAACUCUCGGCUUUCUCCUCCAGGUUGUAUCAUACAACUAUAAAGCCUAUUGAAUCACAUUUUUUUGUGAACCAAAAGUUAAACUACCUAAAAGUUUUUGUCCUUUGGCAUGACAGACUAGGUCACCUAGGGUUUUCAAUGAAGCAUCAAAUAAUCGAACACUCACAUGGGCAUCCACUAAAGAACCAGAAGAUUCUUUUGCCCAAUGACUACUCAUGUGUUACUUGCUAACAAGGUCAAUUGAUAGUCAGAUCAUCUUUUACUAAAGUCUAUCCGAGUCACUAGUCUUUUUAGAAAGAAUACAUAGGAACAUAUAUGGGCCUAUCCAUCCACCAUGUGGACCAAUUCGUUAUUUUAUUAUCUUAAUAGAUGCUUCGAUUAGAUGGUCACAUGUUUGUCUUCUUUUUACACAUAAUGUUGCCUUUGCUAGACUCCUUUCACAAAUGAUCAAAUUAUGGGCACAAUUCCAAGGUUAUCCAAUUAAGACAAUAUGUCUUGACAAUGUUGGCAAAUUUACUUCUCAAACAUUCAUUGACUACUGUCUAUCAAUAGGGAUACAUAUUGAGCAUCUUGUUGCUCAUACUCAUACCCAAAAUGGUUUAGCAAAAUCCUUCAUCAAACGUCUCCAAUUAAUAGCUCGACCAUUACUAAUGAAAACCAAAUUACCUACUUCUGCCUGUGGACAUGUUAUUAUGCAUGCUGCAGCUUUAGAUCAUAUUCGACUUAAAACUUACCAUGAAUACUCCCUUUUACAACUCCUACUUGGAAAAAAACCAGAUAUCUCUCACUUACGAAUCUUUGGUUAUGUAGUAUAUGUACCAAUUGCACCCACACAAUGCACUAAAAUGGGUUCCCAAUAAAGACUCGGGAUUUAUUUAGGUUUUAAUUCUCCAUCUAUCAUAAGAUAUUAUUAGAAAAAUUAGGUUAAUCCAACCUAAGGUAAUCAUCCUAAAAUGGGGGGAGAAGGGAGUGAAUAGAGUGAUGGUCUCUUUUUGAAAAUUUAAAUUAUAUGAAUGCAAAAGACUAUUGUAUGCAAAUAUAUAAUAAAACAAUAUAAAGACAAUUGCAUAUAAAGUAAAAGAGUGGGGAAUAGAGAAAGCAAACAUAAGCUUUUUAUAGUGGUUCAGCGUAACCCAACCUACAUCCACUCUCAUCUAGCUUCAAUCCCAAGCUUGAGAUUCUACUAUUUCAAGGCUUCCAAACCAAGACUUCAAGCAAUACAAUUGGAUUAUAGUUCUAAUCCACUUUCUUGGACUUUUGGCCCCAAGCACCCUUUACAAUCCUUAAGAGAUACCCCACUCUUGAACAAUCCCUCAAGUGAUACCCCACACUUGAGAAUCCUUAAAUGAUAUCACACACUUAGGCUUUUCUUCUCAAAGAUUUACAAAUGAAGAUAGGAUUGAAAGGUGCACUAAUGAUAUGAAAGUUUUAAAACGUUGAUGCACUUAAAAACACCCUCCCAAGGCUCAAAUAUAUUCAAGAAGGGUUUUGGAAAGUUAAGCUCUUGAAACAAUGAAGAUUGAAGCCUUUUUAUAGAGGAAAACGACUAAACUAGUCGUUGGGAGUUUGACUGAUCGAGCUGAGGGUUGAUCGAUUGACUAGCCGUUAGCCGCAUUUAAUGCUUGGUAGAGGACCAUUGGACCUUGAACCCCCUUGACCGGACCUUGACUGUUUGAACAAGCAUUAUGGAAGAGAGAGAAGGUUUUUGCACCCUUCGACUGAUUAAGCUGAACAGGUCAACCGGUUCCUCAUUUGGUUCAACCGGUUGUGUCAUUUUUGGCUCAACAACCAUCAUUUUCAACUUAAAGCCUUUUAAACAAGUUUACAAAAAUUUGACACAAGAUUUUAGUUGAAAACAUGAAAUCAUGCAAUUUUAAAGGAUUUAAUAAAAAAUUACUUUUGGAUGAUUUUGCUGCAUAAAUUAAUAAUGUAAUACAUAAAAGACCUAGUACACCAACAACCUUAUAAAGAGAUCCUAUAAAGUUUAGGUCUUGAAAAACACUUCUCUUUGAGGUCUUUUUUUUCUUAAUGAUUUCUCUUUGGUUUGAUUUUGUCUUUUUGAUUGCCACUUUGGAAAUAUUCUUCCCUAAUCAGACUUGAAAUAUAAUCAUUAGUUCCAAACCUUGUUUUAUUAUCAUCAAAACUGAGAUUAACCAAACUUUGGUUUCACAAAUAUCUUGAACCUUUGACAAAUGAUGUUUUAACAGCCCACUUUGCAGAUUGUCGUUUUAAUAAGAGUGUUUUCUUGUCAUUAGGGGGAGAAAAAUCGAUUCCUGAAGAACAGUGGCAAAUUACUUGGAAUGCAUCUACUAUAUCCCAUCUUGAUCCUCAUACAAAUCAAUGUGAACUCGAAGUUCAAAGGAUCGUUUAGUUGCAAAAUCUUGCAAACCAAUUACUAGAUGCAUUCAUUAAUACAAAGAAAGUGACAAAGUCACAUGUCCCAGCUACAAAUACUUUAGCAUGGAUUGAUAUCCCUGAAGGAUAGCUACUAAAUGAAUCUAAGAUACGCUUGAAGCGUGGUAGACUUGUUGGCUCGAAUGAUGUAACUUUUGGAAGAGGAGAACACAAGAAAAACUUUGCACUUUAGAAGAGGUCAUUAAAAUGACUGAUCAGUUUAAAAUUGAUAAGUCUAUAGCCCUAAAAGAGGCACAAAUAAUACAAAAAACCCUUGAAAAGGCACAUAUUGAACAAGAAGGCCCUAAAAAAGUACAUAUUGAACAAGAAGCCCUUAAAGAGGCACAUAUUGAACAAUGAACCCCUAAAAAGGCACAUAUUGAACAAGAAGCCCUUGAAGAGGCACAUAUUGAACAAGAAGCCCUUAAAGAGGCACAGGUACCUGAAAAUUGAGAGAUCUUAUUAAGUUAUGUACACAUAGGAGAAAAAUGGGAUCUAAAUAAUAUUGCUAUUAAUAAUAUUUUUGCUUUCCAAGUGGCUCUUGAUAUCAUAAGAAAUGAUGAAGAUCCCGAACCACAAAAUGUGGAAGAAAUGCCGACAUAGAAAUGAUUGGCCAAAAUGGAAAGAAGUUAUGCAAACAGAGUCAAACUUAUUAACAAAACAAGAAGUUUUUUGACUUGUACUCCAAACACCUGAAGAUGUAAAGCCUGUUAGGUAAAAAUGGGUAUUUGUAUGAAAUUAUAAUGAGAAUAAUGAGAUCAUAAGAUAUAAAGUGUAAUUAGUAGCACAAGUUUUCUUUCAAAGACCAGGUAUUGACUAUAAGGAAACAUACUCUCCCAUCAUAAACACAAUCACAUUUCAUUUCAUAAAUAGUUUGGUAGUCUCAUAAGGAUUAGAUAUGCAUCUCAUGGAUGUUAUUACAACAUAUUUAUAUGGAUCCAUAGAUAAUGAUAUAUACAUGAAAAUCCUUGAAGGAUUUAAAUUGCCUGAAACAAAUAGUACAAAGACUUGUAAUAUUUACUCAAUCAAGUUACAACGAUCCUUAUAUGGAUUAAAGAAAUAUGGAUGCAUGGGGUACAAUUGCAUUAGCAAAUAUUUGCUAAAAUAAGGGUAUGUGAAUAGCACCAUAUGUCCAUGCAUCUUUAUUAAGAAAUUAGAAACUGGAUUUGCAAUUAUUUCACUGUAUGUUAAUGCCUUAAAUCUUGUUGGAACUCCUGAAGAGCUCAUAAGAACAAAAAAUUACUUAAAAAAGGAAUUUGAGAUGAAGAAUCUAAACAAAAUUUUCUAUUAGUCUGCAAAUCGAGCAUGUUCCAAAUGGAGUUUUAGUACAUCAAUCAACAUACAUUAAGAAAAAUUUGAAGCAUUUUUAUAUGAAUAAAGUGCAUCCUUUAAGUUCUCUAAAAGUUGACUGAUCACUUGAUGUGAAAAAAGACCCAUUUCAACCUUGCAAAAAAUUUGAAGAAUUACUUGGUCUUGAAGUACCAUAUCUUAGUGAUAUUGGUGCACUUAUAUAUCUUACCAAAUUUACAUGUCUAGACAUUGCUUUUUCUAUCAAUUUAUUAUCAAGAUACAUUUCUACUCCAACUCGAAGACAUUGAAAUGGUAUCAAACAUAUAUUGCGUUAUCUUUGCAGAACUACUGAUGUGAGUCUAUUUUACUCAAGGGAAUCAAAAAAAAUUUGCUUGGAUAUAUAAAUGCAGGAUACUUUUCAGAUCCACAUAAAGGUAGGUCACAAAUAGGGUAGAUGUUUAAUUGCAAUGGUACUACUGAUUACUACUCAAAAAGUGCUAUUUGAUAGCUUAUAAUUAAUCCUUUUAAACACUUUUGAGUAGUAGUUUUCGCCUUUUAACUCAAUUGGCAUGUUAAGGACCCUUGAAAGCAAUUUUAAUCACUUUGUGUAAGUUUUGGUGUUGUUGUUAGUAAUUUGAUCACCAAAGCAAUCCAAUAUUGAGGAGAGUUAUGUGGAAUCUAGGACAAAGCUUGGAAGUCCUUUGCCAAGAGUAAAUCCGGAAUGCAAGGAGAAGAAGUAAAGAGAAUCUGCCAUGAAGCAUAUUCUUGAUGACAGUCGUGGUAGCCACUUUUGGAGCACUUUCUGAAGUCCAAUUGAUGCAUGCUAUAUACCAUUUCAAAGCUUAGGAAGUUAAAAAUCCAAUGCUUCAAACGGUACACAAUUCGGAGUUGAAACGAAGAAGUUACAGCCAUUGCAAGCAGAUCACUCCAAGCUGAAAGAAGCAUUUUGCAAAGUGUUGCGAAAUCACCCUUUUGUUGCGAAGUGAUUUCGCAGCCUUUUUGUACAGUAUGGUGUAUUUCCUCCUGAAGUUGCCCAAUAUAUGCCGCAAGCUAGAAGCUGGGAACCUCAAGAUGGAAGCCAACUUCGCAGCCCUGCGAGAAUAGCCUUUUGCUGCGAAGUGAUUUCGCAGCCCUUCUUGAGUGUCUGCGAAAUCUCACAGACACCAUUUUCUCUUGCGAAAUGGUCCCUGGAGCAUCCUGAUAUUUGCUACCGACAUUGGGAGAUAUUUUACAUCAGAUUUUUGUUGUCUAAAUCCCAAAAUACUCCUUGUAAGCCACCAAUUACAAGAUUCCUUAGCUUUUAAGUUAGUCAAAAGAGAAAAUAUCUAUGUAAUAAUUAGUUUUAUAUUAUGUUCAUAUAAAUACCUCUCGGGAGCCUAUUCUCAGAGAGGAGGACCCUUUGUAAAGUUUUGAAAAGCAAGUAAAGUUCAGGCCUUUGUUUUGCCUUACCUUCUCACUUUGUAUUAUUUAUUUCUUACUAAGUUAUGCACUCUUUGAGGAAUUUUCCCCAGAGAAUGAGUAACUAAACCUCUAGUUCCUUGGAGCUAAGGUUGCCGGGGAAGGUUCCAAGUGCAAGAAUGCAAAGCUUUGUGGUUUCAGCCAUCAAUGAAGAGGAAGUGAAAUCCUUUAGUGAUUUCUAUGUUUUUAGUUAACUUAAAACACCUUAGAGUCACCUGGGCCAACACUUGGUAAGGCAAGUGAUUUCCAACCAUGGAGAUGCACUAGUUUACCCCUUGUGAGCCUCUGGGAGGUGACUUUAAGGUAGGAUUUUCUGGAAUUGCCAACACUUGGUAAGCUUUUGGACUCCAAGGAGACAUCCAUUAGUUAUCUCUUGCGAGCUUGAGAAGGGAAGUCCAAGGUUAAAGAUCACCUUGAAUGGUUAAGGCUUAGUGAGAGGUUUGAACCAUUGCAAGUUGCAUCAGUGAGAGAAUUAAAGCUGAAAUCUAAUUGAAGGAUGUAUCUGUACAACACCGGUUAGAGAAUUAACUAUAUGUUGAAUCUCUAAAACGAGGAAAUGAACCAUCUGACCGGAGCCAUGUCUUUUGCAUGAGGAACCACCCCAGUGAACCUGACCCUCCAAGGAAUGUUUUUCUUCCUAAGUUAUUCCCAUUACUUGUUUUGUUAGUUAGUUUAAAUCUAAAUCUUUACCAAUUAAAGUUUGUGUUUUAGUUCUUAAGCUAACCUUGAAAUGAAACACUACCAAUUCACUUUGAAUUGAUAUCAUUGAUAAUUUGGAAACCCUUCCCAGUGAACGAUCCUAGAGCCGCUAUACUAUAGUAGCUUUUUCUUUGCUACCCUAGUAUAUGGUGUAAUAGGUUAUAAAUUUUGUUGAUUACUCCCUCAUCCAAGGAGCACCAGCUGGACACGAAUCAGCUGAGACACCAAUUAGGCAUGAAUCAACUAUUAUUUCAUGUAGAUCUAUCAAACAAACAAUGAUGACCACAUUAUCAAAUCAUUCAGAAAUACUUGCAAUUCAUUAAGCAAGUCGUGAAUGUAUAUGACUAAGAUCUAUGAUCCAAUAUAUUCGAGAAUCAUGUAGACUCUCCUCUAUCAAAAGUGACCCGACAAUAUUAUUUGAAGAUAAUGUUGCAUGCAUUGAACAAAUAACAAGGGGUUAUAUUAAAGGAGAUAGAACUAAACACAUUUCAUCAAAAUUCUUUUAUACAUAUGAACACUAGAAGAGUGGUGAAAUUGAUGUGCAACAAAUACACUCAAGUGAUAAUCUAGCAAAUUUAUUCACAAAGUCAUUGCCAACCUCAACAUUCAAGAAGUUAAUACACAAGAUUGGAAUGCGUCAACUCAAGGAUAUUGACAUGAGGGGGAGUAUGCUUGUAAAAGGGUAUUAGUGUAUUGUACUUUUUUUCCCUUCAUCCAAGUUUUGUCCCAUUGGGUUUUACUAGCAAGGUUUUUAAUGAGACAGUCGUAACAUAUCAAGAGCAACUUAAAGAAUUAUCAGAGUAUUAUGGUGGACAUCCAAGGAAGAGUAUUAUAAAUGAAGUAAUGAAUACCACCACAUUUAUUAUAUUAAAUGUUCAUUAAUAUUAUUUAUGACUUCCAUUAAUAUUCAUUAAUGGAAGCCAUUUGGAAAGCCUAUAAAAAGGCUUCCCAUCUCCUGUAAGAUGCAUCCCAAGGAAAUAUAGAAAUUUUCUUUUAUUCUCUAUGUCUUUCAUUCUUUCAACUCUGUUAAUUCUCUUUUUUGAUUCCUUCCUCCCCAUUAUAUAUUAUUAUCAAAAUAAUAUAUAGUUGUUCUCCAUUUUUAUUUGCAUUGCAUUUAUCCUCGAUUUACAACACUUAUUUUGUUCUUUUCUCUAUUUUAUUUUAUUUUUUUCUCUUCUAGUUAUUAUAAUUAUAAUUAUUAUUAUUAUUAUUAUUUUAUAAACAUAAUAUAACCCAUCAAAUAAUAAUAAUAAUAAUAGCAAUAAUAACACAUAUAUAAAUAAUAUAAUAAUUAAUUUAAAAUUUAUGUUUCAUUAGUUAUUAUUAUUGUUAUUAUUAUUUCAAUUUUUUUUUAAAUAUUAUAUAUAACUUAUACAAUAAUAAUGAUAAAAUAAUUUUACGAAUACUGUUUCAUUCAUGUAUUAAAGACAAAGUUUUCUUAUAAAAACUUUUAUAAAUUUUCAAAUGUUUUUUACAAUAUGAUUAUUAAGAAAAUAUUACAAUAAAAAAUUAUUAUUGAUAAUUAUGAAAAAAAGAAAAUUAAAGCAUGUGUUAUCGUAAUUUUAGUGUAUUUAUAUUAUAAUUUCAAUGCAUAACCAUGACACAUACAUUUUGCAACGAACUUAAUAGUGUUAGAAGCAUUGUCGUAUCCUACUAUAUUGAUUUCUAUAUUAGUAAGGCAUCCCAAUGAAUUAGCAUCAUAUACUAGAUGCAUUCUUAUUAGCAAUAAUUCUUAUAAUGAAACUCAUACACCUUAUAAAAAAAAUGUCUUAUAAGGUUAAUUUACAGUAGAUGAAAUGUUAAAAAAAUAUAUAAAAUAUAUGACAACCAUUCAUCAAUGCUUGUUUAAAAGGAAAAUUUUAAAAUAAAGUUAGGUUAUGCAGUAAUGUAUAAGACAUUUAAAGUAUUCAUGUUGUAAGAUCAAUAUAUUUUUGUCGUAUGUAUAUGUUGCCUUUUAUAUUAAUACAUAAUAUCAGUGUACUAUCAUUAUACAUUUAAUGAAUCAUUAUUAUGUAUGAUUUUUAUAAUAAAGCCUAUAAGUUUUAGGAAUUAGAUGGAAAAAAGAUUAUAUCCUAAGAUUGGUUUAUAAUCAAUGACAUUAUAAUAAUAAAAAUAUGAAUAAUAUAAAACUAAUAUCAUAAAUAAUAAUAUUAAUAAUAUGUUAACAAUGAUGAUAAUAAUAAAUGUAUAAUUAUAAUUUUUUUAAUAAAUAAUAUAGUUAGUCUUAACAUAUAGUAAAUAAAGCACAAAAGGUAGAAAAGAAAAGUAGAAAAGUAAAGUUAUAUGGGAGUAGAAGGAAAAGACAAAAUGAUGUAAUUGGGAUUAUGGAAUGAUCAAAUUAUCAAACUAUAACUUGUGGAUUUGAGAAGACUUUGAGACUUGGUGACCCUUAAGGGAGCUUAUCACCACUUUGAGCUGGGUGACCAUUUUUUUAAAAAAAAUUGAAAAUAAAUCCCAUGAAAAAAUUUGUUUAUAAAGAAUAAUAAUAAUUUUGUAUUUUUUUUAUACAAACUAGAUAUUUAAUUUAUUAGAAUAAUUUUGAUGGUAAUGACAAACAAAAUAACUCUAUAAAUAGGUGAAAUAAUUCAUUUUCUCAAUUUUAUAUGCAAAAUUAUUUUAAAACGAAAGGGAUAAUACAUUAUUUUUGUUCAUCAAUCCACAUUUUGACUUUCAUUUUAAAACCCAUCUAUAAAAAUCUCUCUUUAUAUAUAUCUGCCUAGAUUGCCUAAUCAUCUAUUCAUUCAUCGUCUAUAACUUCUUGCCUGAUUAUCAAUUUAGAUGUUCAUAUUUGCAUAUAUUUAUUCAUUCCACCAUGUAUUUUGUUGGCGUAUUUGUAAUGUAUACAAUUUUGAUGAAAUGUUUGAUUAUUUGAAAACCGAAUUUCCCCUUACCCAGUAAUAAAAAGCGAGUAUAAGUCUGACCAAGAGGGGUGUUCUUGGCCUUGGCCGGUGGCCUUCCUGAUAAGUCACCUUAGCCGUAGACUAUAUUUAGAUUUUGCAAUUAGUACCUUUCUUUUCCUUCUAGGAAUGACUAUCAUCUUGACCAAUCUAGCCAUGUACCAAAAAGUCAAUUUUGCCAAGUUUAAAAAGUUUGCUUUAAGCCUGUUCAUCAUAGUUGACAGAAGUUGGAAUUACAAUGAAAUAUCUAGGAGAAAAUGUCCGCAGGAGCAGAGAGAGAGAGUGAAGGCAAUACAUUCAGUCAUGAAUUUGAUGCAAAUCCCAAAGUACAUAAUUGUGUCGAAUACUCUCACCAUGAUUGUCGAUCUCUCGGAUCAGACGAUUACUAUGUUUGCCAAAAAUGCCUGGGCCGUAUGUGGAAUAAAUCAAUUUCACAAGGAGGGGAAACUGCCAAAUUCCGUACAAGGUCACUGGCAAACAGGUUAAUGCAGCCAAGGUAAUAAGAAUCCAAGCCUUCUUUUCACCAAAGUGAAGAUAGAUUGCGCUACUGUAGGCUAUCAUCAUGAAUGUUACGGAGAGGAAUAGAGUAACAAGGCCAAAUAUCAACCUCCUGGGAAGGACAAAAAGAAAAUCAUCUUCAGCAUAUCGUGCCGUGAGAAUGGAUAGGAAUAUCAGCACCGAAGCAAUGGAUAGGAAGAGGGAAAGAGCAUCCGAAACUGCAAAAAAUUUGAAGGUAUAUUCUUCGGAGAAAUUUGGUAUGCCAGUAUCAUCAUGGUUGCCACCCGGGAUGGAAAUUGCUGCUGCAAACACUACAGUAGCAAUAAGCGCUGCUGCCAAUGUGUAAGAUUUUGCUGUGCCUUUCAUCCAUUUCUCUCCUUCUUUUAUCAACUCUUUAUGUUCCUUUAUAAAUACCAUUUUUGGUGUCUCUUGUUCAUCGUUCUCAAAUUCCCUGAAGGCUUCCGGUGCAUAUUUUUCGAUUUCCUGUGUAAAAAUCAAAAUGUUUCUAAGACACAGAAAAAGAGUGGACAUGUAUAAGAAAAUUAAUUCCCCUUCAAAACAAAAAUUAUUACCUGAAACCAAUGUAACUCACGUUGCAUUUGUAGAGCUGCACCAGAAACGAGACUGAGCCGGUGUGGAGGGGCCAAUUUUCCAGCCAAAUGCAAGAUAUUGUUAUUUGAAUCACCUCUGAUUCGUAUUAUAAAUUGUCUAUGCAUACCGAUUUCGCAGAUGAGGUUGAAAAUCUUUUCAUAACGAUUUAAUAUUGCCAAUUUGAAUACUUCCUCAUCCAGAUACUGAAGUGCAGAAGGAUAUAACUUUAGAAUGUUUUCCAGAAUUUCGGGAAUUCCAUAUUUUGCCCCAUUAAUGAAUGAUUGGCUGAAUAUUUCCUUUGCUCUUGGUACUUCCAAAUCUUCAACUUUAGUACAUAGGUGGUUAAGCAAUUGAAGAGUCUGAGAAUGCAUUGUUUUUGUUUCUUGGAUUUGCUUGAUGGGUGGUACUGCAAUUAAACUUAUAUUAAGGACAACAUAUCAUUGCAUUCAAGACUUUUGCAUGCUUUAGUGGAAGUUUUGUUGUGUCCCUUACCUAACCGUCCAACCAGUUCACAGAAUAUUGCAUUCGCCUUUUGGCAAGCUGUGUGCAGGAUAAAAUUGAAGCAGUUCAGAUGCAAAAGCAGGAAUAACAGAAAAAAAAAAAAGAAAAAAAAAGAAAGAAACAAUCCUGAACAAAGUACCAAUUAAACACUAAUCUAAAUUAAAGUGAUUGUGAGUAGUAGUUGCCAACUCAUAUUGGUUGGUGUAGAGUUUGUGUUUUCUGGCUAUCAUUAAGUUAAUUAAAUAUACGAUGCCAGUUUGCUUGAAUAAAUUAAGUUUCAAGAUUCACACCCUUGAAUUACUUAUGGCCAAUCUGAUAUUCAUCUUCACAUGUACAUGAAUUUGGGGUUUGUUAUGGAAAAAUGAGAAUAGGCAACAAGAAAAAUAAGAACACAUAGAUUUAUGCGAAAAAUCCUAGAUGGGAAAAACCACGGGCAGAGGAGAAAGAUAAUCCAUUAUGUCAAAAAUUGGUACAAAAAGGGGAGUGUAUCAAGUGGCUACUAUAUAUAUCCUUGAAAACCUAUACACCAUUAAAAAUAUAUACAUAUAUGGGAGAGAAAAAAAUAAAUAAAGCAGGAAAAUCCAUAAUUUUUCUUCACCAUAUAUGUUACACCGCAAACUUUUUGGGUUGGACCAAAAAAGGAAAUCGGGUCACCAAGCUCUAACAAUCUCCACCUUGACAUAAAUUCUAAUGUAAGGAAUGAAAAAACAAACUCCAAUCUUCAACCAAAACUCUUCACCUCUUCCACAAACCCUAAAGGGCAACUCAAUAACGAAUACUAACCAAGUCCAAGCAAUGCUCAAACUUUGCUAUAGAGAGUGUCUUGGUUAUCAUAUCAACAGGAUUAUCAUGGUUGCUAACUUUGCCCAUAACAAAGCAAUGAUAUCACGCACAAAAUGAUACCUCACAUCAAUGUGCUUUGUCCUAUCAUUAAACAUUCGAUCUUUUGUGAGGAAAAUAGCACUCUAACUAUGACAAAAAACUGUGGUAAUCUGUAAGUUGUCACUAAGUUCACCAAAUAGUUUCCUUUCAAGCCUUUGUAAUAGCCAUGUACUAAGCCUCUAGUAAACAAAGCAACUGUAAUCUACAAAGUAGCUUUCCAACUAAUAGCACAACUACCAAUAGUAAAAACAUACCUUAUAAGAGAUCUUUUAUCAAGGUCACUUGCAAAAUCAGAAUCGACAUACCCAACAGCUCCAUCUCUAACUCUCCCAAAAUGCAAACAAACAUCAGUAAAGCCACACAAGUAUCUGAACAUCCAGUGAACUACUUUCCAAUGUUCUUUACCAGGAUUUGUCAUGUAUCUACUAACUACACUAACUGCAUAUGAUAAAUAUGAAUGUGAACAAACUCUUAUACUGCUGUCUAGGUGACUUUUUUAAGCCAUAGAGAGAGACUUUUUCAACAAACACACUUAGUCUUUCUUUCCUGAAACUAUAAAACCCUUAGGCUACUGCAUGUAGAUGUCCUCCUUAAGUUCCCCAUGUAAGAAUGUUGUCUUCACAUCCAACUGCUCAAGCCCAAAAUCAUACAUGGUCAUAAUAUCAAGCAAAGCUCGAAUCAAACUAUGCUUUACAUUUGGAGAAAACACAUUAGUGAAGUCUAUACUCGAAAUCUAAUCGUAGCCCUUUACAACUAAUCUCGCUUUAUACCUAGCUUCUUCAACUCUUGGUAUUCCUCCUUUCCUCUUCAACACUCAUUUGCAAUUAAAAAUCUUUUUACCCUUAUUUAGUCUCACUAAGUCCCAUGUGCCAUUUUUAUGAAGUGACCCCAUCUCCUCCUACAUGACAAUCAUCCAUCUAUUAGAAACAUCACAAUUAACUGCCUUUGAGUAGGUAGAAGGUUUUGCACUAGAAUCAAUACCUUUGGCCACAUUUAAGGCAUAAGCAACCUAAUUAGCCUCAAUAUACCUCUGUGGAGGUUUAAUAUCUCUUCUAGUCCUAUCUUUAGCAAUAGAUUAUUGUGGUGAUGGUUGUGGUGGUGAGAGAGCAGCAACACCACUCUUCAUCCCUGAACUAGACUAAGAUGUAGAAUCUAGUAUGGAUCCUAAUUCAAUCUAAAACUCCACCUGUGUGCUUGAUUUCUGUUGCUUUUUUUUUUUUCAUAAGAAUCUCUAAAAGAUAAGUCACAAAGCAUAGCAGUUUCCUAAAAAAUAUCUUUAUUGAUUAUGACUUUAUUUGUUUUUGGACACCAUAACUUAUAUCCUUUAACACUAGACUUGUAGCCAAGGAAGAUAGAUUUUAUAAAUCUAGGUUCCAAUUUUCCAUUAUCAACAUGAGCAUAGGUAGGACAUCCAAAUAUCUUCAAAUUUGAGUAAUUAGCAGAAGUACUAGACCAUACCUCUUAUGGAGUCUUUUUGUCAAUAGCAGUUGAAGAAGAGCAAUUAAUGAGAAAACAAUCAAUAGUGGUAGCUUCAACCCAAAAAGAUUUAGGUAAACCAACAUUGGAGAGAAUACAACAUACUUUCUCCAUCAAAGUCCUAUUCAUUUGCUCUACCACACUAUUUGAUGUAGAGUAUGACAAACUGUGUGAUGCCUCACAAUUCCUUCUAACUUGCGUAGAGCAUUUAAUUCAUCAUAACAAAACUCCAAGCCAUUAUUAGUGCAGAGAUGUUUUACCUACUUCUCUAUCUACUUCUCAAUCAUAAUCUUCCAGUCCUUGAAUGUAGCUAGCACAUCACUCUUUUGCUUCAAGAAAAACACCCAAAAUUUUCUAGAAAAAUCAUUAAUGAUAGUCAACAUAUAACUAUAACCUCCCUUAAAAGGCACCCUAGAUGGUCCCUAAAGAUCAUAAUAUAUAUAACCAAGUGUCCCUUUUGUCUUGUGAAUGCUUUUUAUGGAUUUAACUCUCCUCUGCUUCCCAAAAAAGCAAUGCUCAUAGAACUUCAGUUUACUAAUACUUUGCCCAUUAAAAAUUCCUUUUAUACUCAGUUCAACCAUCCUAUUCUCACUUAUAUGCCCAAGAUGCAUAUGGCAAAGUCUAAUAACAUCACCAUCUGACAAUGAAAGAGUUGCAACAGUUGCAUCACCUGUAACUAUAAGACCUUGCAAGACAUAUAAUUUGGAAGACCUUUUCUACCCUUUCAUCAUAACAAGAACACUUUUGCUAACCUUCAAGACUCCACCCUCACCAAUUUACUUGUACCUUUUUGAAUCAAGAGUACUCAACGAGAUAAGAUUCCUCUUUAGAUCUAGGACGUGUCUCACAUCACCAAGUGUCUUAACAAGCAUAUCAAACUUUUUAAUUUUGAUCAUUCCAAUACUAGCUAUCUUAUAAGAUGCAUCAUUUCUCAUCUACAUAACACAUUUGGACAUUGUUUCAUAUGUUGAAAAAUAGUCCCGAUUGGGACACAUGAAAUGUGCAAUCGGAAUCAAGAAUCAAAUCUUUGUAAGGUUUGGAGUCGCUAUAAAAAAAAACUAGGAGUUUUCCAUCACUAUACUCAUCUUCUACAACACUGGCUUCACCAGAUUUUUCUAGUUGUUUUCCCUUCUGAUUUACAGCAACUUUCUUAUUCUUAUUCUGCAAUUUAUAGCAUUCAGAUUUGAUGUGCCCCUUUUUCUUAUAGUAUCUAUAGGUUUUUUGUCUUUAUUACUACAUUUCAAUAUGCCCCUCGCAUCACCACCAAAAUUCCUCUCCUAUAUCCUCUCUCAAACAACAAGGUCCUCUACCUGAGCCUUAGAUCCAAUCACAAGCUACUUCAUCUUUUCCUUAGAAUAUAAAGCAUAAAAAACUUUCUCCAGUAAGAGUGUCACGAUUAUACAAAAUAGUAUCUCUAAAAGUCGUAUAUAAAGAGGGCAACAAACAUAAUAAAAUCAACCCUAAAUCUUCUUCAUCAUACUAAACCUCCAUGGUCUCUACAUCAAAAACAAUUUCUUUAGAGACGGUUAAGUGAUCUUCUAAAUACAUACCUUCUGUUAUACGAUGAGAAUACAGUCACUAUUUUAGAUGUAACUUGCUAGUUAGACUUUUCAUCAUGCACAAGAAAUUUUUUCUUUCAGAAUGUCCUAUAAAAUUUGAUUUGACAUAUGAAGAUGAAUUUGAGAUAGGGCCUUUUGAUCAUUACGUUGUUUUUUCUCCGGUGUCCACGAUGAGGGCAUCUUGUCAAACCCUAAUAGGAUUAUACCAAAAAAAGAAAUCGAGUUACCAAACUCUAACAAGAUUCAAUAGGUUUCAUAUAUUUCCCUUAAACCAUACACUUGAAUUUAAAGGCUAUAAUCAAGAAACCUAAUGAAAUUUGGUACAAACUCAAUCACUUGACCUCUUUUUAAUUAACUAGGAGCAUUAGGUGACAAAAUAUUCACAAAAUCUAUCAAAACAAUGCAAAUUGUGUAUCCUGCAUAAUUCUUUGAGUAGUAAAGUAAUAUCCAUUGAAAUUUGAUCAUAGAGCUGAUAUUAAAUCAAUUACUUGAACUUAAAGGAAAAAAAUGAAGAGAAUUUUGUGAGGACAAACUAAAGUUGUGAGGAUUAAUCAAAAUAAAAAGUUGAAUUCAACAAAUUGGCAUUUCUCUAAUGGGUGCAAUUUGGCAAAUUAGUUUAACCUAACUCGAAUCUCGAUGAAGUUAAGAAAACAUUUUUAGUACUCAAGUUAAGAUUUGGUUGACUUUCUUAACCAAAAAUUAAUUUGGGUUGACCUCAAUUUUGGGCUUAGUUCAAACCAAUGCUUCAAGAAUCUAAGCCUAAUUAAACUCCAUUUAAUAUUUUAUAAUAUUUAUAGAAUGUAUUACUAUAUAAUAAUAUCAAUUUUUUUUCUAGAAUAAGUUCAAGGGAAAAAACAUCAAAAUAUAUUAAGCUAACUCUUAAAAAUUUGCCUACUCUUUGUGAACACUAUUUGGAAGGAAAAUUAAUAAGGAAGCCUCUUAAGAAAGCCCCAAAGGUAUAUCGUCCUUUUAGCCAAGGCAUUCUAAAGUACAAGGCCUAAUGAACAUGAGAGCUAAGCAUGGUGCCUACUACUUCAUCACAUUUAUAGACAAUUAUGUCUACAAGUCCAAAGAAUUACUCUAGUUUAGAUGUUAUAUGAAUAUUGUAGAAAACUGAAAAGAAAAAACUAUUAAAGCAUUAAGGAUAAAUCAUGGACAUGAGUAUCUAUUAAAGAUUUUUUAAAAUCUCUAUGAUGAAAAGGAAAUCCAAAGACAAUCAAUAGCUUCAAGGACUCGAUAGUAAAUUGGUUGAAUUGAAAAAAGUAACCAUAAACUUUUGGAUAUGGUUUACUUAAAAUGACAUAAGCCAACUUUCUAAUAUCCUUGGGGAGGAAGGGUUACUGUUUUGAUUGUAACUUAAAACUUGAAUAGAGUACCCUCAAAAUCAAUUACUUCAAACCCAUAUAGUUGUGAAAAAAAAGAAGUAAAAAACUAAACCUAACUCACUUGUGAUCCUAAGGCUUAGUAGGUUCAAUUCAUGUAAAUUCUCAUAUAUAUUGUGCUAUAAAGGAAACAAGUAAAUUUUCAUUAGAUAUUCUAAUAAAUCAAAGGUUGUGUGAUGCUUAAUGUACAACUCACGAGAGUAUAAUUGAAGUUAAGUCAUAUGAAGUUAGUUUCUUAUAGGAUGAUAUUUCGAGUAGAGGAGCAUUAAACAAGAGUCUUAAUUUAUUUAAGGCAAUUAAACCAAAGGAAAAUACUGUGAUAUCCCACAUCGAAUAUAGGAAAAAGUUCUUGACAUUAUAUAUGUAUGAGCUCCUCUUAAUUAUUUAGACACAUUUUAACAUUGUGAGGGCUCUUUAAACCCAAAGCAGAUAGAAUAUAUUUACAUAGUUGGGAGUGGGUCGUUAAAAAUGAUAUUAGAGUAUAUUCUCAACCCCAAUGUGGGAGUUUGUUUAGCCUCACAACGGAUAUUUGUUUGUUUGGUCUUGCAAUCCUAUGAGACAUAAUAAGUAUGUUAUGUCUCUCUGGGGGUGAUUGUGAUAUCCCACAUUGAAUAGGGGAAAAAGUUCUUAGCAUUAUGUAUGGACUCCUCUUAACCAUGCAAGUGUGUUUUAAAUCUAUAAGGACCCUUUAAGCUUAGAGUAAACAAUAUUUACAUGAUUAGAGUGAGUUGUUAUAGAUGUUGAAGAUCUUGCUAAGGAUAUGAGUGACUCGACAAUUUUCAAGACUAUAAUUUUAAGUAGUAGCCUACCACCUACUUAUGCCACCAAGUGGGAUUUUACCAUUACAUAUUAUUCACUAGAUUUAGAUGUUUGUGUAGAAAACUUGGAACUAUCCCAUCAUUGUCAUUGUGGGCAUUAGGGUGAAGCUUUCAUGUUUGCUUCAUAAGAUCAUGAUGUUGGGAUAGAGCUUUAAAAAGUAUGAUAUGAUGUAACCAUAAAUGGAGUUCAUUAAUACUUAUAUUAUGACUUCGAUUUUCUAUUCCCUAUCCUGUUCAUGAAUUAUGUAUAUUGAGCAUUUAAACCUACAUCACUUGCAUAGUACAUGGGUGAAUUAGGAGUUGCAUAGAAGAUCCCAAUCAUAGGUUCCUUGCAAGUUAAUAACUCAUUCACCAUUGGUUCAUGGACCUAGGUAAUCCAUCUGAGGUUAUAGUGCAUUAUCUCCUAAUUAGAGAGAUGACUUACCUUGGUCAUUAGGAUGGGUUUUCCAUGAUGAGAAACUAGUGUGUUUAGUUAUGCUGGGAAACCUAGAUCUUUUCAUUCCCAUAACCCUUGAUUGUAUAGGUGCAUGCAAAAUACCCUAGGCCUCUAGAUAUUAUUCAACGUGAGAAAAAAUCAAUUUUUUAAUAUUCUAGAACCUAGAGAAAAGUCAUUAGAAAACUUUAUCUUUGAUUUGGACAGUUCUCAAAUCAAUUUUGCUUAGUGAAGAUGAAGCUUAAAGACUCCAGAGGUCUCGUACACCUAAGAUCUUUCACCCAAUGACUCAAUCCACAAUCUUGCCACUCCAUGGUGUGGGCUUUAAAAGGGUAGAAUCCUAGGCUCACUUUCUUUUUCUAAAGAUAGAAGAUGAUUGAUCUUAAAAAGCAAUGAAAACCCUAAUCCUUAAGGGGUAUUUAUAGGGUUCUCCUACUAGACUUAAGUGACUUGAGCCCACCAAGACUUAGGUCACUUAAUCAAGCUCAAAAUUGGUCUUAAUUGAUUAAUUAAGCAUAUAAGGUCAUCUAAUUAAUCAAUUAGCCCAAUCCAAAGACCUUGUUUAUUAUCCCUUGUGUAACCUUUCAUAAUUACCAAAAUACCCUUAUACAUAAGAGUGAACUUAGAGUCAAUCCAACCCUCAUAAAACUAUGCCAUAAUGGUAUAUGAGCUUAGAGUAAGGACCAAUUGGAUAGAUAGGAGGACUAACUCCUUCAUAAUCCAAUUUUGGAGUUGAUUCAACAUUCCACUAAAGAGAAUUAAUGGAACUCCAUUACCCUAUAUGAAUAAUAAUGAGAUGAAGCUUAGAUCCGUGACCUACUAUCCAUUGCAUGUAGAGUCCCCAUGAACUAAUGUCUAUAAUCUAAUAAGGUAGUGUUAUCACCUGUCAAGAUUUUCUCUUCAAUACUUAAGUUAUAGAUCCCACUUAUUAUGUGAUCAAUUGACUUUAGCUUGAAGGAGUAUAUGUCAAAUUUCCAUUAAAGGAAUUAUUAUGGCCAUAGUCUUCUAGAUCACAUGUCCUUUGGAUCACCCAAUAGGACAUAUUUUCUCAAUCUAUAAGAUAUCAUGGUGCCUCCAUUGAGAAUAUUUUUUGCCACUAGCCUCCAUCAACAGUGAUCUAAUCCAUAAGGAUAUAUGGCCACUUUAGAGUCUCACUCAUAAGUCAAAACCUCAUGUUGGCUUUGACACUAACUUAAUAUCCUCUCAAGGUUGAGAGUCCUUACCGUAUAGUAGCAUGGUGUAUCAUGACAAUUGAUAGCCUUAUGUCUUGACUCACUAUAGGUCGAGUCUAGUGCAAAUCAUAUGCACUAGUGCACUCACCAUGGGAAAACCAUCCUGGCUAUCAAGAGAAGUCAUCCCUCUUAUUAGGAGGUAGUGCACUACAAUCUUAAAUGAAUUUCCUAAAUCCAUGAACCAACCAUGGACAACUUAUCACUUUGUAAGGAACCCAUAACUUUGGAUCUUCUAUGAAACUCUUAAUGCACCCAAGUCAUGUAUAGUGUAAGUGAUGUGGGGUGUGUAUGUUCAAAUAACCAAUUAAUGCAAAUGGGAUAAUAAUAAGAAACCAAGAAGCAAAAAUAAAUAAAUUUAUAAAAGAAUCUCUAUAUCUUACAUCAUGUCAUGCUUUCAAGGGCUUAAUCCCAAUAGGCUACACAUUAGAUAGGACUUAUGGUAAGUCAGACAUUAGUUAUUAGGUAGUCAUGACUUCACCAAACAACUUUGUUGCAUGAGCUCUCAACUUUGAGAGAAUAUUGAUCUAGUGCUAAGGUCUUCAAUGACUUUGACCUAUGAGAGAGACCCUAAAGUGGUCACAUAUUCUCUAUGGAUUGGGUUACUAUUAAUUGGGACGAACAGGUAUUCUCAAAAUAGGCAUCAUGAUAUCUUAAGGGUUUGAGACAUUAUGUUCCCUUGGGUGAUCCUAAGGACAUGUGACCAUGAAAACUAUGGCCACAAUAAUUCCUUAAGUGAAAUUUGACAUAUGCACUUAGACAGAUAUAGUAUGGCAGUUAAUAAAAUAAUAGGAGGAUUUAAGAUUAAAGGAUUAUAAAGGUAGUCUUGAAAGGUUGAUAACAUUCAUCUCGUUAAAUUAUGGAUACCAAUUCAUAGGAAGCUUGCAUGCAAUUGUUAGUAGGUCAUAGCCUCAAGUCUUCUAUCUCGAUCUAAUAUCAUAGGAUACUAAAGUGUAGUUGACUCUUUAUAGUUAGAUGUUGAGUCAACUUUAAAAUUGGAUUUUGAGGGAGCUAGUACUUUUUUAUGCAUCCCGAUGGUUCCCACUUGAACUCAUAUUCCUUGGUGACAUAUUAUUUGAGGGAUAGUUGGGUUCUUUAUUCAUAUGUGUGCAUAAGAGAAUUUUGGUAAAUACAGAAGGUGACACAAGUGAUUAUACAAGAGGUAAAUAUAGAAAAAAUGAUACAACCAAAAUGAGAGUGUAAAGUAAAAUAAUAAACAGAAUAAUAAAAAACUUCUUAUGAGUACUAAGGUUUGCCUCAACUCUCCUCAUUCAAACCAUUAUCAUGCCUUUGGAUUUGGAAUUAUACCAAAUAAACAUUCAAAUCACUUUUCUUAAUGGAGAAAUGAAUGAGAAGAUCUAUGUAGAUCAAUUGACUUGUUUUAUGGCAACUAAAUAGAAGGGUAAAGUUAACAACUACGAAGGUCUGUUUAUAGCCUAAAAUAAUCUUCUAAACAAUGGUAUAUUACACUAAUUGGUUUAUGAUGGUCUAAGAACACUACUACAUGUUUAUUAAAUGGAGUAAAGGUAUAUUCUUUAUUUUUAUUUUUUUCUAUACAAAUGACAUGUUAGUUAGGGAUGACAAUGAGAUCGUCAUUGCCUCUAAAGUGUGGUGGUCAUCAAAUUUUAAAAUGAACAACAUGUUUAAAGCAAACUAUGUGCUCAAAGUUAUGAUCCUAAGCAAUCAAUAAAGUAGAAUUUUUCGUUUGUCUUACAAAUCAUACACAACAAAUAUUCUUGAAAAAAUUCUAGAUGUAAAAUUGAAAACCUAUUAGCACACAUAUAGAGAGAGUUAAAACCUUAAGCUUUAACAUGUGUCUAAGACUUUGGAUGAAAAGAAAAAGAUCACUCAAGGUUCCUAUAUAUGCUAGCAUUGUUAGUUGCUUAAAGUACCCAAUGAUAUGAACAUGAACUAAUAUUUAUUACAUAAUUAGGUUAGUAGGUUCCGGUUAGAUCCAAACCUUGCUUACAAGAAAGUAGUGAAUUGGAUGCUUUCUUACCUCAGAGGCACCAUAGGGUGUAUAAUUGUUAUUGAGGAUUGAAUUUGCACUUGAUUGGCUGUAACAAUGCUAAUUGGGGUAGCAUCCUAAAUGAACCCAAAUCCACAUAUAAUUAUAAUUUUAUAUAUGCUCCAUGAUGUUAGCAUAUAUUGGAGAAGUAGAAAACAAUCAUUUAUGACAUUGUCUAUCAUGGAGUUAGGAGUACAUUACUUAUCGUUUAGGAAAGUGACUAGUUUACAAUGUUCUUACAUAUGUUUUAUAAUGUUUCAUGUGCUUUUGAGCAUACUACUAUUUAUUGUGAUAGCAAGGAAGCUUUAGCCUAUGCCAAAGAGCCCCAACUAUCAUAGUUGAACCAAACACAUCAAUCUUAAAUAUUAGUUGUUAUAAGACAUGGUUGCAUAGGAACAUAUUUCUACACGUUUCAUGGUUACAGACUGAACCCCCCAUCCCUCCAUUGACUAAGUUAAUACGUAAAUAUGUUUAUUAGGGUCAGGUUGAGAACAUUGGAUUAUGUAGAUCAUGAUUACAUAGGAGUUAAGUUGAGAGCAUUGGAUCAUGUAGAUUAUGAUUCCAUAUUGUAUAUUUCAAUUAACCAUUAUACCUAGGAUUUAUUCAUUGUUCAAUCUUGUUUGAUGGUGGCAUGUUAUUUGCUUUACUUUAUUGGCAUGCACUUUCAUUACUUUGCACAGUGAGCAAAGUUGAAACAUAAUGAGUCUGAACCACUUAGAUAGUGUGCUAGGUCAUUGAUCCUUGUUGUGUCCAAUAUGACUUAUAUGUUAGUAGUGAAAGAGACCAAGUAUAAAUAGUCCUAUAGUCCAUACUUUACUUGUAAUGGAGUUAAUUGCCAAAUGACAUUAAUGUAGUGCUUGAUUUAGCAAGCAUAUGCAAAACUUAAGUUCUUUGCUUGAUGCAACUGAACUAAGAUUUGUAUGAUAUAGAAGAACUAAGGUACACUCAUAAUGAAGAUCUCCAUGGUAGCAUGCAUUUUCAUACUAUAUCUUCUUGGCAAUCAAAUAAGAAUGAAUGAAUAGAUUCCUCCUUCCUUGUCAUGUGUAUUAAUCUUAUAUAGGUCAUUAUAUAGUAUAACUUUUAUGCUCUUGCAAUUUUCAUUCAUAAGUUAUAAGUAUGGUGUAUUUUGAAAUAUUUUUCUAAAGGGAUUAAUGAUGCUUAAUUCAAUGUGAAUAAAUGUGUUUAAGGUAUAACAAGAAACCUUUUGGGAUGAAUUAUACAAGUUGAGAUGAAAUUUAUUUUAAUACUCCACCUUUCUUAUCAAUGUGUUCCAUAGUUGUACAAUCCAUUAGUCAAUAUGAACAUGGAUGAUAAUGAUAUAGUUGAGAGAUGCAUGACAUUGUUUUGCCUAGUAUGCAUGAGUGGGAGACAAUGGAGUUUCUAUUUCAUGAGAUACUCUCAGUAGGACUUUAUCAACUAAGAGCUUGAGAGUAAGUUGCAUACUUAUCAGUUAAGAUUCCUCUUGUGAGAGGAGGUUCACAUUCAGAUUUGGGGAGAAUCUAUAAGAGUUGUUCAUGUUUUGCAAUUCCAAUUCUAGUCCUUUCCCAUGUUUUCAAUUUAGAUUGUCGCAAUUGUUAAAUAUUUUUACUUUAGUCUUUAGCAAUUAUAAUUUUUUAAAGCUUGCUAUUUAGGUUUAGAUUUACUAGAUGCUUAUUAGAUAUCUUAAUUCUUGUUGUAUUCUCCUUGGUUAAUAAUCUUUGAUUGUGGAGUUCAAAGCUUUUUACCAAAAUAGGGAUAACGGUUUUCAAUGUUAGGGAAAGCAUUUAAUAAAAUUAAUUCUUGAAUAAGUUGGCAUGCUAAAUCUUUCAAUUGAACCUAAUAAGUUUACAUACUAAAUCUCUCAUUUUCAACCUUGGUUGUUUCCACUCUUUGCAAUUUAAUUAGGUUUUCUUUAUAUAUAUGUGUGUGUGUGUGUGUGUAUAUAUAUAUAUAUAGAUAGAUAAUUUAUUUUGUGUACCUAUAUAACUAAGUUUUUGAGUAAUUAUGAGUUGUAUUGUUACAUUUAGUAGAAUUUGACAAACUAAAUAAAUGAAGUGCUUACCUUUGAAAAAUUGAGUCCAAUAGCACAUUUGUGUGGAUAGGUCACAUCUACCAACUUGAUUCUCCAUGCUUCCUCUAUUAGGUUGACUAAGAAAAUAGUUUAAUUUCACAGGAGCACCUUAAGGACAAAAAUAUCAAGAAAAGUGAAGGAAAAUUAUGCUUCAUCUAAUAUGACUAUAGGACUUAAAUGGAAAAAAACAUAAUAAUAUAAUAGUUAUUAUAAUGAAUAUAAUAAAAAUAAAAUUUUUCAUGAUCUUCCCAAUACUCAUAAAGCCCCUUUCAAUGAAACUUUGUAAGCUCUACUAACACAAAAUAAUAGUCUGUAUAGUAAAAGCUCAAUAAAUGAGUGCUUGAUAAAUUAAUAACCUUAUUUGAAUAACAGAACCUUCUGGUCUUAACUCAGGCUAGUGUACUAAAUUAUAUAUAUAUAUUAAAAAGAAAUUCAUAAUACAAUAUUAGGUAACUUUUUAUAACUUUUAUUUUUCUAAAUUCACUUGUUUUGGAAUCAUCACAUAUUUAAAAUAUCUUUAUCUUUUACAACAUUAAGUUUUGAUGUCAUACCUAUUUUUUUAGGAGUCUUUCUAUCUUUUACAAUCAAUAACGAUCCUUUUUUUUUAGUCUCUUAGGUUUCUAUGUAUUAUCUUUUUACCAUAUGAAUUAUUUUUAAAUUUAUAAGUCAUACAUGUACCAAUAUUGUAUACUAAUAACAUAAUACUCUUUAUAAAUUAAUGAAUAUUCAUUUAUCGAUAAAUCUAAGAUAAUAAUUUUUCUUGGUCCCAAUAACAUUAUUUUAUAAGAUUUUACCCUAUAUACUUCCUUCAUUGUAGGAAUUUCUUUAGAUUAAUAUUUUUAAGUAAUAGUUGUACUUAAAAAAAUAUAUAUAAUGGAAGUUAAGAGAAUUUUGAAGUUAUAAAUUAGUGUUUUAUAUCAUUUGUUUGUCUAUGAAUGCUAAAACCAUUGUCAAAUAAAAAGAGUAAAUAAAGUAAUUAGUUAAAAAUUAAAUAAGUGACUUAAAAUUACUACUUUGGUACAUGUUUGUUUGAGGUAUAGUAGAUCGUAAGAAAUAAAAUCCUCUAGUUAUGUUUAUUUGAUAGAAUAAAAAAGUGAGUGUGUGGUUGCUCUACAAGAGAAGACCACACAUUAGUCAAAGAAAAAGUAACCAGAAAGCUUGCACAAGUGUUGAAUGAUCAAUCUCUCACCUAAGUGCACUAAUGAGAAAUAAAUGUUGAAUUAAACCAUAGUCAUGCACUCGUGCCAAGGCUCAUGCCUCCAUAUGGGAAAACCUUAAUUGCUCCAAAGUUUAAAAGUGGCCACAUCCUCUAUGCCAGGUAAGUAUUCCAAAAAUCAAGAAAGUUAACCUUUGAGUUGAUGCUUAUUUAUCUAGCAGUUUCCUCAUCCUUCUUACUAACUUGACCUUCAAAGGCUUUAUGACCAUAAGGAGCCUAGAGUGCUCACUUUUAGGUUCCUUAUGAUUGUAGGGUCCUAAUGAUCCAUUGAAGUAAGAAUGUGAACUAGGAGUUGGAAAAAUGGUGUCAUCUAUGGGAAUGCAUUAAAAGCCUUGAAGCCAUGUUUAAACCCAUAGUGGCGGUUGGGCAAUAGAAGAACCUCAUGCAAUGGACUCUUGGUAGGAAAAGGUAAUCAUGACAAAUAUGAGGUGGAGAAAGGAGUGAGAGCAAACCUUUCAACAUAUGGAGGAGCUUACUAAAAUAAGCAACUAACUCACUCAAGAGAAUGUUGCCUUUAGGGUAAGGGUGUAAGAGUACCAGUGUGAUCUUAAUCAACAGCUCUCAUUGGUUUGCACCAAUAAGAUUCAAGUCAGUGAAUAAUAGUUAUCAAAGCAAUUAGACCGACAUAUAGAUUAAAUUAGGGAAGGAGGGUGGAGGGGACCUUAAUCAUACUAACUUACCAAAGGCCUCAAUGCCUUAGGGCUUCUUGCCACCAUAGCUACCAUUAGAUGUAUAACCUUGGUGAAUAAGGAGAUUAAGCCUAGGGCCCUUCAGGAGAAGGUUGCCACAUGAGGAUUUUCCCUUCCAAAUUCAAUUUCUUUCAAUGGAACUUAAGACCCCCUAGACUACUCAUGCAUUUCUAGCAUAUAAUGAUCCCAAAAAAGGGAAAUGAUAGACUUUUAUUCAAGAUCUUCCUCUCCAGCCUCCAAGGACUAACUUUCUAUUGGCUUUAUCAACUUCUGUUAUGGUUUAUUCCUGAUAUGGAAACCUUAAGGUGAUGUUUGCCUCCUAGUACAUGAACUUAACAAGAUAGAAGAAAAGCCUUGACCAACCCAAGGUGGUUAUAGCUACCAUCCAUGAGGGAUCAUUCACUAGAUUUGAGUAACUAGGUAGGGUAUCAGGAUAUUAUAGAAGCAAAUGGUGAUUCAAGUAAAAGUCCACACAACCUUCUAUGAAGUAACUACCACUUGCCUAUAUGCCAUAUGCAUCUUUAACAAAGACUUAAGAGGACUCCAAGCCCUGCACAAGAUUUAUUGGUUAUUAGUUUAAGGAUUAUUGACUAAGACAUGCAUCUAUUCUUAGUUGACCUAAGGAGUUUAGCUAACUUACUAAAUAUAUUAGCCCAUAUACAAACAAAUGAAUAUGGAUAAAGGAAAACUAGUGUCGACUCUAGGGUAAUUGGUAGGACUAGAUAAAGUCUUGCGUGGGUUAACUAGGGAAGUCACUCUAAUAGUUUUAGUUGGUUGCUGCCAUAUAAUGACACAAUUCUUUGUUAUGGAUAUCAUUUUCCCUAUAAUACCAUUAUGGGAUGACCUUGGAUAUACAACCUAAAAGGCAUACUCUUCACCUACCAUCACAUCAUUAAAUUCGUAACACUAUAAGGAAUAUGAGAAGUAUAUUAGGACUAGGUGGUAGCAUGAGUGAUACACCAUAGCCCUUAAAGCGGUUAGGAAGUGCAUCAAUCGGGACCCAUAAGAAGUUCAUAAAUCAUAAAUCUAAUAACAAUUAACAGAUGACCCUAAAAGGCAGUUAGAGAACCUAGGGAGUCAUUACUUUAAAGGCCCUAAACCCAGGAAGUUCCUCUUGGCUCAUGCAAAAAAUGAUGUCUUAAGAUGGUUACUGGAAAAGAACCCAUCUUCGCUUGGAAACAGUAGGACAUGGUGGGUAUCAACCCCCAAGUUGCAUAUCACUAACUCAACAUAAACCUAGGUGGUUAGCUCCUUAAAGACACUAGAUUGUGAAAGAAAAGGUAUCCAGUUUCUUAGAUACUAGAUUUAUAAGAGAGGUAAUUUGUCCUAGUUGGUUAGUGAAUAAAAAUCAUCAUACCUAAGAAGACGGGAAAGUGGAAGGUAUGCCUAGACUAUACCAAUUUAAAUAAGGAUUUCCUUAAGGAUAGCUAUUCCUCACCUUGAAUAGAUUAGUUAGUCGAUGCCACCUUUGAUUAUAAGUUGAUUAUGUUCAUGGAUGUGUAUUCCAAGUAGAACCAAAUAAGCAAGCAACAAAGAAAAAAUAGCCUUUAUUAUCGGAUUAGUAACAUAUUGCUAUCAAACCAUGCUCUUUGGCCCAAAAAAAUUAAGGCUACCUACAAAUGUUCGAUCAUCUAGGUCUUUUAACUAUAAAUAGAAGUCAACAUGAAAGUCCACAUUAAUAACAUGUUAGUAACAUAUAAGAAAAGGAACAAGUACUUGAUUGACUUCCUAAGAACAUUUCAAACUCUUUGAAAGUACUAAAUGAAACUAAAUCAAUGAAGUACACCUUUAAUGUAGGGUGUGGAAAGUUCCUUAAGUGCUUGGUUACAUACAAAUGAAUAGAAAUUAACCUAGACCAAAUAAAAGCAACUUUGGAGAUAUCAAUGACUAAAAUUGUUAGAGAAGUCCAAGAGCUCACUAACAAGAUUGGUGCUUGAAAUAGAUUCAUAUAUUGGAUAAUGAAUAAAUGUCAUCCUUUCUUCGACAUCAGCAAGAAUGGAAAAUGGACUAAAGGAACCAAAAAGUGCAAAUAAGCUUGCGAAUGACUAAAGCAUUACAUGAUGCUACCCCCCAUUUUGGAUAAACCUUCGGAUAAGAAGGUCUUAUAAGGUCUUAUAAGGUCUCAUUAGCAACUAUAAGUGGAAUAUUUGCUCAAAAAGAAGGAAAAGAGGAGCAACCAAUGUACUAUGUCUAAAAAGCCCUCUUAGGUGUGGAAACGUGAGAGUAUAUAUAAAUAUUGAAAAGUUGGUGCUUACCUUUUAGAUCACCACACUAAAACUUCAAUGUUAUUUCCAAGUGCAUGUUAUUAAGGUAAGGACCAAGUGAUGAAAACUCAAACUUAACACUUUAAUGGCUCUAAAGAGCCUACUUUGGUGUUUUGAGGCACUAAAAAAUUAACCCAAUGUUUUGUUUUGUUGAUAAUACCUUAGAAUAUUAUGUUUGAUGCAUUCUAUGAGCAUUCUACAGGCUUUAAGGUGUUUUUGGUGCAAUAGAACCUUGUUGGGAACUCAUGGAGACAAAAAUGCCUAAGUAGGAAGGAAACACAUAUUGCACACCUAAAAAGUGUGCAAGACUCAAUCAUGCACUUUGUUUUUAGCGUAGAGCCACAUAGUGAUGGGAAAAUCCUAGAUCUCUUUGUUUCCUAAGCUCGGAUUAGGUUAGAAACAUACAAAACUAUCCUAGGCUUUUCUAAAUCCUAUGCAUAGUAGAAAAUUUGCAUUUUUAAACUUUAUACGGAUUUAGAAUAUGCUAAUGAAAAAUGUACCUGAGAUUUGAAUGUUCUUGAAUCGAUUCUACGCAAAGAAGAUGAAGAAUGGAGUCCCAAGAACUCUUGUAAACCCCGAGCCUUUCGCCUUAUAACUUGAACCUUAAUCUUGACACACUUUUGGUAGGGAUAGAAGGAAGGGUAGAGGCUAUGAUUCUCUUUCUAGAGAUGGAAGAAGCCUUUCUAGAAAAAGUUAUGGAAACCCUAAGCCCUAAGGGGCUAUUUAUAAGGUUUUCCCACUAGGCUUAAGUGAUUUGAGCCCACUAUAGGCUUGGGUCACUUAAUCUUAACCCAAAACAGGUUCUAAUUGAUUCAUCAACCCAAUAGGGCCUACUAAUUAAUUAAUUAACCCAAUCUAGAGACCUUGUUCACUUACCACGAUGCAAUCUUGCGUAAUUACCAAAACUCCCUUAUGCACAAAAGUGAACCUAUAGCUAAUUCGACCCUCAUAACCCAUGCCAAUAAGGUAUAUGAUCUUAGAGCAAGGACCAUUGGGACCCAUAAGAGUACUAGCUCCCUCAAAAUCCAAUUUUGAAGUUGAUUCAACAUCUUACUACAAAAAAAAAUCAACUAAACUAUAAUAUCCUAUGUAAAUAACAACAAGACACCAUGUGUUAAUGUCCGUGACCUACUAUCCAUUGCGUUUAGUCUUCCCAUGAACUGGCGACCAUAGUCCAACAAGGUGAAAACUAUCAUCCUUUCAAAACUACCUCUACUAUCCUUGAGUUAUAGAUCCUCUUAUUUUGUGUUCAAUUGACAUGUAUUACCUCUUAAAGAGUCUAUGUCAACUUCCACUUAAGGAACUACUAUGGCUAUAGUUUCCAUGAACACACUUCCUUAGGAUCACCCAAAAGGACACUCUAUCUCAAUACUAAGAGAUAUCAUGGUGCUUUUAUCAAGAAUUCAUAUUGCUAAUAGCUUUCAUCAAUAGUGACCCAAUCUAUAGGAAAUAUAUGAUCAGCUUAUGAUCUCACUGGUAGGUUAAAUCUACUACUAACUUUAGAACAAACUUAAUAUCCUCUCAAGGUUGAGAGACAACACAAUGAAGUAGUUUAGUGAAGUCAUGACUACUUGAUAGCCUUAAGUCAUGACUCAUUGCAGGUCUUGUCUAAUGUGUAACCACACACACUAAUGCACACACCAUGGGAAACCCAUCCCGAUAGUUAGAACAAGUCAUCCAUCUAAUUAGGAGGUGAUGCCUUACAACCUUUAAUGGGUUGCCUAGACUCACGAAUUGGCUAUGAAUAAGUCAUCUAUUUGCAAGGAACUGUGAUUAAUUUAGAUCUUCCUUGUAACUCCUAAUGCACCUAAGUCAUGUAUAAUGCAAAAGAUGUAGGUUAGAGUGCUUACAAGGUAUAAUGCAUGGAAAUAGGAUAUAUAAAAGUGAACUAGAACUUUAUUAAACAAAUAAUAAAAUCCUAGAGUUUAUUACAUCAUGUCAUGCUUUUGAGGACUUUAUCCUAACAUAUAAUGCACCUCCCAUGUAUGUAUUGAAGACCAAACACAUAAGAGCUCUCUAAUGUAUUGGACCAAAUUUUGCAUCCUACUCAAGCAACUCAAUCUAUAAACCUCUUAAGUGCUCUAAGCCAAAAUGUUGUGCACCCCUUUGCUUAAGUCAGCAGGAUGUGUAGUAGUACACCCCCUUGAUGUCAUCUAAAUUACAAACCAUUCUUACCUCUACAAUAGCUAUGUCCUCCCAAAGUAGCAUGUUAUUUAUAAAGUCUUCAAUUCUAUUACCAAAACCUACUCGAUGUUGAUUGCAUAGAGAAAAAAGUGCAACUCCCAACCAUAAGCUAACAUAUCAAGAAUGAUGGUGGGUUGACUACACUGACCAAGGAUCUGACCCUCAAUAUAGGCAAGAGACAAGUCCAGAUGGGUUGGUGUUGGAGUAGUUGGAAUGGAGAGAGUAUUUUUUACCUAUAAAUGGAGGAUUGUAAAUAUAUAAGUAGAAGCAAAUUAUAGAAAGCGAAAUAGUAGAUAAGUUUUUCUUCUCGUAGGAAUAGGAGUAACUUAAUGUAGUUUUAGUUUUUAGUUUUCCAUUGUGAUAUUUUUAUUUCUUUAUAAACUUUCCCUAAUUUCUAGUUUAAUGGAUUUUACAAUCUUUUUUAUUAAUCUUACAUUUCAAUUUUUCAUUUUCAACUUACAAAUUUACAUUUUCAGUUACUUCCUUAAUUUUUAACAUACUUAUAUAACCUUUGACACUCUAAGAGGUGAGAGGAGCUUAGGUCUCCCAUCAAUAAGUUUAGCUCUCUACUCAUUUAUUUAUGCAUUAGUUAUAAAGAAUUUGAUAUCUAUCGGUAGUUACGAUGACCAAAAGGAGUAACCAUGGGCAGAAAAGUCUAUGUUACACUGGUUGUGGGGGUUGUAAUUUAAGUAGCCUUGGGAGCAUAUUUUGGCAUUGUUUUAAUAAUUUUUUCAACUAAGUAUAGGCUUAUUGACAUGAAAAGAACCUCAUCUAAAUCAUUUGGUUGCAAGGAUAAAAAAAAAAGAGCAGUUAGAGGGAGAUGAACCUUAUUAAGACGGUUAUUGUUCAUUUCAAGCAAGAACCUUUUGUGGUAUAGAUCCUUGGAUUAAUCCUAAACUUGAAAGCAUAAGUUCACAACCUCGUUGGUAAGUUGUAUUUGAAAAUGGUGAUCCUAAUAAAUCUCUUGUUUUUGGGUUUUCUUUUCUUUAAUUUUCUAUCUUUAAAACUUUUUGUGUGUGUGUCUUUUAUUUAUAAAAUCAUUUUUCUAAUCUUUUAGCUAACAUUCACACCCCUAAAGCUAUUACCUCAGUUGCUACCAAUUUAUAAUUCCUUGUGGAGGCAACCUAACGGCUAUACAACUAUUAGUUUUUUUUUUUUUGGUUCAAGAGUUGAGAGUUUUAAUUAAUGAUCUAGUUUAAUUCCUCUUUGUAAAACUUGACUAUUAAAUAUAUUUUUAAAUUUUGGUAAAAAAAGGAACUAGAGAAUGACAAACAAAAAAUUAGUGUUGUUGCCAGGGACUUUUCAACAUUGACUACUCUAGAGGUAUUUUUGGGUAUAUGUUUGUUGUUUUAAAAGCUUAGCAAGUAUAUUUCACCCAUUCCCUACCUAUCUUUUAGUUGGAUUUUUAUUUAUUUUUACUUAAUUUGUUUUAUUUAGAUUUUUUUUUCUUUAUUUUUUUUGCUUAGUUUUCACUUUCAAUUGUUAAAUCUAACAUUACAAGCAUGUUCUUUAUUAGGGAAAUGAUUUUAGAAAAAAGACACUAAGUAAUCAACCAAACCAUAGUUAUCAUUUUCCUCAACACAUUAGACCAUAACCACCUUAUAUCUAUUUUCCAAAUUCAAGCAUUGGUAGUACUAAUAGAAGUAUGAUGAAUGGGGAUUUUAACCCAAAUAACUAGCUAGCCAGGACCAUAAGGGUUACCUACAACCCAAGUCAAUGCUUUCUUUUAAUUGAUAUUUCCUUUUGAAUAUUUUCAAAUAAACAUUGAGCUUGUAAUGAUCCAAUUGGUAUCUUUAUCUUAUGGAAGGGAUGAUGAAAAUCCUUAUACUUAUUUAAAAUAAUUUGAAGAGCUAUGGUCUAUUUUGGUAGAACCUUCAUGAAAUCUAGAUCAUUUGAAACUCAAGGUUUUUUUUUUUUUUUCAUUAAAGAAAAAGGCUAAGCAUUAGAGGUAUAACCCAAGACUCUAUAGUAUAAGUUCUUGGGCUACUUUACAAAAUAUUUUUAAUAUUUUUUUAUUUAUUUUUUGUUUUGUAAAGAAGGAGACCUUGCAUAAUUGUUGGGAUCAGUUUAAAGCUUUGUUGCUCAACUUCCUUACCAUAGUUUUGAAAACUUAAGGAUUGCUUCUGCUUUUUAAAAGAGACCAUCUCCCUAAAUGAAACAAUUUGUUGAAAACAUGAGUGAUGGUUAAUUUAUAUAGGAGAAACCACAAGAAACACUUAAACAUUUAAAUUUGCUUGCUGAAAAAUCAAGGGUUUGGAACCCCUUAGUCCCUCGAGUACAUCUUCUGGAACUUGAAAACCAACCCCAACAACAUAUAGUCUCUCAUCCCAUCUCUCAAUUUAUCAUUUUCUCUUGGAACAAGAUUUUUGAAGAAGAUGAUCUUUGGAUGCUAUAAGAGGAGGAAGUCGCUGAAGUUGAGGAAAAGGAAACUAUGUACAUAGUAGAUUGAAAUGAAUUUGUUGAAUAAGAAUUAGUUGAAGAAGAGAAUUUCCAAUAGGUUGCAAAUAAGUUUGUAAGCUUCAUUUUAAAAAAAAAAUUUCAAAAAUAGAAAAAGAAAACUAUAAAGAGUAAGAAACAAAGAAGGAAUGAAACAAUGUAUUACAUUCUCACACUAGCUUUAUUCUUCCUCAGUUUUCCUUCUCGUUGCAAACUAAAAAUAUUGAGCUUCAAUUUUUAGAAGCUAGCCAACAAUUUGUAAAAAGCUUUCACUUUUCUUUUCUUCAUUAUUUUUAUUUAUGUUGCUCUUGCAACUUGAGUGUGUAGUAGCACCAUCAUUGUGAAGCCUGUAAUAUUACAUUCUCAGUACACUCAAUGCAUUUGGGUGACCUAUAUCAUCUCAUAAGAACUCAAGUAUAAAUUUCUCCACACUCUAUUGGUUUCAUCAUGAUUCAAAGUACGUGUAAAUUGUUAGCACUAGGAAGGCGCACAAAAGUGUUGGAAAUAUAGGAAUUCCAUACCUUUGAGGUGCAUUGCCCAACUUGUAUGAUGACUUAAAUUGUGCAUCUAUAAAGCACAACUCAAAUUGUACACCUUGAAAGCAUGACUUAAAUUCCAUACCCUAAGAGAAUAAUUUAAAUGGUACACUCAAAAGAGCGCAACUAAAAAUUACAUACCUUUGAGCAACCUUUUAUAUUGCAUAGCUUAUGUGUGCACAAUUUAAAUUACACAUCAUAAGAGUGCAAUCAUUUCCCAUGGGAUGCCAACUUAUUCUUUUGUAUUAUUAUCCAAGCGUGUUGUCCCUAGUAAAAAAUCUUUAUUCUCUUAUGCAAACUUUUUGGAAGAAAAAUAUCUUCUUAAACAAAACCAUAAUUUCCUAUAAUUUCUUAGAGACUUUUGUCUAUCCCACCAUCAAUGUAUCAAUUAUGGUGUAGGUAGGAAAUCGAGCAGCUUUCUAAGUUUUAUAUAAAGGAAGUAAUUUUAAUACUGUUUGCAUGUGCUCAAACAAGAACACACACAAUAGUGCAAUAUGAAAACUCUGAAGAAUGGUAAAAACCAAAACACUGAGCCUAAAUGAGACAAUGAAGAGAGCUAAAAAUGAACAAUCAAGCCAAUUUAUUGAAGUAAAGGUGACUAAACCAGUCACUAUAGUAGCCAUAAUACUAGAACAACCCAACAGAGCAUUUAGUAGAAUGAACAUUCAAACAAAAAAAGAAUCACGUUAAGGUUAAUAGCGUUGACCACGUCUUCAAUUAUUAUUGCUUAAUCUUUAGGAUAAUAACAUCAUAUAAUGAGCAUUUGAAGCUAACAAUGGGUGAUAUUGAACUUUGUCGGUCAAUCUCACCCUUAGUGAAGAAUUCAAUUAAGUAAUAGUCAGAGGUUGAACAGGAUAAACAAAAAUACCCCCAAGGAACUCAAAAUCUCAAGACUAUACAAUUUUUCAAGAGCCCCUGAUAAAUAUAACUUCUUUACCUAAUUUUUGCAUCAUUUUUGUUUUCUUUACCUUUUUCUUUUAACAAUCAAAUCAAGUAAAAUAAGCUUAGUUUUAAAUAUUUUAAUUCAAGCUCACAUCUGGAAUUAAUCUACUUAAAUGACUUAUUAAAAAUCAUCAUCUAAGUAAUGAAGUACCAUAGUGAACUUAGAGGAACCAAAAAGAAAUGAGUUUUCCUAAAAGUUUCUCUUUAAUCUAGUCUCACACACCAUGCACUAUAGUGUUAGGGUACUCAUACUUCUCAGGAGAAGAACUGGUGGCAACUUGAGAAAUAGAACAAACUCAUUGUAGAUAAAGUGUUAUGAUAAGAUUUGCUAUCACCAACAUCCUAUAGGAGGACGCAAUGAAGAGCAACUAAAGGAAUCCAUUUAUUACUUGAAGCUUGGUGGUAAUUCCCCAAGGGUGCUUUAUCACCUAGUGCCUUAUACCAACUGGUCUGGGAGUCAUAUAUUGAAAUCCAUUACAUAAGCAACAAGAAGGUGACAAAGUCUACAUUCUUUGAUGAAUGAACUUUUAAUUUUUCAAAAAACAAAAAGGGCGAGUGGAGGAAGGGAAGUGAAAGUAUAUUAAGGAAAACAAUUUGUCUCAAACUUAUGCCCUAGGAACUUGCUAUUCCUAAGACUAAGGGGUGUUAGUUUGAAAAAUCAAAAGAUAGAGGAAGGGAGAAACAAUAGUAAAAACUACUAAACUUAAGGAACCUUUUGUAUGCGAAGAUCUAGUCACACCUAAGUAAGGGCUGAUUUGAAAAUUUUCUUUUAAUGUAUUUAUUUUGUUUCAUUUGAGCUCUCUUACUUUUUGCGUUUUCUAACUCAAACUCAACACUUUAAUGGCUCUAAAUAUCUCACUUUAAUGUGUGAGGUACUCAGAAUUAACCUAAUGCAUUGUUUGACAAUACCUUAAACAACUAUAUUUGAUGAAUUUUGUGAGCAUUUUGUAGGCUUUAAGGUAUUUUUGGUAUAACAUAGCCUUUUUGGGAACUUGCAUGGACAAAAAUGUGUAAGUAUAGAGCAAACACAAAUACCUCACCUCUUAGGUGCACAAGACUUAAUAACAUGCCUCUUUUUUAGUGUAAAUCCAUAGUACACCUCCCAUGUACACCCUAAAGACCAAGUUGUGCACCCACUCAAACACCUUAAUUUGCACCUCUCUUAAGUGCUCUAAGCCUAGCAGUUGCAUACCUUUUCACUUGAGUCGGUAGGAUGGCCAGAGGUGCAACUACUCAAGAUCUAAAAUGUGCAAUCUUUUUUCAAUAAUAGAAUGCACUCUUAGGGGUAUUCUAACCUUACAUACCAUUCAUAUCUCCACAAGAGUUGUGUACUUAAUCAUUCUUCUAAUUAUUAGUGUACUCACAAAAGUAGCACAGUCAUGCAUGCAUCAAAGUCUUCAAUUGUAGUACCAAAACCUACGUAAUGUCGACAACACAAAAAAUGAGGUGUAGCUACCAACCCCAAGCUAAUACAUUAAGAAUCAUGAUCAAUUGACUACAUUGACAUAGGACUAAAUUUUGGUGUUGGAGUAGUUGGAACAAGGGGAAAUUUUUUUGCCCAUAAAACUAGGAUUGUAAAUAAGUAGAAAUAGAUAAUAGAGAAUUAUAUAUUUUUUCUUCCUCAUACAAAUAAGACUAACUUGAUGCAGUUUUAGUUUUCAAUUUUCAUUUGUAAUCUUUUCUUUUCUUUAUAAAAUUUCCCUUAUUUCCAAUUUAAUGAAUUUUCUAGUUUUUUCAAUUGAUCUUACUUUUCAAUUUUUUAGUUUUAGCUUAUAGAUUUAUAUUUCUAUUGAUUUCCUUAAUUUUUAACAUGCUUAGAUAACUUUUAACACUUUAAGAGGUGAGAGGAGUUGAGGUCUUCGAUAUCUUAGUUCAACUCUCUAUUGGUUUAGUUGUGCAUAGCUACAAAGAAUUUGAUCUUUGUUAGUAGUUACAAUGACUAAAAGGAGUAACCAUGGGGAUAAAAGUCUAUGUUGCAUCGGUUGUGACGAUCACAAGUCAAGCAACCUUGGGAGCAUGCUUAAGCAUUGUUUAAAUGAUUCUUUUAACUAAGCAUAAGCCUACUAACAUGAAAUAAAAAAAUAAAAAAAUAAAAACUAUCUAAAUCAUCUAGUUGCAUGGAUCCAAAAGAGGGCAAUUAGAGAGGAAACUUAUUCAGGUGGUUCUUGUUUAUUUCAAGAAGCAAUCUUUUUGGGUAAAAACCCUUAGCCUAAUGUUAAAGCCAAUAUCAUAGGUUCAGAGCCUUAGUGGUGAGUUGUACUUGAGAGUAAAAAUCCUAACAAACCUCUAAUCCUAGGGUUACUUUUUUUUUUUUUGCCUUUUAAACUCUUUCUCCCUUUCUUUCUUUCUUCUUCCUCUCUCUCUCUUAUUUAUAAAAUCAUUUUUUUGAUUUCAAAAAAUGGUGAAAUACAAAAUAGAACUAGCCUAGCAAAUUCGAUAUAUGUUAUGCCCAUGUGUUGCAUUCAAAUUGUAAUCUCUUGUUAAAUUCAUGAUAAAGUUUACUAGUAUUAUGAAAAGGUUUAGGGGAGUUAUAGAUAGUGAAAUGAUCGAUUCAAAUGACUUUGGCAUUAUGAGUGUAUGGAGCCUCCAUUGUAAAGGGCUUAGCAAUUGGGAUACACUACUAUGCUCUCCCGAUAGGGUUUGAAAUCAACCUAUCAAUGUAGUUAGAGUAUUUGACAACUAAUAAGGAAUUGGAAUACAAGGUCCUACUAGCUAGCUUACCUUUGGCAAAAGAGGUGGGGGUUUUCUGCAUACAAUUAUAUAACUAUUUGUAACUUAUUAUCGAAAAGAUCACAAGACAUGAUGAGGCUUGGAAACCUCAAUUAUGACCUUGCUAAAAUAUUAUUUAAGCCACUAUAUGUGACCUAUAGAGGUUCCACCUUAGCCUUAUCCCUAAAGAAGCUAACCAACAAGUAUAUACCCUAGCCACACAAGUACUAGCUCACCUACGGGAACCUCAAGUAUACGUUACAUAACCAAUAGUGGAAACAUCCCACUUUAUUGUUGAGGUUCAUUAUUGGAUCUUCAAUAACAUGCUUCUAAAAAAUCCCUAUCCUUUAGUACCUCCUCGAGAGGAAGCAAUUAUAAAGGGGAAAAUGAAGCACAGGGGCUCUAAAAAAAAGUUGUAAGGUCGUAUACUAUCAUGAAUUGUGCCAGCUCCUAUGAUGGACCCUACCUAUGUUGCAUAGAUGAGGAAGAUGCUCGAUAUAAUGAAAUUAUCUACAAUGACCUAUUAUUCAUUUCUUUGGGAUACCAUGGGUCAUAGUAUCAAACAAUGGAUUCCAAUUAACCACCCAAAACUUCUAAGAUUUAUAUAAGGAAAUGAGAAUUGAGAAUUGUUACCAUAUUUUGUGGUACCCUUAAGGCAUCCAACCAGCAAAGGCCAAUAAUAAGGUAAUAGUGCAUGAACUUAAGCAAAAAGUUGGAAAAAUCUAAGCGAAUGUGAGUGAAGCAACUUUUCACUAUACUUUGAUCUUACAAAACCACUCAAAGAACGUCUACCCGAGAAGCACCUUACUUUCUCACAUAUAGGAUAGAGGUGAUCAUUUUAACUAUGAUUAGAAUGCCAACCUUGUGUACCUAAAUGAGUAGCAAAGAAGUGCUUGUUGCUAGAAAACAAGAUUUUGAUCUAGUUGAAGAAAGAAAGCAAGUGACACCCAUAAAGAUGAUUAUCUACUAGAGCAAGAUAACCAAAAUCAUAAUGGAAUAAAAACAAGACCCUUGCAUGAAAAAGAUUGAGUUUUGAGAAGGACUUUCCAUGAAAGCUAAGAAGAUGAAAAAUUAUCCUCCCUGUGGAAAGGACGAUUCCUAAUUAAAAGAAUGGGGACACAAUGCAUAUUAGUGGGAUGUUCUUGAAGGAAAGUUUAUACCAUGACCAUGGAACAUGUGCCACCUAAUAAAAACCAAAAUUUAUUAUCUUUAAAUAAAGAGAAACCUUUGGAAGAAAAAUCAUCUAACCCCUAGUGGGCAUAUUUCCUUUUAACAAGCAUAUUACUCUAAUGGGUGCCUUACCUUUCAACGAGAAUCUCUUCCUUAAUGGGUAUCUUGCCUUUUAAUAGUCAUUUUAUCCUCAAUGGGAAUUUUGCCCUUAACAGUUGUCUUAUUCCCUAGUAGACAUCCUAUCUUUUAAUAAGAACCUUGUCUCUAGUAGGGUUUCUACCUUUUAAUAGGCAUCUAAACUAAAUAGGCACCUAAACCUAAUGGGCACCCUUCCUUUUAGCAUAACAAAGUAACAACAUCAAAGAUAAAAAUAGCAAAAUGUAAAGCAUAAAAAGGUCAUAAAGGCCAUCUAAUGUAAUAGAGGCACAAAAGCCAUAAACAAACCAUGACACAAUGGCAAACAAGUGUUUAAGGGUGUGCAGGCCAAACUCCAAAUAAACAACGUAUUAAUUACUCCUCCGAUCUAAUGCAGAGGACUUCAGAAUCUCCCAUAACUUGUAAUAAAAUUAGAGUUAUCUUCGAGGAUCCUUUUAAAGCAGGUUAGACACUAUUCUUGGCCUAGAUGGCUUGAUUAAAGGCUCCAAAAUUGGGUUGGUGUCUUUUGAGGCAUUUUCCUUUAACAUUUGGAUUAUCUCUUUAAGAUGGACUUCAUGCCUAGCAAUAUCCUCCCCUGAUGGAGCAAACUUGAUGUGCAAAAUUUGUGAACACUUGAACACUUAAACUACAUGGGCCUUGAAAUAAAUAAUGCAUUCGACCUUUAGGUUUUCCAUCUCCAUAAACUUUUCCAAUAAAAUUUGAAUACAAAUUUUUUUACUAUUGACAAAUGUUGUGCUCCCACUACUAACCUCCUUUAGCUUUCCCUUUAGGACCCACACUUCCUCUUGCUUCAAUCAAAGCUCUUCUAUGACCUUCCUAUAUAUAUGUUGCUCACUCAUAGUGUGGUCCUUAAGUGCUUGUGAUGUAACCCAUAAUACGAAGAGACCCACCAUCAGGAUGUUCACUCAAUCAAAUUGCACCCCUAGCUCCCUACCACUUAGUUCCUUUAAACUUGCUAGCACCAACUUAAUAUGGUUCAUGUUUCACCUCUUGAACAAGCAACCAAAUAGAGGGCAAAGACGCACACUACGACCAAAUAAAGGGUAGCCAAAAGGGGGGAAAAAGAAAAGCUACUCACAACAUUUGAGUCAAGAAAGAGGGAAAGCAUGGAAAAAAUCUCAUAGAUCAACAUACCAACCAACCAAAGAGUAGCUUAUGGAGCAUUAAAGAAAGAUAAUUAACCCACAAAGCCCCUAAGCUUCUGUCUUCUCAAAGGAAGAUUCCUGUAUGCAAAAUGGUGGAUAAGAGCCUAACUAAUAGUUUUGUCCUAUUAUUAUGAUUCCACUAUAAUCAAUUUGCUAGAAAUAGGAAGGUAGGAGAGGGUCCUUUAAAGAAUGGGGGACAUAUCAAAAUAGGAGAAAAAACAAUUAGGGGAACAUGAAAAGGAAUAGAUGAGAUCUAUAAUUGAAACCUCCAUGGAUUUAAUAGAGUUAAGUAGAUCGGAGGACUUAAAAAAUAAAAGCGAUUUUCUAGAUUCCUGAUAAGAGAGCAUGAGGGACCGAUACAUGAGAAAGGCACGUUUGGCUACCUACAACUCACCUAUACUUUUGUUUGAACAAUUUUAUGAAAUGAAAAAAGAUAUCUAACAUAGGAGGUGAGAAAGCAUGAGCCCAUAAGCAUGAUCAAACAAGGCUGUAAGUAGGUUUUGUUAGGAUGGAAUCAUAGAGUGGGUGCUCUAAGAUCCUAGAGCAACUAGAUCUAAGAACAACAGAAGCAUAUACAUUUCAAAUAUUUAGAUAUAGGUGUUAAAAGGCAUACCUUUACAUCUAGAUGUUCCUAGAUCAUACUCUAGUUAUUACAGGGAUCUAAAAAAACUUGGUGCUUCUACCGAUGACUUUGUCUUUAAUCCUUGGAACAAGUGUAAAGUGACUACACACCUUGAGAAAGAGAGUACUUAAUGUUUUCUCUAGAAGAGCAAUGAAUGAAUAGAUGGAUAGAUAGAUUGAUAACUUGACCUCAAACCCUCAUCAAUCUAACCUUAAACCCUAAGAGAGUUUAUAUAACUUCUUUUGUAAGCUAAUGUGACUUAGGCCCACCAUAGGCUAAGGUCACUUAACCUAGUCAACUAGGUACUAAUGAAUUAAAUAGUUCUAAUGAGCUUCAAUUAAUUAAGUGGCUUAAUAAAAAAAACUUAAAAUACACUACAAGAAAAUGUACUUUUCGUGACAAAAAUUUAGUGGUGAAUUCUACUUUUGUCGCUAAAAGUAACAUUUACCGAUGAAAUUUUAGAUGUUGUCAAUAAUGCCAAUUUUCUACAAACUUUUCCUAACAAAUUUGAAAUUUUUGUCAUUGAAAGAUGUGACAGGAAAAUUUGGCGUUUUGUUUUUGGCGCAAACACUUUUGUGACGAAAAUAAACUAUUUCCCUACGAAAAUAUUUAUCACUAAUUAUAAUUUUUGGUGAUGAAAAUAAUUUCCUCACUAAAAGUUACAACUUUUUAUCUAUUUUUGCUUACAAAAUGGUUUCGUCGAUAAUUAUAUUAUUUCCUAACAAAUUGAGUAAUUUUUUCAUCAAAUCAUGUUAUUAAAUUGUGAUAUUAAUAAAGAAUAUUAAUAAAUAAGUAGAUGAUUUAUACUAUGAAAUAAUAUAAUAUAUAUUUGUUGACACUUAAUAUUUAUACUAUAAUAUUUUAUUUAUAUAAAUAAUAAUAAAAAUUAAGGAUCCAUAAAAUUAAAUACUAGAAUGUAGAUUUAUUUAAAUUUAAAUGUUCUAUUAUGUAAUAAUAGUAUUGUUAUGAAAUAAAAAAAUGUAAAUUAUUUAAGCAAUUAAUAUUUAUAGUGUAACAUGUUAUUUAUAUAUAUAUAUAUAUAUAUAUAUAUAUAAAUAAUAACAAUAGAUAAUCCAAGAUAUGUAAGAUUACAUCCUAUGAUAUAAAUUUAUUUAAAUUUCAAUAUUAUUAUAUGGUGCUACACAUACAUAAAUAUUACUAAAUGAUUUUUAUUAUAUUAGGUAAAAGUUAUCCAUACAAGUCCAAUGUAGUAUUAAAUUUAUGUUAGCUAUGAAUAAGUUAUAGUCCUCUAAUUUGUUCUCAUUCAAAAUCAUACCUUAUCCACUCAAGAAGUAAAUUUCUACUAACAUUUAGUUACCUAGUUUAAAUUAAUAGAUUUUUUUUAAUUAUUACUUAGUUUUUAAAUAAUUGGUUAGAAUUAAAUUUCUCAAAUAAAUUGUCUAGUGUCUAUAAAAACAUUCUACCUACAUAAAAUUCCAAAUAUUAUUUAUGUGUAUGAAGAUAUCAUAUAUUAUUAAUAAAUAAAUAAGUAUAAGUUAAAUAUUAUAUGAUAUAAUAUAUUGCAAGUACUAUAUGCCUAGCUCUAUUUUCAUAUUUACAAAAUAAAAAAUGUACAAUAUAUAUAGCACAUGUGAAAUUCUAUAUAAAUAUAAAGUUUUUUAAAAAGUUUUCAAUCACAUCUUUAUUAAUAAUUGGUUAUUUUAUUUUUUAUUGAUCAAUUUUAUAUUUAUUUUUUUAAAUUAUUAAUUACUAAUUUAUCAAAAUUGAUUAGUUAUUAAGAAUAAAGUCUUAAAUUAUACCGCAAAUAACUUGUAAAGGAGUUUUUAUACUUGUAUGCAUUUUUAAUCAAAUAUUUAAAACAAAUAUAGUUAUAAAAAUAAUUAAAAUAUAUCAUAAAUUAUUAUAUGAUUUAUAUUUAUAGUGUUUCAUUAUGUUUGAUAUUUUUGUUUGGAAUAGAUGAGAAAGGGAAAGAAAAAAAAUGAUGUAGAAUCCUAAUUUCAUUUUGAUCAUUAUUUUAUUAAUGUCAAUAUGAGUAUUACACUUUGGCAUUCUCCUAACAUUGUCUUCCAAUUGUACUUUUAUUUUAUAUUUCAAAUUUAUCACUUUAAUCCAUAAGUCUGGAAUUGAAUUUAUUCUAGCUAUUAAUAAACUAUAGUCCUCUAAUUUGUUCUCAUUCAACAUUAGGUUUGUUUAGAGGUGACAAAAUUUGAUAUGACUUGUCAAUAUGACUUGAAUUUAACACCCUUUCAUGAUUUAGGGUUGAGUAUAAUUGAGUUCAAGUCAAAUUCAUGUCGACUUGCAUACCUUAUUUAAUAAAUAAAUAGUGUUGGCCUUAUGGGGGGGCUAACAACCACCCUAAUGGACUAUGGAGAGUAAGCUUAAAUAAUAUAAGAUCUCCAUUCUAAUCACCAAUUAGUUUUCAGAACAAAUGGGGGUCUUGUCAUAAGAUACUCCGUGGUUAAGCAUGUUGCAGCAAAAGAAAUCUUAGGAUGGGUGACCCACUAGGAAGUAUAGAGCACCUCGAUCAAUAAGUGGUAUCAGAGCCUGGUCACAUGAUUGAUGGGUGAGCUAGCACUGUGGGUGAAUGGUGAAGGCCUGGGGUGUGGCCAAGUUAAACAAAGACGGUAGGCUAUCACCGACUUUUGGGACAAAUUUGAUUUUUUUCGUGACAAAAAUUCUUAGUUUUGUCGAUGAAAUAUUUCGUUGGAAAACACUUCUAGUAACAAAAUUUUAUUUCAAGGAAAACUUUAGGCGACAAAAUAAGAUUUUUGUCAUGGAACUUUUAGUGACGGAUCUAGGGCGAUGAACAAGGCACGAAAGAAUUUUCAUUGGGGAAUGUUUUUGUAGGCAAAAUUUAGACUUUCAAUGACAAAAUAUUUUAUCGUUGAAAGUCAAUUUUCUUGUAGUGAUAAAUAGUCAUAAGUUUUUGUGCAACUUUUAUUUUUACCAAAAUGCCCUUAUGCACACAUAUGAUUAAUUAAACCCAAUUUCCUCAAAUCUUUAUGUCAAUAAAAAUUAUGAACUUGAGCAGGGAUCACUAGAACCCAUAGGAAAAUAUAAGCCCCCUGAUAAUCCAAUUCUAAAGUUGACUCAGCAUUCCACUAAAGAAAAUCAACUACAUUCCAAUGUCCUAUGAUAUUAUAUUGAGAUAAAAUUGAUUAAAUCUAAUUUAAUUAAUUUCUUAAGCUUGUGACCUACUGUCCGCUGCAGAUGGGUUCCUUAUGAGCUAAUGUCCAUAAUCUAAAGAGUUAAUAACUAUCAACCUUAGAAAAUUACCUCUAUAGGAUUACUUAUACAAUCCUUGAGUCUCACAUCCUCCUAUUUUGUGAUUAAUUGACAUACACUAGUUCAUAAAGAACAUAUCUUCAAUCCCACUUAAGCAAUUGUUGUGGCAACAAAUUUCAUAAUCACAAGUUAUUAGGAUCACCUAAUAGGAGACACCAUAUUAAUCUCAUGAGAUAUCAUAAUGCCUUUGUUGAAAAUGUUUAGUGUCACUUGCUUUAAUUAAUAGUGACCCAAUCUAUAGGGAAUUUGUGACCACCUUAGAGUCUUAUCCACAUGUUGAACCCUUUAAAGACCUUAACACUACCUUAAUAUUCUCUUAUGAUUGAAAGUCUAUGUAACAUAGUAACUUCUUAAAGUCAUAACUACUUGGUAGACAAUGUCAUGAUUCAUUGUAAGUCUUGUCCAAUUUGUAUACACACUAGUGAACUCAUCAAGGGAAACCUAACUCAAUAACCAAGAUAAGUCAUCCCUCAAAUUAGGAAAUAGUGCACUAAAACUUUAAAUGGAUUGCCUAAGUCCCCAAACUUACUCUGAGUAACUCAUUAACCUAUAAGGAACCCAUGACAUGAAUCUUUUAUGCACUCUUAACAUACCUAAGUCAUGUACAAUGCAAAUGAUGUAAGUUUGAAUGGUCUUAUAAGUAAUAAUGCAAUCAAGGAUAGAAAAUUAGAAAUUGAAAUCAUAAUAUAAAUAUAUUGAAGAAACCUCAUUUUGUUAGAUCAUAUCAUGCUUUUAAAGGCUCUAUCUUAACAGUUUUGACACGCUAGAUGAAGACAUUUUUAAGACACACUCUUCUUUCUCUAAGUAGCUAUGAAACUCGAAAAAGUUAUAGAUAAUCAAAGGAAGAUUGUUUUGUUUAAAAAUUCCUUCUAGAGUAAAAUUUGAGGAGAUAUUGUGUGGUGGAAUGAUCUCCUAACAAUAAAGUAAAAGAGGGUAGGUAAAUUGAAAGGAGAAAAAAAAAGAAGAAUCAAAGAAAGAAAGUAAUCAUGCAAUUUAGGCCUUAAAAGCCACAAGGGACUCGAAAAUGGAUAUCCUUGUGCUCUAAACCUUCCUAAUCACUAAAGACCAUUAGUAAACCCUUUUUUCCUAAGCCUUGUUGGAGUCAAGGAGUUUCAACACUAAAUCUCUAUCAUUAAAGUUUGGCAUAAAAUCAUCAUUUUUACCCUUGUGCAACUUUAUUGAACAAGGAAAGAGUACCUUUCCUAAAUUGACAUAUUGUCCCUCUAACAUGUUGAGGAUAAUAGUACAAACCAAGAAUGUGACGAUGGUAAGGUUAACUCUAAUGAGAAAAACCCUAGAAAAAUCAUAAAGCUAACAAAUAGUGGAAGAAAAGAGAAAUGAAUGUUAGCCUGGAUGUGGGCAAUCAAGACAUCAUCUCCUUUUGAGAACUCAUAAAGUUAGUCUAAGAAAAACAACCCACUCAACAUAAGAAUAGGCCCCUUAGCAUAACUCUAUCAGGUCUAAAAAUCCUUGGAGCACUUGACUAAGAAGUCCUUGUUCUUUGCCAUAAAAAUUGAAACCCAUACUUGCUCAAAAAACCCAAGAAGAGGAAAAUAGGUGUAAGAAUAAGCCUCAAAGUACUAUUUAGUGAAGAACCACAAAGAGGCAUGAAGAGGGCGAGACUUAACUACCCAUUAAUGCGUAACACUCUAAGAAUCUCAAAAUGCUCCUUGCAUAACAAAUUAUCAUAAUGAUGUAUGGCAUUUUUAAAUCUUCCUCAUCCCUUACGAACUGUUGUCAAAGAAAAAUGAGGGAAAAAUAUAGGGGUGCUUGGUAGAAGAAGGCCACGUGUUAGCAAGAGAAUAGGUAACCAAAACCCUAGGUAUGAUUAUGCUUAUAUCUGAACCCCUUGCACAAGUGCUAAAUGAUUGAUCACUCGCCAACAAGCAUGAAUGAACAAUAAAUGCUAACUUAGACCAUACUCAUGUGACCUUAACAAAGUCUAUGCCUUGAUAUACGGAAACUCCAACUACUCCCUCAAAGGCCUUGUAUAAAAGUGACCACAACCUCUAUGCCAAGUAAGUAUUCUAAAAUCCAAGAAAUUAGCCUUUUGGAUUGACACUCAUUCAUCUAUUAGUUCCCUCAUUCUUUCUACGAACGACAAAAAAAUCAUGAUAAAUCGACAAUAUGUUAACAAAAUAUCGAAUUUUGAUUGGCACUAAAGCAACACAUAGUGGAGAAAUUUCAAUCAACCAAUUUUUUUUUAAUCAUUUUUCGGGGUAUUUAUGGGUUUUUUUACCAAUUUUUUUAGUCUAGUCAACAUGUGGCUGGCUCGGUCAAACUGCCUACUCAGUCAAAAUCAAUCAAACUUCAAAAGUGAACAUGGUUUGAUGUAGGGGGGGUUUCGAACCUAGACAAAAGGUUCUACACCUACACCACAUGACCAUUGGGCAUUACCCUUUAAUCAAUAUCAUUCACUAAUAUAUAUAUAUAUAUAUAUGUAUGUACGUAUGUAUGUAUGUAUGCAUGUAUGCAUAUAUGUAUGCUGAGAAAUAAAACUGUCAUUGCAGGUAGAUGGUGGAAAUCCUUGUUAAUAUUUUCAAUCUCAUCUUCAUCCCAACUAAAGACCAAUCUUGAAAAUUGAUGUCCAUCUGCCUUUCUUAUUUCUCAUGUGCCAAACUUAUUCUUAAUUAUGCUCUUAUUCCAUGGGCUUUGUGGUGUAUCAGAGUCUUACUAUCCAUUUAUAACACAAAAUGACCUAUUAUAUAACAUAAAAUCAAAUAAAUAAUAACAUGCAAUUGUGUGCCUUAUAUUUAAUUUUUAUUCAACAAAAUUAGGGAUAUUCAUAUAUUUUGGUAGAAUUCAUUAAGCUUAUAUUUGGUUGGGAUGAAUUUUGAUAGAAAUUAAGAAAUAGAAAUAAAAUAUAUAUAUAUAUAUAUAUAUAUAUAUAUGCAAAAAUAUAAUUUUUUUCCCUACUGUUUAUUUUACUAUGAAAAAAUUAAAUGAUAUAAAAUUAAAUAUACCUAAGAAAUGCAUUUUUAUUCCCAAAUUGUUUCCAACUUUUCUGAGGAAAGUGGAGAAAAAAUUUUAGAAUUCCUCCUGCCUUUUUCUGUAAUAUUUUUCUUACAUUUUCAUGUCAUCCAAAGCCAUGAAAAUUAAUUAUUCUUUUCUCUAUAAACAAAAGCAAGGGAGAUGCAGCGAAAAACACAAAGAAAAUUAAAAGAGUCAAGCGAGUAAAGAAACUAACAGUGAUAUAUUAUGAGUUCCCAUAACUCGAAGCGAUUUCCACUUCGGAAAGCCCAAGGCCUUUUAGCCAAUACCGUCAAAGGGGUUUUAACAUCAUCAGAAUCUUUAUCAUCAUAAGAAUCUUUAGCAUCACCGAAAUUGCAUGUGGCAAGGUCAGGAAAACGUUUAACCAGAUACAGUGCUACAUCUGCAUAUUACAAAAUUGUACAUGGGAACCCGACGGUAAUUCAUAUCAAGAAAAUAGAUAGGGGAUGGUAAAUAUAGCUCACCAUGAAACCCCACCAUUAGUGCUCUGUGCAGAAGUAUGACUCCAGGCUUGUCUGCGAAAGGACUUGGAUCUACAUCAUCUCUGGUGACGCUUAAUAAAUAUAAAGUCAGCUCUUUAUGACCAUACCUAAGAGCGCUGUGAAGAGGCACUAAAUUGCCUUGGUUGCAGGUAUUGAGCAAGCUUGGGCUUUUGUUCACUAACAACUUGACUGCUUUUAUAUUGUCAGCCCUUACAGCGUUGAAAAGGGCAGUGGCGCCAUCAGAAUCCUUCAGAGCCAGUUUAUCUAUUGGCAUAAAGUCAACCAACUGCUCCACGAAACCCAUUCUGGCCUCUCCUAACUCAACUGCUAUGUGAAGCAUUGUUGAAUUAUCUAUUCCGAUCGGGGCGUCCAAUAAUUGUGGCUCACGCCCCAAUAAUUCUGAAGCACUUUCCCAGUCACCAUUGACCACAGCUUUGUACAGUUCCGAGUAAUAGAUUAUAUCUGCAUCAUAGAAUUCUGCAGUCACAAAACCAAAAGAUGUAUAGGUCAGCCUAGAUUUCCCUGAUAUGUAUAUUUCUUCAACGUUCACAACAUCCUAAUACUAAAAUUACUUUUUUAAAAAUAAAUCAUUUAAGUUAUGUUUGGUUCUUAGAAAAUUUGACAAAAAUUACAAGGAAAAGAAAGUAAAUUGAAAAAAAUAGCUAGAAGGUGAGAAAAAGUGAAAUAAAAUAUAUCUAAAAUCAAUAAAUUAAUUAUUUUUAUAUGUUACUCAUUUCACUUAUUUUAACUAUUCAAUAUAAAAAUUAAAUAAUUUAAAAUUUCAUAAAUUUAUAACUAAUUUUAAUUAUAUUUGAUUUUCUUAAAUAUUUUUUUCGAUAUAACCAAAUAUGGGAAAAUCAUUUUGCUUGAUAUAUUGCCUUUGCUAAUUAUUUUCUUGGACUUCUUUGUUUACCUCUAAUCAACAUCUUUAUAUCUUUCAAUAAUAGUUUGAACCUCCAAUAAACUACACGAAUUAAAAUUUAAUUUAGUUUCAUUUGUUUUUUUAACAGCAGGUUGUAAAACAGUUCUACUUGUAAACUAAUUAUGCCCAAAAGUUGCAUAAGGACUUGGGCAUGAACAUGGUUUUUAGAAUCUUACCGGAGCUGCUAGUUCUUUGCAAAGAUGAAGGGGAAGAGACUGAAGCAUUGUUUGGGCUGUCAUCAUUACCGAGAUGGUAAUGAAGAGGAAGCCAUUGCAGUACACUCCUCAUCAUCCUCAGCAAUGUCGAUGUUACUGUUUUUAGGACGUAGUGAAGAAGAAGAAGUCAUCACAACAAAUUCCGAACAUGAAACUUUGGUUUAUUCGACUCUUUCAUUAUAGACGGAUAAAUUUCCAAAUUUAAGACAUAGACAAAAUUAAAAAAAAAAAAAAACUUUACUUGAUAUAUGAAUACCAAAAUAAUAAUAUUGUGUGUAACAAAAAGGAGAAUGAAUCCUGGUUGAAUGAAUAGUGCAUGCAGAAUCUUCAACUGCAUUGACCCAAAAGAUCAAACCGAUAGAAAAAAAAAAUGAAUAUAUUAGAAUUCAACUAGGUCAACCACAUUCCAUCCAAGUCAAAUACCAGCCCACAAUCGCAGCAAACAAAGACUAGCUAGCCAGUGCGUUUAAUUUCAUCCAAUAAGAAUUCCCUCAAGCAAAAAGCCAGGAAACAGAAGUAGUAGGAAAGCCCUAGCCUUGCACCAAAAAAGUCUCGUCUCAUUGCUGGGAGUGCAUGCAUCCAUGCAGGAUCUGUUGGAUCAGAAAUUGGAAGAGCUAAAGUCCAGGACAUACAGAAGCGGUCGCCGGAGCCAAACCUAGUGAGCUUCCAUUUAAAGAUUAAAGCUAUGUUUGGUUCCCGAAAAUAUUAAUUUUCUACCAUGUAUCCAAGGGAAUCAAGGGCCUCAUAUGAUUCGAUGUUAUAAAGUCGGCCUCUACAAUUUAGAUUAAAAAAAUAGUUUGUUUCAAAGGAUAAUCCAUCAAAGAAGAAUGAAACAACAUUCUCAUCCUAAUCUUCUAACCUAACAUUGGUGAAACUUUUUAAACUCGUUUUCUUUGAAAUUGAUCAACUGAUCCAUGAUGGAAAACGACCUACAUGCAUGAAAGCAACCUAGGUAGUCUUCAAAGUCCAUUUUAGCCAUAAAAAUUCAAACACCCAACUUCUAAAACUAGAAGAGGUUGAACUAAAAACGAAAGAGAUCGAAACUAAUGAUUCUAUUCUUAACAAAAAUUCAUAGCCUACCCAACCUCACACGAAAACACUUCUUGAAUUGGUUGGCAUCACUUCCACAUGGAAAUGGCAUCAAAAAAUGCAUGCGUCUCAUAGUUGUAUUCUUAUUGUUGACUAGUGUCCCAUGUCACGCCCCAAGACCCACUCCAAGGGCGUGACGGUCAUUUCACACCUCAAACCCGAAGGCUUAAAGUAUAAUCUGACCCAAACAAUCAUAUUGUAAUUGGAUGUUACCAAUUACCAAAUACCUGUUCAGAGUAGCGGAACAAAAUCUAAAAUCCUAAAAAUUUAAUUUCCAAAUAACUUCCAAAUAUCAAAUGAUCCAAAUAAAAGUUGCAGAAGGACCUCAAGCGGAAAUGGACAUGAACAUGGUUUUUAGCAUCUUACCGGAGCUGCUAAUCCUUUGCAAAGAUGAAGGGGAAGAGACUGGAGCAUAUUCAUCAGCAUUCUGCGCCAUAUUGAUGCUACUACGGUUAGGAUUGUUUGGGCUGUCAUCAAUUACCGAGAUGGUAAUGAAGAGGAAGCCACUGCAGUAAACUCCUCAUCAUGCUCAGCAAUGUCGAUGUUACUGUUUUUAGGACUGUUUGCGCUGUUGUCAUUUCUAGGACGUAGUGAAGAAGAAGAAGCCAUUACAACAAAUUCCUUAUCGUUCUAUAGUAUUGCCAUGUUUAGCGAAGUUAUUCUAAUGUGUAACAGAAAACCUAAACAAAAUCUGCAGUUGACAAAGGUCAAAAUUAACUUACCUCGCAGAUGGAAGAUUAUAUUUAACUAUAUCAAGGCAGAGAAGAUACUCUCAUCCAAAGAGAAACAACAGCAGCCCUUUUUCCCACUGUCUUCAAAAGAUACAGGAACCAUUGAAGCAUAAGAGGUGCAAUGAUAUAGUCUUCCAAGUCAACUUUAUUUAGUUGAGUAUUGGGUAAGGAGUAGACAUGAUAAACAAUAGUAAACAUGUAUCAAAUAUAAAAAAUUUCUCACAAGUGAUGCAAUUAACAUUUUUUUUCUUCAAUAAUAUGUAUAAUAUAUACCAUGUGAUGUAUUAUUUAUACUUUAAGCUUUGUUUGGAUAUAUUUUUUAUUUUUUAUAUAUAAAAAAUAAAUUAUAUUUUAAAAUUUGUGUAAUAUAAAAAAGUUAUUAUUUUUUAGUAUUUGAUAUAAUACAUUUAUAUAUUUAUUAAAUUAUGACAAUAAAUGAAAAUAAAGUGGAGAGGACGAUGUAGGUUGGCAAACCUUUCUGGAGUGAAUGCAGCGCAGCAAAAGAGAAGGUACCAUUAACUUGAAUGCGAGAAGGGUGAUUGAUCUAUCAAUCUGUACGUGUCCUUCUUGAAAGGGACCAGAUUUUAUGGGGUUGCUUAAGGAUUAAUGUGGGUGCCUGUAGCAUGAAAGUGAAAAGAAUUUUGGGUCACCAAGGCGCCUCCCAUAAAAAUAUAUCUUUUAGGUCCUUUUUCCCCAGAGUGUCCUAUCAUCCUCUGAUAAAAAUAAAAUUUUAAUUAAUAAUUAAUAAUUAAAUUUUUAAUUCAAAAAUAAAAUUAUAAUUAUUAAUUAAGAUUUUGAUUAAAAAAUAAAGCUUCAAUGGAUAAUUAAAACUUUAUUUUUAUCUCAAAUUUUAAUUGAUAAAUAAAAUUUUGGGCUAAUAGUUUUUAGUAAAAAAGAUUUAUAUUCUUUCUUUGGGCAAAUUGAACAUAGACUUAGAUUUCACUUAGAAUGAUAAACAUUCAUGGAGCCAAAUGUAAAUCCGCACUCUUGGGCAUAAUAUUAUUGAGCCAUUGGUUACCAAAAAUUACUCUAAGGUAUCAUACCCACCUUUUAGGCCAAUAAAAUUAAGAAACAUGACAAGGAAAUUAAAAAAACCAAUUCUCCAGGUUUAGCAUGGUUGCCGAGGGAAUUAAUCAUGUGCACCACACAUUGCUAUGAUCGUUUGCAAUAACCAAUUAUAUAAAAUCUGUUGAAAUAUUUUUGUAAAAUGAUAAAAUUUUACAAAAAUGAUAAUUUUUUUUGUAAAAUAUAGAAAAGGAUACAAGGCUAUUAGUUCAUAAUUGCAUGAUAACCUUUUAGUAUUUCAAUCUUUGAUUUUUUUUGGAGAUUAUUUCCAUAAAUUCCACAUUCCAAAAACAAUGAUAAUCUUUACACAAUAUUAUUGUUAUUUAAAAUGGGAAAAAAAAUAUAAAAAAUAAAAAUUUCAAAAAAAAAUUAGAGAUCACAAAGAAUACAAGGAUACGAAGAAGGUGAGGAUUGUCAUAUUUUUUGUACUCUCCUCACAUUCUUCAUGCCCCAAACCAUUUGAAUAUUUUAAUCUUUUAAUUGUUCCAAACAUUAUUUACUUCAAUUGCAAGUGUAAUUAGCGUUUUUACACAAUAUUAUUUUCAAAUGAAGUAAAAAAGAAAUUCAAAAUUAAAAAUUUCAAAAAAUUUAGAGGGUACGAAGAAUGUGAAGAGCCUCACAUUUCUUGUACCCUCCUCAAAUUCUUCGUACCUAUUGUAAUUUUUAAAUUUUUUAAUCUUUCAAUUUUUUCGAACAUUAUUUGCUUCAAUUUCAAGUGUAAUAAAGAUUUUUACCCAAUAUUAUCAUCAAGUGAUGUGAAGAAAAACUUAAAAUUAAAAAAAUUUAGAGGGUACAAAAAAUAUGAGAGAGGAGGGUGUGAGGAAUGUAAAAAAGGGUAUGAGAAAUGUGAGGGUACAAGAAAUGAAAAAAAGAAAAAAAAAAAAUCUCAUACCCUCCUCACUUUCUUCGUACCCCUACAAAUUUUUUAAUAUUUUAAUCUUUCAAAAUUUUUGAACAUUAUUUGCUUCAAUUUCAAGUGUAAUUAGUCUUUUUACAAUAUAUUAUUAUCAAGUCAAUUUAAAAAAAUUAAAACAAUUUAGAGGGUACAACAAAUGUGAGGAGGGUGUGAGAAAUGUGAAGAGGGUAUGAGAAAUAUAAGGGUACAAGAAAUGAAAAAAAAAAAAAAAAAUUCAUACCCUCUUCACAUUUCUUGUACUCUCCUCACAUUCUUUGUAUUUUCACCAAUUUUUGAAUAUUUAAAUUUUUUUUCAAAUAUUAUUUGCUUCAAUUUCAACAAAAUUCUCAUACCCUCACAUUUUUCAUACCCCACCAAUUUUGUACUAUUUUAAUAUAUAAUUUUUUUUAAACAUUAUUUGUUUCAAUUUCAAGUGUAUUUAGUCUUUUUACACAAUAUUAUUGUCAAGUGAAGUGAAAAAAAAAAAACAUAAAAUUAAAAUUUUCAAAAAAAUUAAAGGGUACAAAAAAUGUGAGAAGGGUAUAAAGAAUGUGAAGAGGGUGCAUAAAAUGUGAGGGUAUAAGAAAUGAAAAAACAAAAUUUUCAUCCCAUUCUCACAUUCUUUGUACCUUCACCAACUUUUAAAUAUUUUAAUCUUUUAAUUUUAACCCAUCUAACCCUUAUAAAUCGUGUCAUUAAGGAAUAUGAGCUCAAAGUAAGGACCAUUGGGAUCCAUAGGAGUAUUGGCUCCCUUAGAAUCAAAUUCUGAAAUUGAUUCAACAUCCCACUAUAGAGAGUCAACUACACUUUAAUAUCCUAUGUAUAUUACAACAAGACACCAAGUACUUGGGUUUAUGAUCUACUAUCUAUUGCAUGCAAACUCCCUAUGAACCGGUGUCCGUAAUCUAAUAAGGUAGUGUUGUCACCUAUCAAGAUUACCCCUCAAAUCCUUUAGUUAAAAAUCACACUUAUUAUGUGAUCAAAUGACAUACUCUACCUUUAAGGGGCAUAUGUCAAAUUCCACUGAAGGAAUUACUAUGACCACUGAUUUCAUGAUCACAUGCCCUCUGGAUCACCCAAUGGGACAUAUUGUCUCAAUCUAAUGAGAUAUCAUGGUGCCUCUAUUGAGAAUACCUAUUGUCAUCAACCUCCAUCAACAGUGACCCAAUUCAUAGGGAUAUAUGACCGCUUUAGGGUUUCACUCAUAGGUUAAAGUCUUCUAUUAAUUUUGGCACAAAUUCAAUAUCCUCUAAAGUUGAGAGUCUAUGCAGUAGAGUAGCUUAGUGAAUCAUGAUAAUUUAUAGUCUUGCGUCAUGAUUCACAUAGGUCCUAUCUAGUGUGUAUCACAUACAUUAGUAUAUUCAUCAUAGGAAACUCAUCCCAACGACCAAGACCAGUCAUCCCUCCAAUUAGGAGGUAGUGCACUAUAGUCUCUACUGAAUUGCCCAAAUCCAUGAUCCAACUAUGGACAACUUAUCUACUUAGAAGGAAUCCAUGACUUAUACAUCUGUGCAACUCCUAAUGCACCCAAAUCAUGUACAAUGUAAGAAACAUGGGUUGAAUGUUCAAAUCAGUGUCAAUACACUAGAGGGAUAACAAGGGGAUAGUUAAAUCUAACUUUGUUACAUCAUGUCUUACUUAGUUAAGUUUAAUUUUAUUACAUCGUAUCUUGCUUUUAGGGGUUCAAUUCCAACAAACUCCUACUAGCCCCAAAAGUAUACUAUGUAUUGUAGAAAAAAUCUACUCUACAGUCACGUCACCUUUCUAUACUAUCCCACAGCAAGGUAUCACUUGCUUUUUAUAUGUUCCCUCUUAUAGUGGUACUUUAGUUCUUUGGACUAUGCCACCAUCCUAGAUAAUAGUAUCUUAAACAAUACAACCAAUGGAAAUACCCAUAAGCCAAAGGCUUCCUUUGUUGCCAUAGAAGUAACAAAAACCACUUAGAGUGUACACAAUCCAAGAGGUAGACAUGCAAGAGUCCUCAUCAGAAUGAAAGUCCAAUUUCUCGAUACAAGGACUCACAAACAUAUAAUCCUUCAUUCUCUAUGGAUACUAGAGUAUAUGUUUGACAUUCGCCUAAUGAAGAAAUGAACUAAUAUCUACUCAUUAUUCCUAUAACAAAGCAAAUAUCUGGUCUAGCACAUAUCAUUGUAUGCUUAAGGCUAUCCAUUGCAAAGGCAUUAGAUACCAUCUUAAUGCGAUCUCUCUCCACAUAUGUCCAAGGACAUUGAUCUUAAGAAAGAUAACUCCAAAUCCAAAGAGUAACAAACCUUUCUUAGAGUUUUACAUCAUAUACUUGACCAAAUGCUCAUUAAUGUAGAUGACAUGGCACAAUUUUUCAUAUUCCUACAAUGCUAAAGGACCUUAACCCUAUGAAUAUAUUAUGCCUUCAUCUAGAUUUUUAUCUAGAACUGAGUAAACAACUAGAUCUUGACAGAUGAAAAUAUCCUUACAUCAUAUCCAAUGAGUAGAUUAUCAUCUACCUACAAGAUCUUAGAGCAUUACCAUGCUCCCCUAUGCUUUCAUGUACACACAAGGCCCAUUGCUAUGAAAAUGUUUGGUUGCUAUAUCUCAUAAAUGAGACACAAUGCAAUAGAUAAGAGUAAUCUGAUAGAUUUGAGUAUGAUCACUAUUGAAAAGGUUUUCCACAGUUGAAACAAAGUUUCAAACUAUAACCUUUAGCUAUAGUCUUAGCCACAUAAAACUCAAGCUUUCCAUCUACUCUUGUAGACCAUCUUACACCUAUGAGUUUUAUCCCUUUAAGUGCUUCUAUAGGAACUCAAACUAUGUUAAAAUGCAAAGAUUCUAACUACCUCUUCAUAGCUCAUUACCUUAAGUGAGCAUAAACACUACUCAAUGCUUCAUCAUAAUCUAUGACAUAUAAACUUCCCAUUAUGAUAAGGCACUGUUGUACUCAAAAUCAUAGGAAUGGUAUGCCUUAAACCCUCUAGAUCCAUAGUAUCAUAUGCAAUGUGGGACUAUCUUCUAAUAUAUCUUCCAAUCAUUAUCAUUUUUUGCCUUAUUCCUUAUAAUAUAGUUUUCAUAAAACAAAAUUGACAUUUGUGUUAACAAAUAUCUUCUGAUGAUCCUAACUAUAAAGGUAAUAACCUAAAAAUCCUCUUAUACAUCCUAUAAAUUGAUAUACCUCUUAAGAAAAAGGGUAAUCACCUUUUUAAAAAAUAGUAGGUAAAAUAUACUUGAUACAUACCUUCAACCACUACAAGAAAAAAGGUCAUUGUUGACAUAUUAUUAUCUUGACUUAAGGUGAAAUGUGUCAAUGUUGCCUAUUUUAAUGAACAACUAUGACAUAUACAACUUGUUUAAACCAAUAAUGACAUAUAUAAAAUUUGUUGAAUUCUUUCAUGACUUAUAUAGUAGAAUCUUGACAAAUAAUUUAUGAGUCAAUGUAUUCAAGGUACUUAAAUAAAAGCAAUAAUGAUAAUAAUUUGUUUGAUAUGUGUAUAUCUAAUUUACUUACUAAGUAUUAUAAAUUGAAGUGACAACAAUCAAUUUUGAUUAAGGAAGUUAAUAUUUAAUAAAUUUUUUUAGUAAUGUUAAUAUCAAUUUUCAUUUUUUUUAUCAAAUUGAUUAAAUCAUUUUUUAGUCUAUAUCAAUAGCACUGAAAUAAAUUUGUGUACAUAAUUUUUUAUGCACUAAUUUUAGUGAAAUAAAAUUUGCUACAUUAUGGUUUUUUUAUAAUUGGAUAUAAAUAAAAUCAAUACUAAUAAAGUAUUUUUUUUAUUCAUUGAUGUUAAUGAUUUUUUUUUUUUUUUUUGAGUUUGUAUUAAUAUAAUAUUUUUUUCAUAAACUGUUUUUCAUUAUUUUUAAAUUAGUAAGUAACUUGUAUUUGAUUUAAAAAUAAUUAAUAAAUUUGUGUAAGCUUGAAAAUUAAGAUAUUUGGAAUUUUGAUUUAUCAAUUCUUCGGCAUAAUAUCAGGUUUCAAAAUUUUAUUUUUUAAGUUAACUCAUACAAAUUUAGACAUUAGGAAAGAAGAAAAUUAAUUAUGGAAAAUUGACAUUAUAAAAGUUAUAAAUAUAUUCCAUGAAUUGAUUUUCAUAAAGAUAUUAUUAUUAUUAGUAUUAUUAUUAUUAUUAUUAUUUGUUUAUUUACUUUAUGUUUUUAUUUUUUAUUUUAUUUUCAUUUCUUUUUUAAAAUGCUUAUUUUAUUUUAUUUUAUUUACCUAAAAAAAAGGGCUUUGAAAAAUGUAGAACAAUCCAGCUCCAUUCGGGAAAAAUCUCUCUCUAGAUUGAUGGUUCCUGUUGAGUGGUAGAAAGAGAAAUUAGGUUUUUGAUUUUGAGAAGCAAUCUUCUAGGUUUUGACCUUUAAGGCAAAAACUACUCAUCAAAACGCAUUUGUUUCCGAUUAUCUGGUCUUAGCCACAUCUUAAUUAUUCAUAAAUUUUUAGCCCCAAAAUUCAUUCUGUUCUUAUUCAAAUCAAUAUCUGAGUAAGAGUAUGUCUGUGUCAUUAACCCAUAUUUCUUGGUGGUUAUGGAGUGGAAAACACCAAGAGCCCAAAAGACUCUCCAAUGGAUCUUCUUUAAAUUCUUCUCAAGAUUCAGGUUUGUGGGAGUCGGAUGCUUUGAAAUUCCCUUUAGUUAAGGGGACUUCUUCAUUCACAUUUCAACUCUUUUUUUCUCCCAGAACCUCUUGAUUCUCUGAAUCUCAAAGUCUCCCAAUCUCCCGCACCUCGAUCCACGCAGAUCUCCGAUUUUUGCUAUUUUUUAUUUUUUUUUUCUUCGUGAGAAUUUUCAACCUAGGGUUUUGAUUUUGUAUGUUCUAGUUUUUGCUUCGAUCUCCUCGAUCUCGGUUCCGAAUUCACCCAAGGUUUGAUCGUUUGAUUGUUGGAUUGUUUGGUUCAUCUCAUGGAGGCGAUCGAUGAGCUCAUGCAGCUGUUAGGGUCUAUGUGCUAGGCCGCGGCACUGCUGGCGGAUGAAGAUGUGGAUGAGAAUUCGAGUUCCAGUUCUUCUCAUAGGGGUUCAACUUUUCUUAACGUUGUUGCUCUUGGAAAUGUCGGUGCUGGUAAAUCUGCAAUUUUGAACAAUUUGAUUGGACAUCUUGUUUUGCCUAUUGGAGAAAAUGGUGCUACUCGGGCUCUAAUAUGUAUUGAUUUACAAAAGGAUUGUUUCCUAAGCAGCAAGUCGAUCAUCUUACAAAUUGCCAACAAAUCUCAACAAGUUUCUACAAGUGCUCUUCGACAUUCUCUCCAGGACAAGCUGAGUAAGGGUGCUUCAGGCAAGAACCGAGAUGAAAUAUAUUUGAAGCUACGAACUAGUACAACACCUCCUCUGAAACUGGUUGAUUUGCCUGGAUUGGAUCAACGGAUUAUGGAUGAGACAUUGGUGAGUGACUAUGCUCAGCACAAUGAUGCCAUUUUGCUGGUUAUUGUACCUACUGCCCAGGCACCUGAAAUGGCUUCAUCUCGAGCUCUCAAAAUUGCUAAGGAAUAUGAUGGAGAUGGUACAAGAAAAAUCGAUGUAAUUAGUAAAAUAGAUCAAGCUGCAUCAUACCAGAAAAUCCUUGCUGCUGUUCAGGCUCUCUUGUUAAAUCAGGGUCCUCGAAGUACAUCUGAAAUGCCAUGGGUUGCUUUAAUUGGGCAAUCUGUUUCAAUUGCCUCUGUCUGGAUCUAUUGGGUCUGCAUGAGUUUGAUAGCGUGCCUAAAAGAAUGUCUAUUGUCAUCAAAUUCCCCAACGAUACUGUGAAAGACUUGGUGAAAGGUGUUGAUUCUUAAAUGUUUAGCAUUUUAGCAAAAGACAGUGGGAGGAAUAGUCAUGUAAGGCCGGCAACUCAGAGCCAUUUCACUGAAUAUUCAUCACAAGGCUUACUCACACUUGUAGUUGCUGCUAGGGAUAUUAUUGAUGAGGAACUUUCAGAGUGGCAGUGUAAGUAUGAAAAUGCAAGCACUUCAUUGACUGAUAGAUCCGUAAAACUUCAUCAAACAACAACUUUCAUUGAAUGCAAAUUAAAUCUUCUUGGGUCUACUAGGAUGAGAAUAAGGCUUCCACUUUGAACCUCCACUACACAUCAGUUUAUUUUUUGUAAAAAAAAAAAAAAAAAGAAUGCUGCCACUUUAAGAAUAUGGCACCACCAGAUUUUGUGAAAGGCAUCCACACAUGAAUUUGGAGGGCAACCAUACCAUGCAAAGAAGAUGAUUGCCACUUUAAGAAUAUAGGUUUAGUUAUUUUUUAUUUAUUAGUCUUUAAUCUUAUCAUUAUUAUUGGUGAAUUAACCUCACUUUUGUAGAAUCAUUGACGCUUGCUAUAUAGGUACGCUCUCUCUCUUCCCAUUUUAAAGUUUCAUGAAUAUGUAUGUCAUUAAGAACUAUAUCCUCAUUUGAUAUUGACUUUGGGUGCCUUGAUAUUCAUUUGAUUUCCUUUGAUAAAAUGCAUGUUGAGUAAUAUAAUACUUGAAAAUUGCUAUUUUGAUACUUGUUGCUUACUUUGCUAUUAACAUGUGUCUAUCCUACUAGGUAUUCAAGAAAUAUAGCAAAAAAGAAGAAGAAGAUGAAGAAUUAAUGACCACCUCUUAUGAAGAUAGUAUUGUACUUUUUAAUUUAAGUUUAUAUAUUAUCUUAAUUGAAUAUUUGUAAUUAGUUUUUUUUUGUAUAUAGAAAAUAGAGAGUAAAUAGAAAAAGAUUUAUUCCAUUGUGUUUUUAAUAUUCAAAUGUAUCUAUAACAAUUUUUUUCCCUUGAGUAAUAGUUUAUUUACAUUGUUUUAGGACUUAGUUAUUAUUAUCAUAAUUAAAUAUGUAUCAAAAUUAAUUUGGAAACAAGUUUCAUAUGGUAACAAGUUUAUUUUCCAUUAAAACUAAAAAUUAUAGUAAAAUAAUAUUAAAUUUGUCAUAGGCAACCUUGACAGAUGGCCAAUGCCCAACAUUGACAUUGCAAUAGCUAGAAACCUUCACAUAUUAUACUUAUCCUUGACAUUUGUUGUAGCAACCUUAACAGAAUAUCAAAUUAACAUUGACAUAUGAUAAAAAAAUCUUGACAUAUGUUGAAUCCAACCUUGACAAAAGUGAAAGAAACAUUGACAUAUGUCAUAGUAACAAAGAUUCGAUCAUUGGUAGAAAUAGAAACAACCUUGACAUAUGUAAAUGUCAAGGUAGAUUUAAACUUUUCUUGACACUGGAAUAGAUGACAUAUAUAAAUAGUAACAUACCUUGACAGAUAUACCCUACCUUGAUGGUGAAAAACUGUCAACGAAAGGCUUUUUUCUUGUAGUGAACCUUUUUCUUGUCUUACAUUUUGGUCUCUUAUAUUUCAAAUCCAUCAUUUUACCCAUUCAAACUUAUUAGAAAGCAAUACUUCAAUAUCAUUUGCAAACCCUUUAUAAAUUAUAAAAAGGAAUUUUUUUUUCCACAUUCUUGUUUGAACAUUGGUUUGAAUUUAGGUAAAACCAAUUUUGAAUUGAUAGCCUUGGGUAGUAUUUGAUUACUACUCAAAAAGUGCUCUUUGGUAGCUUGUAUUUAACCCUUUUAAACACUUUUGAGUAGUAGUUUUGGCCUUUUAACUCAAUUGGCAUGUUAAGGACCCUUGAAAGCAAUUUUAAUCACUUUGUGUAAGUUUUGGUGUUUUUGUUAGUAAUUUGAUCACCAAAGCAAUCCAAGAUUGAGGAGAGUUAUGAGGAAUCUUGGGCAAAUCUUGGAAGUCAUUUGCCAAGAGUAAAUCCGGAGUGCAAGGAGAAGAAGUAAAGAGAAUCUGCCAUGAAGCAUAUUCUUGAUGACAGUCGUGGCAGCCACUUUUGGAGCACUUUAUGAAGUCUAAUUAAUGCAUGCUAUAUACCAUUUCAAAGCUCAGGAAGUCAAAAAUCCAAUGCUUUAAACGGUACGUAAUUCGGAGUUGAAACGAAGAAGUUACAGCCAUUGCAAGUCAAUCACUCCAAGCUGAAGGAAGCAUUUUGCAAAAGGUUGCGAAAUCACCCUUUUGUUGCGAAGUGAUUUCGCAGCCUUUUUGUAUAGUGUGGUGUAUUUCCUCCUGAAGUUGCCCGAUAUAUGCCACAAGCUGGAAGCUGAGAACCUCAAGAUGGAAGCCAACUUCGCAGCCCUGCGAGAAUAACCUUUUGCUGCGAAGUGAUUUCGCAACCCUUUUGUGUGUCUGCGAAAUCUCGCAGACAUCAUUUUCUCUUGCGAAAUGGUCCGUAGUGCUUCCCGAUAUUUGCUACCGACAUUGGGAGAUAUUUUCCAUCAGAUUUUUGUUGUCUAAAUCCCAAAAUACUCCUUGUAAGCCACCAAUUACAAGAUUCCUUAGCUUUUAAGUUAGUAAAAAGAGAAAAUAUCUAUAUAAUAAUUAGUUUUGUAUUAUGUUCAUAUAUAUACUCUUCGAGAGCCUGUUCGAACGAGAGGAGACCCUUUGUAAAGUUUUGAAAAGCAAGUAAAGUUCAGGCCCUUUGUUUUGCCUUACCUUCUCACUUUGUAUUAUUUAUUUCUUACUAAGUUAUGCACUCUCUAAGGAAUUUUCCCCAGAGAAUGAGUAACUAAACCUCUAGUUCCUUGGAGCUAAGGUUGCCGGGGAAGGUUCCAAGUGCAAGAAUGCAAAGCUUUGUGGUUUCAGCCAUCAAUGAAGAGGAAGUGAAAUCCUUUAGUGAUUUCUAUGUUUUUAGUUAACUUAAAACACCUUAGAGUCACCUGGGCCAACACUUGGUAUAGCAAGUGAUCUCCAACCAAGGAGAUGCAUUAGUUUACCCCUUGCGAGCCUCUGGGAGGCGACUUUAAGGUAGGAUUUUUUGGAAUUGCCAACACUUGGUAAGCUUUUAGACUCCAAGGAGACAUCCAUUAGUUAUCUCUUGCGAGCUUGAGAAGGGAAGUCUAAGGUUAAAGAUCACCUUGAAUGGUUAAGGCUUAGUUAGAGGCUUGAACCAUUGCAAGUUGCAUCAAUGAGAGAAUUAAAGUUGAAAUCUAAUUAAAGGAUGUAUCUGUACAACACCGGUUAGAGAAUUGACAAUAUGUUGAAUCUCUAACGCGAGGAAAUGAACCAUUUGACCGGAGCUAUGUCUUUUGCAUGAGGAACCACCCCAGUGAACUUGACUCUCCAAGGAAUGUUUUUCUUCCUAAGUUAUUCCCAUUACUUGUUUUGUUAGUUAGUUUGAAUCUAAAUCUUUACCAAUCAAGGUUUGAGUUUUAUUUCUUAAGCUAACCUUGAAAUGAAACACUACCAAUUCACUUUGAAUUGAUAUCAUUGAUAACUUGCUAAUCCUUCCCAGUGAACGAUCCUAGAGCCACUAUACUAUAGUAGAUUUUUCUUUGCUACCCUAGUAUAUGGUGUAAUAGGUUAUAAAUUUUGUUGAUUACUCCCUCAUCCAAGGAGCACCAGCUGGACAUGAAUCAGUUGAGACACCAAUUAGGCAUGAAUCAGUAUUUCCUAAACAUCUUUAUAUUAUUAUUUAUUAUCUAACCCUUCAUGUCUUGUGGAAGCACGUUACAUGUUAUCUAUGCUAUCUAGGUACGCCCCCUAUCACCUACCUUCUAAAUUUUGUGAAUAUGCUUGUCACUAUGAACCGUGCCUAUGUUUGAUAGUGCAUGGGUGUCUUGAUAUAUUGUUUCAUUGUUCAAUCAUUUCCAAUAAAGUGCAUGUUGGAUGAUAUGCUAUUUGAACUAACUUUAAUGUCUUGUGAUAGCACUUAAGAAGCAGUCCAGACACACACCCUAAAUUGUCUUUAUGAUUUAUGAUUGAUUAUUUUGUUUAGCAUGCCAUUUUUUUUUUUAAAUCACCUUAGUUUACCUAGGUACCCUCAAUCAACCAAUUAAUUGUCCCAAUUCCCUCAACUUAGCUAGUAGAGACCUCUUUAGGGCUUAGAGGGGUGCUACCUGUUAGAGGUACCUUCCCAAUAGGUAACUUGAUCCCUGAACCUAGACUUAGGUUUUUCAAAGACACGUUUUUCCAAAAACUAUGGAGUCACUUAUUUAGGGUUUUCUUUCUUGUUUUAUUUUCCAUUUUAAAAUAAAAUAAAAUAAGUGGUAACUCCAACUUUUCCAAAAUUAUUUUUUUUCACCAAUAAAAGCAAGUCUCAUCGAUUGAGUGGGAGCACAUAUGAAAAAUACGAGUCCACACUACGGCUUUUGUAGUACUCUAGGUAUCGUCCUCAUGGACUAGCUUAUGGAAAUUGUCAAUACUACAAUAAAUGAAUUGCUUUCGUUUGAAUCCUAAAGUGAAAAAUACUAUGAGAAUAAUGUGAAACUAAGUAAAAGAAAAUAAAUUAAUAACAAAAUGGAUAUUUAUUUUAAAUUCAAUUGAUUCAAGUUUGGGGCUUUCUACAAUCCAACAUAGGGUAUAUAAAUUAGAGAAAAUAAGGGUCUUUUAAGUAAUAUGAUCUUAGGGUUUUGGGAUCCUUGGCUGCUCGUGAUCAAGUUGAGUUCUAUAACACAAAAUUGCAUCUGAAACCUAAUUUUUCUUUUUUAAAUCAGAUUCCUAAAACCAUCAAAUGAAUUAGAUUGAUUACUAGUUUAAGAUUUGGCUUUUUAACCCUUCCUACUCUUUAUAGCUUUGUUUUGGGGCAAAUAACGAUAGAAAAAACGAGGAUAACUAAGGAUCAAGAAUUACCAAGAAUCACUAGUAUCGAGUAAUAACCUACCGUAUCAUUCCCUAAACUAACUCACAAGGAUAGGAUAAAAAAUGAUAAAUUGUCACCCAACCAAUAAUUAAUCUCAUUGUUAUAAUAAUUUACCCAUUGUCCCUAUAGGUUUCCUAACCCUUAGGUUUUCAUGCUUUAAGCCCCAAGUUGGCUCUUAACCUCUCAUGGGGGUGAUGUCACAUUCAAUCAAUAAUAGGGCAAAAAUCCAUAAUUUGAAUGAAAAGAACCUAAAACAAUAUAUUUAAUAAAGAAGAAAAAGAAAACAAACCAAAGUUCUCGUCUUCUUCCACCUUCAAUGUCAAACUCUCUAGGAAAAAAAAUCCAAGAUCCCUAAAACAUAGAACUAAGAGAGUUUAGAUAAUAUCAUCAAUUACCUAUCCUAUGGCACACUCUCAUUAGCCACUUAUUACAAAAAUAAUUACCUAAAAAUGAUUAAAAAAAUAAUAAAAUGGUGAUUUCUAGUUGUGUGGGGUCCAUUUAAGUUUGAUGGAGUGCCUUAGAUGCAAUUCCCAAGGUAGAGGAGGCGAAACAUCAAAGUGGUAGUGGGUGAAUUUGAAAUUGGUGUCAUUUCAAUGUGGAUUUCGAAUUCAUAAGUUGAAUUUUGAAAUCAUUUUGAAAUGACCCUUUAGCUUUGUGCAGUUGUUUUCAAAUGGCCAUAACUUCUUCAUUUCAGCUCCCAUUUGCACAUUGUUUGAAGUAUUAGACUCUUGACCUCCCAAGCUUCGAAACAAUAUACCAUAUGUAUAAAAUGGUCUCUAGGAAAUGCUCCAAUUUUGUCCUCAAAGUCAGGGUAUAUAUUACCAUUAGAUUUUUGAGUUCUAAAUUUCCAUGCAGUUGAAUCUUGCUUCAUGCCUCAUUUUCUAUGUUUUCUUAGCUUCUUUCUUACUCCAUUAUGGUCAUUUCUCAUCUUCCAAACUCAUGAUAUCCUCAUCUUGCCUUUUCUCAUGGUCCAUGAGUCUUGACUCACUUAUUUCUUCAUUUAACCCUUUCUUGAUCUUUCAAAAUCUAAAGUGAUUCAACUUGCACCCUUUUCUUCCCUCGAACCUGAGAUAAGUCUCCAAAGUACAAAUUAAACUCACGGCUAGGGCUUUAGCAUCAAUUUAGGUAAAGUUGGGUGAUUUGAAUGUCCUUUGGUGCACAAAUCAUAUCAAAUAUGUGCCAUUAGAGCACAUAUUUUGGCUCCAAUCAUCUCCCUUAACUAAACUUUGCUAGUCCAUAGCAAAUGAAAAGAGUAAAGAAAAAAGUGAAAAAUAUGUAAUGAGAUUCAUGAAACCAUAUUGACUCAACAUAACUGAUUACUACUCAAAAAGUGCAUUUUUAUAAGCUUAAACUUAAUUGUAUUAAGCACUUUUGAGUAGUAGUUAGACAUUUUAUCCCAAUUGGCAUGUGAAGGACCUAGCAAAUGUUACUAACCAAUUUUUGGUAAGUUUUAAUGUUUUUAGUAGCUUUUUGAUCACUGAAACAACCCAAUAUUGAGAGAGAGUUUUGUGCAAGCUAUGGCAAGGCAAGUUUAUGGUCAAUCACAUGAAGAAUCUGAGCCUUAGAGCACUUCAAAACCCCUUGCCAAACUUGGAAAGGGGUUGGCAAAGCUAUUAGUAGUAAGAUGGACGGAAACAGAGCAUUUUGCAAGGCAAAAUCAUCAAAUUCGCAAGGUGUGCCAAAAUUCGCAAUGUGUGCCAAAUUUUGGCAGGGUGUGCCAAACUUUCGCAAAGUAUGCCAAAAUUUCGCAAGGUGUGCGAAAAUCACUUUAUGCGCACCGACCUUCAGGAAAAAUCUCCAGAAUUGUAAUUUUUUCUUUUUUACUCCUUUUGUAAUAGAUAAAAGACAUUAGGGUUUGUUUAGGAACUAUAAAUAGGGGUUGGAAAACCUCUCAGAGAUGAUGUUGUGUUAGAUAUUAUGUUUUAGAUAUUUCGUAAAGUCUGAGUUUUUCUCUGCCUUUCCUUCUCAUUUUCUCUUCACUUUCUCUCUAGCCAAACACCCUCUGAGGAUGAUUUCUCAGAGGAUGAAUGGCUAAGUUUCACAUUUCUUGGAGUGAUGGAAGCUAGGUAAAGGACCCAGAUGCAAAGGUGGGAGUUUUCCUUGCUAAAAAUGAAGGUAGUUGUGUAUCGUUAAUGGUUUGUAUGUCAAGUUUUAGCUUUAAUCCCUUAGAAUCACCUUGAAUGGCCAAUACUUGGUAAGCUUUUAGGAUUCUAUGGAUGCUUAUUGCUAGAUCCAUGGAUGUCCAUUAGUUAUCAAGUACGAGCCAUUGGAAGGUGGUUCAAGGUGAGGGUCUUUAGUGUUUGAAGUCAUUAAUGGGAAGCAACUACUAUUUUUCAAGAACCCUUUGGAUCAAAACUUAUUUGCUAAAUACAAAUCCGGUUUGGGAGAUGACCAUCCUUUAUGUCAUUGUCCCCAAUGCGAGGGGAAGAUCCGGAAUUUCCCACUUUGCAAUAGGAACCUGAUCCUAGUAACCAUAGCUCCAAGAGACUUUCUCUUUAUAAUAAUUUCAAUUGUUUAUGUUUGCUUAACUUAAAAUCAACCCUUCCAAUCAAUCUUAUUUUCAUUUAAAAACUAACUUCCAAAAAGAAAAUCACCAUUUCUUCUUUCAUUAAUGUUAAGUGUACAAAGAAAACCCAUCCCUGUGGACGAUCCUAGAGCCACUAUACUAUAGUAGCUUUGUAUUUGCUACUCUAGUAUAAGGUGUUGUAGGUUUUAUAAAUGUUUUGAUAGACACCCGACUGGGCAUGAAUCAAAUGGCGCCGUUGCCGGGAAUGGUGCCUAAGUACAUAAAUGUUACCUUUUAUGAGUACUUGUGAUCUUCAUCACAAGUUGGUGAUUUUUUUUUCACUAACUCGUUUUCUUUGUUUUUAUUUUAUCUUAUCUUUCAUUUACUUUUUAGCUAACUUGUAAUCUUUUCCUAGAAUUGUAGUCCUUUUUGUUUUCUUUGUUUUUGUUUCAGUACUCUCGAGUUGUGUAUGCCCUAUUGGAUAAGAGAUAUUGAGGAAAGACUUGUGAAAAUUGAAACUCCUCAAGAAAUCAAGUUGGAAGUCUGCUUGAACAUCAUGGAUAUUCCACCUGAAGAUCAGCAUAGCCAACAUGGGCAAGAGGAGAAUCUCAAUGCAUAUCGAUCCAUAAGGGACCGCAUGCAUCCACCUCGAAUGAGUGCACCUUCAUGCAUAGUGCCUCCCACUGAGCAACUAGUGAUCCGACCUCAUAUAGUGCCCCUUCUACCUACUUUCCAUGGGAUGGAAAGUGAGAACCCCUAUUCUCACAUCAAGGAGUUUGAAGACGUGUGCAAUACAUUCCAAGAAAGAGGAGCUGCAAUUGACUUGAUGAGACUCAAGCUAUUCUCUUUCACCUUAAAGGAUAAGACCAAGGUUUGGCUUAAUUCUCUAAGGCCGAGGAGUAUCAGAAUGUGGACUAAUUUACAAGCUGAGUUUCUCAAGAAGUUCUUCCCUACUCAUAGGACCAAUGGCUUAAAAAGGAAAAUUUCGAACUUCUCAGCUAAGAAGAAUGAGAAAUUCUAUGAGUGUUGGGAGAGGUACAUGGAAGCUAUCAACGCUUGUCCUCACCAUGGCUUUAAUACAUGGCUCUUAGUGAGUUAUUUCUAUGAUGGUAUGUCUUCCUCUAUGAAGCAACUCCUAGAGACCAUGUGUGGAGGAGACUUCAUGAGUAAGAAUCCAGAGGAAGCUAUGGACUUCUUGAGUUAUGUUUCUGAAGUUUCAAGAGGAUGGGAUGAACCGAAUACUAGAGAUAUGGGGAUAAUGAAGUCUCAGCCCAAUGCUAAGGGUGGAAUGUAUGUGUUGAGUGAAGACAUGGACAUGAAAGCAAAAUUUGCAACUAUGGCAAGGAGAUUGGAAGAGCUAGAACUAAAGAAAGUAUAAGAAGUAUAAGCCAUUUCUGAGGCAUGAGUGCAAGCUACGCCUUGUUCCAUAUGUCAAUCUUAUGAGCAUUUGGUGGAGGAGUGUCCAACCAUUCCAGUAGUGCGAGAAAUGUUUGGUGAUCAAGCAAAUGUGGUUGACCAAUUCAAGCCCAACAACUAUGCUCCUUAUAGAAGCACCUACAAUUUUAAUUGGAUAAACCAUCCAAAUUUCUCAUGGAAGCUAAGGCCACCUCAGUACACACCACCAGCUCAAGCACCUCAACAAGCUUCAAACCUUGAACAAGCCAUUGUGAAUCUUAGCAAGGUUGUGGGAGACUUUGUGGGGGAGCAAAAUUCAAUCAACUCUCAAUUGAAUCAGAAAAUUGAUAGAGUGAAGAGUACAUUGAAUAAAAUGAUGGAUGAGAUGCAAAAUGAUCUAUCUCAGAAGAUAGAUAAUGUUCAAUACUCCAUCUCAAGGCUCACCAACCUCAAUACUGUGCAAGAGAAAGGAAAGUUUCCUUCUCAACCUCAUCAAAAUCCCAAGGUAAUUCAUGAAGUAGAAGCUCAAGAAGGAGAAUCUUCAAAGUUGAGGGAAGUCAAAGCAGUUAUCACUCUUAGGAGUGGUAAGGAGGUUGUUCAACCCCCACCCAAGCUGAAACAUGAUGAAGGAAGUGAAUCAAAUAAGGACAUGGGUGAGAAAAAGUCAAAGAAAGGUGACCAUGAUUCAAGUGUGGAUGAAGAACCAAGGAUAGUCAUCAAGGAAGAUAUGAUGAAGAAGCACAUGUCUCCACCUUUCCCUCUAGCUUUACAUGGUAAGAAGGGAACCAAGAAUACAUCAGAAAUUUUUGAAGUGUUGAGGCAAGUGAAGGUCAACAUUCCUUUACUUGACAUGAUCAAGCAAGUUCCAACUUAUGCCAAAUUCUUGAAGGACUUGUGCACUGUAAAGAGAGGGUUAAAUGUGACCAAGAAAGCCUUCUUGACUGAACAAGUGAGUGCUAUCAUCCAAUGCAAGUCUCCAGUGAAGUAUAAAGAUCCAGGAUGCCCCACCAUUUCAGUAAAUAUUGGAGGGACAUGUGUGGAGAAAGCUCUUCUAGACUUGAGAGCAAGUGUGAAUUUGCUACCCUAUUCGGUUUACAAGCAGUUGGGACUUGGGGGGUUGAAGCCCACAUCCAUUACUCUCUCCCUAGUUGAUAGAUCAGUGAAGAUCCCAAGGGGGGUAAUUGAGGAUGUCUUGGUAUAGGUUGACAAAUUCUACUAUCCAGUAGAUUUUGUUGUUCUUGAUACUAAUCUAGUUGUCAUAGGGACAAACUAUGUGUCAAUCAUACUUGGAAGACCAUUCCUCGCUACUUCUAAUGCAAUCAUCAAUUGUAGGAAUGAAGUUAUGCAACUCAUGUUUGGCAACAUGACCUUGGAGCUAAACAUCUUCCAUUUGUGCAAGAAGCAUCUCCAUCUAGAAUAAGAGAAAGGGCCAGAGAAAGUGUGCAUGAUUGACACUUUGGUGGAGGAGCACUGUGAACAGAGCAUGGAGGAAGAUUUGAUUGAGAGUCUUGGGGAUCCUGAUGAAGGGUUACCUGAACCCUCAGAUUUGCUAACUACCAUGUCUCAUUGGAGAAAGAUGGAAAAGAUUCUACCUUUGUUCAAUGAGGAGGAGUCGCACAGAGUUGGUAAGGAGGAGCCCCCAAAACUUACUCUUAAGCUUCUACCUACUGGGUUGAAAUACGCAUACUUGGAGGAAGACAAGCAGUGCCCUAUGGUGAUUUCUUCAGCUCUCACCAUUCAUCAAGAGGAUUGUCUAAUCGAACUCCUUAGAAGAUGUAAGAAGGCCAUUGGGUGGAAAAUUUUAGACUUGAAAUGAAUCAGCCCUUUGGUGUGCACCCAUCAUAUCUAUAUGGAGGAGGAAGCAAAGUCAGUUCGCCAACCGCAGAGAAGGUUGAACCCUCACAUGCAAGAGGUGGUACGAGCUAAAGUUUUGAAGCUACUUCAAGCCGGUAUUAUAUAUCCCAUAUCAGAUAGCCUAUGGGUGAGUCCAACCCAGGUUGUCCCAAAGAAGUCUGGGAUCACGGUGGUGCAGAAUGAUAAGGGAGAAGAUGUCUCCAAAUGCCUUACUACUGGUUGAAGGGUGUGUAUCGAUUACAGGAAGUUGAAUGCGGUGACAAGAAAUGACCAUUUCCCGUUGCCUUUUAUUGACCAAGUGCUUGAAAGGGUUUUUGGGCAUCCUUUCUAUUGUUUUUUGGAUGGCUACUCUGGCUACUUUCAAAUAGAGAUUGAUUUGGAAUAUCAAGAGAAGACCACUUUCACAUGCCCCUUCGGUACAUUUGCAUAUAGGAGAAUGCAUUUCGGUUUAUGCAAUGCACCUGCAACUUUCCAAAGAUGCAUGCUAAGCAUCUUUAGUGAUAUGGUGGAGCGAAUUUUGGAAGUCUUUAUGGACGAUAUCAUCGUUUAUGGAAGUGCAUUUGAGGAUUGCUUAGUAAACUUAGAAGUUGUUCUAAACCGGUGCAUUGAAAAAGACUUGGUGCUUAACUAGGAGAAGUGUCAUUUCAUGGUACAACAAGGGAUUGUUCUUGGGCAUAUCAUCUCUAAGGAGGGUAUUGAGGUUGAUAAAGAAAAAGUUGAACUCAUUGUGAAGUUGCCAUCCCCCACCAAUGUCAAGGGAGUAAGGCAAUUCCUUGGACAUAUCGGUUUCUAUAGGAGGUUUAUCAAGGACUUUUCAAAGCUUACAAGGCCUCUUUGUGAAUUGUUGGUCAAGGAUGCUAAAUUCAUAUGGGAUGAAAGAUGCCAAAGAAGUUUUGAGCAAUUAAAGUCAUUUUUGACAACAAUACCCAUUGUGCGAGCUCUUAACUGGCAGUUACCCUUUGAGGUAAUGUGCGAUGCUAGUGAUUUUUCUAUUGAAGUUAUGAUGGGCCAAAGAGAAGAUGGAAAACCCUAUGUGAUCUAUUAUGCCAGUAAGACACUCAAUGAGGCUCAAAGAAACUACACAACCACUGAGAAGGAAUUGUUAGCAGUAGUUUUUGCCUUGGACAAAUUUCGUGCUUACUUGGAGGGGUAUUUCAUAGUGGUAUUCACCGAUCACUCUGCUUUGAAGUAUUUGUUGACUAAGCAAGACUGAUUAGGUGGAUCCUCUUGCUUCAAGAGUUCAAUCUUCAAAUCAAAGACAAGAAGGGAGUAGAAAAUGUGGUAGCUGACCACCUUUCAAGGCUUGCAAUCGCACAUAAUUCCCAUGGUUUGCCCAUUAAUGAUGACUUCCCAGAGGAAUCUCUCAUGUUAGUGGUAGUAACUUUGUGGUAUGCUCACAUUGCGAACUACCUAGUUACAGGAGAAGUUCCAAGUGAGUGGAAAGCACAAGAUAGAAAACAUUUCUUUGUAAAGAUCAAUGCCUACUAUUGGGAAGAACCAUUUCUAUUCAAGUAUUGUGCGGAUCAAAUAAUAAGGAAGUGUGUUCCUGAACAAGAGCAACAUGGGAUUCUCUCUCAUUGCCAUGAGAAUGCUUGUGGAGGUCACUUUGCUUCUCAAAAGACAGCUAUGAGGGUCUUGCAAUCGGGUUUCUAUUGGCCCUCACUUUUCAAGGAUGCCCAUGCCAUGUGCAAGGUUUGUGAUCGAUGUUAGAGGCUUGGGAAGUUGACCUGAAGGUAUAUGAUGUCUUUGAACCCCAUUCUGAUAGUUGAUCUUUUUGAUGUUUGAGGCAUUGACUUCAUGGGACCUUUUCCUAUGUCAUUUGGCUACUCCUACAUCUUGGUGGGAGUCGAUUAUGUUUCUAAGUGGGUUGAAGCAAUUCCAUGCAAACACAAUGACCAUAGGGUGGUUAUCAAGUUCUUGAAGGAGAACAUUUUCUCAAGAUUUGGAAUGCCUAAAGCCAUAAUCAGUGAUGGGGGUACUCAUUUUUGUAACAAUCCUUUUGAAACUCUUCUAGCCAAGUACGGGGUGAAGCAUAAGGUAGCUACGCCUUACCACCCUUAAACUAGCGGGCAAGUUAAGUUGGCAAACCGGGAGAUCAAGAACAUAUUGAUGAAGGUGGUGAAUGUGAACAGAAAAGAUUGGUCUAUCAAACUCCUUGAUUCACUAUGGGCUUAUAGAACUGCUUACAAGACCAUUCUUGGAAUGUCCCCUUAUCGCUUAGUCUAUGGUAAAGCGUGCCAUCUCCCUGUGGAAUUGGAAUACAAGGCUUGGUGGGCAAUCAAGAAACUCAACAUGGAUUUGAGCAAAGUCGGGUUGAAGAGAUUCUUAGACCUCAAUGAGUUGGAGGAACUGCGAAAUGAUGCUUACCUUAAUUCGAAAAUUGCAAAAGAGAGGUUGAAGAGAUGGCAUGAUCAGUUGGUGACCCGAAAUGACUUUUCAAAGGGACAAAGAGUCUUGCUCUAUGACUCUAAGCUCCAUAUCUUUCCGGGCAAGUUGAAAUCAAGGUGGUUAGGUCAUUUCACAAUCCACCAAGUGUAUUCAAAUGGAGUAGUGGAGCUACUCAACGCCAAUAGUAAUCGAACUUUCAAAGUGAAUGGCCAUCGUCUCAAGCCUUUGUGGAGCCUUUUUCUCGAGACAAGGAGGAAUUCACCCUCCUUGAUCCCCCUCAGGCUUAAAAAAUAAUAAUAAUAAUCAGAUCCUGGAUGGACUUAGUCUUUCUGAAAACUAUUAAGUUCAUCCAUUUUUGCUUUUUGUUUUUAAUUUCAUGUUUUUCUUGCAUUUGUAUUUGUUUUGAUUUCGAUUUCUUACUUGAAUUCCAUUUUAGUUUGAUUUAAUUUAGGUUUUUGAUGAUCACUUGUAGAGGAAAAGCUGAGGAAAAAUUGAAGCAAAGCAUUUCGCAUACCUCUCUGCGAAUUUUUCGCAUGGUGUGUGAAAAGUGCUCUUUGCAUUAAGUGAGCUACUGCCAUUUAGCAGAGCAUGCAAAAAUUUCGCACCCUCUACGAAAUUCUUGUGACUCUCGGUCUUCAAAUGCGAAUUUCCACAUGGUUUGCUAACUCAAAGUUCACCCUACAAAUCAACUUUGCGAAAAUUCCAUUUUGCGAAAAUCCCACUUUGCGAAAACUCCACUUUGCGAAAAUUACACUUUGCGAAAAUUCCAUUUUGCGAAGACCCCACUUUGCGAAAAUUCCACUUUGCGAACAAUCUCCACCCCUCAUUUUUCUAAAAAAAAAAAAAAAAUAGUAAAAUUUUAUUUAUUUAUUUUUUUUGCAGCAUACAUCCCAACUUCAUUUCUCACUUCUCUAGUCAUUUUUGCGCCCUUUUGCGAAACUUUUGCAUGACUAUGAAAAAUUUGCCUCGAAAGGUAUCACUUCCUCCCUUUAUUUUCACUUGCAAUUGAAACAUUGAGGACAAUGUUCGUCUUGGUUAGGGGGAGAGUUGAGGAAGUAAGUAUUGUAAAUAUUGCUAGGAUAUUUUGUUAACUUAGUUACCUUUUGUUUAUUUUUUUUUUAAAAGUUUUUACUCUACUCUCCAUGGUUGUUAAGGAAAAAUUCUCAAAAUGAAAUGAGAGAAGUUGAGUUCUUGCCUUUUUGCUUAAGUCUUAGAGUUUGUAUUAUGUAUAUUGAGGUUGAUGAAUUAUUGAAGCUCCUAUUGAAUUCAACCUUGUUUCUUCCACUUUAAUCUUACCACACACUGUGCACAUUAGGUUCCAAUUAUAAGAUGAAAAACUAUCUCACCCCUUGAACUUAGGAAAAUUUUGACUUGGUACCUUUGACCUCAUUUUAAUAGUGUUGGGACACCUUAUAGAAGGCCAAUGAGCCUUCAGAAAAAAAAAAAAAAACAAGUGCUACACAUGCCUUGAAACCCAAGCAAGGUCAUAAGGAUAUAUGGCGAAAGUCUUUGAAGCCUGGUGCCCUAAACCUUAAUUGGUUGGGAGUCGCAAACCUUAAUGCUCGUUAUAGGGGUGAAUGGGUGAAGUUGAGCAAAUAAAAGAAUUGUGAAAUAAAAGAGGUGUGUUCUUAGCCUAUUGGGUGUUGGUCAGUUUGCUAGGUUUGAGAAAGAACUAGGUUGGGGGGAGAGCAUAGUUUAGCAUACUAUAAUUGGAAACUAAUCACCUUAACACUUAGAUUCUUGUCGAAGAUUAAGUGUUGGAUCUUUGAGAGUGGAAAUUCUUUUGAUGCUUAAAUUUGUAUAGUGCCUACUCUUUGUAUUUUGUGAUUAGGUAAGUGAUUUAAUGACUCUUGUUAAAGGUUGGGUUUUAUAUCUUUGAUUUUCCAUGAGAGAUUUUUGAUCCAUAUCAUGCUGCUUUAAAAUUUUAUUUUUGAAGUGGUGAGCAUGAUUUUGUAAAUUGUUGUAUAGUCUAUUUUUCUUUUUGUCUCCUUCAUUGCUAAGGGACUAGCAAUGUGUCGGUUGGGGGGAGUGAUUACUACUCAAAAAGUGCAUUUUUAUAAUCUUAAACUUAAUUGUAUUAAGCACUUUUGAGUAGUAGUUAGACAUUUUAUCCCAAUUGGCAUGUUAAGGACCUAGCAAAUGUUAUUAACUAAUUUUUGGUAAGUUUUAGUGUUUUUGGUAGCUUUUUGAUCACUGAAAUAGGCCAAGAUUGAGGGAGAGUUUUGUGCAAGCUAUGGCAAGGCAAGUUAAAGGUCAAUCACAUGAAGAAUUUGAGCCUUGGAGCACUUCAAAACCCCUUGCCAAACUUGGAAAGGGGUUGACAAAGCUAUCAGUAGUAAGAUGGAGGGAAACAAAGCAUUUCGCAAGGCAAAAUCAUCAAAUUCGCAAGGUGUGCCAAACUUUCGCAAGGUGUGCCAAAAUUUUGCAAGGCGUGCCAAAAUUUUGCAAGGCGUGCCAAAAUCACUUUGUGCACACCGACCUUCAGGAAAAAUCUCCAGAAUUGUAAUUUUUUCCUUUUUACUCAUUUUGUAAUAGAUAAAAGACAUUAGGGUUUGUUUAGGAACUAUAAAUAGGGGUUGGAAAACCUCUCAAAGAUGAUGUUAUGUUAGAUAUUAUGUUUUAGAUAUUUUGUAAAGUCUAAGUUUUUCUCUGUCUUUCCUUCUCAUUUUCUCUUCACUUUCUCUCUAGCCAAACAUCCUCUGAGGAUGAUUUCUCAGAGGAUGAGUGGCUAAGUUUCACGUUUCUUAGAGUGAUGGAAGCUAGGUAAAGGACCCAGAUGCAAAGGUGGGAGUUUUCCUUGCUAAAAAUGAAGGUAGUUGUGUAUCGUUAAUGGUUUGUAUGUCAAGUUUUAGCUUUAAUCCCUUAGAAUCACCUUGAAUGGCCAAUACUUGGUAAGCUUUUAGGAUUCUAUGGAUGCUUAUUGCUAGAUCCAUGGAUGUCCAUUAGUUAUCAAGUACGAGCCAUUGGAAGGUGGUUCAAGGUGAGGGUCUUUAGUGUUUGAAGCUAUUAAUGGGAAGCAACUAUGAUUUUUGAAGAACCCUUUGGAUCAAAACUUAUUUGCUAAAUACAAAUCCGGUUUGGGAGAUGACCAUCCUCUAUGUUAUUAUCCCCAAUGUGAGGAGAAGAUCCAGAAUUUCCCACUUUGCAACAGGAACCUGAUCCUAGUAACCAGAGCUCCAAGAGACUUUCUCUUUAUAAUAAUUUCAAUUGUUUAUGUUUCCUUAACUUAAAAUCAACCCUUCCAAUCAAUCUUAUUUUCAUUUAAAAACUAACUUCCAAAAAGGAAAUCACCAUUUCUCCUUUCAUUAAUGUUAAGUGUAUAAAGAAAACCCAUCCCUGUGGACGAUCCUAGAGCCACUAUACUAUAGUAGCUUUGUAUUUGCUACUCUAGUAUAAGGUGUUGUAGGUUUUAUAAAUGUUUUGAUAAACACCCGACUGAGCAUGAAUCAAUAACAUGUUACACACAAAAGAUACCCAAGUAGUCAAAUUUCCUAGAAUUGAGCAAAAUGAAACAAGAUAUGCAAUUUCUUAGUUUUUUCACCUUAUCUUCGUAUACAUAAAUGUGCAUCCAUGUUUAGCAUUCCCCUUAGUGUCUCUUGAUUUUUCCUUGUUUGGUUUUUUCCACCUAAACCUCAUGUGCUUAAUUUUGGUGUCCCCUCAGUAUUUUUCUUAAGACUUUUCUUAAACUCAAACUUCAUCAUUCUUUAAUUUAAAAAAUGAGGAAAAUUUAUUUUGAUUUUUCUUUCUUAGUUUAGGAAAUCUCCUUCUAUAUGGCUUAAUAGGGAUCCAUCGACAACUCCCAAGUUUUCACCCAAGGUACUAGGUAUUGAGAACCUUUGUAGGCCACUUACCUUUUAGGUGUCAUCCUAGCUCAAGGUAGAACAAGGUUGAAUUUCCCAAAUAUUUAUUUAUUUAUUUUAAUGUUUUUUUUCAAAAUUGAGUUUAGCUUAUGUUACAAGCAAGAUAUCGAUGACUUCUAACCAGUCGUUUUCGGGCACCGGGGCUUGAAAACACAGGGCCAUUACCCCCUCAAAUAAUUGCUCAAGCUUAAAUAAAUCAUUUUCAAAUUUUUUUUUCAUCAAUUUUUUUUUUCAUUUCCUCAUUUUAUUGCUUAAGAACAACUCCUUUUAAGCUAAAGAAAUUAUUUUAAUCAAGAUACCACAAGGGUAUAUGUGCUUUAUGUGUGCUUUGAGUCUUAAAUAGAAAAUAACCAUUAAAAAAAAUUUGAAGGCAUUCAAAGAAUUUAACCUAACUAUUUUUGCACUUCAAAGUAUAUAAAGAUAAGGUAAGUGAACUAAUACUCUUGCUCUAACUGUAUUUUUUCUCAAAUUCUAAAGAAAUAAUACUACUUAAAGCAUUCUCAUGCAAAAUAAACCAUGAGUUGCCAAGGCAAAUUAAGAAUGUCAUUAAUUAACCAAAUAUAACAGGCAAACUUUUGAAAAAAAUUAGGGCUAAUAGACCUUCCCCCCUCAACCUAAAUUACACAUUGUCCCCAAUGUGUAGGAUAUUGGGUCAAAUGAAAGGAAAAAUGGAGAUGUUACCUCAAUAUCAUCAAGUGAGAAGUUUGUCAUGAGGACUUCAUAUAAACUAGUCUUGCACAAAAAAAACAAGAUUAGUGGCAAAAGUAUGCAUAGAGAAAAAUAUAAAUGGUGAGAAUCUAAAAGAGAGUAUAAGAGUAUGAGUAUGUGAUUCGUCCCUAGCAGCGGCAGUGGCAACAGCACCAUUUGAUUCGGGGUUCGAUCCCCGGCAACGGCGCCAUUUGAUUCGUGCCCACUUGGUGUCUCAGCUGAUUCAUGUCCAGCUGGUGCUCCUUGAUUGAGAGAGUAAUCAACAAAAUUUAUAACCUAUUACACCAUAUACUAGGGUAGCAAAGACAAAGCUACUAUAACAUAGUGGCUCUAGGAUCGUUCACUGGGAUGGGUUUUCACUUUGCAAAUGAUAUUAAUUCAAAAUUGAAUUGGUGCCUUUUCAUUUCAAGGUUAGCUUUAAAAGAAAACAUAAAGAUGUUUGAAUGAAAAAGGUUUAGAUUUAAACUAACAAAAAAUAGUAACUGAUUUUACUUACAAAGAAAAGUGUUUCUUGGAGUUUCAAAUCACUAGGCUCAGAUUCCUCAUACAAAAAGGGAGUUCCGGUCACUUGUUUCUUUUCCUCGCAUUAGAGAAUUAACAUAUAGUUAAUUCUCUAACCGAUGUUGUACAGAUGCUUCCCAUUAAUGGGUUCAAACACUAAAUCCCUCUCACUGAUGCAUCUUGCAAUGGCUCGUGCCUCUCACCUAGCAUUUGCCAUUCAAGGUGAUCUUUAACCUUGGAUUACCCGUCAAAAGCUCGCAAGAGAUAACUAAUGGAUGUCUCCUUGGAGUCCAAAAGCUUACCAAGUGUUGGCUAUUCUAGAAAAUCCUACCUUCAAGUCACCUCCCAAAAGCUCGCAAGAGAUAAACUAGUGAAUCUCCAUGGACGGAGAUCACUUGCCUUACCAAGUGUUGGCUCAGGUGAAUUGAAGACGUUUUAAGUUAACUAAAAAGAUAAAAACCAUUAACGGGUCACACUUUCUCUUCAUUAAAAACUAAAACAACAAAACUUCCAAACUAUGCAUGUGGAAACUUACCCGGCUUUCCUCACUCCAAGAGACAAAAAGCCUAGCCUCUCAUCCUCUGAGGAAAAAUCCUCAGAGUUUGGUUGGCUAGAAAGAAAACUAACGAGAAAACAAGAAUAUAUAUGAAAAACAGAGCAAGUGCUCUGUUCGUUGAUCUAUAUAUGAUAUAUCUAUAUUACAGUGGAUUACAUGAUUACAUGAUUCUCUGAGAACAAGCUCCCGAGAGCUAUAUAUAAAGAAAAUUACAAAACAAAAUAUCUGAGGUUAUUCACCCCUGUGUUCUUACUUAACAACUAAGGAAUCCUAUAAUUGGUGGAUUACAAGGAGAGAAUUGGGAUUUAGACAUCAAAUAUCUGAAGCAAAAUAUCAAAAAAUGUCGGUCGCAAAUAUCUGGAAGCACUCGGGAGAAUUUCGCAGGCGCACAAAAUGGCUGGUUCGACUCAUGGUAGCUUAGCUUUAAAGGCGUAUCAACAAAAUUUAUACCUUGAAUACUAUUACUAAAGUAGCCAAGCUACUAUAGCAUAGUGGUUCUAGGAUCGUUCACUGGGAAGGGUUUUCGCAAACACAAGUGAUAUUCAAAUUAGGAAAAUAGGUGAUUUUCUUAUGGAUGUUAGCUUUAAAAGAAGAUGUAAAUGUUUUAGAAAGAUUGAAACUAAUCUAAGCUAACAUUAAAGACUAAAAUGAAAGGGUGUAAAAACAAGUUUCUCAAAUAUAGGAUAACUAUGCUCUGGCUCUUAUGCAAAUUGGAAAUCUCAGGAUAGGCUCCUCGCGUUGGGGUUGCAACUAUGGUGAUGCUUGCUUCCCGAACCGGUAUGGAUUUAGCAAAUCAAGUUUUAAUCCUUUAAAAUGACAAAACAGAUGGUAGUGAAUUUCAUCAAUGGUUAUUCACCUUAGACUUCCUUUGAAUGGCUCGUAAGAGAUAACUAGUGGUCUAAAGCCAAAAGCUUACCAAAUAUUGGCAACUCAAAGUCAUUCCAAGUGAUAAACUCACCUUUCAAUGGCCAUUGAAAUUGGUUCUAACGGAUUAAUGCAAAACUUGGAAUUGAAAACCUCACCUUCCAAUAGCUCGUAGGAGAUAACUAAUGGAUAGAAAUCCAAAAGCUUAUCAAGUAUUGGCCGUUGGAAGUUGUCAAAAGGAAAUAAAAACCAAACUUUGCAUUAAUGAACCAUUAAUGAAAAACGACUACCUUACCUUCCGGGUGCGAGAAAUUUCCAUGGGAUUGCAUCCAAGCCAUCACAUAACAUCCAUACUUUGAGAAACUAAAAGUUUUAGCCAAUCAUCCUAUGAGGAAAAGCCCUCAGAGGCUGUUUGGCUACUAAGAAAAUAGAAAUGGGGAAGAACAGGAGAAGAGAGAAAAACAGAGCAAGGCUCUGUAUAUUCUAUAUAUUGAUCGAUAUAUAAUUACAACGGAUGCAAGGGAAUAUAUAUAGAGAAGUUUUUCCAAUCCUUCCUAGCUAAGAAAUCUUAUGAUUCGUGGAUUACAAGGAGAAGAAUGGAAAUUUAUACAAAAAUAUCUAAAAGAAAAGAUCUCGUGUGGAGUCGGCAGAAACAGGGGAAAAUUCGCACGUUGGAGUUCCAAUUUCGCACGUUGAUUUGAGGUGUGCGAAAUUCUCGCACAGUGGACUGAGGAAUUCGCACCUUGAAUAGUGGUGUGCGAAAUUCCCGCUCAGCUCGGUCCAGUUUUCUUGCAAUGACCAUAACUUUUUCGUUUCAACUCCGAUUUGGACACCGUUUGAAGCGUUGGACUUCUGACUUCCCGAGCUUCGAAAUGGUAUAUAGUAUGUAUAAAAUGGACUCGAGAAAGUACUCCAAAAUAUGUCCCAAAGUGGAAAUAGAACCAAUGGCCAGAAUUCUCUCUUCUCUUCCUUUUCUUUCAUCAUUUUUGCAUCUCCUCCUACAAUGAUCAUCCAAAACUCAUCUUAAAAACAUAUUAAAACUAAAUUAAAGCUAAGAAUUCAAACUAAAACAUGCAUAAAUUUAAAGAAAGCAUAGAAUUUAAAUGAAGCUGAUAGCAUGUACCCCAAAAAGAAGAUGAACUAUUUAGCUCAUCCUGACUCACACACCCACUUCAUGCUGAAUUCCCCCUGGAUCCCAAACAAAAUUGGCAUCCUUCCCAUUUGGUCCAAGGGAAUUCGUUUCUCUUCUCUUCCCUAGAGAAGUGGAUGCUUUAAAGGGUUCAGGUAACCCCUUAUCAUCUUGAACCUUAUGAUUUUCAAUGGAAGGUUGGUCCAUAGAGUUGUCAUAGCAAUCCCCCACCAAAGUGUCAAUCUUCAACACUUUCCUUGAUCUUUUUGCAUUGGUUCCUUGAAGGUUAUGGUGGGGUUGAGGAGUAAGCUUCCUUUUCCCCCUUGCUAUGUCGAGAUUGGUGAGCUUCUCAAUGGAGUCUUGAACUUUUUCUAUCCUUAGUGAUAGAUCAUUAUAAACCCCCUCCAUUCUUACAUUUAUUGAACUCUCCAUAUUAUCAAUCUUUUCAUUAAGCUGAGAGUUGAUCUUUUGUUGCUCACCUACAAAGUCCUCCAUGACUUUGCUUAUCUUCAAAAUGGCUUGCUCCAAUGAAGAUGUACUCAUUGAUGGUUGAGGUUGAGGUUGGGUUGCAAGGUUGGGAUGGUUUAUAUACUCAAAUGAAGUUGGCAUGGCUUGUGGUUGUGCUUCAGUAUGCACAUUCCUCAAUUCAAACUCUUCUAUCCUUCUAGCCAUAGAUGCUAGCUUUGCCUUCAUGCUCAUGUCUUCAUUCAAAGCAUACUUACUAGCCCAUUGGCUUUGUUGAACUUGCCUUUUCCCUAAUUCAAUCCGAUCCCUCAUGGAUAAGUAUGCAAAUUUGUCCUUCUCAUGAUCAUAAUGAGAGCUUUGAUCUUCAUGUGGAAUUUCCAUUUAUAAAAAAAAUGAUAUUCAACUAAGGCUCUUUUCUUCAACUUGUACCAGGGUUCCCUCUUGGUCUCGAAUCCAACAAGGAAUGCACAAAUUGAAAUUAAAACAAAAAUAAAAGAAAAGAGAAUAAAAAAUUUAACUCAAUAAAAACUAAACUAAAAAAAAUUAUAAGAAAACUCACCAAACUUGUGAUGAAGAUCACAAGUUACCCUUAAUGGUUGCUUCACUGUGCUUGUGGCACCUUCCCCGGCAACGGCGCCAUUUGAUUCGACUCAUGGUAGCUUAGCUUUAAAGGCGUAUCAACAAAAUUUAUACCUUGAAUACUAUUACUAAAGUAGCCAAGCUACUAUAACAUAGUGGUUCUAGGAUCGUUCACUGGGAAGGGUUUUCGUAAACACAAGUGAUAUUCAAAUUAGGAAAAUAGGUGAUUUUCUUAUGGAUGUUAGCUUUAAAAGAAGAUGUAAAUUUUUUAGAAAGAUUUAAACUAAUCUAAGCUAACAUUAAAGACUAAAAUGAAAGGGUGUAAAAACAAGUUUCUCAAAGAUAGGAUAGUUAUGCUCUGGUUCUUAUGCAAAUUGGAAAUCUUAGGAUAGGCUCCUCGCGUUGGGGUUGCAACUAUGGUGAUGCUUGCUUCCCGAACCGGUAUGGAUUUAGCAAAUCAAGUUUUAAUCCUUUAAAAUGGCAAAACAGAUGGUAGUGAAUUUCAUCAAUGGUUAUUCACCUUAGACUUCCUUUGAAUGGCUCGUAAGAGAUAACUAAUCGUCUAAAGCCAAAAGCUUACCAAAUAUUGGCAACUCAAAGUCAUUCGAGGUGAUAAACUCACCUUUCAAUGGCCAUUGAAAUUGGUUCUAACAGAUUAAUGCAAAACUUGGAAUUGAAAACCUCACCUUCCAAUAGCUCGUAGGAGAUAACUAAUGGAUAGAAAUCCAAAAGCUUAUCAACUAUUGGCCGUUGGAAGUUGUCCAAAGGAAAUAAAAACCAAACUUUGCAUUAAUGAACCAUUAAUAAAAAAUGACUAUCUUACCUUCCAGGUGCGAGAAAUUUCCAUGGGAUUGCAUCCAAGUCAUCACAUAACAUCCAUACUUUGAGAAACUAAAAGUUUUAGCCAAUCAUCCUCUGAGGAAAAGCCCUCAGAGGCUGUUUGGCUACUAAGAAAAUAGAAAUGGGGAAGAACAGGAGAAGAGAGAAAAACAGAGCAAGGCUCUGUAUAUUCUAUAUAUUGAUCGAUAUAUAAUUACAACGGAUGCAAGGGAAUAUAUAUAGAGAAGUUUUUCCAAUCCUUCCUAGCUAAGAAAUCUUAUGAUUCGUGGAUUACAAGGAGAAGAAUGGAAAUUUAUACAAAAAUAUCUAAAAGAAAAGAUCUCGUGUGGAGUUGGCAGAAACAGGGGAAAAUUCGCACGUUGGAGUUCCAAUUUCGCACGUUGAUUUGAGGUGUGCGAAAUUCUCGCACAGUGGACUGAGGAAUUCGCACCUUGAACAGUGGUGUGCGAAAUUGUCCCUCAGCUUGAUGCAGUUGUCUUCCAAAGGCCAUAUCUUUCUCAAUUCAGCUCCAAAUCAUAUAUGGUUUGAACCGUUGGAUUUUUGACUUUCUGAGCUUUGAAAUGGUAUAUAGCAUGUAGAAAAUGGACUUCGGGAAGUGCUCCAAAAGUGCCAAAGAAGACUGCAGCUGCUGUCCUCUGUUUUCCUCUUUGCUUCUUUUAGCUUCUCUUUGCUUCUCUUUGCUUUUCUCCUUUUGUUGGCUUGCUUUGGUGUAGCUAAAACCUUGCUUUAACUUGUACAAGUAGUUCCUCCAUCAUUUGGCAUGCUUGAAUUGAUUCAUAAGCUGAUAUAAACAUGUAAACUUGCCACAAAAUGGUUAAAACCAAUUACUAAGGACCUUAAUGAAUUAAUUGGGUUAAAUGAAUAUGAUUACUACACAAAGGUGCUUAAAAUCAUUAUAAUUAGGUCUAAAAAAUAGCACUUUUUGGUAGUAAUCAAUGGCUGUGAAAUUUCGCAGCCAAAGGCUAAUUUCGCAGCCCUGCGAAAUUGGCCUUCAGCUUGGAGUGAUCUGCUUCCAAUGGCUCUAAUUUCUUCAUUUCAACUCCGAUUUGCAAACCGUUUAAAGCAUUGGAUUGUUGACUUCCUGAUCUUCGAAACGACAUAUAGCAUGUAUAAAUUGGACUUCAGGAAGUGCUCCAAAAGUGGCUGAAAUGACUAUCAUCAAGAAUGCUUCAUGGCAGAUUUCUCUUUGCUUCCCCUCCUUGCAUUCCGGAUUUGCUUAUGGCAAAGGACUUCAAAGCUUUGGUUAUUCAUGUUUUUGAGCUUUCCAUUGCUUUGCCAUGGAUUCCAAAGAACUCUCCUCAAUCUUGGAUUGCUUUGGUGAUCAAAAAGCUAUCAAAACACCAAAACUUAACACAAUUUGAUUAGAAUUGAUUGCAAGGGUCCUUAACAUGCCAAUUGAGUUAAAAGGUAAUAACUACUACUGAAAAGUGUUUAAAAGAGUUAAUUACAAGCUAUCAAAUAGCACUUUUUGAGUAGUAAUCAGUAUGCGCCAAAAAUACCAUAGUAUAUACAACCAAAUUGAAUAAGGUAUAUAUAGAAAUGAACAUCAAGCACCAAUGAUAGGAUGGACAACUCCAUCUAUCUCCUCUAACAUAGGGGUGGCUACCUGGUCAAUAUCCUUCGAUAUAGGUGUAGUAGCCUGAUUAGUGAUAUCCAUGAUAGGUGUAACAGCCUCGCCAGCAGCUUGUACCAUAGGGGGGUCAUCCCUAAUAAUGAUGUCCACACUAGUGUUAAUAGCAUAAAUGAAGAUCUCACCAUCGACCUGUCCUGCAGAAUUUGGAAUAUCAAUAGUCGAGUUAAAAAUCUUAGCUGCGGCAUCACCUGAUGUUUGUAAGAUAGGCAUGGUCUCAUGGGCUACUGUCGGUGCUCUAGUGUCAAAGCCAAAACCAAUCACCUCUGUGUUGCCAUCAACCUCUAAGUUGGUAUCAGUUAGUGUAACCAAAUCUCCCCUUUAUCUAGAUGGAAUAACCAAAGAAGUGAGCUAUUGUAUAGAAAAAGUGAGGUCAUCCAUCUGAGUCUCCAUCUUACUUAGGUAAGCGUCAAUGUGGAAGUCCAUGGACACAAAUAACUUCUGAAGUGUGUCUAGACGAGCCAUGAUUGAUAAAGUACUCGGGGUAGCAUCAACAAUCUAAGGCUAUGAAGGUUUAGGAAGAUCGGAGAUUGGUACUGUUGGUGUAGAAAUAGGAAUAGCAAGCUCUGGGGCACAUGAAAGAGAUGGUGGAAGAGGAAUAGGAAGCACUAGUAAGCUCAUGUCAAAAGUAAGAAUGAGUGGGAGCGGGCUCUUUGUAGUAGAUGGAAGUCGAACAAAAUCCAAAGCUCUCUUUCACCUAGUGCGAUGGGUAGUCAAUUGUGACCCUGAAUGAAUCAUUCGAGCACACUGAUCGAUAACAGAAGUGUGAGAAGCCAUGUGACGACCAAACUCAAGUAACUGUUGUCCACGGUGGAGCAAGUAGUAUGAGAGCAAUCAAGGCAAAGGAAUGAGAUAGCUUUGAGCUAAAAAUAACUGUUUAUCCUUAACCUUCUAAAAAAAAAGAAAUGAUGGUAUCCAACUGAGUUGAGGUGGACUCCACCCCUCGCCUGUGUGCAUAUGAUAUAACCCCCAUAAGACUAAAUCAGAGCGCUCUAUAGAGUGUCCACAACAAGUACCCUGAGGUGCUAGUAUAUGUGCAAUCCUCGAAAAAGCUAGUCGUGACUGAGGUGUAAAUCAGGCUUCAAGAGGAGUGGAUGAUGGUAAACCAAAGGCUGAAACAAUGCUCUCAGUGGAAAUAAUAUCAACUCGUCCUCUAAUAGAAAAAUGGAGCUCUCGGUACCCCCCUCUCUAAUCCUCGAGAGUAAAUAAUAACUCUCGUACACUAGCGACAUAAAAAUAUGGGGGAUGAUCCAUCAAUGCGAGAAAAUAAUAUCGGUCAAGGAGAUGCAUGGACAAUGCAGUGGGCUCAUAAGUACUAAAUGCCUUUAUGUCAUAAAAGAACUCUUGACCAAACUCCCGUUGAGAUAGGUCCACCCUAGGGGCAUCAUCACAAACUCUUAGAGAUGGAGGACGUGUUGGGCUCAGAGUAGGGGGAGCUGCCCAUGGAUGUGGAGGAGUGGUAGUAGGCCUGGUGGUCUUAGGAGUGGUUGAGCGAUCAAAAUGGGCCUUCAUCCUAGUCUUUACAUGCAUGGCUUCAGUCCUCUUAGUGGUUGGGUGGUCAAAACGAGACUUCGUCCUAACCUCUACAUGCAUGGCUUUAGUCCUCUUAGUGGUUGGGUGAUCACAACGAGCCUUCAUCUUGGCCUCUACAUGCUUGGCUUGACUAGUGACAUGCCUCUCGGUAAGCUCACUAAUCAGUACACCACUUUGACUUUGGACAAGAGGUCGGGCAUGCUUUUGCCUUGGGAAUGCUUAGUCUCAUUGUCACUUUGAAUAACAACUUUCCUUUUAUCUCGAGCCAUCUAAAAUAAAUGUCGAAAAAUAAACUAAACUUAAAAAGGGAAAUAAAUAAAUAAAAAUAAAAGCAAAAACUCAUAAGGGUUAAGAAAACAAUCCCAAAAAAAUUGAAUGCUCAUGAAAUUUAUGGAUUCAUGUGAAACGGUGGUAGACCAUUCCUAAAAUGCGGGAAAACAUUCAAGGUGUCCAACACUGAUGAAAAUAUGAGUCUUUGAAGCCUUAGAUAUAAUCCAAACAAUACUUAAGCUCAAAUAUCAUGUGACAAGGAAAUCAAAGUGAUUGGUUAGCUUAGGAGAAUGUGUAGAACAAAUAGAAAAAUCUACUAGAGAGUUUAAAAUGUUCUAGAGGAUAUAAAACAUAAAUUAGGCAACAAUUAUGCAAAACUCAUGGAAAAAUAAGAACCUUGCUCUCAAAGUAUUCUAAGAUGAUAAAAAAUCCCUAAGAAUCAUGUAGAAAAAAUUUCAAAAAUUUUCUCCAAGAAUAAACCAAAAAUUAUAACACCUUGAAUUUCCAAGCAAAACAAAAGAACUAUGUAACCAAAAUCAAUCUUGUUGUGUUGCACUCGGGUUUUUGGGGGUCAAGUUCCCCGUUGAGCUCGUGGGGGUCGAGGGGCAGUGCCCUAUAGAUUUUUUUUUUCAUUAUAUUUAUUGUUUUUUAUUUAUCCAUCCAACCAGAACAAUAGAAACCCCAAACAAUGUUAGUGAGAAUUGGGUAACACCGCAUUUUAUAUGAAGCAACAUCGCACAAUGAAACCAUAAAGAUCAAGGAAAAUCCAUGAAAAAUAAAUAAGAAAUGAGUAUGAGUGUAAUACGUACAUGGAAUGCAACAAACCCACAAUGAAAACCUAAAAUCGCCCUCAAUGGAAGCUAGGACGAUGAACAAGGGAAGUGGAAAUGACCAUUUGUAAAGGAGUUUGGGUGAUUUCAGAGUGAGCUCAAAAUAGAAAUUAAGUAUUUUGAAUUGGAUUUUUGGUUAAGAAAAGUCAUUUCGAAAUUUAACUAUUGAAUUUGAAAAUAACCUUAUUUUGAAUUCAUUAAUUAAUGGUAAAAAAAUGCACAUUUUAAAAUGAAACCAUUGGAUUCGAAAACUACCUUAUUUCGAAAUGGUUCACUAUAUACAAAAAAUUUUAAAAAACCUCAUUUCAAAAUGAAAAAAAAAAAAUUCAUUUCUAAAUUGGGCAAAUUUCGAAUUCACCUUCUGAAGUUAAAAAAUCUCAAUUCUAAAGUAAAAGAUUCAAUUUUGAAAAGCCCACCAUUUUGAAUUUGCUAAAUGUAGCCUCAAUACAUUGUUAAAACCCCAUUUCAAAAUUCCACUAAUGAUUUUGAAAAUAGCUCCAUUUCGAAAUGGCUCACUGUUGAUUCCAACUUCUAUUUCGAAAUAGCAAUUUUUUUAUAUUUCAAAUUUGCCUUUAUUUCGAAAUAACCCACGGUGAGUGUUGAAGUCCAUCUUAAAGCAUGAAAAUUGCUCAUUUCGAAAUUCAAAACUCAUUGUAUUUUGAACUCAUUGUCUGUGAGUUCAAAACACCUAUUUUGACAUUUACUAGUGAUUUCAAAAUUAACCUCAAUUCGAAUUCACUUUCUGUAGAUUUAAAAUUGCAAUUCUAAGACAAAAAUUUUGAUUUCAAAAGGAUCAUAAUAUUUAAAUCACCCAUUACUAGUCUCCAAAAGUGUCAUCUCUAUUUGAGAUUUGAAAUUCAAAAACAAAGGAAUUUUGAAUUCAGCCACUAUACCUUUAACUCUUUAUCAUAAAAAUUUAGGAUUUCCCUCCCAAGGGCUACUCAGUUUUGUAUUUCAUCAUUUGUUUUCAAAGUUCACCAAUGAUUCUCACAAGUAAAUUUUUGGGAGACCUAUUGAUUCGUGCCCAGUCGGUGUAUCAGCUGAUUCAUGUCCAGCUUCUGCUUCUUGAUUGAGGGAGUAAUCAACAAAAUUUAUAACCUAUUACACCAUGUACUAGGGUAGCAAAGACAAAGCUACUAUAGCAUAGUGGCUCUAGGAUCGUUCACUGGGAUGGGUUUUCACUUCACAAAUGAUAUUAAUUCAAAGCUAAAUUGGUGCCUUUUCAUUUCAAGGUUAGCUUUAAAAGAAAACAUAAUUUUUGGUAGAAAAGGUUGGUUUUAAGUUAACCAAAAAUAAUAACUAAUUUUACUUACAAAGAAAAGUGUUUCUUGGAGUUUAGACCACAGGGCUCAUAUUCCUUGUACAAAAAGGAGAGUUCCGGUCACUUGUUUAUUUUCCUCGCAUUGGGGAUUUAACAUAUAGUUAUUUCCCGAACCGGUGUGGUACAGAUGCUUCACUUUAAUGGGUUCAAACACUAAAUCCCUCUCACUGAUGCACCUUGCAAUGGCUCAUACCUCUCACCUAGCACUUGCCAUUCAAGGUGAUCUUUAACCUUGGACUUCUCGUCAAAAGCUCGCAAGAGAUAACUAAUGGAUAUCUCCGUGGAGUCCAAAAGCUUAUCAAGUGUUGUCUAUUCUAGAAAAUCCUACCUUCAAACCACCUCCCAAAGGCUCGCAAGAGAUAAACUAGUGCAUCUCAAUGGAUAGAGAUCACUUGCCUUAUCGAGUGUUGGCCCAGGUGAUUUAAUGGCGUUUUAAGUUAACUAAAAAGAUAAAAACCAUUAAUGGGUCACACUUUCUCUUCAUUAAAAACUAAAACAACAAAACUUCCAAUUUAUGCAUGAGGAAAUUUACCCGGCUUUCUUCACUCCAAGAGACAAAGAGCCUAGCCUCUCAUCCUCCGAGGAAAAAUCCUUAGAGUUUGAUUGGCUAGAAAGAAAAUAAUGAGAAAACAAAAGCAAAGCAAGUGCUCUGUAUUUUACUUCCUUCCCAAAACUGUAAAAAAGGAUUCUCCCCCUGAGAACAGGCUCCCAAGAGAUAUAUAUAAGGAAAAUUACAAAAUAUCUAUAUGAGGUUAUUCACCCUUUUUCCAAACUUAAUAACUAAGGAAUCCUAUAAUUGGUGGGUUACAAGGAGAUUUUGGGGAUUUAGACAACAAAUAUCUAAAGCAAAAUAUCUCAAAAUAUCCCAAAAUAUCGAUGGCAAAUAUCAGGAAGCUUCAGGAGAACACCGCGGCCCUGUGCAAAAUGGCUGCUCUCCCAUCCGGGUAGACGCUAUCAGAUGAUCCGGAUACGUCCGUCCGGAGAAGUUGAAACGCCCUCUUCUCCCAUCCGGCGUCAUGCGCCGGAUGCAAAAUAUCCGGAUGUAAUGGCGGCGACAGUAGAUUUCUGGAUGUGAUACAUCCGGGUGGAAAGAGGCGGCAGCCGGAUGCAAUGGCGGCAGCCGCUCCAUCUGGAUGAAACGAUAGCAUCUUAUCCGGAUAUGUUGUCCGGAUGCCCUCUGAUGGUGUAUCCUGACGCCCUAUCCGGGUAUACUCCUUGCAUGGAUUCCAAGUAACUCUCCUCAAUCUCAGAUUGCUUUGGUGAUCAACAAGCUAUCAAAACACAAAACUUAACACAUUUUUUAUUAGAAUUGAUUGCAAGGGUCCUUAACAUGUUAAUUCGGUUAAAAGGUAAUAACUACUACUCAAAAGUGUUUAAAAGAGUUAAUUCCAAGCUAUGAAAUAUCACUUUUUGAGUAGUAAUCACCUAUGAUCUUAAAUAUAGAUCAAUGUACCUAUAGGAGCUUUGUCACCUUGAACACAUGUGAGGCUUACCAUUUCACUCCCUUCAAGUUUGCAUUCACCUAUAUCACUCGGCUGUUUGCAAGCUAAGUUGCUACAACUUAUAAACUCAUUAGUAAGUUAAAAAUUAACUAAAAAAUGCUAACCACAUUGCUAAUGACUAAUUGAAAAUGCAAAACUAAAAAAAGAAAAAUUAAAUUAAAUAAAAAAAUAAAACAUAAAUUAAAUAAAUAAAAGUUUUACCUAAAUUUAAUUUUUACCUACUAGAUUUUCAGAAAAUACUUCAACCCUUUUAAACAUUCCCAUAAAGAAAAUGGAGAUUCUCCUCUUGUGUCUCAAAUCUUUCAAUGAAAUGCUUUAAGCGUUGACCAUUAACUUUGAAUUCACUACCAAUCCUCAGAUUUUGAAUGGUCACGGUGCCAUAAGGGAAGACUUCCUUUACCACAUAAGGGCCAUUCCACCUCGACCUAAGCUUUCUUGGAAAAAUGUGAAGCUUGGAGUCGUAUAACAACACAUUUUCACCUUGCUUGAACUCUCUUCGUAAAAUAAGUUUGUCAUGGUAGAAUAUGUGUUUUUCCCUUGUAUUAUGUAAGCAUUCAUAACUUUAAUUUUGAUAUGCCUCAAGUUCCUUCAUAUCAUAUUUCCUUUUAGCUCUAGUUUGAUCCAAAUGAAAGUUCAUCUUCUUUGUAGCCCAAUAUGCACGAUGUUUGAGCUCUAUAGGCAAAUGACAUGAUUUACCAUAAAUAGUCUGAUAUGGUGACAUGCCAAAGCCAGUCUUAUAGGUUGUCCUAUAUGCCUGAAGUGCAUCACUCAACUUGGUAGACCAAUCUUUUCUUGUAGUAUUGACUACUUUGGUGAGGAUUUUCUUAAUCUCUCAAUUUUCUAGCUCAACUUGCCAAUUCGUUUGAGGGUGAUAUGGGGUGGACACUUUAUGCCACACUCCAUAUUUCUGCAAAAGAGUGGAAAAGGGCUUGUUACAAAAGUGUGAACCUCAAUUACUAAUGAUUACUCUCAGAAUGUCAAACCUAGAGAAAAUAUUCUCCUUUAAAAAUUUGAGUACCAUUUUGUGAUCAUUGCUCUUGCAUGCCACUGCUUCUACCCAUUUAGAAACAUAAUCCACUCCCACCAAAAUAUAGAGAUUACCAAAAGGAGGGAAUGGUCCUAUAAAGUCAAGGCCCCAACAAUCAAAGACCUUAACAACACAAAUAUAAUUUUGUGGCAUUUGAUACCUUGUGCUGAUUUUCCCCAAUUGUUGACAUUGUGGACAAGUUCCGCAGUGAGUGUUGCAAUCCUUGAACAUAGUUGGCCAAUAUAAUCAACUCUGUAGAAUGUUUGCUAAAGUCUUCCUCGGAGCAAAAUGACCUCCACAAGCUCCCUUAUGGCACAUUUUCAAUAUGUUGUUCAUCCUCUAGAACACAUCUCCGGAUAAUUUGAUUUGGGCAAAACUUAUACAAAUAUGGAUCAUCCCAAGCAUAGUGUUUUUCUCAUAAAAGAAAAUACUUUUUCAUCUCCAUGUUCCAUUCUGAGGGAAGCUCUCUAGUUGCCAAGUAGUUGACUAUAUUUGCGAACCAAGUCAACUUCUCCACUGCACAAAGUGCAUCAUUAAUUCAUACUGCCUUGAAAUGUGACUCUACUUUAACUCGGGACAGAUGAUCAGUAACCACAUUCUUUACCCUUUGCUUAUCCUUGAUUUGAAUGUUAAAUUCUUGAAGAAGAAGGAUCCAUUUGAUAAGUCUUGUUUUGACAUCCUUUUUGUUGAGUAGAUAUUUCAAGGUCGAAUGAUUAGUAAAAAUUACUAUUGAAGUUCUCAAAUGGUAGUUCUUGAAUUUAUCAAGUGUGAACAGCACUACAAGGAACUCCUUUUCAGUAGUUGUGUAGUUCUUCUAAGCAUCAUUGAGGGUCUUACUAGCAUAGUACACCACAUAUGGUUUUCCAUCCUCUCUUUGACCUAGUACGACUCCCAUUGCAUAGUCACUGGCAUCACACAUGGGGUCUCACAAUUAGUGCGAUAGUGAGGAGUGACUUUAGCCUCUCAAAAGCUUCUGGGCAUGCUUUAGUCCAUAUGAAUUAUGCAUUUUUAAGUAAUAAAGCACAAAGAGGUUAAGAGAUUUUUGAGAAGUCAUGUAUGAACCUUCUAUAAAAAUCUGCAUGCCCCAAAAAUUGUCUCACCUCUUUAACGGUAGUAGGCGAAGGUAGCUUUGAGAUGAGCUCAAUUUUUUCUGGAUCUACUUGAAUGCCUUCUCUAGAGAUGAUACGGCCAAGUACUACCCUUGAGGUUGCCAUGAAGUGACACUUCUUCCAAUUUAGGACCAAGUCUUUCUCAAUGCACCUUUUCAAAACUUUUUUAAAUUUAAAAGACAAUCAUCAAAGGCCUUCCCAUAAACUAUCAGAUCAUCCAUGAAAUCUUCCAUGAUUCUCUCUACCAUGUCAUGGAAGAUAUUGACCAAACACUUUUGAAAUGUGGUCGGCGUAUUACAAAGACCAAAAGGCAUGCGCUUAUAAGCAUAGGUGCCAAAUGGGCAUGUGAAUGUGGUUUUCUCCUAAUCCUCUAAUGUAAUGACAAUUUCAAAGUAACCUGAAUAGCCAUCCAAGAAGCAAUAAUAGUCAUGACCAACUACCUUCUCCAAAACCUGAUCUAAGAAAGGUAAUGGGAAAUGAUAUUUCAUGGUGACUGCAUUUAACUUCCUAAAAUCAAUGCAUACUCACCAACCUGUAGUCAACCUUGUAGGAAUGAACUCUCCUUCAUCAUUCUUUACCACAGUUAUCCUGCUUUUCUUAGGUACUACUUGAGUAGGGCUCACCAAACUAUACCUGCAUCUAAAAGCUUCAAUACCUCAUUUCUGACUACAACUUGUAUAAGGGUAUUUAGCCUUUUUUUGUGGUUGCCUUAGUGGUUUUACAUUAUCUUCCAAAUAAAUAUGAUGCGUGCAAAUCAAGGGAUUUAUCCCUUUCAAAUCUAAAAUAAACCAACCAAUCACUCUUUUACUCUCUUUAAGCACUUUUAAAAAAUUGAUUUGUUGCUCUUCAAUUAAUGUAGUUGAAAUGACCAAAGGUUUUUCUUCAUUUUUCUCUAAAUAAACAUACUUAAAACCAUGUGGUGGGCUUUAACUCUAGUUUGUUGGUCUCAACAUUCCCCUUUUUUAUUUCUUCAUCAUUUUCAACACUAUUCAAAGACUAAAUGCUACAUUUUUCUUUCCACUUUGUAGCAACUUCAACGCGUUCUUUCUCAAUGAUUGUAGAGAAAAAUUUGUUUAUAUUUUCUUCCAUUAACUUUUAUAUGGGUUCUUGCACCAAGGCCUCUAUAAUGCAUGCUUCCUCAUCCUCCACAUCAUCAUGGUCCAUCGGUUGCUUGCAUAAAUUGAAGACAUUCAUUUCCACUACCAUGUUCCCAAAAAAUAACUGCAUCAAUCCAUUCUAACAGUUAAUGACAGCAUUGGUUGUAGCAAGGAAGGCUCUCCCAAGAAUAAUUGGAACAAAAUUCACACAUUUUUUCAACGGUUCUGUAUCUAACACCACAAAGUCCAUUGGGUAGUAAAACUUUUCAACUUGCAGCAAGACAUCUUCGACUACUCCUCUAGGUAGUUUAAUCAAACAAUCUGCUAAAGAGAGUGUAAUGGUAGUAGCCUUAAGCUUUCCCAAUCCCAAUUGCUUAUAGAUUGAAUAUGGAAGCAAAUUUAUACUAGCUUCCAAAUCUAACAAAGCCCUUUCCACGAAUGAGUCUCCAAUUUGGACUGAGAUGGUAGAGCAACCUAGAUCUUUGUACUUCACCAUUGCCUUAUUCUCAAUGAUGGCACUGACUUGCUUAGUGAGGAAUGUUUUCUUGCUUAAUUUAAUCAUUCUCUUCAUAGUGCAUAAGUCCUUAAGGAACAUUGCAUAAGCAAGCACUUUCUUGAUCAUAUCAAGGAGUGGAAUGUUGAUCUUCACUUGCUUCAAAACUUCCAAAAUCUCUAAAGUCUUAUCCCCCACUUUGUGUCUUUGCGUUGCUGAAGGGAAAGAAAAAUGAUUGAAAACACUCUUUUUAUCUUUGCUCACAAUGACUUUCUCAUAUUUUUCAUACUCUUUCUCAUUUCUAGCAUUUUUCUCCAUGGUUGGUUCAUUUCUAGCAAGAAUAUCUUCAUUUAUCGGUAACUUGGGCCUUUGAUAUUCUUUUCCAUUUUUUAUUGUGAUAACUGCAUUGCAAUCUUUCUUUUGCACUUCAGAAACUUCAUUUACUCAUCUCAUAUUUUUCUAUUGUUGAGUUGUGAACUUUCUUUUCUCUUGAGAUAAGCCUGUAGCAAGUUGGCUCAAAAUGGUUCAAAUAUUUGCUAGUUCUUAAGAUGCUUGAGCAUUUAUCCUAUUUUGAUCCUCAUUACGGUUGUCUUCCUUCUAUAGAAACUCUCUCAUCAUAUCUUCCAGUCUUGAGUUAAUUGAUGAGGUAUGAUGUUGUUGUUGAAAAUUUUGAGAUGGCAUACCUUGUGGUUGAAAACCUUUUUGCCCAUUAGUCUGAUUACCCUGAAAUCAAUUUCCUUGCUACUGAAAAUGGCCAUUGUUACCUCAUCUCCAUGAUAGAUUUGAAUAAUUCCUCCAACCUGGAUUGUAAGUGUUGGAAUAUGGAGAAUUGCUAGAAUAUUGCUUGUAUGUCCUUAAGGCAUUGGUUUGCUCUGAAAACAUGUCUUGCACUAUAAUUAGAGUGGGACAAGAUUGCACACCAUAUUCCAUAGACUUACAUAUCAAGAACGGUUGAGUUAUUCCCUAAUUGACUAUUUGUACCUCUUGACCUCUUUUGGCUUCCAAAUCAUCCAACCUUCUCAUAAUGGUUACAAACUUUACUUGGACAUCUAAACUCUCUGGUAAUGUAUUCACUCCACUAGCUCUUGCCCUGUUCAUUGUUCUAUCUCUAGGUGUUUCCUUGACGAUUGGUUCUUCCCAACUUCUAGAUACCUCGGCAACAUAAUCAAGGAAUUGAAAUGCUUCAUCAGGGUUUUUAUUCAUGAAAUCUCCUCCACACAUAGUCUCGAGAAGUUGUUUCAUUGGUAGUGACAUGCCUUCAUAGAAAUAUGAUACUAGUAUCUAGUUGUCAAAUCUGUGAUGGGGAUAUGCUGCAACCAUCUCCUUGAAUCUUUCCCAACAUGCAAAAAAUUUCUCAUCCUCCAUAGCCUUGAAAUUCGAGGUUUCCUUUUUCAAUGCACUAGUCAUAUGUAUUGGAAAGAUUUUUUGCAAAAACACUGAUUGUGGAUCACCCCAAUUUCUAAUACUAUAGGGUCUAAGACUAUUUAACCAAGUCUUAGCUUUAUCCUUCAAUGACAAGGGGAAUAGCUUCAUGCGGAAGAUCUCUAAAGGAGUGUUGGCUUCUCGAAAAAUUGAAACGAUGUCCUCAAAUUCCUUGAUGUGAGAGUAUGGGUUUUCAUUUUUCGUUCCCUUAAUAAUGGGUAACUGAGAUACCACUUAAGGUCGAAUGGUAACAUGAUCAUGAUUUGGAGGUAGAAUAAAACACGAUGGUGUGCUCAACCUGGGAGGAUUUAGAAACUCUCUCACAGUUUUUUGGUCCUACAUAGGUGGUCAUGGCCUGUUGUUACUACUGUUGGAUUCUUUAGUGUCCUCCAUAUUUGGUUAAGAUUCCUCAGUUGUUCUUUGAAGUCUACCUAAAAGAUCUCUUUCCCAACCAAGCAUAAAAUAGAAGAAAAAUAUAUAUAAAGAAAAAAAAGAACUAAAACAAAGUAUUGCCAAUCCCUGCCAACGACACCAAUUUCUUGACGAAAAUUCUCUAUUGUACCAAAAUACUUAGCUUUUUUUACGUAGCAACUCCAAUUAAGAAAAACUAGAGAAAGAGUCACUACAACUUUUGAAGUACUCCAGGCAUCGUCCUCAAGAAUUAGCUUAUGGAAAGAAUUAAUACUAGAAUAAAUGAAUUGCUUUCGUCUAAAUCCUAAAGUGAAAAAAAAAAUGAGAAUAAUGUGAAACUAAGUAAAAGAAAUUAAAUUAAUAACAAAAUGGAUAUUAAUAUUAAAUUCAAUUGAUUCAAGUUUGGGCCUUUCCACAAUCCAACCUAAGGUAUAGAAAUUAGAGAAAACAAAGGUCUAUUAAGUAAUAUGAUCUUAGGGUUUUGGGAUCCUUGGCCGCUCACGAUCAAGUUGAGUUUUAUAACUGAAAAUUGCAUCAGAAACCUAUUUUUUUCCUUUUUAAAACAGAUUCCUAAAACCAUCAAAUGAAUGAGAUUGAUUACUACUUUAAGAUUUGGCUUUUUAACCCUUCCUACUCCUUAUAGCUUUGUUUUGGGGCAAAUAAUGAUAGGGAAGACGAGGAUAACUAAUGAUAAAAAAUUACCAAAAAUCACUAGUAUUGGGUAAUAACCUACCAUAUCAUUCCCUAAACCAACUCACAAGGAUAGGAUAAAAAAAAUGAUAAAUUGUCACCCAACCAAUAAAUAAUCUCAUUGUUAUAAUAAUUUACUCAUUGUCCCUAUAGGUUUCCUAGCCCUUAGGUUUUCAUGCUUUAAGCUCCAAGUUGGCUCUUAACCUCUCAUGGGGGUGAUGUCACAUUCACAAUCCAUAAUAUGGUAAAAAUCCAUAAUUUGAAUAAUAAUAAUAAAAAAAAAAACAAACCAAAGUUCUCGUCUUCUUCCACCUUUGAUGUCAAACUCUCCGAAAAAAAAAAUCCAAGAUCCCUAAAACCUAGAACUAAGAGAGUUUAUAUAAUACCAUCAAUUACCAAACAUGUGGCACACACUCAUUGGCCACUUAUUAAAAAAUAAAUACCUAAAAAUGAUUAAAAAAAUAAUAAAAUGGUGAUUUCUAGUCGUGUGGGCUCCAUUUAGGAUGGAGUGCCCUAGAUGCAAUUCCCGAGGUAGAGGAGACAAAACAUCGAAGUGGCAAUGGGUGAAUUCGAAAUUGGUGUCAUUUCGAUGUGGAUUUCAAAUUCAUAAGUUGAAUUUUAAAAUCAUUUUGAAAUCAUUUCAGCUCCGAUUUGCACAUUAUUUAAUGCUUUGGACUUGUAACCUCCCAAGCUUCGAAACAAUAUAUUGUAUAUAUAAAAUAAACUCUGGGAAGUACUCUAAAUUUGUCCUCAAAUUUAGAGUAUAUAUUAUCAUCAGAUUUUUGAGUUCUAAAUUUCCAUGUAGCUAAAUCUUGCUUCAUGCCUCAUUUCCUAUGUUUUCUUGCCUUCUUUCUUACUCCAUAAUGGUCAUUUCUCAUCUUCCAAACUCAUGAUAUCCUUGUUUAGCCUUUCCUCAUGGUUUAUGAGUCCUGACUCACUUAUUUCCUCGUUUAACCCUUUCUUGAUCUUUCAAAAUUUAAAGUGAUUUAACUUACACCCUUUUCUUCCCUUGAACCUAAGAUAAGUCUCCAAAGUACAAAUUAAACUCAUGGCUAGGGCCUUAGCAUCAAUUUAGGUUAAGUUAGGUGAUUUGAAUGUCCUUUGGUGUAUAAAUCAUAUCGAAUAUGUGCCAUUGAGCACAUAUUUUGGCUCCAAUCAAGCUUUCCCGCCAAAUUCUGCAUGCCAAACAUUGAGUGAUAGAAUGGAGUAGGUUGUCCGAAGAUUCACUUGAGGCUCUAUAGUACAGUCAUGAAAGCACACAAAUUAGAUGAUAUGUAGUUGGUUGCUCUCUUCCCCAUGUCACUUAGUUGAGCAGCAUAGAGGUGGUUGGCAUUAAUUAAGCCUUCAAGACUUUGCACUUGGAAGGAUGUGGCCUAUGAGUUUUUGACAUAGUUUGCCUUUAGUGCCGAUAUUGAUUUUUUUUUUUUCACUAAACAAGACGUCAAGAGUGUUACUUAACCAUCCCUAUGGGAAAAGCAAAAGUUGUUGCCUUAAGUGUUAAUAUUGAUGUUUCUAGGUGAGACUUAGAGGCUACUAAGCAGAGGCCAAAUGAGUCUAUUUCUUCAUUUAUUAGGCAUUGGAGGGCUAAGGUGGUUGAUAUGAUAGAUUGACUUAAGGAGUAAGAUCAGAUUGACGCACUUCUUUGGAACCUUCAACCGGGGUUUGCUAGACAUCUUGUAGGUAUUCCAUUUCAAGACUUUUGAAGUUUGGUUCAAGUCGCUUGUAGUGUUCAGGAGGGUAUUGAUAAAGGGUUAUAGACAAACACUAUUCCUUCCUUAGACAAUAAAGGAAAGAAGCCUAUAGGAUCAUCAGGGAGUCUUGGAGAGGUUAACACUAUCAGUUAUCAUCAUUGAGGUUAGCUUAUCAGUCAUACCAAAGGUCUCCUACAAUUAGAGCCCACUUUCCUCAUCCAUUGUGCCAAUAUUAGUCCACCUAUAUUCAACAACCUUUCAUUGCUCAGACCAGUAUGCAACCACGACUACCAUAUCCUAGAGACACUGGUUCUCAUUCAUUACUCAUGUUCCCACUCAUAUUUUUUACACACAUGAUCUUUAUCGAAGAGGGGCAUAUUUGUAGACCCUCCAUUCUAUCUCCUUAAUACAUGCCCUAUUAAGUGUUCUUUCAAUACUCCACAAUGGUUCCCUAGUGGCUCUAUGUUGCUCAUAUAACCUACCUUUUUUAGCCACCUUGGAGACUUUGGUUGAGGAAUUUAUUUCACCCCUCAUUAUGACUCUUGGCAUAAUCGAGUUAGAUUUAGAUUUUUCUUUUUUCUUUUUAGGAUAGCUCCUUUAAGUACAUCUCUAGAAUAGAGUACUUAGGCAUCAUUUUUCGAUCACCUUGGCCCAUUUAGACACUUUUAGCCCAUUUAGGCACAUCCGACCCAUUUGGGAUCACCCUAACCCAUUUAGAUACAUCUGGAUUAUUCAGAUUACCUUGACCGAUUUAGACACAUUUGGCCCAUUUAGGUACAUCCAACUCAUUUAGGUCACCUUGGGCCAUUUAGACACACAUAGGCCCAUUUAGGCACAUCUGGCCGAUUUAAGAUCACCUUAGCCUAUUUAGACACAUCCAACCUAUUUAGGAUGACCUUGCCUCAUUUAGACACAUUUGACCCAUUUAGGAUUACCUGAACCCAUUUAAGCACAUUCGACCCAUUUAGGUCAUCCUAGCUCAUUUAGACCACUUAGGCCCGUUUAGGCACAUUAGGCACAUUGGAGCCAUUUAGGAUCACCCUGGCCCACUUAGGCAUGCCUUGACCCAUUUAGCUCACUUGGCCCAUUUAGGCACAUUUGGUCCAUUUAGGAUCACGUAGGCCAAUUUAGGCAUAUUCGACCCAUUUAGGUUGCCUUGGCCUAUUUAGAAACAGCCAAGCCUAUUUAGGUCACUUAGGCCCACUUAGGCACACCUUGCCCUAUUUAGGUCACUUAGGCCCAUUUAGGCUCAUUCGACCCAUUUUGGAUCACCCUGACCCAUUUAGGCAUAUUUGGCCCAUUUAGGAUCAUCGUGGCCCAUUUAAACACACCCUAGCCCAUUUAGGUCAUUUAGGCCCAUUUAAGAACACAUUAACCCAUUUAGGAUCACCCCAGCCCAUUUAGACAUACCUAGGCCCAUUAAGGCAUAUCUGACCCAUUUUAGAUCACCCUAACCCAUUUAGACACAUUCGGCCUAUUUAUGAUCACCAUGGCACAUUGGGCCCAUUUAGGGUCAGUUAGGCCCAUCUAAGCACACCCUAAGCCCAUUUAGGUCACCCAUUGUCUCACUUCUUAUUGCAUGGUUUGUGUGAUUGCAUUGUUGAACUUCCUUGCAUGGCCUGCAUGACACUUUGUUUUUUUUUUUGUUAUUAUUAAUUACUUAUUUAUUUUUAUUUAUUAUCUUGCCAUUUAUUUAUUUAUUAUUUAUCUAUUAUUAUUUCAUCAGUUUCUGAAUUAUUUUUAAUUACUAUUCAUUUGUUCAAUGUAAUUUUAAUUUUUUUUUUGUUUUUGUAGGGAAAUUUACCAAAGAGAGAGCCAACGGAGAAGGAAAAUAAGAAUCACCAAAAUGAAAAAGGAAGAUAAAGACAAAAGAGAGUAAAACUUACCAAAAGGAGAGGGGAUUGUGAGUUGCAUUAUGAAAGUAUGGAGAACGCAUUUUGGGAAGUUUAUCAAAGAGAGAGUGAAUGGAGGUGUAAAGCAAGAAUUACCAAAAUAAAAAAGGAAGACAAAACGAGAGAGAGUAAAACUUACCAAGAGAAGAGGGGAUUGAGGGUUGCAUUAUGAAAAUAUGGAGAACAUGUUUUGGUAAUUGAGAAAUUCAGCACAUGGAGGUUUUGGAGUAAGGAGAGGAAGGAUUUGGUCAAGGUGGAAUUUUAAGAAAAAAGGAUAUUCAAUGUGGUAGGAAGGAAUGUUUAGCAUAUUAAGGAAGAAUGUGGGGAUUGGUAGGGGGGAAGAAGAACAAUUGCAAUUUUGAGCAUAAUUUUUGUAAAAUUUAUUGGAUGAUUGGUUUGUAUAAUUUUAAUGUUAGUAGAUUUUAAAAUUUUACGGAAUGAUUGUUAGGUUAAAUUCCCAUGUUGAAUGUGUUUUAAAAAUUCGUUAAAAAAAUUAAAUAAAAAUUCUUUGAAUGUUUGUUAGGUUAAAUUCUCAUGUGAGCAUUAUUAUUAUUAUUAUUAUUUAAUGCUAUAUUUGGUUGAAUUUUCAUGUCAAUAGAUUUUUUUUUAUUAAAAAAAAAUUGUUGAAUGUUUGUUAGUUUAAACGUUUAUGUUAAUAUAUUUUUAAAAUUCAUAGGAUGUUCUUGGCAUAAUUCUUAGUUGCCCUUAUCUCUAAAACCUUUCUAAAAUAAGAAAGUCAUUCAAGAAAAUAAAAAAAAUAUAAGAAAAAGGCAAAGUUGCUGCCUUUUUUUUUUUGGGGGGGGGGGGGGGGCCUUAUUUAUUUAUUAAUUUAUUUUUGUCAAUCUCCUACAAAAUGAUAUCCCACUUACACCCUUACGCAACAAGAGCGCGUGGGACACCCACUUCGACCCAACAACUUUAUGAUGAAUCUGAACCCUGUGGACAAUAAUACCAUGUGCAUAUAUACGAGCCUGUAACACUCAUUUAUGGGUUUAAAUUCAUUCAAAUGAGUCAGUAGUAAAAGCUAUGAAACAGAUCGAACCCCACCUUUUUUUUUUUCUUUUUUUUCGUUUUUAAAUUUUCUGGGGUCCCUCAGUUACUUUACAGAAGGUGGCAGAGAAAGAGAGACGAAUAAUCACUUUCAAUGCUGUUGUCUUCUUGUUGUAAGGGUAAAAUAAGAGGCAAAGAAAUUAAUGAAUUCAUUAUCUUACCUUUCUAUUGAAAUGCCUUCCAAGAAAUGUUUUGAGAGCUUUGAGUUUAGUCUAUAAUAAUGGUAGUAUAUUUCAAUGAAUAUGCAUUCUAGAAAAAUAUAUACCUUUAGCAUAUACCAAGAUAUCCUAGGGUUUCAAGUCAAGUAACAACCAAUCAAAACAAAAUCACUCUUCUUGGAAAACAUGGAUGUUCGAGUAUCCAGCUCUUUUCUUUAAUUGUGCUAACAUCGGCUCUCUCUCCAGCAUGCAAGUGUGCGUCCCAGGCAGCUCUUUUGUGCUUUAAAUGAAUUGAAUUCUUGAUCUUAUUCUGCCAUUGUUUUGGCUCAAACCUAAGAAGUAUAUUUACCCUAACUUCUUUUCAUGUCUUCAACUUACUCAAAGGCUCACAAGUCCCAUUGGAAGUAAGCAGUUAAGGAUUUUUGAACUAAAAUUAUCAAACAUAGUCUAAUAGGUUAUUAAUGAAAUUAUUGAUGCAGAAUAACAGGGCGGGUGACUUCAAAUGGAUACACUGAGGUCUAUCUGUGCGUGUUAGGCAUUCAUGAACCUGUUUUCUUCGGUCAAAGAGCAGCCAAUACAAGGAAAAAACAUGGCGAAAAUUAAGUGAAGUAUGACUUCUGGAAGAUUUAUCACCUUCGUAAAUGAAGUGAGAGUUUUGACCGAAUUGAAGUAAAAAAAUUAAAUGCAACGGCUAGACCGGCUCCAACUAUUAAGAUUAUAAGUGCCACACAGAAAGAACGGAAAGAACGGUCCUAGUAAAUGAAGUAUAAAGACAUGAAAACAUAAAAUUGUCCAGGUAAAUGAAGACAUGCAAUGAAGAAGAAAUCUGUUGCAGACUACACAAAUCACAACCACAUAAAUCAACCACCCACCCAUUUUUCGAACUUCCAGCUCUCAUGCACUGGCACAGUUCGGUCCUUUUAAAAAUUAAAGUAGGCAUCUAAAAUUUUAUUGGUUUCAAGAAAUUUGGUGCACUAGGAUCCAAUGAAGAGAACCUUUUUAUUCUAAAUAUUCAAUAGUAGAUUCCAUUCUUAGCUUACCAAUAUAUAUAAAUUACUCAGGACCUUAAGAAGUUGAUAUUACAAUUUAAACAAUGUUAUAUCAUGUGUAUUAGGAGAGAACCAAUCUCACCCACAAAUCAAGAACACUCAAUUGUCAAUUCUUAAGUUUAUGACUAAUAUAGUUUAUGUAUCUUUUGGAAAGUCAUGCGUAUAUUUAAAAGACUAUAGUGUACACCAAUAAUAAUAUACUUGCACCAUUCAUCUAUGUACCUCUUUCUGGUAUCAGAGCAAUUCUAGCUCCCAUGAGUUCUUUUUUUCGCCUUCAUCCUAUGUUUCACCAUGGCUGAAGCAAGCUCAACCAGGCUAUCCCACCUUCCCUUACCUACCAAUACAACCAUGAACCUGGACAAUCUCAUUGCCAUCAACACAAUUAGCUAGCCAACUUCCACUCAAGCUCAUCCUCACUAACUAUUACUCAUGGAAAACAUAGUUUGCUGCACUGCUCUUUGGAUAUGACCUACUUGGCUACAUUGUCGGAACAAAGCCAGGACAAACAAAUAUCAAUCGUAACUAUACUAUUUGGACAAGUAGGACAAGCUUCUUCUUCUAGGAAUCAUCGGCUCUCUCAGCCAUAAAGUCGUACCUGUGGUUCAUUCAUGCAAAACUUCCACUAAAGCUUGGCAUCAUUUUUCAAAGCUCUAUGUCAAUCCCUCAUUCUCCAAAACCAUGGGAUUGGUAGAGCAACUCAUUCUUCUCAACCAUGGCUCUUAACCAAUGGUUAACUACCUUGCAACAAUCCAUGAUAUUAUUGAUGAAUUGGACCUUCUUAGAGAAGCCAUUCCAAACCAAUAACUCACCCCUUAUGCAUGCAAACAUGUCACCCACGAAUUCAAUGAAUUGUUGUUGUUAUAUGCGCACGAGAUACUAUGAUCACAUUUGAUGAGCUGCAUGAAAAAUUGAUGGAAUAUGAAGCCUUCCUCAUGUAGGAAGAGCUUCGUUCCACUAGCACUCUUGGUACCAUUAAAGUCAACAAUACACAAUUUUCAUCUUCCCAUAGUGACAAAAACGCUAGCCAAAAAUAUUUCCCUAGUAGGAAAGGAUACAAAGGCCAACAUCCUCCUCAUUUUGGGAAUCAACACCCCAACAAGAACGCCACUAUGAUUUGCCAAUUCUGCGAGAAGAAAGGUCAUACUACUUGCUAGUGUUACUUGGCUAAGAAAUUGUUCCUUUCAUCCACACCUACUACUAGUCCAAUUAUCCCCACAAACAACUUCCUAACCAAUUGGCUCGUAGAUAUCAGUGCCUCACAUCAUGUUACAUCUAAUCUUAACAAUUUGUCUCUCUGCCAACCAAUGAAUCUGGUCAUUAAUAGUUUUCACAUUUCCUAUACUUGGAGGGUUGUUCCAAGAUUAAAUAAAGUUUUUUCCCAAGCUAAUCUUAAUGUAGUCUUUUCCUAUUCUUUGAGGGUUGUUCCAAGAUUAAAUAUGCUCAGUUUCAGAAUUGAAAGGACUUUUUCAUAUUGCUAAGAAAAAAACUUAUGAGAUUGAUUUUUCUAUCAAAAUUCUUAUCUCUAAAGUGGAUUCCUUUGAGUGGUGAGCUUAAUUCUGAGUUCUUAUCUUUAAGGUGAUGAAUUUCUUAUCGUUAAAGUGGUGAACUUGUGUUAUUAACUUAUCAUUUUAUUUCCUUAAAACGGUAUCAUUUUGUGUCAGAAAAAGUAGUUACAGGCUCCCUUCAAGUUUCUUAUGUAUCAACCCACAAUCAACUUGUGGAUAUACUCAACAAACCAUUGCCCAAGUCCCGCUUUACAUUCUUUCAGUCCAAGAUUGGCAUUUUUUUUUUUUUUAUGGAAGCACCAUCUUGCAAGGGCAUAUUAGGAGAGAACCAAUCUAACCCACAAAUUAAGAGCACUCAACAAACCAUUGCAAGGGCAUAUUAGGAAAGUCAUGUGUAUAAGAUUGUAGUGUACACCAAUACUAAUAUACUUUCACCAUUCAUCUAUUUACCUCUUUAAUGUGAAUGACAUCUACACCAAAAGAUAAUUUGGUGCCUAUACAUGCGUUAGUUUUUCAACUAAAUUGUUGAACAAAUGCCAUGAAUUGAGGUAUUACGAAUUAUUAAAAAGUUAAACUUGACUUAGAAUGUUUCUAAAAAUUAGAAUUUCACUUAGUUUAAGCUAACUAGAAUAUUUUAUUUUUGGCAAUUUAUUAUUUUCUAUUUUUUUUUUAUGAAGUUUUAUAUUUUAUAAGAAGUUUCUAUUUUAUUAGGUGUUAGUAUCUAUAAAUAAGAUGUAAUUUAAUAGUUGAAUAAGAGCGGUGAAAAACAAUAAUUUUUUUCUUAAUCCAUCUCAGUUGCUUAUCUCCCUUUAUGUUAUUAUUUGUCAUAAGUUAUUUCAACCCUAUUACUCCAACAAAUGGCUAUCACUGUCAUUCAAAAAAGUGGAAAUUGGCAUGUAUCUAUUUCAAGUCCACAAAGUCAAUAAAUGUAAUUACAAUAAAGGGGUAUGAAACUACUCUAUCCUAAAAUUAAUCAAAAGGAAUUUUUUUUUUGAAAAAUAUAAGUAAGAAAGAUAAGAAAGCUCUUACCUCCAUCAAUUAAGCAAUGGAUGAAGGUACUUUUGAGAAGAUUUUCAGUGCAACCAUAACCAAAUAUGAGAGAAUUUUAAGCACACAUAACAUAUUUAACAAUAUACAAAAGAUUAAUCUUCAAACUCUAAUAAGAGAAUUUGAAAGUUUGAGCAUGAAAAAAGAAAUCGAAAUAAAUCUCUAAUUAUUUUUCUAGAGUAUUAGCUGUUGUGAGUUUACAAUAAAAAUAUGUCAAAAGUUUGAAUGAUAGCCAUGUGGUAAAAAAAUAUGUUCAAUCUUUAGAUUCCAAAUAAGUUUAACUAUAUUGUUGUUGUCAUUGAAGAAUAUAAACAUUUAGAUUCUAUCACCAUUGAUCAACUCAUGAGAUCACUAUAGACUCAUAAAGAGAUUAAAAAGAAAUAACUAAGAAAAAUUACAACUUUUUUAAACAGAUUAAACUUAUACUAAAGGAGAAUGAUGAAAACAUUAGUGAAAGAAGUCAAAACAAUCAUGAAUAUGUCAAAGACAUGGUCAUAGCCAUGGCUAAGACAAUAGAGGAAGAGAUAGGUUUAAUUUAUCAAACAAUGAAAUAACAAGUCAAAAUUCACAUUCCUCAAGAGGACAUGAAAGAUGACACAACUUCAGGCAUAAUAAAAGAAGAGGAUAUGAUAAAUUUCAAAUUGAAUGUUAUAAUUAUAAAAAAUAUGGUCAUGAUGCUUAUGAAUAUAGAAAUGCUACAAACAAUAUGAAAAGAUACGUCAAAGGAGUUGCCACCUAGGACCAAACUUCCUGCUGAUCAAGUCUCAUAUCGAAUAUUGUAAACCCUCAAUUUUGUCCCUUUAGCACAUGUCUUUAAAAUUCGUUUUCAAUGCUCCACAAUAGUUCCUUGGUGGCCCAUGGCUACUCAUACCACUUACCUUUUUCUGAGUCACCUCGGAGACUUUGGUUGAGGGAUUAUCUGACCCCUUAUUGUGACCCUUGGCAGCCCUAACUUAGACUUAGGCUUUUCUUGCUUUUUAGGAUAGCUUUUAGAUACACUUGGCCCAUUAGGCACCACCUUAGGCCCACUUAGGUCACCUUUUAAGUAAUUUUUUGCAUGUUUGCAUGAUUGCAUUUUUUUGUAUGACUUGCAUGGCUUGUGGGGCCCGAUUUUUGUUAAUUUGUUUAUUUUUAUUUAUUUAUUUUACUUUAUUUUUUAUUUUUUAUUUUUUAUUUUUUUUUUACUAUCAUUCACUUUUUAUUGGUUAUCUUCCUCUUUAUAUUAUUUUCCUUAACUUAUUUAUUUAUUUAUUAUUUUUACCAUUUUCUAAUUUAUUUACUUAUUUAUCUAUUCAUUCAAUUAUUUAACUUAAAAAAUUUCAUGCUUUUGCAAGGAAACUUACCAUUGGAGUUUAAGGAAAGUGGGACUCUCCAUCGAAGGUUUUUGGAGGGGAAUUUGAAAUUGGGAAGAUUGCUUUUGAAUUGGAAGAUUUAAAAAAAAAGGAAAAGGUGAAAAGAAGAAAGAAAAUAAGAGAAUUUGUCUUUUUUAGAGAGAUUUAGGUUUUAGGGGGGUAAUAUAUAUAUAUAUGUGAGAAAAGGAAAAGAAGAGGACACGUAUUGGAGUCACGGUAGGGAGAGGAAUAAAGAUAGCAAAAAAAGGAUUUUUUCUUUUGAGGAGUACGCUGAAGAAGAGGAAGGAGAUGGGUGAUUCAUUACUCUGCAGCUGCCUAAAGGUUAUAGUGUUUUCAUGUUUCACUUUUAUUGAUUUUUCGUCAAGAUCAGUUUGGUACUGCUUUAGUCUCUCUAUAUCCUUGCUUCCCAUAGAGAUGUGGAUGCUUGCUAAUCAGGUAUGCCCUUUCUACCCCACAACCCUAAAAUUCUAUGAAUGUGUAUGUUCUCAUGAGACAUGACCAUGUUUGAUGCCAUAAUUGAUUGCCUUGAUGCUUGAUUGAUAAUCUUUGAUGAAAAUACAUACCAUGUAUCAUAUUUCCAAACUAAUCUCUUAUGUUUCAUGAUAGCGCUUGAGAAGCGGUUUCGGUACGCACCCUAACUUUCCUUUAUUGUGAUUUGAUCUUGUUUAGCAAGCUAUUUUUUGAAAUCACCUUAGUCUAUCUAGGUACUCUCAAUUAAUCAAUUAAUUGCCCCACUUCCCUCAACUUAGUCAGUAGAGACCUCUUUGGGGCUUAGAGGGGUGCUACCUCCUAGAGGUACCUUCCCAAUAAGCAACCUGAUCCCCAGACCUAGACUCGGGUUUCUCAAAGACAUGCUUUUUCCAAAACUAUGGAGUCACUUUUUAGGGUUUCUCUUUCUUGUUUUAUUUUCCCUUCAAAAUAAAAAUAAAAUAGGUGGUGAUUCCAACUUUUCUAAAAUUAAUUUUUCACAAAUAAAAAACUAGUCUCGCCGAUCGAGUGGGGACACACGUGAAAAAUGCGGGUCCGCAAAUAUCACUUUCGAAGUUACUAGAGCUAAGGAGGUAAUUGAAGAAACUAUUGGAUGCAUGCAUGAUCCAAUCUUUAAGGGUUUGUUUUGGUGCUCCUAUCUUAUUCCAAAUAGAUGUGUGUUAACUAUUGGGCCUUGAACAAAGUAACGAUCAAGAAUAAGUAUCCAAUCUCCUUAGUGGAAGAAUUAUUUAAUAAACUGGCCAAGGCAAAGUUUUUCUCCAAAUUCGACUAACGGUUAGGAUACUAGCAAGUAAGGAUUGUAAAGGGGGACAAAAAAAAAAAAAAGACUAUAUGUGUAACUCACUAUGGACCAUAUGAGUUCCUCAUGAUGCCAUUUAGACUAACUAAUGCCUCAAUAACAUUCUACAACCUAAUGAAUGAUUGCCAUACAAGUUCUUAUAUGCCUUUGUUGUGGUUUACUUUAAUGCAUUGUUGUCUAAAGCAAGACCUUAGAAGAGCCUGUGAAUCACUUGAGAUUAGUGUUUCAAAGACUAAGAGAACAUGAACUCUACUUGAAGAUGGAGAAGUGUGAGUUCGCACAAAGUCAUAUUACCUAUCUAGGACAUUAGAUAGAGGAAGGGUUUAUCAAGAUGGAUGUUUAGACCAUUAAAGAUUGGCAUGCUCUAAGCAAGAUGACACUACCUGACUAUUAUUGAAUGUACAUAAGGGGCUACUUCAAGAUAGUGGCUCCCCUUGCUAACCUUCUAAAGAAGGAUAUUUGCUAGGAUUGGAGGUUUGAAUGCUAGAAAGAUUUUGAGAAGUUGAAAGUAGUGAUUUGAGUCAAGUUGGUGUUGCAAUUACUAGAUUUGGAUCUCCUAUUUGAGGCUCAAAUAGAUGCAUCAGCUAGGGCCUUAGGAAGGAUCUUGGUGCAGGAAGGGCACCCAAUAGCCUUUGAGAGUUGAAAACUUAAUGAGUUAGAACAAAGAUACUCCAUUCACGAGAAAGAGAUGACAAUGAUUAUCCAUUGCUUAUAGUAGUGGAAGCAUUAUCUGUUGGGGAGUAUAUUUACUAUAUAUGGUCACAGGCAACAUAGUUAAUACAUUUUUCAAGAUGCAAAAGGAGUUGAGCCCUAAGCAAUCUAGGUGGCAAGAAUUCCUAGCCGACUUCAAGUUUAAAUGGUUGUAUUGACCAAGAAGACAUACUGUAGUUGUAGAUGCCUUAAACCAGAAGGAAUUGACAGAGUAUGUGAUCCCUCUAUCACAUGUGAUCUCAUAUUUUAAUGAAAAGAUCAAGCAAGCUGCUAAGCUUGAUUCUACUUAUGAGAAGAUGAAUCAACAAGUCAAAGAGGGGGCUAUUAAAAAGUAUUGGCUAGAAGAUGACCUCUUGGUGGCUAAAAGAGGUAGGCUAUGUGUACCAAGAAGUUGCUUACAUAAGGAGUUACUAAGAGAGACCUAUGAUGUCGAGUAGCCAGGUCACCUUGGCAAAGAGAUGACAUCAAUAGUAUUGUCCAACUACUAUUACUAGCUAAAAAUAAGAGAGGACAUCUAGGCUUAUGUUCUAUAUUGUUUGAUAUGUCAAUUGGAUAAGACAGGCAAGAAGAAAGCUAUAAGGUUACUACAACCUUUCCCUAUCCUAAAGAGACCUUAGGAGAACAUAUUUGUGGACUUCAUCGGUGGCUUUCCAAAAGUGAGGGAAUUUAAGUAUAUCUUCAUGAUAGUAGAUAGACUCUUUAAGUAUGUUGCUUUCAUACUUACACCACAUGCAUGUCCCGUAAAGGAGGUUGUUAGGCUAUUCCUCAACCAUGUGGUCAAGUACUUCAAGUUGCCUAAAGACAUAGUCAGUGAUUUUGAUGCUUGAUUCAUUGGUUAGUGUUGGAUUGAGUUGUUUAAACUCCUAGGAUUGAAGUUGAAGUUCUAAACAACAAAUGAUUCAUAGAUAGAUGGGCAAACAAAGUGUAUCAAAUGUGCCACUUAAGGAAUACCUCAGACACUAUGUUUUUGCAACACAAAAGAACUAGAUUGAUUUAGUGGAGAUAGCUCAGUUAUCCUAUAACUUACAUAAGAGUUCAAUAAUAGGGUUGAGUCCCUUUGAAUUGGCUAACAAGUGUUAGGGUUCCCAACAAAUACCCCCUUAGAGGUUAGGGUUUCUAAGGUUUUUCAGUUGUCUUCCUAAUCUAGAGAGCGUAAGAGAAAGAGCUUAGGAAUCAUCCCUUCUAAAGCCCACUCUUUGGAGUUCUAAGAUCGUAGUUCGAGUCAUCAAGUGUAAGAUCUUGGAUGUACAAGACCUCCAAACUCUUCAAGUUUAUUUUUUACCCAUGAAAUUGAUUUGGGGACAUCCAGAUCUAGACAUGAAUGUUUCUUCUCUAGUUUUAUUAAUCUAAAUCAUUUUAAAAGUCAUAUUUCAAUUCAAAUUAGUUUCUACAAAAGCCUAGGGUAGAUUUACAUGUACCUAUACAAUCCAAGGUAUGGGAAUGGAAUGAUCCAAGGUUCUCAACAUACACACUAUCUUACUCCCAUGAGAUAUCAUGGUGCUUUUAUUAAGAAUACUUGUUGCUAGCUUUCCCAUAUGGAUAUAUGACCACAUUAGGGUCUCACCUAUAAAUCAAAGUUUCUUAUUGAUUUUGGUAUAAAUUCAAUAUAUUCUCAAGGUUGAGAAUCUAUGUAUUACAGUAGCUUAGUGAAUCAUGACAACUAAUAGCCUUAUGUCAUGAUUCACUAUAGGUCUUGUCCUAUAUGUAACCAUACACACUAAUGUACUCAUCAUGGGAAACUCAUCUCAAUGGUCAUGAUAAGUCAUCUCUCCAAUUAGGAGGUGGUGCAUUGUAGUCUUUAUUGAAUUGCCCAAAUCUAUGAACCAAUUAUAAACAACUAAUCAUCUUGCAAGGAAUCCAUGACUUAUGUCCUUUAUGCAAUUCCUAGUACACUAAAGUCAUAUGCAAUGCAAGUGAAAUGACAUGUUUAUUUAGGUAACCAAUCAGUACAUAAUGGGAUAGUAAGUUGAGCAAUAAACAUAAAUAAAUAAAUUUAUUAAUGAAUCUACAACUAUUAUAUCAUGUCAUGCUUUCCAAGGCACUAUCCCAAUAGGUUGGAUUAGGUGACUCAAGUUCAGUUUAAGCUUAAGUCACUUAAACCCAUAAGAAGCCCUAUAUAAACACUCUAAGAGGUUUAGGGUUCACGAUUUUAACAUUUUGGCCACCAUCUUCCUAAAAGAGAGUAAGAGCAAGCCUUAACCACUCUUAGGAGAGGAAGAGAAGCUCACCCUUAUCUUAUGCCAUGAUCCUUGAAAUGAGAGAUCGAGUAAAAGAUCUUUGGGUAGAUGAACUCCACCACAUCCCCAACAUCUUCUUUGACAUCUUCUUGGGAUUAGAUUCGAUUUUGGAACAUCCAAAUUGUAGGUAUGAAACUUUAACCUCUACAUCUAGAUCAUAAUGUGGUUUUAGUUACCAUAUAUUUUUACUAUGUUAGAUACAAAGCCUAUGAACUAAGUAACUAGUGGUUCCCAACAGUUUAUAGUUAUAAAAUGAUGAAAACUAAUGUCUUUUCACCAACUAAACCUCAUAAAGCAUUAAAAUCAUUAGUUUCAUUGCAAAUUCAAGUUAAAGAUUAAAAUGCACCAAGUAUGAGUCUCACCCACAAAAUGAUCCCUAAUGCUCAUUAAUAUAUAUAUUAAAAGUCAAAAGGAUAAUGAAGAUGAUGACAAACCAAUAAUCAAAGCAAACUUUUGAUAAUGAAGAAAUAUGUUAUGUUCAGUGUCAAAAUAAAAUCAACACUAAAUUUUCUAAUAAAAGAAUUUGAUAGUAGGUUGUGACUACAACCUAGAUAUCAAUUCCAUAUUGAUACAAAAACAGAGCUUAAGGCAAUUUGAAAAACAAGCAUAAAAUCGAUGGUUUUGGAAUUGAUAAUAAAAUCAAUAAACCAACUCAACUUGAUACUCCUUGACAACAUGGAACCAAUGUCAAUCCCAAUAUGAUAACAAGAUCUAUACAACAUGAAAAACUGACAAAGCAAAAUUUACCAGACUUGGUAUCAAAUCAAAAUCAACAUGUAUUUCAAUAAAUUAUAUAUAUAUAAAUCAAUACAACACUAACAAUGGUAAUGUUAUUAUUUGGGAUAAACUAAUAUACAAAUAAUAAAGGCUCUGAGGUAUCAAAAUAUCAUUAAUGAGUACAAAAUCUAAUUCAACCAAUUUCAGGCAUUCUCAUGUGAAUUUACAAGUAUAAAAUAAUGAAAACUAAUGCAUUUUCACAAGCUAAACCUCAUAAAAGCAUUGAAACCAUUAGUUUCAUUGUAAUUUCAAACUAAAUAUCAAAAUGCACCAAAUAUGAGUCUCUCACGCAAAAUGAUUCCUAAUGCUCAUUAAUCUGAUUUUUUUUUUUUUCAUAUAAGACAAAAACAAAAACAAUUCAACAAUUUUUAUAGGGCUAAUUUUUUUUAAAAUGAUAUAGAAUAAUACAAAAGAAAAUAGAAAGGAGAGGAUAAUAUAUUGAAUGAAAGCUUGAAGUGCAGUUGGGGAGGCUUCAAGACUUGUUCAUAGCUUUGAUCUUCCUUUUUGAUCUCCAAUUUGACAAAGUUUCUUCUGCUUUUAUUUCCAUAGAAUUGUCUCCUUUGAAAAUGUAGCUCCCUCUUUGAAUUUAUUGCCUUGAGGAUGAUGAGGAUGAGGAGGAUGAUGAUAAACCAAUAAUCAAAGUUAACUUUUAAUAAUGAAAAAAUAUACUAGGUUCAAUGUCAAAAUCAAAUCAACACCAAAUUCUCUAAUAAAGGAAUUUGAUAAUAAGUUGUGACUCCAAACCAAAUAUAAAUUUCAUUUUGAUACAAAAACUGAGGCUAGACUAAUUCGAUAAACAAACAUAAAAUAGGUGGUUCGGGAAUUGAUUUGAAAUUAAUACUUGAGUAAAUACAACUACCCAAAUUGAUACUCCUCUACAACAUAGAACCAAUGUCAAUCCCAAUAUGAUAACAAGAUCUAUGCACCAUGAAAAAUCAACAGAACAACAAUUACCAUAGACUUGCAUUGAAUCUAAAUUAACAUUGAUUUCAAUGAAGUAUUAAAAAAUCAAUACAAUACAAACAAUGGCAACAUUAUUCUUUGGGAUGCAUGGAUACAAAAACAAUUAAGACUUUGAGGUAUCAAAAUGUUAUUAAUGCUUCAAUAAAAAAUCUAAUUCAACAAGUUUUUUUUUUAUUUCCAUUUGAAUUUACAAGUAUAAAAUGAUGGAAACUAAUGCAUUUUCAAUAGCUAAAACUCACAAAAGCAUUAUGUAGAACCUUCCUUUUUGUCCUGGUAACACAUGCUUUUAAUCGUAUUUAGUACCCCUCAUUUUUAGCAAUUUAAAUUGUUUAUAUAUAUAUAGAUUAUACGAAUGUUUUAACACUUAGAGAAAUUGGAAUGAAGCAAAAUAUGCAAAAAAAAAAAAAAAAAAAAAGAAAUAAUUGUCUAUAGUUAUCUUUAUUAUUUUUUAUACAUUUCUAUUGACAUGGUAUAAAUCAUCAAUAAUUGUUGUGAGUAAUAGCAUUGAGAAAAGUCAAUGUCCAUAAUAAUACUCUAUUGCCAUUUUUUAUUUUUUAUUUUUGUAAAAUAAUAAAUCAAAUCACAUCUUGUAACAUUAUCAUUAAGAUUUACAUGAUUUCUUACAAUGUAGCUUAAAACCAAAUAUUUCAUCAAAGAAGUUAUCAAUAAUUAGCCCCACACAAUGAUAUCUAUUAUAAUACAGACUUCCUUCAAUAUGUGUGUUUGUGAGUGUAAAGAAAAUAACAAAGAUAAGAAAGUAAGGUAAUAGAAAUUGAGAAAGUAAGAGAAAUAUUUUUUUUUUGUUUUAUUUUUCUCUCUCUAUUUAUUAUGCUAUUUAUAGAGUAAUAUAUAUAGUAAACCUAACUAAAAAAUUCUUUAACAAUAAUAGAAGAAAACCAAUGAGUAUAUGACACGUGUACAUCUUGUAACCAUAUGAAACUAUCUCUUAACAUUCUUCCUUGAACUUAAGGUAGAAAGAUUUUCUACUUUGAGUUUGUUUCUUAGAUUUACAAAGUGAGUGCUUGAGACAACUUUUGUUAAGACAUCUGCUACUUGAUCAAUGGAAGGCACUUGUUGGACUAAAACCUUUCUUUGCAAAACCUUUUCCUUGACAAAAUGUAAAUCCAAUUCAAUGUGUUUGUCCUAGCAAGUAAUAUUGGAUUAGCAACCAACAUAAUAGUGCUAAGAUUAUCACACCAAAUAACUAGUGGUGUCGGCAAAGUGAUUUUAAGUUUUGAGAGAAGAUAUUGUAACCAAGUGAUUUUUGCAACGAAACUAGUUAGGUUUCUAUACUCUACUCUUGUACUUGAUCUAAAAAUAGUAUGUUGUUUCUUUGACUGCUAAGUGACUACAUUUAAACCAAAGUAUACACAAAAUCCUAAAGUUGAUCUUCAAUCAUGAGGAUCAAAGGCCCAAUCGACAUCACAAAAUGCUAUAAGAUCAAGAGUAGGAGACUUUCUUAAAUGGAAUUUCAAGUAUCUAAGAAUUCUUUUGACUACUGUUUAAUGAGAUUCUAAGGGAGCUUGCAUAUAUUGACACUUUAUUAAUACUAUAGGUAAUUUCAAGCCUAUUAACUAUUCCUUAUUGUAAAGGUCUUACAAUUGAUCUAUAUAACUUCACAUCCUAAACUGAUUCACUUCCAUAGCUUAAAAGUUUCUAUUCAUUGGUCAUAGGAGUAGAAAUAGGAUUGGAACCUUGCAUUUUGAAUUUUCAUAAUAGAUCAGUUAAGUAUUUUCCUUGAGAGAGGUGAAUGCCUUCAACAAUAUGCUUUACUUCAAUCCCUAAAAAAUAAUUGACUUCUCCAAGAUCUUUUAAGGUAUACUCUCUAUUUAAUUGGUAAUGAGAUAAAUCAUAACUUUUUCACUACUACCAGUGAUAAGAAUAUCAUCUACAUAUACAAGAAUAUAGGUAGAAUGAAUAGAGAUUGAUCUAACUUUGUAGAGAUAAAUCCAAAAGGAAUAUAGGGUUGCACUUAACUUUUCAAGCCAAGCACUUGGUGCUUGUUUGAAGUCAUAUAAAGUUUUAUGUAAUUUGUGAACAAGAUGAGACUAGUUGUGCUGAAUAAAACCAGGAGAUUGUUGCAUAAAAACUUCCUCAUGUUAUUAAUGUCUAAUUGAUGAAUUAACCAACCUCUAGACAAAGUUAUAGUAAGCAUAACCCAAAUAGUGGCAUGUUUAACAACUGGAUUGAACGUUUCAGUGAAAUCAAAACCAGAUACUUAAUGAAACUCUUUAGCCACUAACUUGGCUUUGUACUUCUAAAUUGAGCCAUUGGGGUUUUCUUUCACUUUAAAUACCCAUUUGCAGCCAAUAGGUGUUCUUCCAGGUGGUAAUGAGACUAAGGAUCAUGUAUUAUUCUUCAAAAAAGCCAUCAAUUCAUCAGUCAUUGCUUGUUUCCAAUGAUGUAUAUGUAAAUCUUCCUUAACACAAGUAGGUUCACAUGUGGCAGCAAAAAGCUUUGGUUUAAAAAAUUCCAGUUUUAGAUCGAGUGACCAUAGAAUGAGUAUUUUUGCAAGGUUGCAUUGGAACAAAAGCUAAAUCUUCUUGUGUUUGGUCUUGUGAAAGAGCUCUAUGACCAACAACACUGUCAUAAGUAUUAGUAGCAAGAGGAGAGGUAGUGGGUACUAAAACAUUAGUAACAGAUUGGACAAUUUCUAGAUGAGUAAACCUACCAAAAAAAGAAAUUAUUAGAGAAGCAACAGAAAGAUGAAAAAAGGGUGAAACAUAAUUAGAUAAGGAUGAUUGAAUUUUAUGAGCAAAAGAAAAUGAAGACUCACAGAAAAUGACAUCUCGAGAAAUAAUAAAUUUGCCAUUAAAAUCAAGACAUUUAUAGCCUUGAUGAUUGAGACUAUAACCUAGAAAAGUACAUUCAACGAAUUGGAACUGAAGCUUGUGUUUGUUAUAUGAAUGAAUGUUAUGAAAAUAGGAGCAACCAAAUAUUUUUAAGAAAAAGUAAUCUGGUAAGGUUUUGAACAAAACUUCUAGAGGAGUUUUAUGAUGAAAAACAAAAGUUAGUAAAUUUAUUGUUGAGAUAAACAUAAGCUUUAAAGGCUUCAUCCCAAUAUUCCAUUGGCAUUAAAGCAGAUGCUAACAAGGUGAGACCAUGUUCUACAAUGGUUUUAUGCCUCCUUUCAGGCCAACCAUUUUGUUCAUGAGUAUAAAGACAAGAAUAUCUAUAAAAAAUGCCAUUUAAAGUUAAAAAAUUUGUGAAAGCUCUAUAUUCUCCACCCUAAUUUGUUUGUAUGGUGUUCAUUUUAAAUCCUAGUUGUAAUUCACCUUGAGUUUUGAAAUUAAGAAAGGCUUGAAAUGCAUCUAAUUUAUAUCUAAGCAAGUAGAUCCAAGAAAAUCUUGAGUAAGCAUCAACAAAGUGAAUGUAGUAGUAAUAACCACUAGAAGAUUGAAGUAGAGAGGGACCCCAUAAAUCAGAGUGUAUAAGUUGUAGGGUUUGAGUGUAAACAAUGUCAGAAAAAUAAAAAAGAAGUUUGUGAAUCUUGCCAUAACAACAAGUUGAGCAAAAAGAAAAUUGCAUUUUAUUAGGAACAUAAAUAUUGCAAUUAAUUAGACAGAACAAACUUUAAAAUUUUAAAGAAUGGAUGUCCAAGUUUGUGAUGCCAUAGAUCAAAAGUAUUCAAAGAACCAGAAGAAUCCUUAGUUGCAGUACAAGAGUCAAGAUUAUCUUGAAAGGGGCUAGAAACAUGAUUCUGAAAUAAAGAGGUGGAAAACUCGCAAAAGGUUGUAAAAGAUGGAACUGAUAGUGGCUUUGAUGAAGACAAUAGUGUGAAAUCAUCAAAUACGUAAAGUUCAUUCUUAACUCUCCUUGCCAUGAAAAUUUCCUUGGAAGCUUGAUCUUUGACAUAACAGAAAUUAGGAAAGAACUCAAAAUACAUAGCAUUAUCUUUGGCAAAUUUAGAGACAUUGAGCAAAUUUUUGGUAAUAGAUGGAACAUGAAGAAGAUGAUUUAAAGAGAGCAAUUUCAAAGUAAAUUGAGAUUGAAAAGAUGAUUGUCCAAUAUGUUUAAUGUUCAACCCUGUUCCAUUACCCAUCAUGAUCUUAUCUUACCCAACAAAUUUAGUUUUAUUCAUCAUAUUAUUAAUGUCUAGUGUGAUAUGAUUUGUAGCUCCUGAAUUUGGGUAGGCAAAUUCAAGAGUAGUAGCAACCAUGGCAAUCAUUUGUGAUGAAUCUUGAGUAGAAGGAAAUUCAUGCUAAAAUGAAGAUGGAUCAAAUCUAUAGUAACAUGGUUACACCAAAUGACCAACACGACCACAAAAUUGGCAUUGAGGUUUAUUGAAAUUCCAAUAAUUUUGACCACCAUUGAAGCCUCCAUGACCUUUGCUACUAGGACCUCUAAAUUUAUUGAAUCCACGACUACCAAAACCUCCUUUACUAUGAAAGUUAUUGAAAACACAAAAAUCGCCCUGAACAAAAGUAGAAAAGCCAUUUUCAGAAGAAUUGUAAGACCUUUUCUUGUCUUUGUUAUUCUCACUCUGAGUUGCUAAGUUAGCAUUCAAAUUAGAAUCUAAAACUUUUAUAGCCUUCUCAAUGUGCCUUUCUUGAGCCAAAAGAACAAACUUUAUUUCAUCAACAGUAUAUGAAUCCAUGUGUGUGGUAACAACAGUAAUCAAUGUGUCAUACUUGAGGGUAAUCCUUCAAAAAUUGUGUCAAUAUGAUCCAAAGUAGAUAUAGAAUAAUUAACCAAUAAUAUGCUAUCAACAAUGAUUUUGAUUUGCAAGUGAUAAUCAUUCAUGGAUGAUGAACCUUUCUAAGAGCUCUUGAUUUGCAUCUUGAACUUAUCAGUCUUAGUAUGAGUUUUAGUAGCAAAGAAAAUCUCCAAUUUCUCCCAAAUCUGAAAAGAAGUUACACAUCCAACCAUUCUUGUUAAAAGCCCUUUGGACAUUAAUGAAUGAAACCAAGAGAUUAGUAAUUAGUUCUGUUGUUCCCAAUUAGAGAAAUCUCAAUUGAUUUUACCACUUGUUUCAUUAAUGGAAGAAAGAAAUUUUGGAGGAGUGGUAUCGGUUCUAUUGAUGAACUUUGAGAGCUUGUAACCCUUGAUUGCAACUUCAACUUGUUGACGCCAAAUCAAAAAAUUAUUAUGAUAAAGUUUUAUGGCAAUUGAGUGAUUGAAGGAAAUCAGAACAAAUUGGGAUAGGAACGAAAAAGUAGGGGUGAGGGAAUCGGCCAUGGAUGAGACCUCCGAUACCACGUAAAGAAAGUAAUAGAGAUAAGAAAGUUAGGUAACAGAAAUUGAGAAAAAUCUUUUCUCAUUUUCUAUUUUAUUUUUCUAUUUCUAUUUAUUUUGCUAUUUACAGAGUAAUAUAUAUAGUAAACCUAACUAACAAAUUCUCUAGCAAUUCAUCUAACAAUAAUAGAAGAAAAUCAACGAGCAUAUGACACAUGUACAUCUUGUAAUCAUAUGAAAUUAUCUCUUAACAAUGAGUAAAAAACAAAGUUCUUGGUUUAUAUUCAACAUAAAUGUUAUAAAGGUAUUGCUAAUGGCAAGUAAUAACAAAAAAUCUCAAUACUAAAGUUUUUAGCAUGCUAACAUUUAUUUUUUCUGUUAUAACAACUAUAUUAGUAUAGAAUAUUCUCGAUAUAGUUUGUUAGAAUAAGUUUUGAGCUAUACAACCUCGUUUAGCAAUGUAAGGAAAAACACUUUCCUAUAUAUUUUUUGUACUUUCAAACUAUCAAUUAAAUUCAAUGAAAUGAGAAUGUGUUUUCUCUUUUCUAUUCUCUUCUUAUAAUAUGGUAUCAAAACAUUUUCCUUUUGUUGUUCUUCCAUCUUCUUGCUAAAAUGACCCAUGGUGGUCAAAAUAACAACACCAACUUAUUCAAGUCAUUGAUACCUCCUUCUUCCACUAGUACCAUGGCUUAACAUGAUUCUUCUUCUUCCAUGAAUAACACUAAUGGUCCUUUUUUCUUGCACAGUUGUGACCAUCCCGAAUUGGUUCUUGUUUUUCAUUUCCUUACUACUCUUAACUAAAAUUGUUGGAGUCAAGCCAUGGCCAUGGCUCUCAACACCAAGCAUAAACUCGUUUUUGUCAAUGGAUUGAUUCCACAACCACCUUCAGAGAAUCCUGUUGCUAAGGUUUGGUUAAGAUGUAAUAGUAUGGUCACUUAUUGGCUUCUCAAUGUCGUUUCCAAAGAGAUUAUUGAUAAUUUCCUCUACCUUGAUAGUGCUCAAGAUAUUUGGGCAGAUCUAUGAUCCAUGCCCAGUCGAGUGUUUAUCAAAACAUUUAUAAAACCUACAACACCUUAUAUUAGGAUAGCAAAGACAAAGCUACUAUAGUAUAAUGACUCUAGGAUUGUUGAUUCCUGCCCAGUCGGUGUCUCAACUAAUUCGUGUCCAGUUGGUAUCCUUGAUUGCGGGAGUAAUCAACAAAAUUUAUAACCUAUUACACCAUGAACUAGGGUAGCAAAGACAAAGCUAUUGAUUACUACCCAAAAAGUGUUAUUUUGCACCUUUAAUUCAUUAUGUUUUAAGCACUUUUGUGUAGUAGUUCUCCAUUUUUAUUCAAAUUGGCAUGUUAAGGACCUAGCAAUGACUUCUAAUCAUAUUUGUGGCUAUUUUUAGUGUUUUGACAGCUUUUUGGAUCAUUAAGACAAGCCAAGUAAAAGAGAGAAGCAAAGAGGAAAACAGAGUGAAGAAAACAGAGGACAGCAGCUGCAGUCUUCCUUCGCACUUUUGGAGCACUUCCCGAAGUCCAUUUGCUACAUGCUAUAUACCAUUUCAAAUCUCAGGAAGUCAAGAAUCUAACAAUUCAAACUGUGUAUGAUUUGGAGCUGAAAUGAGGAACAUAUGGCCUUCGAAAGACAACUGCACCAAGCAUGUGCAAACUUUGCACAACAGCCCAAGCUUGUGCAAAAUUCGCACAACACCUUUCCCUUGUGCGAAAUUCGCACCAGCCCAUGCAUGGUGCGAAAUCUCCUCUGUUCUGCUGACUCCACACGAGAUCUUUUCUUUUAGAUAUUUUUGUAUAAAUUUCCAUUCUUCUCCUUGUAAUCCACCAACCAUAAGAUUUCUUAGCUAGGAAGGUUGGAAAAACUUCUCUAUAUAUAUUCCCUUGCAUCCAUUGUAAUAGAUAUAGAAGUAUGUAAUAUAGAUAUAUAAAUAUAAAGAAUAUACAGAGCCUUGCUCUGUUUUUCCUUCUCUUUUAUUUUUCUUUUUCUUGAAAGCCAAACAACCUCUGAGGAUGUUUUCCCAGAGGAUGAGAGGCUAAACUUUUGGUUUCUUGGAGUGAAGGAAGCUAGGUGAAAAGUCCAGAUGCAAAGGUGAAAACUCUCGUGCAUUAAAUACAGGUAGUUGGAGUUCAUAAAUGGCUUUUAAAUCUAAAGUUUUGCUUUAAAUCCCUUAGAAUAACUUUGAAUGGCCAAUACAUGGUAAGCUUUAGGUCUUUGUGGAUACUUAUUACUAGAUCCACACCAGUCCAUUAGUUAUCAUGUACGAGCCAUUGGAAAGUGGCUCAAGGUGAAGACCCAUAGUGUCUAAAGCCAUUAAUGGAACCUGACUACCAUUUCUAUUGACUUUUUAUGGAUUAAAUCUUCAUGGUUAAACCUAUACCGGUUCGGGAAACAACCAUCUUUUAUGUUGUUGUCCCCAAUGCGAGAAGAAGAAUCCGAAAUUUCCACUUUGCAUUCUGAACUUGAUCCUAGCAACCUUAGCUCCGGGAGACUUUCUUUCUUCCAUUUUUACCUAGUUUUAUGUUAGUUUAGUUUAAAACACCACUUUCAAAACAAAUAUUAUUUUCUUUUAAACUUAAAGUUUUUGACAAAGGAAAUCAUCAGAUUCAAUCUCUAAUCUUGAGUCUAUCACUGGUAGAGUGAAAACCCAUCCCAGAGUUCGACCCUAGAGCUGCUAUACUAUAGUAGCUUUGCUACGCUAGUAUGAGGUCAUAGGAUUUAUAAAUUUUUUUUAUUAAAAGACCCGACUGGGCACGAAUCAAAAUGGUGUCGUUGCCGGGGAUGGUGCCACUUUACAGUGAUAUGACCUUUUCAGAGUACUUGUGAUCUUCAUCACAAGUUUGGUGACUUUUCUUUUCCUUUUACUAACUUUUUUUAUUUGUUUAUUUUCCUUUGUUCAUGUUUUAGUAUAUCUUUUAUUUAGUUUUUAGUUAAUCUUAACAAUUUUCUUUAGAAUUUUAUUUUCUUUUAUUUUCUUUUGUUUUCUCUGUUUUUAAUUCACAAAUUGCUAGUUGUGCAUGCCAUUUCUAAAACACUAGUGCAAGCUAUGUUGUGUUCCAUUUGUCAAUCUUUUGAGCACUUGGUGGAGGAGUGUCCUAUCCUUCCAGCAGCGAGGGAGAUGUUUGGUAUGCCAUGUAGCAUUUGUCAGUCUUUUGAGCACCUGGUAGAGGAGUGUCCUAUCAUUCCAGUGGUGAGAGAGAUAUUUGGUGAUUAUAACACCUACAAUUCAAAUUGUAGGAAUCAUCCAAAUUUCUUUUGGGAACCACAACCACGUCAGUACAUGCAACCCACUCAAGCACCACAGCAAGCCUCAAACCUUGAACAAGCUAUGAUGAAUCUUAACAAGGUCAUGGAAGACUUUGUUGAAGCUCAGAAAUCCAUCAAUGCUCAGCUCAGUCAAAGAAUAUCACUCCCUGAUAGAGUAGAGAGUUCAUUGAAUAAAAAGAUGGAUGGAGUGCAACAUGAUCUAUCUCAAAAGAUAGAUAAUCUCCAAGAUUCAAUCUCAAGGUUUGCCAACCUCAACACAAUGCAAGAAAAAGAAAACUCUCCUUCUCAACCUUAUCAAAAUUCCAAGGGUAUCCAUGAAGUGGAGGCUCAAAAGGGAGAAUCUUCAAUGGUGAAGGAAGUUAAAAUGGUUAUCACUUUGAGUGCUAAAGAGGUUGAUUUGGCCACAUCCAAACAAGAGCAUGAAAUAGAGAAUGAAAUAGAGAAAAAGAAGAGGGAGGAAAUUAAAGGAAAGAGAAAGGGAAUUGUUUCCAUUGCCAUCAUACAAUGCAAAUCUCUAAUGAAGGAUGCAAACUUCAUAUGGGAUCCGGGCAAGCUGAACCAGGAUCAAAUUUUUUUAUGGACUUAGUUUUUUUAAAGACUAGCUAGUCCAUAUCUUUUUGUUUUAUUUUUAAAUUUGUUUUGAUUUUGAUUUCUUGCUUUAAUUUUAUUUUGGUUUGAUUUAACUUGUUUUUUUUUUAUGAUCAACAUAGGGGAAGCCAAAAAUAGAGGAAAAUAGAGCAAUUUGCACCACCCAAUUCUCUGGUGCGAAAUUCGCACCACCCUACCCCCUUGUGCGAAAUUGCCUUUGUGAGCGUUUUCCAAAAAGCAUGCUCUCAGUCCCUACCCAAAAUCUCAGUGCAAAAAUCACAGGAAUGCGAACAUUGUGUGAAAUUCCCACCGCCAUCUCCACAUGUGCGAAAUUCGCACAACACUACUCCACCUGUGCAAAAUUCGUACCACCCCAUUUCGGCAACUGUUGGGCACAUUUAGAUCACUUCCCAAAUUUCAUUUCAUGCGUACUAUAUCUCGUUUCAAAGCUUGGGAAGUCAGGAGUCCAUAGCUUCAAACGGUGCUCGAUUUGGAGUUGAAACGAAGAAGUUAUGGCCAUUUGAAGACGACUGUGCAAAGCUGAACGGAAAUGUUGCAGCCGCACCCCAUUUCGCUACUGUUGGACACGUUUUUUGGAGCACUUUCUGGAGAUAAAAUUAUGCAUACCAUAUGUCGUUUUUAAGCUUAGGAAGUCAGGAGUCCAGUGCUUCAAACGGUGUGCGAUUUAGAUUUGAAACGAAGAAGUUAUGGCCAUUUGAAACCACCACAAUUUCGCAUUUGGACGGGUGAAUAGUGCCUUGUGCGAAAUUCGCACAACCCAUUCCCUUGUGCUAAUUUUUGAGAUUCUUCAUCCCUACCCUUCCCAAUCCCAAGCCUUUGAGCCUCAUUUCUUUGCUCCAUUAUGCCUAAGACCCGAGGAGGCUAUGCCUCAGCUCCCCAGAGGCAGCAUCGUCUGAUGCCCCACCUACUGUCCCUCCUUACCAACAGAGCCCCGCGCACCCUGGGAUCACACACAUGAAGCCUCUUACUCCAUUUCUGACCUCCUUAAACCAUCAAAGCCCAUAGCUCCAGCUGAGAGCUCCAGUUGAGGAGACUAUGCCAUCCAAGGAGAAUAUCAAAACAGAGGCCAAAGUCCUGAUCCAACCCACUCAGAAGGCCACCACAGAUGCAUCAGCUCCAUAGGACCUUACCAUUAUUUGAUCAUCUCUUUACUUUUUGUCUUUACAUAUUAUAUUAGUAUAUAUAAUUCCAUGUUUUGAUGUUUUAUAUUCUGGGAUUGGAUGUAUUGCAUGAUCAUAUAUUAUAUUCUAUUUUCUCAGAUUAAUAUAUAGGCAUCAUUUUUGUUUAAACUUGACAUUUUUCUAUUUUCUCUACUCACUAUUUUUUUUUAAACAUGUGGUUUCUCUUAUACAACUCAGACUCCAUGUCACUCAAGAGGUACCACUUCCUCCCUAUUUUUUAAUCGCUUUGUCACAUUGAGGACAAUGUUUAGCUUGGUUGGGGGGAGAGUUGAGGAAGGAAGUUUUUGUUAUUAAUGCUAAGUUAUUUUGGUAAUUUAGUUGCUUUUUGCUUAAUUUUAAAAAAUUUUUAAAGUUUUUUUUGAAUACUCUCCAUGGUUAUUAAGGAAAAAAUUUCAAAAUGAAAUGGGAGAAAUUAAAUUUUUGUCUUUUUACUUGAAACUUAGAGUUUGUAUUAUGUUUAUUAAAGUUGAUGAAUUAUUGAACUCCUAUUGAUUUCAACCUUAUUUCUUCCACUUUAAGCUUAUCACACACCAUGCACACUAGGUUCCGUUUAUAAGAUGAAAAACUAUUUUACCCCUUGACUUAGGAAAAUUUAGACUUGGUACCUUUGACCUCAUUUUAAUAGUGUUGAGACACCUUAUAAAAGGCCAAUGAGCCUUUGGAAAAAGAAAGAAAAAGAAAAAUGUUUUACUUGCCUUGAAACCCGAGCAAGGUCUGAGGGGUAUAUGGUGAAAAUCUUUAAAACCUGGUGCCCUAAGCCUUCAAUGGUUGGGAGUCACCGACCUCAAUGCUCGUUACAUGGGUGAAUAGGUGGAGUUUAACAUAUUGUAGGUGCUUGGGUAUUAAAAAUUCAUUCUCAAAAGUCCGAGGUGAAAUCCGAGGAGUUAGUGGUUGAAAAAUCCUUAAAGCUUGAUGCCCUAAACCUUGAUUGGUUGGGAGUCAUCGAUGGACCCCCGUUACAUGGACAAUUUAGAAAAGAAUGCCUUUAAGCUUUGCACUCCUACAGGAAAAAAAUUGUGAAAGAAAAGAGGUGUGUUCUUAGCCUAUUGGAGGUUGAUUAGUUUGCUAAGCUUUGAAAAGAACUAGGUUGAGGGGAGAGAUUAGUUUGACAUACUAUAUCCGGAAACUAAUAAAUAACACAUAGAUUUUUGUGGAAGAGUAGGGUUGGACCUUUAGGAGUGGAAAUUAUUUUGAAGCUUAAAUUUGCAUAAUGCCUACUCUUUAUGAAUUGUGACUAGGCAAAUUAUUUGAUAGCUCCUAUUGAAGUUUGAGUUUUAUUUCUUUCAUGUUCCAUGUGAGAGUUUGAUCCAAUCAUGCCACUUGAUUAUUUUUUGGAGUGAUCAACAUGAUUUUAUAAAUUAUUAUAUUAUCUAUUUUUCUUUCUUUCUUUUUCUCUCCUUCAUUGCUUAGGGACUAGCAAUGUGUCAGUUGGGGGGAGUGAUUACUACCCAAAAAGUGCUAUUUUGCGCCUUUAAUUCAUUAUGUUUUAAGCACUUUUGUGUAGUAGUUCUCCAUUUUUAUUCCAAUUGGCAUGUUAAGGACCUAGCAAUGACUUCUAAUCAUAUUUGUGGCUAGUUUUAGUGUUUUGACAGCUUUUUGGAUCAUUAAGACAAGCCAAGUAAAGGAGAGAAGCAAAGAGGAAAACAGAGUGGAGAAAACAGAGGAUAGCAGCUGCAGUCUUCCUUCGCACUUUUGGAGCACUUCUUGAAGUCUAUUUGCUACAUGCUAUAUACCAUUUCAAAGCUCAGGAAGUCAAGAAUCCAACUCUUCAAACCGUGUACGAUUUGGAGCUGAAAUGAGGAAGAUAUGGCCUUCGGAAGACAACUGCACCAAGCAUGUGCGAAUUUCGCACAACAGCCCAAGCUUGUGCGAAAUUCGUACAACACCUUCCCCUUGUGCAAAAUUCGCACCAGCCCAUGCGUGGUGCGAAAUCUCCUCUAUUCUGCCGACUCCACGUGAGAUCUUUUCUUUUAGAUAUUUUUGUAUAAAUUUCCAUUCUUCUCCUUGUAAUCCACCAACCAUAAGAUUUCUUAGCUAGGAAGGUUGGAAAAACUUCUCUAUAUAUAUUCCCUUGCAUCCAUUGUAAUAGAUAUAGAAGUAUGUAAUAUAGAUAUAUAAAUAUAUAGAAUAUACAGAGCCUUGCUUUUUUUUUCCUUCUCUUUUAUUUUUCUUUUUCUUGAAAGCCAAACAACCUCUGAGGAUGUUCUCCUAGAGGAUGAGAGGCUAAACUUUUGGUUUCUUGGAGUGAAGGAAGCUAGGUGAAAAGUCCAGAUGCAAAGGUGGAAAACUCUCGUGCAUUAAAUACAGGUAGUUGGAGUUCAUAAAUGGCUUUUAAAUCUAAAGUUUUGCUUUAAAUCCCUUAGAAUCACUUUGAAUGGCCAAUACAUGAUAAGCUUCAGGUCUCUGUGGAUACUUAUUGCUAGAUCCACAUCAGUCCAUUAGUUAUCAUGUACAAGCCAUUGGAAAGUGGCUCAAGGUGAAGACCCAUAGUGUCUAAAGCCAUUAAUGGAACAUGACUACCAUUUCUAUUGACUUUUUAUGGAUUAAAUCUUCAUUGUUAAACCUAUACCGGUUCGGGAAACAACCAUCUUUUAUGUUGUUGUCCCCAAUGCGAGAAGAAGAAUCCGAAAUUUCCACUUUGCAUUCUGAACUUGAUCCUAGCAACCUUAGCUUCGGGAGACUUUCUUUCUUCCAUUUUUACCUAGUUUUAUGUUAGUUUAUUUUCAAACACCACUUUGAAAACAAAUAUUAUUUUCUUUUAAACUUAAAGUUUUUGACAAAGGAAAUCAUCAGAUUCAAUCUCUAAUCUUGAGUCUAUCACUGGUAGAGUGAAAACCCAUCCUAGAGUUCGACCCUAGAGCUGCUAUACUAUAGUAGCUUUGCUACGCUAGUAUGAGGUCAUAGGAUUUAUAAAUGUUUUUUAUGAAAAGACCCGACUGGGCACGAAUCAGCUACUAUAGCAUUGUGGCUCUAGGAUCGUUCAUUGGGAUGGGUUUUCACUUCACAAUUGAUAUUAAUUCAAAACUGAAUUAGUGCCUUUUCAUUUCAAGGUUAGCUUUAAAAGAAAACAUAAAGAUUUUUGAAACUAAACUAACAUAGAACUAGGUAAAAAUGGAAGAAAGAAAGUCUCCCGGAGCUAAAGGUUGCUAGGAUCAAGUUCAGAAUGCAAAGUGGGAAAUUCCGGAUUGUUCUCCUCGCAUUGGGGACAACAACAUAAAGGAUGGUUGUUUCCCGAACCGGUAGAGGUUUAACAAUGAAGAUUUAAUCCAUAAAAAGUCAAUAGAAAUUAGUCAAGUUCCAUUAAUGGCUUUAGACAUUAUGGGUCUUCACCUUGAGUCACUUUCCAAUGGCUCGUAUAUGAUAACUAAUGAUCUGAUGUGGAUCUAGCAAUAAGUAUCCCCAUAGACCUAAAAGCUUACCAUUUAUUGGCCAUUCAAAGUGAUUCUAAGGGGUUUAAAGCAAAACUUUAGAUUUAAAAGCCAUUUAUAAACUCCAACUACCUGUAUUUAAAGCACGAGAAUUUUCCACUUUUUCAUCCGGACUUUUCACCUAGCUUCCCUUAGUCCAAGAAACCAAAGGUUUAGCCUCUCAUCCUCUGGGAAAACAUCCUUAGAGGUUGUUUGGCUAGUAAGAAAAUAUAAUCAAAAUGAGAAGGUAAAAGCAAAGCAAAGCUCUGUAUUUUUCUUCCUUUCAAAAUUGUACAAAGGAUUGAUCGAUAAUAUAUUCGAUAUCUUGUGUAAAGGAAAUUACAAACUAUAUAUAAGGGUUUAUUCACCCUUUUUCCAAACUUAAUAACUAAGGAAUCCUAUCAUUGGUGGGUUACAAGGAGACUUUGGGAAUUUAGACAUAAAAUGUCUAAAGCAAAAUAUCUUAAAAUAUCCCAAAAUAUUGGUGGCAAAUAUCAGGAAGCUUCAGGAGAACACAGCAGCACUGUGCAGAAUGGUUGCUCUCCCAUCCGGGUAGGCGGUUAUCAAAUGAUCCGGAUACGUCCAUCUGGAAAAGUUGAAACACCUACAUCUCCUAUCCGGCUCCUGAAUUCCAGAAGUGAACAUUCGGGGUGGAAAGUGCGCGGCAACCGGAUGCAAUGGCAGCAGCCGGGUGCAAACGGCGGCGCACAUCCGGGUGCAAAUGGUGGCGCACAUCCGGGUGCAACUCCUAUCUGGUGGUGUGGUCCGGACGCCCUCCAAUGGUGUAUCCGGACGCUCUGUCCAGGUAUACUCCUUGCAUGGAUUCCAAAGAAGUCUCCUCAAUCUCAUAUUGCUUUGGUGAUAAAAAAGCUAUCAAAACACCAAAACUUAACACAUUUUUUAUUAGAAUUGAUUGCAAGGGUCCUUAACAUGCCAAUUGAGUUAAAAGGUGAUAACUACUACUCAAAAGUGUUUAAAAGAGUUAAUUACCAGCUAUGAAAUAACACUUUUUGAUCCUAGUUCAGCUGGCCCGGAUCCCAUAUGAAGUUUGCAUCCCUCACUUGAGAUUUGCUUUGUAUGAUUUUGCCAUACAAAGCUUGGGGGAAAAGUGGAUGCAUGUGUUUCUUCCUUGAUGACUAUCCUUUUUGGUUUUUCUUUUAUACAAUCAUCUUUCUCUGUACUUUUCCCCUUUCUCUUUCCUUUUAUUUUCUCCCUCUUUUCUUUCUCUGUUUCACUCUCUUCUUUGUGGUCUAGCUUGCAUGCGGGUAGAUCAACCUCUUUAUCACUCUCCUUAGCCUCUAUUUCAAGGAUACCCUUUUGAUUUUGAUGAGGUUGAGAAGGAAAGUUUUCUUUCUCUUGCAUUGCGUUGAGGUUGGCAAACCUUGAGCUUGAGUAUUCGAAAUUGUCUGUCUUCUGAGACAGGUCAUUGAACCUCUCAUCCAUCCUAUCAAUUCUUUGACUGAGCUGAGCAUUGAUGGAUUUUUUAGCUUCAACAAAGUCUUCCAUGACCUUGUUAAGAUUCAUCAUAGCUUGUUCAAGGUUUGAGGCUUGCUGUGGUGCUUGAGCAGGUUGCUGAUACUGAGGUGGUUGUGGUUUCCAAGAGAAAUUUGGAUGAUUCCUACAAUUUGAAUUGUAGGUGUUAUAAUCACCAAAUAUCUCUUUCGCCACUGGAAUGAUAAGACACUCCUCCACCAAGUGCUCAAAAGAUUGACAAAUGGCACACGACAUAGCUUGCACUAGUGUUUUAGAAAUGGCAUGCACAACUAGCAAUUUGUGAAUUAAAAACAGAGAAAACAAAAGAAAAUAAAAGAAAAUAAAAUUCUAAAGAAAAUUAUUAAGAUUAACUAAAAACUAAAUAAAAAAUAUACUAAAACAUGAAUAAAGAAAAAUAAAAUAAAAAGAGUUAGUAAAAGGAAAAGAAAAUUCACCAAACUUGUGAUGAAGAUCACAAGUACUCUGAAAAGGUCAUAUCACUGUAAAGUGGCACCAUCCCCGGCAGCGGCGCCAUUUGAUUCAUGCCCAAUCGGUGUCUCAGCUAAUUCGUGUCCAGCUGGUAUCCUUGAUUGCGGGAGUAAUCAACAAAAUUUAUAACCUAUAACACCAUGAACUAGGGUAGCAAAGACAAAGCUACUAUAGCAUAGUGGCUCUAGGAUCGUUCACUGAGAUGGGUUUUCACUUCACAAUUGAUAUUAAUUCAAAGCUGAAUUGGUGCCUUUUCAUUUCAAGGUCAAGUUUAAAAGAAAACAUAAAGAUGUUUGAAACUAAACUAACAUAGAACUAGGUAAAAAUGGAAGAAAGAAAGUCUCCCGGAGCUAAAGGUUGCUAGGAUCAAGUUCAGAAUGCAAAGUGGGAAAUUCCGGAUUGUUCUCCUCGCAUUGGGGACAACAACAUAAAGGAUGGUUGUUUCCCGAACCGGUAUAGGUUUAACAAUGAAGAUUUAAUCCAUAAAAAGUCAAUAGAAAUUAGUCAAGUUCCAUUAAUGGCUUUAAACACUAUGGGUCUUCACCUUGAGUCACUUUCCAAUGGCUCGUAUAUGAUAACUAAUGAUCUGAUGUGGAUCUAGCAAUAAGUAUCCCCAGAGACCUAAAAGCUUGCCAUGUAUUGGCCAUUCAAAGUGAUUCUAAGGGGUUUAAAGCAAAAAUUUAGAUUUAAAAGCCAUUUAUAAACUCCAACUACCUGUAUUUAAAGCACGAGAAUUUUCCACUUUUUCAUCCGAACUUUUCACCUAGCUUCCCUUAGUCUAAGAAACCAAAGGUUUAGCCUCUCAUCCUCUGGGAAAACAUCCUCAGAGGUUGUUUGGCUAGUAAGAAAAUAUAAUCAAAAUGAGAAGGUAAAAGCAGAGCAAAGCUCUGUAUUUUUCUUCCUUUCAAAACUGUACAAAGGAUUGGUCGAUAAUAUAUUCGAUAUCUUGUGUAAAGGAAAUUACAAACUAUAUAUAAGGGUUUAUUCACCCUUUUUCCAAACUUAAUAACUAAGAAAUCCUAUCAUUGGUGGGUUACAAGGAGACUUUGGGAAUUUAGACAUAAAAUGUCUAAAGUAAAAUAUCUCAAAAUAUCCCAAAAUAUCGGUGGCAAAUAUCAGGAAGCUUCAGGAGAACACAGCAGCACUGUGCAGAAUGGCUGCUCUCCCAUCCAGGUAGGCGGAUAUCAGAUGAUCCGGAUACGUCCAUCUGGAAAAGUUGAAACACCUACAUCUCCCAUCCGGCUCCUGAAUUCCAGACGUGAACAUCCGGGGUGGAAAGUGCAUGGCAGCCGGAUGCAAUGGCAGCAGCCGGGUGCAAACGGCGGCGCACAUCCGGGUGCAACUCCUAUCUGGUGGUGUGGUCCGGACGCCCUCCGAUGGUGUAUCCGGACGCUCUAUCCGGGUAUACUCCUUGCAUGGAUUCCAAAAAACUCUCCUCAAUCUCAUAUUGCUUUGGUGAUAAAAAAGCUAUCAAAACACCAAAACUUAACACAUUUUUUAUUAGAAUUGAUUGCAAUGGUCCUUAACAUGCCAAUUGAGUUAAAAGGUGAUAACUACUACUCAAAAGUGUUUAAAAGAGUUAAUUACCAGCUAUGAAAUAACACUUUUUGAGUAGUUAUCAAUUGUCCACAAUGAUGGGUUUUCGUUAUACACUUGACAUUAAUGAAAUGAGAAAUGGUGAUUUCCUUUUUGAAAGUUAGUUUUUAAUGAAAAUAAUAUUGAUUGGAAGGGUUGAUUUUAAGUUAAGCAAACAUAAACAACUGAAAUUACUACAAAGAGAAAGUCUCUUGGAGCUAUAGGUUACUAGGAUCAUGUUCCUAUUGCAAAGUGGGAAAUUCCGGAUCUUCUCCUCGCAUUGGGGACAAUAACAUAAAGGAUGGUUAUCUCCCAAACCGGAUUUGUAUUUAGCAAAUAAGUUUUGAUCCAAAGGGUUCUUGAAAAAUGGUAGUUGCUUCCCAUUAAUGGCUUCAAACACUAAAGACCCUCACCUUGAACCACCUUCCAAUGGCUCGUACUUGAUAACUAAUGGACAUUCAUGGAUCUAGCAAUAAGCAUCCAUAGAAUCCUAAAAGCUUACCAAGUAUUGGCCAUUCAAGGUGAUUCUAAGGGAUUAAAGCUGAAACUUGAAAUACAAACCAUUAAUGUUACACAACUACCUUCAUUUAAAGCAAGGAAAACUCCCACAUUUGCAUCUGGGUCCUUUACCUAGCUCCCAUCACUCCAAGAAACGUGAAACUUAGCCACUCAUCCUCUGAGAAAUCAUCCUCAAAGGGUGUUUGGCUAGAGAGAAUAUGAAGAGAAAAUGAGAAGGAAAGGUAGAGAAAAACUCCCGUAUAUUUUCUUCAAAACCCGACUUUACAAAAUAUAAAAAACAUCAAGCAUCCUUUGAGAGGUUUUCCAACCCUUAUUUAUAGUUCGUAAACAAACCCUAAUGUCAUUUAUCUAUUACAAAGGAGUAAAAAGGAAAAAUUACAAUUCUGGAGAAAAAUCCCAAAAGUUGGUGCGCACAAAGUGAUUUUGGCACACCCUACCAAAUUUUGGCACAUCCUGCCAAAUUUUGGCACAUCCUGCCAAAUUGAUGAUUUUGCCUUGCAAAAUGCUCUGUUUUCCUCCAUCUUACUACUGAUAGUUUUGGCAAGAAUAGAGAAGUCAAGUAAUGGGUACAUUUCCUCAAUCAAUAGAAGCAAGACACACUAUAACUCAUAUGGCAUAAACUUCAUUCAAACCAAGUUUUCCAAACUCAAAUUUCAAAAUUUUGAAGGUGAGAAUUGGGAAUUAGGAAAAAGUAGGUGUGGACCCCGCAUUUCGCUUUGCUCGAAUGCGUUUCCCACUCGAAUGGCGAGCUCGAUUUUUAUUUUUUUUGAAAAUGAUUUUUAUUCAUUAAAAAUUGACUUGGAGUCGCCACUUAUUUUUGUUUUAUUUUUAAAGGGUAAACAAAAUAAGAAAGAAAAACCCUAAGUGUGACUCCUUAUUUUGGAAAAGGCGGUCUGUGAAAAACCGGAUCGGGUUCGGGGGUCAGGUUACUUAUCGGGAAGGUACGGUAAAGACCGUAGCACCCCUCUAAGUCCCUAAAGUCGGGUCUCUACUAAUAAGAUGAAACUGACAUGGCAAUCAAUGAGAAUCGAUGAAUAGUCAAAUCAAUCAUGCACAAUAUGAGAAGCGAAGCAUGUAUAAAGAAUGAGCGAAAUAUGAAUAGAUGCGUACCUGGAUGGCAAUCACGAAUGUGCUAUCAUGAAACAUGGUUAGUGAACAAUGAACAAAUAUAGUUAAGCGCAUAUCAAGGAAUAGAGUAAAUCAAUCAUGCAUGACAAAUAAAUAAAUCAAUCAGUCAAUCCAUCAUGAAGUCUCAUAUGUAGGGCCCCCACCAAAGCCCAAUUCAUUUUUGCAUGAAUUAAUACCAUAAAUUCCCUUGCUUGGAAUUACGGAAUUUUAUUCUAGCUUAUUUUAAAACAUUUUGAAAAUUUGAGGAGUUGUGAAAAUUGCUUAUCAGAAGAAAAAGUGGAGGCAAAAAUUUAUUAAAAAUAGGAUUUUUGUGUAACCUAGGGAAAAUGCUAAGGAUGAAAAGUUGGAAUAUUUGAAGUUAUUUAAUCGACCAAAACUUGGAAAACUACUUUGAAAACAGAGGUUUGAGGAAUUAUUUUAAAAUAAAAUAUGAUGAAAUAACAAAAAAAAAAUAAAAAAAUGGCACGUGGUCUAAUUGCCUGCUUUUUUAUUUCAUAAUAGUGACUCCAAACCCCACGCCUCUCAAGCUCACAAACUUGUCAUCUUCUCAAUCAGCAAAUGGCCUGUCUGCCAAGGCUGGCAUGUCACAAACGAUGCGUCCUGCAGCCAACAGUGUUUCAAGAACAGCAGCUUAGUGAUCAACAUGGAAAAUCUGACACGGCUCCCAGGUCAAAUUUGGUUUAGAACGAGUCCUCAAGCUGUUUCUCCCUGCAAUACUGGACCAUAAAUUUGUGACGAGAGUCCUGAAGUGACCUUUCCCAGCAAUAUGUUCCCAAAAGUGAGGGUUACUCUCCACAUGUUUAUCAGGACUCGAAACAUCCACACUACUGGUGCUCAUGUCGUUACGUACAAUGCACAGCUUUCCAUUAAGGGGGACAAGAGCAGCAGCCUCUAGAACUCGGGAGCUCCCCAGAUGGAGCUUGCUAUCUAUGAAUUUGUUCCAUGAAUCUGUGUCACUGUCAUAGACCCUGAGCUUGCACCCACCCUGGCAGUCCAAGGCGUAGAGCUGUCCAUUCAAAGAGAUGCUAGGGUUGCGCCAACCAGCAACCAUUCCAUCACUGAUUGGGGUCCAAGUAUUGGUUUCAGGAAUAUAAGCUUCACUCAUGACCUCACGGUGGGAUCCAAGUCCUUUUAGGAACCAUUUUCCAUUUAUAGAUUACUCCGAUAAAGGGCACCAUAGCCGAGCUCAUAUCUGAAAUAAAGCUCCACCUAUUCCUGUUAGGAUCAUAGACUUCAGCUGAACGGAGAGUCUUCUGAAUUCCUUCACAUUCGGAGCAUGCCAACUAAGGAGUUGAACGAAGUGGGCCCACAAUUCUUUAUCAAAACGAGGCUCAACAGUUUCUUUAUUGUUGGAAUCCUUGAGCCGACUAGGAUCCUCAUUGCAUACCUUCAGGUUCUGACGCCUUUCCAAGCAACCAUGCAUAUUUACUUCGAUCACACUGGUGAAUAGAAAGAGUUAUCUUCGUGUAAGCAUGCUAAAAAAACAUCGGUGUGCACUGUCGAAUGCUUCGAGCAUUGAGCUAUAUGUUUACAAAUCUGACAUGAGGGAAAUACUGCCACCAUCCAUGCAUAUACUAGAAGCAAAAAGUAGCAUCAUCGGAGACUAUAGAUAGACACUUGGCGGCCAAAUCUGGAGGGCAGUCUGAAUAUGAAGCAUGUAGUCCCCAAAUGAGCUUUUCGAGCUCCUCAUACCAUGAAGAAGAAUUUUUAGAAGGUGGUGAAGGGAAGGAUAAUGGAUAUGAGAAGGUCUUAGAGUGAGAAAAUGGGUUUGACGGAUGUUUUGAUGGGUAAUGAAGGCUGCCAUGCAUAUGAGAGAGUAUGAGACACGGGCAUGAAACAAUGGAUUUGAUGGAUAUGGGAUGCAUGCAUGAGGUGGAUGACAGAGGAUGAGAUGGACGGGUUUGAUGGGUACGUAGAAAUAAAAUAAUGGGUAUGAAAGGGUAGAGAGAGAAAAGAUGAUAGGAAAUGGGUGUGAAGAGUGGAAUAGAGAGAGAAAGUGAGGUGGUGAGAAAAAUGUAAGGGUGUAGGGAUAUGGGUCUAGAUAUGAGUGUAGGGAGAUGGUUUGUGGGUAUGAAAAGAAUGGGUACGAAGGACGGGUAUAGUGGGGUGUGGUUCAAUGAUGUUGUGCAUGGGCUUGUGCUCAGUUUCGCUACCGAUCCUGGAUUCAUCCCAUUGUUGAAGCAUGAAAUUAGUGGAGUAGCGUAGUGGCUGCGUCUUAGCAAGAUGCUUCACGGUGUCUUCUCCAGCUGUAGCCAAAACGCGUCAGCUGCUUCCACCCAAAACCUGAUAUGCUGAGAAGUUUCUGUCUAUUAUUGGAUUCGGUAUCUGAUUCGUCAAUCGUUGUGAUCUUCUCUUCUUCAAACUUGAUGCAUGGAUGCCAAAUUGCUCCAACAUUCUUUGAUAUACAUAUAGUUGGUAUCAGCCUUUGUCCUACUGUUGGGAGCAAGGACAUGAACCCUAGCAGCAUUAACUCUAACUUGACCUUUUCCAGCGCUUCAUAUAGAGCUCUCCUGUGUAACCUCAGAUUGCAAGGUAACCUCAGAGUUUUGUACAUCACAACCAGGAAUUCCAGCAGCGGAAUUAUUGCCAUAGCCUCUGACACUGACAUCAAAUUCCUGUCUCAUAUUCCACAAAUACUAAGACAAAGCUUUCAAAGAAUCCGGAAUCAUUGGUGGCUGUAGUUGCUCCAAAGUAACAUCAUUUGGAAGCAAAGAAGCACCAUUGAGAGAAUCAGAUUGAUUAAUUGUAACAGCUUGGUUAAGUUGUUGUUCGCUAGAGUCUCUCAAACCACUUAAACCAUAAGUUCCUAUGCCUUUCUCUGAGACAGGAUCCCAAAUUUUUGAGGAGGAUUUAUCUUCAUGUGAAGAAGAAACAGGGCAUGUAGCAUCAGUGAAGUCCCUAAACCAUACAAGCCCAUCCUCUGUACCACAGCUAGUAGUGAUAACUCUUUGCAUCGUCCUCAAAUCAAUUGUGGAAACAGAGGAACCAGCAGCAACAAAAAACAAUGAUUCAUAACAUCUCAUGUCCAUAGGUGCAUCAAGAACAGAAGUCAUUCCCACACAACAUAAAGAAUGGACAGUAGAUGAUGUAGUUGUAUUCCAAACUCUCACCUUAGAAUCUUUCGAAAUUGUCACUCGAAGAGAAGUUUUAUGCCCAGUAACUGUCAUCAAUUUUACAGGUUUCGCAUGCCCAUAAAGAGUUGCCUUUAAAGCCUGAUAGCCACGUUAACCACUUGAGCUAAGGAACCAAAGUCAAACUGUACCAUCUUAUCCUCCACUUGCAAAUACUUUGCCACUACCAUCACCCAGCAAUUUAUCUCAAAGAGUGGAAACUGGGCCAUUAUGAUUUCUAAAACACCGCUGGCAAGAACCCUUCCACCAUAGACGAAUGGAGUGGUCACAGCUUGAGAUUACCGAAACAUUUUCUUCUCGUUGUGUCUCACUUCGAAAUAAAGAUGUUUCACUAAGCGGAAAUAAUCUGCUAAAUGAUCAAUUCCAUAUUCUUUGUCAUUCACAUCAUGGGAAGCCCAGAAACGAAUUAUUAAUUACUUCUGGUCCAAAUUGGGAGACGAAUUCAGGCAGCCCUAGCAGGAGCCCACGACUUUCAGACAAGCUGAUGGUAUCUUCUGGGGUCACUCUAUCAGCACAUGGAACCUUCUUAGUCAAGGAUGCUACUGCUACUGCCAAUUUGGCUCCGCUUCUUGGCCGUGGCUAUGGACCUUUGGCUGAACUUCAAAACGUCAUUGACAAGACUGAAGCUGCCGAAUCACUUAGAUGUUCUCGUGAUCAAUUCUCCUCUUAGAUGUCAACCAAACUUUGAGAAUAUGUAUCCCUUGUAAGGAUUCACAACUAGCCUUGAUUUCUCUCUCUCUCACAGCCAAUGUAUUGAACGAGAUCCCAAAAGCAAAAGGCAAUCACCACAGAGAAAGAAACAAUAGAAACAGAGCAUAAAAAAAACAAAGUAAAAACAUCCUCAAAUGAGGCUUCACUGCAUGAGUCAUCAGCAAGCCCUCUGAUUAAGUGAGAAAAACCACAUCAAAUAUGACUAUUGGCAUGAUUCCUAGGUAUUUCGCAAUAGAGGCAAGGUGCAUUAAGAUCAACAAUGGCAAACAUGAGUUCAAGAUUAUAUAUCAACAAGCAACAAGUGGCCUUCAUCAUCCACUCCAAGCAAACCAACAAAUAUCCAGAUAUUAACAAGAAAUGCAGAGGAGUAAUAAGAAUCCAAACCAAACAAGAAAUCAGCUGCAUUCAUACCUGAGAGAACCCUUUUCCGGUAAGGCUCUGUUCAGCUCUAAACGCCUUAAGUCCUCCUCCAAUGCCGAUGAAACCAGCAAGCUUACCUCCCUAUCACUCUCUCACCAGCAGCCUCUAAAUCAACUCUCAGCAGUCUUCUCCCUCUGGUUUUCUCUCUGAGCUCCUCUCAAUCUCUAGCUAAGCAAUCCCUCAAAAAUAUCUCUCUCUAAGCUCUCCAAAAACUCACCUCUCUGCUCCAACCUCAAACCUCCCUCCUACAGUAAUAAAAAACUCCCCUCCCUAGCUUACCUUCCUUCCUCUCUGGUUCUCUCCCUCUCAAGUUCCCCUUCUCUCAAGAAAACUCUCACAGUAGUCUAUCCGCCCUCCCCUCCAGUUGCUCUCUCUCCUUUUCUCUGCCGAGAACCCUCCAAAAGCAGCCUGCUGUCCAAAAUAUCUCCUAACCAACUCUGAAAAGCACCACCUGCCAGAGACGCCCCUCUCACAGCAACGUACCUCCUCUGCAUAUCCUCCUCCAGGUGUCAACCUCUGAUUAGUCCAUCAAUUCCACUAUUUUGAUAACCAACUCUGAAAAGCACCACCUGCCAGAGACGCCCCUCUCACAGCAACGUACCUCCUCUGCAUAUCCUCCUCCAGGUGUCAACCUCUGAUUAGUCCAUCAAUUCCACUAUUUUGAUCCCAUAUUGACUAAUCCGGGAGUGACACGUGGCCAUGCAAGAUGGUGACACUUGUCAAGCAUCAGCUGCAAGAAUCACUCCCAAAAUGGGGGUCUACAGUAGGAUUGGCUUCCUUACAUUUAAAAGGAAGGGCCUUAGAAAGGUUUCAAGGGUAUGAGGCUAUUAACAAGGAAAUCAAAUGGACACAAUUUUAUAUAGAUGUUGUUUCUAGGUUUAGCCCUAGUGUUAAUGAUAACCUUAUGGGGUAAACAACCAAAUUGAAAUAGGUUUCUACAGUUAUGGCAUACAAAAAUUAGUUUAAGGUAUUGAUGACCAAAACUAGUGGGUUUUUGAUUCAUGCCCAGUCGGGUGUUUAUCAAAACAUUUAUAAAACCUACAACACCUUAUACUAGGGUAGCAAAGACAAAGCUACUAUAGUAUAGUGGCUCUAUGAUCGUCCACAGGGAUGAGUUUUCUUUGUACACAUGACAUUACUGAAAGGAGAAAUGGUGAUUUCCUUUUGAAAGUUUGUUUUUAAUGAAAAUAAGAUUGAUUGGAAGGGUUGAUUUUAAUUUAAGCAAACAUAAACAACUUAAAUUAUUACAAAGAGAAAGUCUCUUGGAGUUAUAGGUUACUAGGAUCAGGUUCCUGUUGUAAAGUGGGAAAUUCCGAAUCUUCUCCUCGCACUGGGGACAAUAACAUGAAGGAUGGUUAUCUCCCCAACCAAAUUUGUAUUUAGCAAAUAAGUUUUGAUCCAAAGGGUUCUUGAAAAAUGGUAGUUGCUUCCCAUUAAUGGCUUUAAACACUAAAGACCCUCACCUUGAACCACCUUCCAAUGGCUCGUACUUGAUAACUAAUGGACAUCCAUGGAUCUAGCAAUAAGUAUCCAUAGAAUCCUAAAAGCUUACCAAGUAUUGGCCAUUCAAGGUGAUUUUAAGGGAUUAAAGCUGAAACUUGAAAUACAAACCAUUAAUGAUACAUAACUACCUUCAUUUAAAGCAAGGAAAACUCCCACCUUUGCAUCCGAGUCCUUUACCUAGCUUCCAUCACUCCAAGAAACGUGAAACGUAGCCACUCAUCCCCUGAGAAAUCAUCCUCAGAGGAUGUUUGGCUCUAGAGAGAAUGUGAAGAGAAAAUGAGAAGGAAAGGCAAAGAAAAACCAGGCUUUAUAAAAUAUCGAAAACAUAAUAUCUCCUCCUCCUCUGAGAGGUUUUCCAACCCUUAUUUAUAGUUCCUAAACAAACCGUAAUGUCUUUUAUCUAUUAUAAAAGGAGUAAAAAAGAAAAUUUACAAUUCUGUAGAAAAAUCUCGAAGCUCGGUGCGCAUAAAGUGAUUUUCGCACACCCUGCGAAAUUUUGGGACACCUUGCGAAAGUUUGGCACACCCUGCCAAAUUUUGGCACAUCUUGCGAAAUAGAUGAUUUUGCCUUGCGAAAUAGAUGUUUUCCUCCAUCUUACUACUGAUAGUUUUGGCAACCCCUUUCCAAGUUUGGCAAGGGGUUUUGAAGUGCUCCAAAACUCGGAUUCUUCAUGUGAUUGAUCUUCAACUUGCCUUACCAUAGCUUGCACAAAACUCUCCCUCAAUUUUGGCCUGUUUCAAUGAUCAAAAAGCUACCAAAAACACUAAAACUGACCAAAAAUUGGUUAGUAACAUUUGCUAGGUCCUUAACAUGCCAAUUGGGAUAAAAAGGUCUAACUACUACUCAAAAGUGCUUAAUACAAUUAAGUUUAAGCUUAUAAAAAUGCACUUUUUGAGUAGUAAUCAAUCUACAUGCAUUUUUUUAGAUCAAACAAUAACUGCAUGGUUUGUCUCAAGGUUCUCUCGAUAUUAAUACUUAUUAUACCAGUUUAAAAAUUCUUUGGGAUGAACUUAAGAUGUUUGAACCCAUUUCCCGUUUGGCAAUUUGGUGGCAUCAAAAUAUGGAUGGAUUAUCAAUAGCAUAAGUAUGUAAUGCAAUUUUUUAAGGGCUUGAAUGAAUCCUAUGUCGUGAUGAGUGGGUAGAUUUUGAUGUUUGGCCCAUUACCCUCUGUUGCGAAGGUUUUCAAUCUCGUCGUUUAAGAAGAACAAUAAUGCACCAUCGAAUCUAGUUCCCUUGCUCUGUUUGAAUCUUUGGCAUUUAGUGCCUCCUCGUCAUCUCUCUCUGUUGCAAAUUUCUCUUCUUAGGGUAAGCUCAAUCAUGAUCACCCGAUUUGUUCUCAUUGUGGGCUCAUGGGGUAUAUUGUGAAUUGUUGCUACAAGUUACAUGGGUACCCAAUUGGGUAUAAGCCCAAACCCAAGGCCCAAUUGAGCUCUCUUCAGCCCACCAACAAUCCAUUAUCUUUCCUUAAGCCAUCAAAAGACACCCACUUCUCUCAUUUAGCUACAACUGCCAUACCAUCCUCUCCACUUUCUAGUUCUCUCUCAAUAGAUCAAGUUCAAUAGCUCAUAAAGUAGACUUUAUUCACUUUGGAAUAAUCCUUUGUCAUGAUCAAAUCUUAUUAUCCACAUGCCUUGUUUGACUAAGAUCAUUAUAAUUGUUUCCCAAAGUGAGUCAAUGCCAAAUAUUGAAUAAUUGGUUAAGCAUAACUCUUACACACAUUCUAAGAUUUAUGCUCUUAACUUUAUGUGACUUGCUUGCAACAUUUGGAAAUACCCCUAAAGUGGAUACAAAGGUAGCCAUGAAUGAAAAAAAAAAAUCAAUAUUGAUCAAAGUGUACAAUAGCUUUACUUUCAAAAGAAAAAAAAAGUAAAAAAAAAAAAAGAACUAUGAUAUCAAAUUAAGGGGAAGUCAAGUUGUGUUGUAUAUAAAUCAACAAGACCGUGUUAAAUAAAAAUCCAACAAUCUUAGAUCAAAUUAAUUGGAUGUGUACUUUAAUUAGAACAAAGGUAUGAUUGGAACUCUUCUAAGUGAUCAAUUUUGAAAUAUAGAACUAGACAAUAAGUUGUAUUCCCUUGAACAUCAAUACUUAUGUAUCUAUGUUGACCUUCUUAUCUACUAAUGGUUAUGCACUAGAUUUUGAAAUUGAAAUUACAAUUAACUCUAACCUUUUGGACUUGAAACCUCAAUCUUGAUGGAUUGAUGUAUAAUAUCUAUAGUAACUCGCUUUAUAAUUGAUUAAAGUAACUCCUGCAAGCUAUUUAAAGCCAUCCAGUACAUUAUUUCUUAUUUCUCACUUUUCUGAGUUGUUUCAAUCACUCCAUGUUUCCACUUCUUCGUCAUUUGAGGUCAAUUCUCUUAGUUUUUCGUAUUUUUGUUCAUAUAAUAUUUUUUACACCUCAUUUUUAGUAUUCUUAGAUGUUUAGGGGUUUUUUUUUUUUGGAUUUUCAUCAAUUUUUCUUACUUUUAUUGUCCUUUUAUAUUUCAUCCUCUUGUUAUGGAAAGUCGUCAUCAUCCGUAUGAGGUGACCCCUCUAAGGUCGCCUGAGCUCAUUUAAAGCAUUGCACUCUAAAGUCCAUUUGACCUAAGAAUUUUUCUUGUUGAGUGCUUCCAUUGUUAGGAGGCAUGAGAUCAAUACUACACCUCUUUCAAUGAUUAACUAGUCGAGGUUGAGCAUCCAGUCAAUCUCAAAGUCUUCUAGGAGACUUCUCUCAUUGCUAUUGUUAGAGUGAGGAUAAGAGACAUUAUUUUCUCUUUAGGGGACUUCUACCCCCAUCAUAUUCACAUGUUUUAUGUGAACAUGCAUUCUCUUGUAAUUGGAGUUACCUUUUAGUUGAUUUUGUAUUAUCAAUCAUUUCUUGUCUCUUCCUGUUCUAUUUGAUGUGUUCUUAGCAUGUUGCGACAUGAGUCUUGCUUUGGGCAGAAGCCAUUCUCUAAGCCAGCGUGGCUACUAGCUACCUUCUUCACCUACUCCUUCUGUCAUUCUACUCAUCGUACCCAUAUUUGUCGGUUGUCUACUCAAUUCAUUCAUGCCAUACUCUCUAGCUACCAAUUUGAUAUCGACUUAAUGAUUUUGGAUAGAAUUACUCCUUCCCAUGAUCCAUAUUUUUGAGAAGGCACCUUUUCCUUUACCCUUCUUAUCUCAUAGAAUUUGGAGGAUGUAGGUUUUGAGAUAAACCCUACAUUAGGGGGUAUAAGAUACAUAUGCCCUCUUGGAAGGGAGCUCCUGGGCUAAGCCUUAUAGCCACAUUUAUGGACCAAUGGCACCUUUAAUCCACCAUGGUCCUCAGGAUAUAGCUCAACAGGCGGCUUAGGAGGCAACAAUAGAGGAGGAUGAGCUCCAAGCUAUGAAGCAAAGUGUAGUUCUUGAGGUAAAUUAUCUUAAGCCUACUUUGAGGACUUGCUCUAGUUGAGGUCAAGCAAAUUCUUCAAGAGCUACUCACAAGCAGUGUUUUAAAUGCCACAAAAUAUCGGGGAUAUUUUGCCAAUAUUUCGGGUAUAGAUGGGGCUCAAUAGAUAAAGAGAAUGAAAUUUUGGGUUAUGCAAAAUUUUGAGUAUUUCCCUCAUUUUUCAUUGAUAUAUCGGCUAUAUGCUGAUAUAAUACCAAUAGAUUAGUUAUAUUGGUCAUUUUUUAGUGCUUUGAUUUCUUUUAGGCCAAAAGGUUUCCCUUUUUUGCCAAAAGGUUUCUCUUUUUUUUCCAAAAGGUUUCCAUUUUUUAUUUUAAGCCGCAUUCUCACACGCACAGCCACACAAUAGUUGUUCGAGAGGAGAAAGGCACCAUCUAUUAAAUAGGCAAUUUUGUUCUCUCAAGUUUAUUGAUAAGUUUAAAAUUCUAAUCAAAUAGGUAAACAAAAUUUACAUUGGUGAGACUUGAACCCGAGUGCACAAGUUUGUCAUGGAAGGACACAACCAUUAAACCAUAUGUGAAUUUGUGGUUUAAAUUGUAUAUAGAAUUAUAUAUAUAAUGUACAUACCUUUUAUACAUUAUAAUAUUUUUAAUAUAUAUUAUAAUAAUAUUUAAUAAAUUAAACCAUUAUAAAUAAGUUAAUUUUAAUUAUCAUAUUAUAUAUUUUGUAUUCCAAUUAAAUACAAGGUAAAUAUAAAUUUUAUAAAUGAAUUUUUUAAUAUAAAAUACUUAUCUAAAUAUCACUUUUUUAUCCCUCAAUAUAUUCAAAUCAAACUAUUAUCAUUCUAAUAUUAUUGUGCUUUUAAAUUAGUAUAUUAUUGCCUACUAUUACAAAUUUAUUACAUAUUACUAUAUAUAUAGUAAUAUGCGUAUUCUUUUUUAUUUUAUCAUUUUUUUUAAGUUUUUCCAAGUAUUUUCAUGAAUUUUGAUUAAUUUGUAUUUCUUCAUUUUUUUUUUCAAAAUAUUCCACCGUUAUUUCCUGAUAUAUCCAUAAAAUCCAAUGAUCAAUAAUUCCAUGAUUAUCGAUAUUUUCAUCUUUGCUCACGAGACAUCUUUUUCUAUAGGCCCGACUACCCGAGAGACAUUGGAUUCCAUGGCUUAUGUCCAUUAGUAGAUGGACUCACAGGAUCUUCACCUUCGUGAGAUCCAAGGAUAACUCCACUAUAUCAUUUCCUAGAUCCACUAUAAAGGCGCCUUGAGCUCUACCUCUCUGUCUUCUUUGGAUGCAUAUAUAUAUAUAUAUGUUGUAUUCUUCUUUCUAUUUAACUCUUUAACUAUUGUGUGCUUUCCAAUGUUUAUAAUUCAUAUGCUUUGCCAUUUUUAUGACAAAAACAGGAGAUCAUUGACCAUAUUUAACUCACUUAAAUAGGGAGAGCGUAGGCAUCAAUAUAAUAGAAAAAAAGAUAAAGAAACUCGUUGACAAAUAGGAGUUAAUAAUUUUUUAAUUAUUUAUUUAAUUCAUUCUUUUGCUCAUUUAAUUCUUAAGGGAAAUUAAUUGAAAUAUUGGAGAAAAUUAAACCUAAGACAUUAGAAGAAAUUCGAUCAACUGUUGAAAGCAUAACUUGGAAGUUUAAGAGAGUUACCUAACACAAAUAUUUAUGUUUGAAUUGUCUUUCUCUUUGGAACUAUUAUGAGUCACGAAAGCUUCUUCUCAUGGUUUUCAUUGUCUAUUUUCUAGUUGGAGAUAGGCCUCUAGGCAUCAUAGUUGAUCUAUUGUGUCUUAUCAAGAUUCUAUUAUGUUCGGUUGAUUUGUAUACAUUUAAAUUCCUCUCGAGCUUUACUUUGUACCUUGGUAUCACUAUAGGGAUAUAUUUCUCUUACAUGUUUUCACAUCCAACUAUCAUGUUCUAUUGCUUUGAUCAUAUCUUAUUUCACACAUUGUUCUACUUUUGUUGUAGUUUUUUUAUGUGUGUAGCUUACAAGAUUGGAAGAUAAGUACUACAAGAUGAUGCAAAGCAUUCCCUUAGUUUAUUUUUAAUUAAGCAUUAAUGUGUGUUAUGUAAACUCCUUUAUAAGAGUUUAGAUCGGUUUAUGUAAUGAUGUUUUGUCACAAGACUGCCAAAGAGUGAAAUAGUUAGGACAUUAAGUCUUGAUUAUAUGUUGGAAAUUUUGUUCAUUUUAAUGUUUGGCCACAAAAGUCUUUUUAGAUAGUGAAUUGCUCUCCAUUGAAGGUCAAAAGUUAUUGUUUGUCUAACCGAGAAUUCACAAGUAUAUCUAAAAAAGUUUGGCUUGUAGUAAGUUAGGCUCCUUUGAGGUAUAAAGAAGAUUGAUAAUUGUUUUGAACUUAAAAUUAAUUUUUAUAAGGUUUUUGAAAAACAGGGGAUGCUUAAGUAGGAAGCAAUGCUCAAGUUGACCACUCAAGUGCCAUACACUGCUUGAAUGCCCAAAGCGCUCAAGCCACUAUCAUAAGCUCGAGCAAUCAUGAAUUUAUAGUUGAGAUUUUUUCAUGCAAAAUUGAUUUGGAAGUCUUCUAAAACCAAACCUUUUGGAGAUUUAUUCCUACAAAUACCUCUUUAUAACCCCUUAAGGGUUAGAGAUUGUUUAAGAGAUUGGUGAGAGAUCUUACAUUCUUUAGGGAGAGUCUCUUAGAGAAAAAGCUUAACGAGCCACACCAUUCCCAAUCUCUCAUUCAAGGAUUCAAUCUUUGAAUCUUGGUUGAAAUGCAUUCACUAGAGUAAUAGGAGGUUGCUACGUUGCGGACAUGGAUCAAGUUUUAAGUAUUAAAGAGUAAGUCUUUAGGGUAAAGUGGCUAAGUAAAUCUAUAUAACUUGAUCUCAUAUAAUGGAUUUAGAUUAUUGGUCUUACACUUCAUGUUCUUUUAUCUCCACAAUUAGUGUGGGGGUUUUCCAUGUGAAAAAUCUCUUGUACCUCAUUUCUUAUUACUUGAUAUCUUAUUUGAACUGCCUACAAUAGAAAUUAUUGGUAUACUAAUAUCUCGUAGGAUAAAAAUUAGGUAUAACAUAUAAAUCUUUAUUUAAAUUUUUUAACAAAUCCAUUUUGCCUCCUUCCCCUAGGUGUUACCUCACUGGACUUAGGGGCUUUUCAAACCAUAAGUUGGUUCAACUUGAGUUGUUCUUUUAUGUUGUUGACCAUCGUUAGAUGAAUCAUUUUGUUGGAUUGCACUUGUUAAUCGAUUUUUUUUUCUCAUAUCCAACUUUUGUUUCUUGUGAUUCCUCCAUCUAAAACCCACCAAUUAUUUUACAUCAUAAUAUAAAGUUUCACCACUUGUUUUGUAUUUUAACCCUAACAAUUCAUGUUCUUUAAAAGUAACAUCUCUACUAAUUAUUGUCUUUCUCAAAUUCAGACACUACAACUUAUACCCCUUCACUUUAGUAGAAUAUCUAAGAAAUAAACAUUUCUUUCUUUGCUCUUGGUUGCAACUUUUUAUCAUUUACAUGUGCAUAUGUUGUUGACCCAAAUACAAUAAGGUGUUCCAUACUUCUUGAGGUGUUUUGAACUUUAUGGAACUUGAAGGUCAUUUGUUAAUCAAGUCACAUCUUGUAUGGAUAUCUUUCACCCAUAACUUUGUAGUUUAUCUUAUAUUUAUCAACAUGCAUCUUACUCUUUCAAGAAUAGUAUGAUUCAUCCUUUUAGUUAAGCCAUUUUGUUGAGAUGUACUCUUCACAGUUCUUGUUGGGAUUGAGCUCUUAAAGGAAACACAUGAUGUAACAAAGUUAGACUUAACUGUCCUCUUGCCAUCCUUUUGGUGUAUUGACAUUGAUUUGAGCAUUUAGCUCAUAUCUCUUACAUUAUUACAUGACUUAGGUCAUUAAGAGUUGCACACAAGAUACAAGUCAUGAGUUCCUCAUAAGUACAUAAGUUGUCCACAAUUGGUUAAUGGAUUUGGGCAAUCCAAUAAAGACUGUAGUGCACCACCUCAUAAUUGAAGGGAUGACUUAUCUUGGCCAUCAAGAUGAGUAUCCCAUGAUGAAAUGAUGAGUGCACUAGUUUAUGUGAUGCACAUUGGACUGGACCUAUGGUGAAUCAUGAUGUAAGGCUAUCAAAUGUCAUGAUUCACCAAGCUAUUAUGCUACAUGGACUCUCAACCUUGAGAGGAUAUUGAGCUUGUGAUGAAAUCAAUAGAAGGCUUUGACCUAUGGGAGAGACCCUAAAGUGGUCAUAUAUCCUUAUAGAUUAGGUCACUAUUAAUGAAGACUAGCGACAAUAGGUAUUCUCAAUAGAGGCACCAUGAUAUCCCAUAGGAUUGAGACGGUGUGUCCCCUUGAGUGAUCUAAAGGACAUGUGAUAAUGAAAUUUGUGGCCAAAGUAAUUCCUUUAGUGGAAUUUGACUUAUGCUCCUUGGAGUUGGAGCUAGAGUAUGUUAGUUAAUCAUAUAAUAGGUUGUGUGCACGAGACGCGCAUAGGUCACAUGCAUGGGAAUUGCAUGAGACGUGCUUAUGGGUAGCAGCAUGAGGAGAAAGACUCUCUAGUUUUUCCAAGUAUGUUCUUCAUCGGAUGGAUUUUGAUUUGGGAACAUCUAAAUCACAAGUAUGAGUUUCAAAUAUCAAGAUCUAUAGUUAUUAAUGGUUUUCAUUGCCAUUUUAUUUCACUAUGAUAGAUUUUCAAAUGCCUAGAGAUAGAUGCAUGCACCCUAUGAGAUCCAAGGUAUUGGAAUGGAGUAUUAAUCUAGGGUUCCGAAGUGAUUAGAAUAGUAAGAUCUAAAGAUUGAACCUAGCACUAAUUAAACAUCUGGUAUUUAGACCUAGGUCAUAUUAAUCUGAAUAAGAUGCAAAGAUUGGCAAAGUCAAGACUCUUUGAUUCCAAAAGAUCUUCCAAUCUAUGAAUUUUAUAUAGAUGGUAAAAUGAUCAAGAGGACUAGAAUUAAGGAAUAUUUGGAGUUAGUGCAUACUAACAUGUAUGGACCUUUUAGUGUCUAUGCAUGGGGAGGGUAUGGGUAUUUCAUCACUUUUAGUAAUGAUUGCUCUAGGUUUGGAUAUGUACAUAGGAAAUCUGAUGCCUUGGAUACAUUCAUUGAAUUUAAGGUGGGAUCGAAUAACCUAUUGGAUAUACAUACCAAGUCAUUUCAAUUAUGUCAAGCUGAUAUGUCUAGUAAGUUUGAUUUUUUUUGUUGGAGCAUAGGAUUAUUUUCUAGUUAUGUUCAUCAAGGUCUCUAUUGCAAAAUGGAGAAGUGGAAAUAAGAUAUCAAACUUGGAUUAACAUAGUAAGAUUGUGGAUAGGCUUCUCCUAUUUUAUCAGAUUAUUUUGGGGAUAUGUCAUAUAGUCUGUGUAAUUACCUUUUUCUUUUUUCUUCGUAAGAGGUGUAUUAGUUUAUAGGAUAUCUAAGAGGAUUUUUGGGUUAUUAGGUUUAUAGUCAAGAUGAUCAAAAAAUAUUUGUGAACAUAAAUGUCCCAUUUUUUAUGAAGAUUAUAUGAUAAGGAAGAAGGCAGGGAGUGACAUAGAUUGGAGGAUAUAUUAGAAUAUAGUUCCACAUUACAUAGGACACUAUGGAUCGAAAGGGUUAAAGACAUACCAUUCUUAUGAUUUCUAGUACACCAGUACUUCAUCAUAGUAAGGAGUUUAUAUCCCACAAAUUAUGAUGAAGCAAUGAGCAGUGUUUAUGCUCACUUAAGGCAAGGACGUGUGAUCAUGAAAUCUAUGAACCCAUUAUAAUUCUUUUAGUGAAAUUUGACAUAUGCUCUUAGUGAUUUAGAGUAUGUAAUUUAAUCACAUAAUAGGAGGAUCUAUAACUCUAAAAUUGUAGAGGUAGUCUUUAAAGACUGAUAACUUUCACCUUGUUAGACUACAAACAACCAAUUCAUGGGAAGAUUGUAUACAAUAGAUAGCAAGUCACGAACUUGAGCACUUGGUGUCUCAUUGUAAUAUACAUAGGGUACCAAAAUAUAGUUAACUCUCUAUAGUGGGAUAUUGAGUCAACUUUAUAAUUGGAUUCUAAGGGAUCUAGUACUGUCCUAUGGGUUCCAUUGGUCUCUACUAAAGCUUAUUUUCCUUGAUAACAUGGUUUAUGAGAGUUGGAUGAGUUUUUAGUUAACUUGUGUGCAUAAAUGCAUUUUGGUAAUUACACAAGGUUACAUAGGGGUAACUGUGCGAUAUCUUUGAACUUGGGUAAUUGAUUAAUUAGAGCCUUAUCGUAUUAAUUAAUCAAUUAGAAAUCUUUUUGGGUUAAAUUAAGUGACCCAUGCCCAUAGUGGGCUCAAGUCACUUAAGCAUAGUAGGAAACUUAUAAAUACCCCUCUCAAGGGUUUAGGUUUCUAAUUCAAUCUUGCCAUUCUCUCCCUACAGUCCAGAGAGAGAACCUUAGUCUUCAACCUUGAGAUUUCCACCAUCUCAGUGCCUAGAUUCAAGAAGGAGUCAUCGAGUGGAUGAUUAUGGGUUUACAGGAUCUUUAUUAGAUUUGGAGCUUUCUACACUAACAAGAAUUGAUUUGGGAACAUCUGAAUAAUACAUAUAACACUUUUUUCUAGAUUCAUGAUAUGUUUUCUUUUUUAAAAUACCAAAGUUUUCAACUAUGCUUAGAUCUAGAAAGCACAAAAUAGGAUUACAUGCACCCUAAUGAUCCAAGGCCUAGGAAUAGAGCGAUCCAAGGUUUCCUAGAAAAUAUAACCCAAUAAGUAAGAAUGAUUUAUAGGAACUAAAAAUUCUUUCAAAAAGAAAAAAAGUUAAUUGGAGUAAGAUAGGUAUACAAGAGAAGGAAAAAUGCAAAAGGAGUAGAAAAAUAUAAAGCAACAUUGGUGCAAAGGAUUACAAGAAAGAAUAAUGCACCAACAAGAUGAGGGUAUUUGCUCUCAUUGUUCUUUUAGUAACUAUAAAUUAAUAAUCUCUUUGGUAGCUCAAAAUAGUUGAAAUUUUCAAAUGGAUGUGAAAUCCAAUUUUUUGAAUUGACAUCUUGAAGAAGUGUAUGUAGAACACACCAUAGUUGGUAUAUAUAUAUAUAUGGGCAUGAGAAUAAAGUUCCAAAAUUGAAAAUAACCUUGUAUGGAAUAAAACAAACACUAAGAGCAUGAAAUGAUAGAAUUGACCAAUAUUUUCAUGAUAAUAAUUUUGUUUAAUACCUUUAUGAACACGCUCUCUGCAUAAAAGUGAAUGAAAAAAAGUAAUAUAUUACUUGUUUGUUUAAAUGUGAAUUUUUUGAUCUUUAUUGGAACUAAUCCAAUCAUGUUUAACGAGUUCAAAGAAGUAAUAGAAUAAAAGUUUGAGAUGACUGGAUUAGUCUCAUAUCAUACUCUCUUGGCUUAGACUUGAAGAGAUUGAAAAGAGUACUUUUUAUUUCUCAAGAAGACCAUGCAAAAUAAAUUUUCAGAAAGUUUAACUUGAAUAUGUGUAAUAUGGUAAACACUACAAUAUAAUGCAAAGCUAAAUUAUCAAAGACAUGUAGAAAGAGAAAAAGUGGAUUCAACAUAACAUAAAAUCUUAGUUGGAAGCAUACACUAUUUGACUUAUACAAUUUCAAACAUUCUCUAUGGCAGUUGGAUUUGUCCAUCAUUAUAUGGAAGCACUAAUGAGUAUUUACACUAAGACCUCGUGAAUUUUUCACUACAUCAACGACACAUUUGAUUAUGACUUAUAUUAUUCACCUUUAACAAUUUCAAACUUGUUAGAUAUAACGAUAGUGAUUAAGGUGGAGACUUAGGAUGAUACAAAGAGAACCACUAGCUUUAUGUUCCUCAUGGGAGAUACCAUGUUCACUUGGACUUCAAAGAAGCAACCUAUUGUGAAACUUUCAAUGUAUAAAGUGGAAUUUGUAUUGGCAUCAUGUGUACGUAGGUCAUGGAAUUUGGCUCAAAAAUUUGUUGAAAGAAUUUAGUUUACCACACAAGAAACCAAUAAAGAUCCAAGUGGAUAUAAAAUCAACAAUUACCUUAUGAAAAAAUCUAGUUCUCCAUGAUGAAAGCAAGUACAUUGAUACAAAAUAUCAUAUUUUAGAGAGUAUAUGAAAUACAGAGUGCAAUUAAAAUUUACAAAAUCUCAUAAUCAAAUUGUUAAAAUGUUUACAAAUUCUCUUAAGUUUAGCGAUUUUAGAAAGCUAAGCUUGCUACUUUGACAAAUCAAGUUGAAGGCAUGAGUGAAAAUGUUGACAAAGUUUCUCGAGUUUAAAAAUUUUAGAAAACUAAGGAUGCUAUUUUUACAAUUGAAUGGAGGAUUUAGUAAAACUGGAUUUAGGAAGUUUCUAAAAAUUAGAAUUUGAGUUAGAUUCUAAAAUGCUUGUUUAGUUUGUAUAUUUUGUUAUUACAAGAUUUCAUAUUUUACCAUUAUGAGUAUUAAAUUUUUUUAGGUGUUAAUAUCUAAAAAUAAGAUGUUAUGUAAUAGUUGAACAAGAGUGGUGGAAGAAAAUAAAUUUUUUCUUAGUCAUCCCAAUUAUUUAAAUAUCUCCCUUUACAUAUGUAAUUAUGUAAUGCCCUAAACCCAAUUUAGGGGUAAAAUCAUAAUUUAGAAAUUAUUAAUGAAUAAAAGUAAUUUAAUAAGGGUAAAAAAGUCUUUUUAUAUUUAAAACCCUAGAUAUAAAUUAGAUUUUUCAUAUCUUCUCUAUUCAGAAAACCCUUUUACAUAGAGAUCAGAAAGAUCAAAGAGCAUAGGGCUGAAGAUUUGGAGGUUUAGGGUUUGAAGAUCAAUUUUUCAGGUAAGAUUUUUAAUCCUUAAAUUAAUAUUUUAUAUUCGCUAAUUAGUUUUGAAUACUUUAGAUAUUCUUUGGAAUAUCUCAAUUUUGAUUAGAGUUCAUUUAAUUAAUUUCUAGGUCAAAAAGAUUAAAAAUUUAUGAACAUAGUUUGAUUUAUUAAUGGAGAUCGAUAAGUUUUGAUUGCUCAAAUGAAUAAAUCUAGAUAAAAAAAAAUUAAAAAUUAUACUUUAGAGGGUAUGGAGGUUAAAAGUUUUUACUUUAGAGAGGAGAAAACAAAUGAUGAAAGAUGCGUAGGAAGGAUUUGGCAUGUUGAAAAAAAAAAUGGUUGACCUAGGAAAGGAAUUAAAUAGUAUUUUGGUAAACAAUAAGGAAGAAAAGGACGUGGAUGUCUUGGAAGAGAAAUAGGUUAAGGUGUUGUUAGGUAUUGAAAUUAAUAAUAAUAAUAAUAAUAAUAAUAAUAAUGAUGAUAAUAAUAAUAAUAAUAAUAAUAAUAAUAAUAAUAAUAAUAAAAGAAACAAUAAUAAUGAAAGGAGUUGGUGUGGAGUUGUUGGGAAAAAAAAAAAGAAAAAUUGCAUGGGGUAUUUGUUAAGUUUCAAUAGAAGAUUUAAAUAAUAGUAAUAAUAAUUUAAUACAAAUAAAUAUUCGUAAAAGUUUUAAUUUAGAUAAGUUAGAAAAGAGAAAUAAAUUAUUGUUUAGGAAGUUGAAAAUAAUAUUGGAUGGUAAUAAUAUUAAUAUGAGAAAUUAAUUAGGAUCCCUAAUACUAAAUAAAAUAUUUUUAAGGUUGUCAAAUUUAUAUAUUUAGAUAAAUAAUCAAUAAUCAAUAUUGUGUAUGAUAUUAUGUUAGGUGAGGAGUAAAUUCGUCAAGCUAAAUACUUUAAGUUUUUGAGUGCUUCUUCAAGGUAAGGGAAAUUAGUGCGGAUUUUUAUAAAAGAAAACAAUUUUAUUUUUAUAUUGUAUUUUGAAAUGUGCAAAAAUAUUAUUUUUAUCUUUACGUAUAGAUGAAAUAUGUGUUUUGUAUGGAAAAUAUAUUUGAGAAUUUUCUUUGUUUAUGAAAAAUGAAAAAUUAAGGAGAUAUGAUAUUUUGUUUUGUAAAUUUGAAUUAAUGAAAUAAAGUGUUUGACUUUGGUUCUUAUGGCCCUAAUCAACGGGUUAUAAUUGUUGACAUAUUCAGCCCUAAUCAACGGGUUAUAAUAGUUGAUAUUAUAUGACCCCAGUCAACAGGUUAUAAUUGUUGACAUAUUCAAUCCUAAUCAAUAGGUUAUAAUAGUUGAUAUUAUAUGGCUCUAGUCAAUGGGUUAUAAUUGUUGACAUUUGGUUUUGUUCACCUUAAAUAGAACAAAUUUGAAACUAGUUACUCAAUUGUGAAGUCCCAUCUAAUUAGGCACUAUUUGUCAUACAAUAACCAGAGUAAAGAUAUUUUGAAUGUAUUCGAUUUGGUUUUGAUGAGAAAUUGUUUUGAAAUGGAUAUGAGAAAGUUUUGUUGAAAAGUUUGAAUGUAUUAGUAUUUUGAACUCAAAAGUUUUUGUGAAAAUAAGUAUAUGUUAUAUUUGUUAUUUGCAAGCAUGAUUGAAAAUGUUUGAUCCAUGAAACUGUAUUAAUGUUCCUUAUUGGGCUUUGAGCUCAUCCACUUUUGUUAAUAAUCUUUCAACUAACCUCAGUUCGAGUGAGGAGUGACCGUUAGGAGGGAAAUUUGGCUUUAUUAGGACAUUUGUUUAAACUCUCUUUAUGUUGGACAUUGUUUAGAUGUUAAAACUUAAUUCUCAUUUGAAUUAUUUUGAGUUUGGAGUUAUUUGGACAAUGACACUUUGGUUGAUGUAUUAGUUUUUUUAUAAAGUUGAUACUUGGAGAUUUUAGAAUUUUAUCAUACUACUCUGAAUAGGAAUUUGGUAAUUUGUAAAUUUCUAGUUACAAUAUGAAUGUUUGUAUCGUUUCCACUUUGAGCCUUUGGGCUUGAGGUGAAAUGAGAGGUGAAAUGAUCGUCAUGCCCUUGGAGUGGGUUUUGGGGUGUGACAAAUUACUUCCAUGUUUUUUCAACCAUAUUAUUGCAACAUAUGUGGAUCUGCUGGUUGGUCUAUGAAAAUUCAUAUAAGUUGUUAAAUUCUGUUAGGCUUGUGUAACGGUAUUUAGAUCAUAACAUCUUUCCCUAAGCCCGCAUUUUUCUAAAUAUAUAAUUAAAAUUGUUGUGUUUGCAAUUUUAAUGAAAUCUAGCAUUGGAUACUCAACUUCUCACAAAAUGACAAAAAAAAAUGGUGGUGAUUUCAUGGAGGCUAACCAUUCACCUACCUUUAGUCAAGGUUUUCAAGUUGUGUUACAAUAGUAAAGUAAUAAUCUCAAUCAAAACACAAAAUUUAGUUUUCUAAACAAUUAUUGUUCUUGGAAAACAUGCAAGGAAUUUAAGCAUCUUAAGGUACUUAAGCAAUCUUAGUUGGACAUUCAGUAUCCAGAUCUUUUCAUUAAUUGGUUUUUCUCUUUUUGUGCCAACAUCUGCUCUCUCUCUCUCCAACAUGCAAGCGUAAGUGGUAGGCACCUCUUUUGUGCUUUAAAUUAAUUUUUGAAGUAAUUUAAAUCAACUUAAAAGAUCAUAAGUCCCAUUGGAUAUGAUGUAUUGAGUUUUAGAUUUUUGAAGUAAAAUUAUCAACAUAGUCUAGAAUAUAUACUAAUAGAUUAUACUCUUUCCAAGAGUUUAAAUUGCUUUUUGUUAAUAGAUUAUAUGGAUGUUUUAACACAGAAAUUGGAAUGAAGCCAAAUAUGCAGAAAAAAGAAAUGGUUGUGACCAAUAGUUAUAUUUAAUCUCUUUUAUUUCUAUUGAUACUCAAAUUUUUAGGGAUAGAGCAUCAACAAUCCUUGUGAUGAAUUAAUAAUGUUGAUAAAAGUCAAUGACUACACAAUGUAGCUAGCUUAAAACCAAAUAUGUCAUUAAAGAAGAUAUCGAUAAUCACCCCCACACAAUGAUAUCUUGUAUAAUUCAUUAGUUGAAUCAAACACAAAUUUCGUUCAAUAUAUGUGUCUACGAGUAAAAGAGAGUUCUUGGUUUAUAUUCGACAUACACGCUAUAUAGGCUAUGCUAACAGCAAUUGAUAACAAGAAUCUCAACACUGAAGUCCAUGUAGAAUCAGGUGUCCACCAUAUUGGAGUUGCAUAGUUAGGAUAUUGAAAGGAGCAUGAGCAUAGGAUGGCGAAAGUUCAAAUAAGAAGUGUUGUAAGAUCAUUGCCAAAGCUAUUUUUGCCUCCAUCAUUGCAAAAUUUUGUCCAAUGCAUGCCUGAGGACCCCAACCAAAUGGGAAAAAUGAAACUUGGUUUUUUUUUGCCUUCGAAAUUCCUUCUGCAAGCCUCUCUGGGUUAAACUCCUUUACAUCAUCUCCCCAAAUUUCAUGAUCAUGGUGAACUAGGAUGGUGGGCAACGCAACCUGCACUCCAGCUGGAAAAUACAUGUCUCCCACUUGAGUGUCCUUAUAAACAGCUCUAGUAAGCAUUGCUACUGGUGGGUAUAACCUAAGAACCUCAUGAAAAAUCAUGGUAACCUGUGGUAGAGAAACUUUAUAAGUUGUAGCAUGAGAAUUCUUACUAAAAUACAUUCUAAUCAUUAUGCAGAACACUGAAGAAUAAAGCAAUUUCUUAAAAUAGUGAUGCAUAAGAGAAAAUGUUCUAAAUCAUGCAUGCCAAAAUAUCAAGUAUACAAAGGACAUUGCAUAUCCCAUGGAUAUAAUAACUUAAGAACCUCAUAAAAAAUCAUCAUGAUCUAUCAGAGAAAUUUGAAAUCAUGGCAUGAGAACCUGUUCCUGAGCUACUAAGUGAAAGCAAAUGUUUAGUACAAAAUAUAAAAACUUAAGAAAAAUGUGUUUUCAAUUUUACUCCAAUUUUGGGGAAAAAAAAUAGAGUACUAUAUGAUUUCAGUGAGAAUCACUAAACUGAAGAUUGGACUGAGUACUCACAAUUUUUAGGUGAUUUAAUCCAUUAGCUUCCAGUUUUUUAUUCCCAAAAACCUGUAAAACCUCUUCUCUUGCACGAGCUUGCCAAUUUGGAUUCUCGCUUAGCAGGACCAUUGUCCAUACAAGAAAAACUGAGGUUGUCUCUUGGCCAGCAAGAUAGAAUAUCUUACACUCUUCAAUGACCUCUUUGACACUCAUUCCAAUCUUCUUGUUAUUUUUAUGUUCUUGAAUUUAUCUAAAAUUGGAUUCCAUUAGUAUAACUAAUAAGUCACUAUUACCAGUUUUGUCAGCCUUCAUUGUCUUCUCCCUUUUGUUAAUGAUACCCCUCAGCAAUGCAUAUGCUUUUUUGCUUAUUUGCUUCAUCUUCCUGUUCGUCUUUGUGGGUAAAAACUUGUGCGCAUGUUAGUAAUUCUAGUAAAUAAAACAUCACAUGAAACACACAGACAUUAAUUCUUAUUUUCAUUCAUGCUUUUUACUUCUCCAUUAAUUUUUUGAAGCUUGUAUAAGGCUUCAAAGGUAGAAACUAUCAAGACAAUAACUAAUGGUUUCAUCUACACAUGUGUUGCAAUGGUAUAUCAUCAUCUUGACACAGUAUCCUGCCAACAUAAGAUUGAGGAUACUAAACAUCAAUUAGUGAAACAUACUACUUUCUAGGUGUUAUACAAAAGAAGUAAUUGACUAAAAGGGGAUGAAAUGAUCUCAUAUUUGUAAAUCUAAUAUCUCCUAUGCUUGACCGUGAAAAGUAAUCCAUUUUUAACAUAAAUUCCCUUCAACAUAUGAACCGAAAUUUGUGCUGGCAUCAUGUGUAGGUCAUGAAAUUUGGCUCUGAAAUUUGUUCAAUAAACUUAAUUUACCAAACAACACUACAAGGAAAAAGAUAUAUGGUGACAUUUAUAAUAAGUCACUAUAAACAUAGGGUGUCACUACAACAUAGCGUCACCUUAUCCACUGACACCAUAAAGGGUAUCAAUUGGUGACGUAUUUGGAAGCGACACCAAAGCAGAUAAAUGGUGACACAUUCAGAAGAGACACCAUAUAUUUUUAGUGAUGCUUAAUUUGAUAUAGAGUUGUAUGAGAUAUAUAAGGUGUCAUAUUAAAUGCAUCAUCUUUGAGUUAUGGUGUCACGUUAAAUGUAUCACCUUUAAUUUAUGGUGUCACAUCAUUGUAAAUGAUUAUGGAAAAUAUGGUUGUUUUUUGUUGAUUAGUUUGUAGAUUUUUGUAAUGCUUAUUAAUAAAUAAGACUAACCUGUGUAAAUUGUCCAUAAAUAUAAUAAUCAUAUUACAUUUAACUUAUAUUUUCAUAAUGCUUAUGAAUUAAUUUGUAACAUAUUACAUCAUCCAAUAAUAUUUGUAUAUCAAAUGUUCACAAAAUGAUAGUACAUCAAACACAUCAAACCCACCAAAAGGAAAAAAGAAAAGUGAAUACACAUUAAAACAUGAUUUAAANNNNNNNNNNNNNNNNNNNNNNNNNNNNNNNNNNNNNNNNNNNNNNNNNNNNNNNNNNNNNNNNNNNNNNNNNNNNNNNNNNNNNNNNNNNNNNNNNNNNGAAUAAGUAAUGUUAUACAAUAUCAAUGGAAAAUUCAAUCAUAUAACAACUAAGGGACUUACCAUGAAUGAUCACAAUACAUCAAUAUGAUUCAUGAUUAGUUAUAACACAAAAGUAAUCUAUUCUUCUCUAAUUUCAUCAAAUUCUACUUGAGAAUAUGUUUUAUUUGUCAUCAAACUGAAAUCAAAUGAGAAUAACAUUAAUAUCACAAUAAUUAAAAGUAUGAAAUUAUGUACAAUUCAUUAAAUGAGUAAAACCUUUGAUGCAAUUACUGUAAAAUCAACAAUUAUUUCUUUAAUGAAUCUCAUAACAAAGUAGUCAUAUUUGAACUUAGCAUUAUUUUUUUACUCUUAAAUUAUUUUAAAACAAAAUAACAAUUAUUAAUAUAUUGGUUCAUUUUUAAAUACUUUCACAAGAAUAUAUUUUAACUACGAGUUAUUUUAAUUUAUCAAAAGACUUUUAGGAAAUGAGCUAUUAUCCAUUUAUUAUUUUCUUAUUUUUCAAAAAAUAUUUUUAGUCAUUUCAUACACGUUUUCAACUACUAAAAUUAUUGUUUUUAUAGAAUAAACAAAGAAGCAUACACUUCUCCUCCACUCACUAAGUCAACUAUUACAAUCACCAUAAUAUUUUAUUCACCUACCAACAUCUCAUUCCAUUUAGAUAACUCUCUCAACAAAAUCAUUUCUACAAUACUUUUUACUCUCCUAUGAUAUUGAAUAUUUUAUUCCAUUUAGGUGACUCUCAACACAAAGAAAAGUAGGAAUGUCUUCUUAGGUUAACUAAACAAAGACUUUUUUUUUUUUUUUUACUUUACAAUAUGUAUAAAAAACAAUUAUUUAUUACAAGGAAUGUGGUAGAAAGGUCAUUUUAUUUUUAAAGAAUUUUUAAGAAUUUAUUAAACAUUUACAAAAAAUAGAAUCUAACAAUUUUAUUUCUAAAAAAAUUGAUCAAUUCAAAAAAGAAAGAAGAAUGUUAUUUUUUAAGAAAAGUUAAUAAACCACUUUAUUCUUGAAUUAUCUAAACAAAACUUACUAAAAAAUAUUUUAUCCCAAAUUUAUUUUCAAAACUUUCUUAUUGAAAACUAUCUCAUAUAUAAAUUAUUUUAUUAUAUAGAGAAAUUCUUAUUUUAUUCUUUUUUUAGAGAAAAAUUCACUUGUUUUUUAAAUAUCAAAGAAGUCUAUUUUUAUGUCUAUUAUAUAUAUAUAUAUAUAUAAAUUCUCUUAUUUUCAUACAAGAAAUUUCCAUUUAUGCCUAAAAUACUUUUAGAAAAAUCAUUGCCAACAAAAUUUUAUUUUUAAAAUUAUUUUCAACAUUCUUAUUUAAAAAAAUUAUCAUUGGAUUAUUUUCAAAAAAGACCGUCCUAAAAAAAUUAACCAUUUAUAACCCAAUUUAAACUCAAAAAUUAUCCCCAAUAUUAUUUUAUAUUCCUAAAUUAUUUUCAAACAAAAUAACAAUUAUUAAUAUUUUGAUUCAUUUUUAAAUACUUUCACAAAAAUAUAUUUAAACCACAUAUUAUUUUAAUUUAUCAAAAUAUUUUUAGGAAAUGUGCUAUUUUCCAUUUAUUACUAUCCUAUUUUUCAAAACAUAUUUUCAGGCAUUUCAUUCACAUUUUAAAUUUCAAAUACUAAAAUUAUUGUUUUUAUAAAACAACAAAGCAUGUAAAUUUCAACUACUAAAAUUAUUGUUUUUAUAGAAUAAACAAAGCAACAUACACUUAUCUUCCAUUUACUAAUUCAACUAUUACAAUCACCCCAAUAUUUUGUUCACCUACCAAUAAUUCAUUCCAUGUAGGUGACUCUAAAAAAAAAAAGUCAUAUUUAUAAUACCCUUUACCACUCUGAUACCCAAUAUUCUAUUCCAUUUAGGUGACUCAAUACAAAGAAAGUGGGAAUGUUUUCUUAGGUUAACCGAAGAAAACCCUAAAUAACUUAAGUGCUUUUGGAUUAAUUGAGCAUCAUCUUGUAGUAGAUGUCAAUCUCUAUUGUUAGACUUCACCAAAAAGCUCCUAGCACGGUGGAAAAAAGUAUCAAAUAUAGUCAAGUCUUCAAUAAAAUAUUUUCACAUGUGAAAAAUUACAACCAAUACACUAUAUAGUCAAGUCUUCAAUAAAAUAUUAUUUCAUACGAAAAAUUACUACAAACUAGUGUAUCUCUCAUUCUCAAUUAGACAUAAUUUUUAAAAAUAAUUCCUUUUUUUUUUUCAUUUGUUUUGGGGCUUAUUAGCAAUGAAACAAAAAAUAUGUUAGAAUGUUAAACCUAGUUUUUACUUCCCUGGAACUUGAUAAAAAACACCAUUUACAAAACCCACAUCAUAGAUAUACUUAAUCAAGAGAUAUAAAACAAUUAUACUAACAAAGUUUUUUGCAUUAAUAAAAAAAAAUGAAGAUGAUAGAUAAGAGAUUUGGACUUACCCGAGAUUUUACGAAGCAAAGAAUAUCAAUUAUGGGUGUGCCGACCAUGGGUGUGAGAAGAAGGAGAAGAAAACGAUGGUUAGGGUUAAGCAAUAAGAUCUUUUAUAUUAGUUAAUGUAUAUAUGGAAACAAUGGACUUUUCAUAAAUUGUUCCUACUUACUAUUUUUAAAAAGGGCCCAUUGAGUUAUAAAAUUUAAAACUUUUUAUUUCAUAUGGUGUCACUUCCAAAAAAUGACACUGUAAAUCUGAAAUUAGCAUCAUCUAACUAUCCUAAUUGAAGAUUUUUUAUAUGAUGUGUCACCUUUAUAAAUUUUAAGUUCAAUGGUGUCAUUAUUUUAAAUGCGACACCAUAAAUAGUGACAUCAUAAAUUAUUUUUGUAGUAGUGCAAGAAACGAAUAAAGAUCUAUAUGGAUAUGAAAUCAACAAUUAUCUUAUGAAAAAAUCUAGUUCUCCAUGAUGGAAGCCAGUAUAUUGAUACAAAAUAUAAUUUAUUAGAGAGUACAUUAUGAAAUAUGAAAUGCAAUUAAAAUUUACAAAAUGUCAUGAUCAAAUUGUGAAAACAUUAACCAAGUCUCUCAAGUAUAAAGAUUUUAGAAAGCUAAGGAUGCUAUUUUUACAAAUCAAGUUGAUGGGAGGAUGUUAGUUAAACUAGAUUUAGAAAGUUUCUAAAAAUUAGAUUUUGAGUUAGGUAUUAAAAGUUAAUUAAAAUAUUUUAUACAGAAUUCUUGAUUUAGUUUGUAUAUUUUGUUACUGCAAGAUUUUAUAUUUUACUAUCGUGAGUAUCUAUUCUUUUUAGGUGUUAGUAUCUAUAAAUAAGAUGUUAUGUAAUAGUUGAUCAAGUGUACAGGUGGACGACAAUAAAUUUUUUCUUAAUCAUCUCAAUUAUUUAUUUAUGUAAUUGCUUGUGUGUUUUUUCAACCACAUUGCUGCAACAUAGGUGAAUCUGUUAGUUGGUCUAUGAAAAUUCAUAUCAGUUGUUCAACCUUUUAAAUUCUAUAACGUAUGUAGAUUAUAGCCUCUUUCCCUAAGCCUGCAUUUUUCUUUCAUUUCAUGGUGUCAACACUUGAGGAAAGCAAAAUUUCCUAAAAUGGAAUAUGGUGUGCAAGGAUCCAGUGACUUAUUAGGCAUCUAAACAUGGUGGCAUUUAUUUUUUUGGCUUUUUGCUAAAAGCAAUUUGCUUUCAAAAUUUAGGUUGUUUGUUUUUUUAGUUUUUGAUGACUUAUUAUUGAAUUUUUAAAAUUUUUGGCUAAAUUGAGCACAAACAACUGACAUAAAAAUUCAUCUAAAAGUUUUCAAAAUUUUUGCUAAAACGUUAUAAAUUAACACUUGAAAAAAAAAUAGUACUUUUCAAAGUGGAAGUAUAUUAAUUUCUUGAUAAAAGAAAUUGCAAUAUUGUUAGCAAAGAUUAAGAACUACCACUGAAAUCUAAACCUUUGGUGUAAUUUAAAAAAGAGGGAAAAAAAACAAAAAGGAAAAGAAAAAUAAUUAGGAAGAGAAGAGCAGAAAACAAACAACUGCUUUAGGGCAGUAUAAAAAAGUUGGCCAUAAUUUGAAGAGAUCAGCAAACUUUAAUACUAUGAUGAAAAGUAAUAACUCAUAUCGCUAACGUAUUUCUUAAUGAAAUGACAACGGAAGGGCAGGACACGCGGGGCAAUAUCAUCAGAGAGGCUGAUUGGUCUUGAAUAUGCUUCUUUUAAUAUCAUGGACAUUUCUUUGAAGUCCCCAUGUAAAAGGCUAUAAGAAUUCUCAGCCAGGCCUUACUCUCUAAGGCAUCUUUCUAACCUCUAUGGCCUCAACCACACCCAAUUCAAUAGCAUCCAUAAACAGCUUAUGAACACAGUAAGGAACCCAAAAGAAAUUGCAACUGAGUUAUGCUUCAUUUCCAGGUUGAGGGACUUCUAUCAGGAGAGGUAUGUUAAAUCACUUCAGAGUGAGAAAAUGACUUUAUGCUGCCGAUGUGUAUAAAUUGGCCGCUAUUCUAUUCCCUCGUGUCGGCAAACAUAGAAGAGUUCGUCAAUACCUAAUGGAGAGAAGAACUUCUAGUAUUUUAAAAUCUAUAAAUUAUCUAUUUUAAUUGUCUCCAUCAAUAUGGCUUUUAAACUUCUCAAUGAAUUAUUAAUUUAUUCUAUUUGAUACAUUUCAAAGUUUGUGCAAUCAUCACUGCUUAUUAAAAACUAUAUAUGCCAUGAAUGUAGAAGGCAAAAUUUGAGCAUACAGAAUAUGGAAUUCUAUUUGAUGGACCAGCUUUCACUUGUGAGUCGAUGGAGCAUGUGGAUGCUCACUUUCAGAGAGUCAAGGGGCAGCUCGCAUCCCUCACAUCUUGGAAGAUGUCGCAGGGUGCUUCCAGCUCUACAACUCCAUCUGAUCUGGACUUUUUGAUACUUUAUGUUUUUUUUUUUUUUUUGGUGGAUAAGCUUAUUUUGUACACCUAACCCAUCUUGGCUCAGUUUAUCAUAUAUUUUGUUUGUCUAGAUGUACUUUUAUUUUCUUAUCUCUUGUAUCCAAAACCUUUUUUAUCAUAUAUGUCCAUGUGUUUGCUUUUCUUUUCUUCUUUUUGUAUGCUUACUGCUUCAUCAUGCUUUUUGUCAUUUUUUUUGCAACAAAAAAGGGGAAAUGGAUUGUUGAUUUGAUUGAGUGUUUUGAUAUUCAUAUUUUUUUGACAUCUGUUUCAUGACUUGCAUCCCCUUACUCGUUUACCUGAUUUGAUAAAAUUGAUCAAUUAUCUUUCUUCCCACACACUACUUUACCUGGGUAUGUUGUUUAGUGUGUGCAAGUUCUAGGUACUAGGGUGUUGGUCAUUUUUUGGAUGUGGCUUCUAGUCCUUUGCACGAUAGAUGAUGAAUUGGUUUAGACAAGAGGUAUUGAGAGAGAUUUGUAAACUCCAUUUCAGAGUAUUGAGGGGUUUAUGCAAUUUGUAUUUUAUCACAAAAUUGCCAAAGGGAGAGAUUGUUCGUACAUUAGGUGAUGUAGUUUAAAAUUGUCAAUUUUGUUCUAUUCAUUUUGGUUUAGGAUCUUUCUAGAUUGUGUUUCAUUCCCCAUUGAAGACUCAAGGUUAUUAAUUGAUCAACCAAGAUUACAUAGGUAAGUGUAAAAAGAUUUAGGAAAGGGAAGUUAGUGUUUGGUAUGACAUGGCAUGGAUUGAGUGGUUUAAAAUUGAGCAAAAUGAUUUUCUAAUUGGGUUUAAAAAAUGCUUAAAGUGCUCAAGCACUCUAAGAGCAUUUGAGCUCUAGAAAAAAAAUUCUCUAGAAUUUUGGAGAUCUGUCUUUCUAUUUUUAAAGGAUUUAUUUUGAGGAACUUUUUAGAAUUAGUCCACUAGGUUCCUAAGCUUAAAUAUACAUUGCAUAAAAAGGUUUUUGGUUUGAUGCUUUUGAGUUGAAAAACCUAGUUUUUCUUAUUGUUUCCAAAAUUAUAGAAGAAACAUUCAUAUUUACUUCUGCCUAGUUGAGAAGGAGAUUUGUAUCCCCCUCAAGUGCUGAAGUGAGAUCCUCUAUGAGCACAUGAGAUGUUGCAUUGUGGACGCAAAACACAGUGUAGGUGUUAGGUAGUAAGUCUUAGUAGUAGCUUUCAUCAGGUAAAAUUGAGUACAUACCUCAUUAUAUAUGAUGGACAGCUCCUCAAAUGCAUAUCCUACAAUCAAAAUCAAUUGAUUCUAAAUUAACACCCAACCCAUAUUUCAAACAAAAUCUUGCAAUUUCACAUUUUGAGCACCAAUCCAUGAAAAUGGUGUUUUUGGGGAGAAAAUUCAAUUGAUUUAGGAGCAUAUUAGAUCUUACCCUUCCCCUCUUGAGACUUGAGACUUAGGAGUAACCUAUUUUCAGAUAGAUUCAAUAUCACUAAUUGAUUAAUUUUUAUGUACAAUAUGUUUUUCUAAAUUUUUAAAAAUUCCAUCCUUUUAAUUCUAUUAGAAUAACGUAAAUCAUAUGGAAGUUAGAUUCUAAAUCUCAAGUCUUCACAUCAUCAAGUAUCAACUAUAAGAACUCAAACUCAACACUUUAGUGGCUCUAAAGAGUCUAUUUUAGUGCAUUUGAGGUAUUUAAAAAUGACCUAAUGCUUGGUUUUUUUGUUAUUAAUGCCUUAGCCAUUUGUUUUUGAUAUUUUUUUGUGAGUAUUUUUAGAACUUUAAAGUAUUUUGAAAAUGAAGUGGACUUUGUGGAGGAUUCUCAAAGAAUAAAAUGCCUAAGUAGAGAGCAAGAACAAAUUGUAUACCUUUUAAGUACACAGGAUUCUAUUGUGCAUCUCGCUAGUGUGCCACCAAACUAGAUUGCACAUUCCCUCUAACAAUUUAAAUUGAGCACCUUCCCUAUGAUUCAAAGGUUGCAUACCCCUCAACAAUUGAACCUAACAAGAGCACUCAAGUUGUGCAUGUCCAUAACAUCUUAAUUGCACUUUUCCCUACCGCUACAGUAGUUUAUCCCUAGGGUCACUCACCAUGCAAUGUCACACCCCAAAACCCACUCCAAGGGCAUGAAGAUCUUUUCACAGCUAGCUCAAGCCCAAGGGCUUAAAGUGGAAACAACACAAACAUUUGUAUUGUAACUGAAAAUUUACCAAUUACCAAAUUCUUGUUCAAAGUAGUAGGACAAAAUUCUAAAAUCUCCAAGUAUCAACUUGAAAAAAAAAACUAAUACAUCAACCAAAGUGUUAUUGUCCAAAUAACUUUCAACUCAAAAUAAUUCAAAUGAGAAUUAAGCUUUAACAUCUAAACAAUGUCCAAAAUAAAGAGAGUUUAAACAAAUGUUAUAACAAAGCCAAAUUUCCCUCUUAAUGGUCACUCCUUGCCAGAACUGAGGUUGCCUAAAAGAUUAUCAAUGAAGAGAGGUAAGCUCAAAGGCCAAUAAGGAACAUUAAUACAAUUUUAUGGAUCAACAUUUUCAAUUAUGCUUGCAAAUAGGAGAUAUAACAUAUACUUAUUUUCAUAAAAACUUUUGAGUUCAAAAUGCUAAUACAUUCAAACUUUUCAACAAAACUUUCUCAUAUCCAUUUCAAAACAAUUUCUCAUCAAACCAAAUCAAAUACAUUCAAAAUAUCUUUACUCCAGUUAUCGUGUGACAAAUGGUGCCCAAUUAGGUGGGACUUUGCAAUUGAGUAACUAGUUUCAAAUUUGUUCCAUUUAAGGUGAACAAAACCAAAUGUCAAGAAUUAUAACCCAUUGACUAAGGUCAUAUAAUAUCAACUAUUAUAACCUGUUGACUAGGGCCAAAAAUGUCAACUAUUAUAACCCGUUGACUAAGGCCAUAUAAUGUAGAGAGUCAAAUACUUUAUUUCAUUAAUUCAAACUUACAAAACAAAACAUCAUAUCUCAAAUUUUCAUUUUUCAUAAACAAAGAAAAUACUCAAAUAUACUUUCCAUACAAGACAUAUAUUUGAUCCGUGCUUAAAGAUAAAAAUAAUAUUUUUAAACAUUUCAAAAUAUAAUAUAAAAAGAAAACUAUUUUCUUUUACAAAAAUCUGCAUUAAUUUCCUUUACUUGAAUAAGCACUCAAAAUCUUGAAGUAUUUAGCUUUGAAGAAUUUCCUCCUCACCUAACAUAAUAUCAUACACAAUAUUGAUUAUUGAUUAUUUAUCUAAAUAUAUAAAUUUGACAAUCCUAAAAAUAUUUUAUUUAGUAUUAGGGAUCCUAAUUAAUUUCUCAUGUUAAUAUUAUUACCAUCCAAUAUUAUUUUCAACUUCCUAAACAAUAAUUUAUUUCUCUUCUCUAACUUAUCUAAAUUAAAUCUUUUAAGAAUAUUUAUUUGCAUUAAACAUUAUUACUAUUAUUUAAAUCUCCUACUAAAACUUAACAAAUACCCCAUGCAAUUCUUUAUUUUUUUCCCAACAACUCCACACCAACUCCAUUCAUUAUUAUUAUUUCUUUUAUUAUUAUUAUUAUUAUUAUUAUUACUAAUUUCAAUACCCAAUAACACCUUAACCUAUUUCUCUUCCAAGCCAUCAACGUCCUUUUCUUCCUCAUCGUUUACCAAAAUACUAUUUACUUCCUUUCCUAGGUCAACGUGCUGACCAAUCCUUAGUUUUUUUUUUUUCAACAUGCCAAAUCCUUCCUACCUACAUGCAUCUUUCAUCAUUUUUUUCUCCUCUCUAAGGUCAAAACUUUUAAUCUCCAUACUCACAAAUUUUAUGUAAUUUUCACAUCUGAAACUAUAUAUAUAUAUAUAUAUAUAUAUAUCUAGAUCUAUUCGUUUGAGUAAUCAAAAUUUGUCGAUCUCCAUUAAUAAAUCAAACUAUGUUCAUAUUUUUUUUAUCUUUUUGACCUAGAAAUUAAUUAAAUGAACUCUAAUCAAAAUUGAAAUAUUCCAAAGAAUAUCUAAAGUGUUCAAAACUAAUUAACAAAUAUAAAAUAUUAAUUUAAGGAUUAAAAAUCUUACUUGAAAAAUUGAUCUUCAAAUCAUAAACCUCCAAAUCUUCAACCGUAUGCUCUCUAAUAUUUCAAAUCUUUAUGUAAAAGGGUUUUCUGAAUAGAGAGGAUGGGAAAAAUCUAAUUUAUACCUAGGAGUUUUAAAUACAAAAAGACCUUUUUACCUUUAUUAAAUUACUUAAUUUAAUUAUUAAUUUCUAAAUUAUGAUUUUACCCCUAAAUUGGGUUUAGGGCAUUACAUUCACACUGUUCCCACUCUUGCAAAGGUUGCACACCUGAGAAAACUCCUUCCAAUGAUUUGUACACUCACCAAAGUAAUGCAAGCAUCUAAGCCUUAAGUCAUCAUCUAUACUAUCAAUUCUCCCAUACCGAUUGCAUUGAAAGCCAAGUGCAGCCACCAACUCCAAGCUGACAAGUCAAGUACAAGAAAGAUGGCUAGUUGACUACAUUGACACAUGAUAUGAUCCCCAACAUGAGCAAGAGGCAGUUCUAGGAGAAUAGUUUGAGCAAUAAGAAUGGAUUACCUAAAGGGAAACCCAUCUAUAAAUAGAGGAUUGUCUGGGCACGCGUGCGCAUACACACACACACACACACACACACAUAUAUAUAAAUAUGUAUGUAUGUAUGUAUGGGGAGAAGAAAAGAAAAGAAAAAAAGAAUGUUGAAGAGUUUGAAUCUUUAAUGGAGAUGAUAUUAACCUUUUUAGGAUUUAGUUAGGAAUUUAUUUUGGUAAUUAAAAUGACAAUUAAUUAUUUGGAUAGGAUUUGUUAGGUAGUUUCCUACUUCUUUCCAUAUAUUUUCCUUAUGUUUGUAGGUUUCCUACAUUAUAUAAAUAGAGGACAUUUUCUCUUCUUUUCUCUAUGAAUGAAUAUAUGACUAGGUAAAAUUAAGCUAUAGGUUUCUUAAUUGUAUCAAAGCCAAAUUCUUAUUACUAGGAAUAAUGGUUAAAAUUACAAUGAUAGGUGCUUCCAAUUAUGAUAACAACUUGAAGGAGGCAGAAAGAAAACCUAUCCCUCAUUAGAAUUUUGUGACCAAUGGUCAUGGUCACUCUUCUUAGCUAAUUACCUCUCACAAACUAACUUAAUGGAGAAAAUUAUCUUGAAUGGUCUCAAUUUGUCUAACCUUUCAUUCGUGGGCAUGGACAAAUUGAAUAUUUUAUUAGAGUAACAUCAAUACCACAAGGAACAAUUCUCAUCGAGACAUAGGAAGUAGAGAAUGCCAUGAUUAUGUCAUGGUUGAUCAACUCAAUGGAACUCAAGAUUAGGAAGACAAACAUGUUCAUGCCCAUAACUAGAGAGAUCUAGGAGGCUACCAAGGAAACCUAUUACAACUUGGUAAUUUGCUCAAGUCCACAAGAUAGCCAUACAAGUAAAAAAUACCAAGCAAGAUAAUAUGAAUGUAAUUCAAUACUAUAAUACACUCAAAACUCUUUGGUAAGAACUUAAUUUGUUCUAUGAUUAUGAAUAACAUUGUGCACAUGAUAGUGAAAUGUUCUAAAAGAUAUGAUUGAGAAGGAUCGAGUAUUUGCAUUCCUAAUGGGGUUUAAAUAAUAAAUUAGAUGAGGUUUAAAGUAGAAUUCUUAGUAGUGAAUAAUUCUAGCAAAAUCUAAUACCUCUUUACUUAACAUUACCCUAGUUGUAAAAAAACAGUAAGCUUCACAUUUCGACCAAUGAUCCAAAAUUCAAAAGUAUUCAUGGAAGGCCCUAGUGUGACCGUCAUCUCCUCUAAAUGCUUCCAGAAUUCAAAAUAUUCAUUGACAAGUGAUUAACCAUCAUCUUUUCCAAAUGCAUCUUUAGAUGUCAUAUACCCAAAGGUGUUCAAAUUCACAAGAUAUUGACCAAGUCUAGAUAUUAAGAAGGUAUAUGAUCCUCUACCAUUAGAAAGAAUAAGAUACAUUAUCCUCUACUAGUGAAAGCACAUAUGUCAUCAUAUCAACAAAUCAAGCAUGCGUGCAAAUCUAUCUUCUUGGUCUUCUAAUUGUGGUCAAGCAAGUAUUAAUGAAGUACUUAAUUUGAAGCAUCUCUUUAUCAUCUAUAGUGGUUGUAGUUGCUAAUCCAAUAAUUGUACUCCUUUAAAAGUGGUACAAAUUAUUCUUCCUUAUUCCUUGCAUCACGACAAGUUUACUUGGCAUAACUUUCAAAAUCCCAUCUUUUAUAGUAACAAUAUUGAACCCUAUGGGUUCUAAUACUCCAAUUGAGAUGAGACACUUAUUCAUACUAGGAACAUACCAAACAUCACUCAAAAUUUUAGUUGAUUCAUCGUGAGUCUUCAACUGGAUGGUAUUUAUUAUUGUUAUCUCAUAAGCAUUAUCAUUCCCCAUGUAAAUAACUCCAUCUUGUAGUUCUUCAAAGCAAGAAAACCACUCCUUGUAGGAAUGCGUGUCAAGGUGGACCCAAUAUCCAAAAUCCAUUCAACUAAGUUAUAAAACAAGGAUAAGCAAACCAAAGCAAAGUUUGACCCAUCUUUUCCAAACUUAGCCACACAAGCAUCGAAUACUAUUUCUUCUUUAUUCUUAUUCUGUAGCUUAGGACAAUCAUUAUUUUGACACUACCAAAACUUAAGUAUGGUUGACCCAUUUACAUUUAAUUUUCUAACAUAUUUAAGCUGACGGAAAUUUAUAAUACACCUAUUCCAUCGCAAAUUGAAUUGUCCGUCACUUAUAUGUAACUAUUUACCAACAGUAAUUGCAACAACAAAUACUUGUCGGCAAAAAUAUUAUUGCAAUGGAUUUAAACCAUUGCAAAUGUUCAACUAAUAUACUUUGUCACAAGAGCAAUUUACCUAUAAAAUAGAAAAAUAAAAAACAAACUUUCAAAAAUAAUUUUUUCUAUGAAAAUUACUACUCACUAAAACAGUUUUAUUAUAGUGGAUAAUAAUACCACACAUAAUUUGUUCCAAAAAUAAUUGUAGUUAUAUGAAUAUAAAAUCUUUUCACCAUGGUUUUAUGAUAAAUACGAUCUAGCUAGUGACAAAACAAUUUUAUGAUUAUUUUUUAGGUUCAUACAAUAUUUACAUUUUUUUUAAUCAUAAUAGUUUUAACUACUUUUUAUUGUCCAUUUUAGAAAGAAAUAAAUUAAAAAUUAUUGACAUAUAUAUAUAUAUAUAUAUAUAUAUAUAUAUAUAUAUAUGUAUGUAUGAUAUAAUUUAUGAUAUCGAAUAAUAAUAUUUAAAAUUUAAAAAUAUAUUUUAUAGAGAUUUAUCUAAUUUGAAUGUAUUCAAUAACAUAAAAAAAUGAUAGUACAUGUAUAAGUAUUUUUAUUUUAAAAUGUUGAUAAUUUUAUUUAUAAAUUUAUAUUUAAUUAUUAUACAAAAUAAACAAGAAUCAAAAUUAAUUAAUUUAUAAUAAUUUUAUUUUAACUAAUUUAUAAUUUAUAUAUAUAUAUAUAUAUAUAUAUAUAUUAAUUCAUGCAUGUAUAAUUUAUAUAUAAUAUGUAUUUAUAUAUAGAUAAUAUUUAUAAUAUAAAUGCAUAAGUAUAUAAUAUUUACAUUUAUGAAUCUCAUAUACAUUCUUUAUAUUACACAUAAAUAAGAUGACUUGGUGGCAUAGUUGCUUCCUUUCAAACUUGAGGUCAAGGGUUCAAUCUCAAGAAACAACAUCCAAGUCAAUAUCCAAAAUUAGCAAGGAGAGGAGUGUACAAGAUGCUCCAUGUGAAUGUAAUGAAAUCGAAAUUUCAUGACAACCUAAAAUCUUUUAUUAUUUAUAUUUCUCAACCAACUUAAUUUGUUGGUAAUAGUGAUGGUCUAAAUCCAUUGGAUAGUUUGUCACUAAAUAUUUUUUAUUGGCAACGGAAAAUUCCCAUCAAUGGACUUUUGCCAACACACCUUUCCUCGACUACCAUGCGAUGGGAUUAUUGAUUGGUAAAUAUUUAUUUCGACUGUGUAUAUUAGUUGAGAAAAGUCAAAUUUCUUGUAGUGCGGUGACCCUUGUCAUGAAAAAAGACGCAUUCAUCUUUUGCAAGUAUACAUUUAAAUUAAGAAUUGUCUUCUUUUCUAAGUUUUCAACUUUGAGAUUAGUCAUUAACUGUUAAAGCUUCCAAUGAUAUAUCUCUAUGAUCGCUUUGGUCCUUCUUCCUUUAUUCAUAUAUUUGUCCUCCAAUGUCUUCCAUAAAUGUUUUUGUGGAUAUCUCUUUCAUAAUGGAAUAAUUUUAAGCUUUAACAAGAUAUAAGUGGAUGGAACUAUAAAAUUGACAAUUGAUCCCUUACCCAUUCUUUAUCAUUCAUGUUUUCAAGUUUUUCUUCCAAAACAAUAUCCAAAUCCUAUUGACAUAUCUAAUUAAUGCCUCUUACUGCCACAUUCCAAAAGUACUAGUCCUAUCAAAUUUAUCUAUUAUAAAUUUUGCAUUAGUAACCAUAGUUUUAACUAACGAAGUUUUUACCUUUUCUUUUAACUAGUGCAAUAAAAAAUAAUCUUGAACUAAUCUUGAAACCAACCUUGGAUAGAACUAAUGCUCUUAUACCAUUUUGUUGUGCUUUAACCUAAUCCCACAUGCAAGACUUCCAAAAGUACCAAAUAAAAUACAAACUAAACUAGUCCAUAAUAUAAAGAGAAAUAUCAAGAGAAAUAAAAAUAAAGGAGGGUACACAAUAUUUAUGAGGUUUAGUAACGAUGUCUUACCUAUUUCACCGAACAAUGAUGAUCAAUCUACUAAUCUUCAAAUCAAAAUUACAAAAUCAAGUUGUGAAAGAUUGUCUCACAAAGUGGCUGCAAUUACAAAGAUUGACUGAAGCUACUCUAACAACUUUGCUAAAGUCAUUCUUACACUACUAUGAUGAAAAGACUUAAGACUCAUUUAUAGAACCUAAAUAAGUCCUCGAGCCUUGACAAAACUAAUUCAUAGUUCCUAUGGGACAAGGACUCCUAACAUAUAACAAAUUAUGAAAUCAUAAUCCUUAUAGGACAAGGAUCCCUAAAAUAUAUUAAACUCUUAAUUAAGCUAAAAGCCAGUACCUAAUAUAGAACCUAUACCAUAUUUGCUAUAACUCUACUAAGUAGAUGGUUGUUAAGAAGUAUUAUCACUUUCAAAAGUUAAAUAAUCAUUUAUUUUUCCUUCCCUUUCCACUUUUCUUAUCAUCCAGACAACAACAGUAAAAAAUGUAGUGUAACUUUUGUUACUUUGCUACUUGUUCUCUCAACUUACUUGCUUGCUUGUGAAUGACCUCCAUAAUCAAAGUAAAUGGAGAAAAAAUGUGGAGUUCCAAGAUAUAGGUAGAAAAGAGUGGAAAAAACCUUAGUUCUAUAAAAUAGUUUGCAAUUUUGUCUCUAGAUCUCUCAUUUUCGUGGUAAUGGCCAUUGAAGAUGUCAUCACUGAGAAGAUCACAAAGUGAAGAAGGCAUGACUGAGGGUUGGUAGUAUAGAGAGUUAAGGUAGAAAAUAGCAAAGAUAGGAUUUUGACGUUUUUAGAAUUUGUAAAUAAAAAAUAAAUACAAUCCAAAAAUCACUUUUAGAACAUGAUUUUACCUAACCAUGCCAAACAUAUUUUUUGUUAUGUGGAUUGUAUUUGAUGUUCUCAAAAACAUUGAAUACAUUUUGGAUUGACUAUUAAACACGACCUUAGUAAUUAAAUUAGCAUAUUGAUAAAUUAUCAAGAGGCUCUUAUCAAUUUGGUCAACUCUUAGAAAAGUGUUGUUGAAAACACUAAAUACAAUCUAUAUAUAUAUAUAAAAAAAUGAAACAUGAAUUUACUUGACCAUACCAAACACAUUAUUUUUUAUUUGGAUUGUGUUCAGUAUUUUCAAAAACACUAAAUACAUGCAGUUUGAUUGACUACUGAACAUGAACUUAGUAAUUAAAUUAGAAAUUUCAAAUGAAUUAAUGUCUUCUAUUUUGCAAGCAAGUCAAGAUUUUAUGUUUUCUACUAAAAUUUUAAAUGCAUCACUAAAAGUAACAUCACCACUUUCUAGUUAUAAAGUUUUGAGAAGAUAUUUUUUAUCAACACAUAUAGUUGUUUGCUUUCAUGUCAAGAUACCAAAUACUUUUUUCGUAAAAUUUUUCCUUUUUAUGCAACUAAUAAAGUGGGGUUUUUUUCUUGAUUCAUUUUUUAACAUAGUUUUCCAUUCUACACUGUUAAUAUACCAACACUUUUCAUUUUUUCUUGAAUUUUGGAUGUUCCUUCAUUGUAUGAUGGACAAUUUCCUUAGCCACAACCAUGAUGACCAUGACCAUGACAAUGAUUAUUUUGGCUUCCUUCAUACCAAAUUUUUUUCCCCUCUUGUUGAUAUAUUAAACUAUGUUGACAAUUUUCUUUUAUUUAUAUAGUGAGUCUAAUACAUCAUACUUCCAAGGGUCAUAUUGAUGUCACUCAACUUCAAGCUACUUUUGAGUUAACUAUAUUACAAGGUAUAUGUGCAACAUUAGGUUGAAUUAAGGCACAAGGAAUGGCUACCACAUGUAUGCUAGGUGAAAUAUUAGAGUUUUUUUUUUUUUUUUUGUCAAGGAUAAGGAUUUGAGUAACUAAAGCCUCAAUAAAGUCUUUAAGAUAUCCAUUAAGGAACACAAGGAGUGUUGCAUGGGGGCGUGGAAGAAGAAUAUAAGUUAUGUGUAUCUUGUCUUUAUAUUUAGUAGAUUGUUUGUGGUUGAUAAACUAUUCAUGUAAUGACCUGCUCCCAACCGUGUAGAUAUUGUCCACUUUGGACCUAAAGGGGCCCUCACGGCUUUAAAAUGCCUUUAUAGAGUUAAGAUAAGUCCAUACUUAUAUAGCGCUAAGAAAUUUCCCCCCUAUUUGAUGUGGGAUGUUAGAAACACCCCCUUCCCUAUGUAGACACAACGUCCUCGUUGUGUCCUAUGGGAUUGUAGGGCCAAACAAAUGAACACCCCUACAAGGCCAAACAAACCCUCAAACCGAGGUUGAAGAUCGGCUUUGAUACCAUUUGUAACAACCCAUUCCCAGCCAUGUAGAUAUUGUUCGCUUUAGGCCUAAAGGGGCCCUUACGACUUUAAAACACAUCUACGAAGUUAAGAAAAGUCCAUACUUAUAUAGCGCCAAGAACUUCCCCCCUAUCCAAUGUGGGAUGUCACAAACACCCCCAUCCCCCACCCCAUUAUAUAAAUAUAUUAUUAUUAUUAUUAUUAUUAUCAUUACUUUCAAAAAACCCUACAACACCAUUACUCCAAGCCACCAACUACACUCAUUAUUAUUAUUAUAAUAAUAACACUUUUUUUUUCUUUUGUUUCUUCCUUCAUAGACGUCCACAUGCAUUUUUUUUUUCUUUUUAGUUUGUUUGUGACAUCCCACAUCAGAUAGAGGGAAAGUUCUUGGCGUUAUAUAAGUAUGGACUCCUCGUAACCCUGUAGACGUGUUUUAAAGUCGUGACGGCCCCUUUGGAUUCAAAAUGGACAAUAUCUACAUGAUUGGGAGCGGGUUGUUACAAAUGGUAUCAAAGUCGAUCCCCAACCUCGGUGAGGGGUUUGUUUGGCCCUGUAAGGGUGUUUGUAUGUUUAAACCCACAAUCCCGUGGGACACAACGAGGACGUUGUGUCUGCAUGGGUGUUGUUUGUGACAUCCCACAUCAAAUAGGGGAGAAAGUUCUUGGCGCUAUAUAAGUAUGGACUCCUCAUAACCCUGUAGACGCAUUUUCAAAUUGUGAGGGCCUAUUUGGGUCCAAAGAGGACAAUAUCUACACGGUUGGGAGCGGGUCGUUACAUACACAUAAAUUUCAUGAAAGUCUUGCAACAUAUAAGGGGUAGGCCUUGAAGUUACAGUGAUAAUUUAUUCCACUAAAAAAUUUGAUCUCUACAUUGAUAUCAAAUUUUUUUUUUUUUUUGGGAGUAAUAGGGAUAAAUACACAAAUAAUAGUACUAUUAAAAGAGAUAAGUAGAUGAGGAAAUUAAAAGAAAUUUAUUGUGUUUUAAUACAUUAAUUGAAGUAUUAUAUACACAACUCCAAUUACAAUAUGUUUUAAUACACUUUUAAAAACCAAAUCAAAUGUAAUUUUUGAAAACUUCUUGAAACUCAAAUUUAGAUUUCAACGUGUGAUUGAAUGAUAGGGAUGAAAAAAAAUAGGUAAAUAAAACAUAUGUAAUAUUAUUGUAUAUUAUUAAUCGCUUCCAUACCAUUAGCAUAUCAAUGGCAUCUUGCUAAGAAGAAGAACCACCACAACAAUCCAUUAUAAUAGUUUCGGAAUGAAUGACAUUUAUUUGUUUGUAUUCUAUUGUUUUUCUAUUUACGUCAUAUUCACAUGAAUUGACUUUUUGUUUAGAGUAGUGUUUUAGUAGAGUAUUCGUAGUACACCUAGAUAUCUUUCUAUGCUAUCAUAAAGUAGCUGAUUGCCCAUGAUUAUGCAAUGCCAUCAUAAAGGAACUGAAUGGCCAACACACGUACAUGUGAGGUACCAUAUUUUUUAAGAAAGACAAGUCAGUUUGCAAUUGAUGUUAAUAUCUUUCCAAGGCAGAAACAUCAUUUUGUAGGUAUAAUUGAAUUAGUUAAACUCAAACCCCAAUUGACAUUCUUUCAAGUAAAAUCAUUUUUAACCUAUAAUGCUCAACACUUUUAUGAGAAUCAUAAAAGUAUCAGAAUCAUAGAGAAUUAUUGAAAGUGAUUUUGUAGUGUUGUUGAUAAUAUGUCACAUGACUAUAAAAAUGCUUUUAAUAUUAGCAAAUUAUAAAAAAGGACAUCAAAUUUAAUUACAAGGAAAUAUUAUAAUAAACUAAUACUUUUUCGUGAUAAAAGAAUAUAUAAACAUUUAUAGUAAAAGAAUAUAUAAACAUCUAUAUUACUAACAAAAACUAAAAAAUAAUAGUUCUUGUGAUUACAAGAAAAUUUUAGAAAAUAUUUACAACAUGAUUUGGAUUAAUAAACAAACAUCAAUAAUAAUAUAAUAAUUUUUAAAACAAAAAAAAUCAUUUGAUUAUUUAUUCACUUAAAAAUAAUAAUUUUUAUUACUACAAAAUUUUGAAAAAUACUUACUAAAAAUCUAGAUUAAUAAUGAAAAAUUGAAUAAAAACAUAUUAGUUUAGUUUCUAAAAAAAAAAAAAUAGUAAUUGAAAGCAAAUGAGAAAACAAAUUCUCUCAUAGUAAAAAAAUGAGAAAAUUAUAUAUAUUUUUUUCAUAUUAGUGUUAUAAUAAAACAUCAACAAGAUAUAAAACGACUAGCAAUUCGAUCACGUUUUUCUUACAUCUCUCUUGCAUGAUAGAACCAUCUUUCUCAACUCAUGAAUCCACUCUACUCUUUUUUUUUUUUUUUAUUGAAACAGAUGUAACCCUUGAUCAUCAUCAUAAGGUUUAAAUUUCAUAUAUAUCCUAACAUUAAUCAUUAUUAAGUUGUAAAAACCAUCAAAGUAAUAACAGUGUUGACUUAUUUUUCAAGAGGAAAACUAUGCAUUUCUCAUAUUGUUCCACAUCUAUUCUUUAAAAAGGCAAAUGUUCAAUUGUUCUUCUCAAAGAUGUCUAUGGUUAAAUAUUUCCUUCUUACCUCUUGGUAAACUACUCUAUCGAAAUCUAAAAGAUGGUAACACUCGCCCUUUAAGGGCCUAAUUAUAUAUCCACUCAUUUAAGGAUAACCAACAUUGAGUAAAUAAUAUUUACCUACAAAAAAAAAAUUAAAAUUAUAUAAGAUUAUGAAAAUCUAAUCACAAAAGUAACUUUCAUAUUUUUAGUCACAAAUCUCUAGAAGGAUGAGGAAAACCCAAUUCUAGCAUUUUUUUUUAAUGCCUAUGAAAAGACGCAUACAUCAUGAGCAAAACCUUCCCAUCUAGCCAAUGCAAAUGUGAAAUACAUAUUGAAAUAAUAUAUGACCAUAAUAUUUUAGGUAGUUAUGCUUUUUGUACCAAUAUAUGAUAUUUGCCUAUCUAUAAAAACCAUAAUGGGCAUAUGAGUUCCAUCAAUUAACCCUGUACAAUUCUUAAAAUAUUGCCAAUAACGUCUAACAUUUCUUAUUUUAUCAAGGAUCUCCCUAAACUAUGAAUCACUUGGUUUUAUAUAUCCAUAGCUAUAAGAUAAACAACAUAUAAUAUAAUCUCAAACCAUCUAGAAAUAAAUUCAUUGGAGUGAUAAAAUCUUUCUUAGGUUGUCAUGUUGCCAAGUUUAUGGCCAAUUGUAGUGAGAAACAUUGCUAAAGCCUCUAUUAAGGGAAUAUCUAAACCUUCUCUUAGACCAUGCCUUUUAAUAAGUGUUUCCAAUAAUUAAUGCAUACAUGUUUUUCCAUUCUAAAUUGCUCAACUAUAAUUUUGAAAAAGUUCUACAAGGUUUUUAUUUUUUGUAGUUAGUAACUGUUAUAGGUAUAACACAUCCAACCAACACCAAUUGAUAAAAAUCAUUUCAUCACUGCGUUCAUCUUUAAUAUCAUGAUUGCAACUAUUAUUAUAAUUAGAAAACAUAAAUACAAAAAGUAAAAAUAAGAAAUACAUUAAAAAAACUAAUAAUGUAUAUUAUGUUAAUAUAGCUUAAACUAAUGCAUGUUUACUAAAAUAAAAGGAUUUUUUAUUUAAAAAUUUAUUUGAACAUGCAAAAUCAAGAGUAGUAGUAGUAUGCAAAAUAAUAGCACUGAAAAGUAGUAAGAGUAGAAAUACAUGUAAUCGUAUAAUUCUAUUUUUCCAUAAUAAUAAUAAUAAUAAUCUAGCUCAUGUGGGUCACCCUAGGAUAGGACUCCUCCCAUAACACCCCUAUUUUCAAUCCAUUUAUAUUCUUAAUAGUUUGACUAAAUAAAAUUUUAAAUUCAAAAGUGUUGUAUUGAGAAAUCAAAUACAUUAUAAAGCUCAUCUAAUUAGGAACUUGACUGAGACAAAAUUUUAGAUUCAAAGGUGUUGUGUUGUGAAAUCAAAUACAUUAUAAAGCUCAUCUAAUAGUCACAACUUUUAGAGAAAGAAACAAUUAAAUAUACCAUGUGAUAGACAUAUAUGUCUUCCUCACUCAAAAAGUUUACUCAAUACCAACAUACAAAUCUUAUUUAAAACAAUAUUAGGUAGCAAAAUAUGUUUCAACAUUAGAAUAAGAAAUAACUCAAAUAGUGAAACAUAUUUAUGCUUAUUUCAUGCAAUUUGAUCAAUUGAGUUUUCUAAUGCUAGAAACAGCUCCUUAUUUCCCUUGACAACUUGAAUAAUACAAUUUAAGGUCAUUCUUCACUUCAAGCAUGCCACAUAUAACUUUUAUUACUUUAACAAUAGCCAGGCUUAUCUACUCUAGAUGUAACUUUAAAAAUGGCCUCUAACUGCAUAGUCAAAAAACAAGAUUUGGUUCCAUCUCUUAUCUUCUUUCUUAUUCUCUCAUUUUGCUAUGAAAUUUAUUUCCUUGGGGUUCUCCUACAAAAGUAUUCAAUUUAUUAUAUUUCACGACCAAAAUAUAAAUUAACCAAAUAAACUUAGUAAAUAAAUAAAAAUGUAUCAUCAAUUUAUUAUCCCACCAUUCAUUUUUAGCAUUAGUGGUUUCUCAUAGGAUCCCACCCAAGGCCAAUCUUUUUCUGAAUCAAGGCAUUCCAAAGUUGUCAAUCUUUUUUAAGAGAACUUAAUAUAUUCUUAGGUUGCUUGUAUUGGUAGGUUCUUCUAGUUAGAUUGUUGAAUACCUUUAUCAUUUUUUUCCAUCCAAUUUACUAAAGUGACUAUUUGGUCUAUUUUUAGCCAAAAUCUUAGCAACACAAACUGUGAGAUAUGCAUUAACAACAAUAUCAUUCAAUAUACUUUGCUUUAUUUAUCAUUUUCUUUACCACUUGUUUGUUGUAGUGGUUGAACUAUACUACUAGACAUCUAAUAACAAAGUAAAGAACAAAGAAGUAUUAAAAGAAAAUGUUGUCAAUGUACUUUUAUAUUUUAUAGUUUAGACAUCUAAUGAGACCCAUAAAAAAGUGAACCUUAAAGAAAUAGGUCAACUAGAGGAAAAUGAAUCUCAGAAUACUGAAUUGGAAAGACUCACAUUCAUGGAAUAAAUUAAUAUACUAUAUCAUAAUUUUAUUAAUUCUUUUCAUUAGGUUGCUAAAAGUUGAAAAAGAAUUCCUCAUGAAACAAAUUAAAUAAUUUCCUCAUGAAAGAAUCCAAUCAUGGCCUCAUUAUGAAGUAUUGAAUUAACUCAAAGAACUUAAAUAUUAUCUAAUAAAUUUUUUCAUGGGUUUGUUUUUAUAACUUUAAUGUUACCAAUAUAAAAGGAAAUGAAACAUGUUUUAAAUAAUGUAAGAAACUAUGGUAGAAACGUGGAAAGAUUUAAGGAUAAGAGGCUUUAUAUGAACUUUAAUAUUGUUAGUAACAGAGAGGCAAAUGAGAUAUCUCAAUAUUAAAUUAUGCAUAAUUAGUAUAAUUUUUUAAAACUAAAUGGAAGAGAAUUUAGGAGGAAAAUAAGUAAUUAGAGUAUGAGAUAACAUGAAUGGUUAAAAUUGCCAAUCAUUAAAUUUAAGAUAAUUGUUAAUUUUCCAACUCCAUUAAUUAAAGCAAAGAGGGGAAAUGAGUUGGAUUUCUUAAUAGUAUUAAGUGUUGGAUUGACACAAAAUUAGGGUGCUAGUGGACACUUGAAAUGAGGACAAAGUAACAAUUGCAGAUAGCAUUUUACUCAUCUAACAUAGUUAAAAUUUGCAAAACCCACUUCUUAUUUAGUACUUUUAUUGAAUAUAUGGGUAUAGUUUAACUUCGAAUCUAAUAUGAGUGUACUUUGAAUUUCCUAAAGCUUACAUAUAUCUUCACAUAUUAAAUCAAAGAGAAAAUAUUAACGUUUUUUACAAUUACAAUUUAUCAGGACUCAAGGUUUAAUUCCUAAACUUUUAAAGUGGGAAAAAGAAGUGUAAGGGAGAAAAAAGGAAAAGGAAAAGAAAGGAAAAACAAAAAGAAUAAAAAACUAUUAAAAGGCAUUAGAAGCCUAAGAUGGGCAUAUCCAUGAUUUGAGGUGCAAAUAGGGGUGACAAUUCAUGUUGGUGGAUAGUGUUUGUGUUGUGUCAAAGCCUAGGUAUUCUACUACAUAGCUCAACCCAACCCUGAUACUACUUAUAAUCAUAUAAAAAAUAUAAGCCUAAAUACUAUCUAAUUAUUAAACAAGUAACACAUUGUACAACCCGCUUAAUCUAUUUAAUAUUCAGGUCCUGCUAUUUAAUAAUCAAAUUAAGUUAGGUCUUCUAUAUGUCUAUAUGAUUAAUGCCUCAAUAAAAUAUGUUUUUGGCUCAAUUGACCUAUCUAUUUAGAAACAAAUUUAAAAUGAAUCAAAUAUGGGUCAAACAUCUUAAAAAUAUAAGUAAGUUAAUAGCAAGAUUAUUAAAUAGGUUAAUUUGGGUCAAAUUCGUAUUAUGCAGGUUGACCAAAAAAGUACUUAUUUAGUAAAUGAGUUAUGUAAGUCGACACAAAUUUUACCUAAACUCAUUUAUACUUGACCCAAACCCAUGAAAAGCAUGUUAGGCUUGUAUCAUGCUAGGAAUUGUAUCAAACUUUGUCAUUCCUAGGUGCAAACAACUCCAAGACCCUACUUUUAAGGAGAAUAUAUAUACUUGAGAUUGCUACAUGAUUACUACUCAAAAUGUGCACUUUUAUAAGCUUAAACUUAAUUGUACUAAGCACUUUUGAGUAGUAGUUAGACCUUUUUAUCCCAAUUGUCAUGUUAAGGACCUAGAAAAUGUUACUAACCAAUUUCUAGUAAGUUUUAGUGUUUUUGGUAGUUUUUUUAUCACUGAAGCAGGCCAAGAUUGAGGGAGAUUUUUGUGCAAGCUAUGGCAAGGCAAGUUAAAUAUCAAUCACAUGAAGAAUCCGAGCUUCGGAGCACUUCAAAACCCUUGCCAAACUUGGAAAGGGAUUGGAAAAGUUAUCAGUAGUAAGAUGGAGGAAAACAGAGCAUUUUGCAAGGCAAAAUCAUCAAUUUUGUAAGGCAGGGUGUGCCAAACUUUUGCAAGGUGUGCCAAAAUUUCGCAGGGUGUGCAAAAAUCAUUUUGUGCGCACCGACCUUCUGGAUUUUUCUCCAUAAUUGUAAUUGUUCCUUUUUACUCCUUUUGUAAUAGAUAAAAGACAUUAGGGUUUGUUUAGGAACUAUAAAUAGGGGUUCGAAAGCCUCUCAAAUGAUGUGAGAUAUUAUGUUUUAGAUAUUUUGUAAAGGAGUUUUGAAGGAAAUAUAUGGAAGUUUUUCUCGGCCUUUCCUUCUCAUUUUCUUUUCAUAUUCUCUCUAGCCAAACACCCUCUGAGGAUGAUUUCUCAGAGGAUGAGUGGCUAAGUUUCAAGUUUCUUGGAGUGAUGGAAGCUAGGUAAAGGACCUAGAUGCAAAGGUGGGAGUUUUCCUUACUUUAAAUGAAGGUAGUUGUGUAUCAUUAAUGGUUUAUAUUUCAAGUUUCAGCUUUAAUCCCUUAGAAUCACCUUGAAUGGCCAAUACUUGGUAAGCUUUUAAGAUUCUGUGGAUGCUUAUUGCUAGAUCCAUGGAUGUCCAUUAUUAUCAAGUACGAGCCAUUGGAAGAUGGUUCAAGGUGAGAGUCUUUAGUGUUUGAAGCCAUUAAUGGGAAGCAACUACCAUUUUUCAAUAACCCUUUGGAUCAAAACUUAUUUGCUAAAUACAAAUCCGGUUCGGGAGAUAACCAUCCUUUAUGUUAUUGUCCCCAAUCCGAGGAGAAGAUUCGGAAUUUCCCACUUUGCAACAGGAACCUGAUCCUAGUAACCUAUAGCUCCAAGAGACUUUCUCUUUGUAGUAAUUUCAAUUGUUUAUGUUUGCUUAACUUAAAACCAACCCUUCCAAUCAAUCUUAUUUUCAUUUAAAAACUAAAUUCCAAAAAGGAAAUCGUCAUUUCUUCUUUCAUUAAUGUUAAGUGUACAAAGAAAACCCAUCAUUGUGGACGAUCGUAGAGCCACUAUACUAUAGUAGCUUUGUCUUUGCUACCCUAGUAUAAGGUGUUGUAGUUUUUAUAAAUGUUUUGAUAAACACCCGGCUGGGCAUGAAUCACUACAUUAUUUAGACUAAUCCACACCUACUUAUUAAGGGAAAAAAAUAAAAGAGGACAAAGGUAGGGCACAAGAUGAUGAGACAAGGCACAAAAUGAUAAGACGUAGGAUGAUAAGAAUCCACUUCAAUUAAUAUUUCCCUAAAUCAAGAGUAAUCAAAUAUUAAAAUAUUUUAUUCUCCUAAUUUAGGAUAUAAUAUUUAUUCUAAAUAAAUCAAGAGCAAUCAAAUAUUAAUAAUAUUUUAUUCUCUUAAUUUAAGAAAUAAUAUUUAUUUUCCUUAAUUAUAGGAUAUUUAUUAUUUAUUUCUUCUAUAAUUCACAAUGCAUUCUUGUAUAAAUUUAUGAAAAGAAAUAAUAAAAAUUCAUCGCUUCUAUUAUCAAAUUAUCAAAUUCUUCUUGGUAUUAGAGAUAGAGGAGGAGACUCAAACUUGGGUUUUCUCCGAAGGUGGUUGAAUACCCUAAAAGACUUGACCUAUCCACACAAACAAUGUCUUCCUCUUCAUUCAUUCAAAAAUAAAAUAAAAUAAAAUAAAAUCCUUAGUGCUCUAGCUUUCCAUCAACAUUUUUUCUAAUUUGAUUUCAUUCAAGCUAAACACAACAAAUUUUCUACUAUGGGGAAAUCAAAUCAUCCUCUCAGCUUGUGGUUUCCGUGUUCAAACCUUUCAUCAAUGUUUUACCCUUUCAUUGGUGUUAUUUCUAGUUUGAUUUCAAUCAAGUUAAACACCAUAAAUUUUCUACUAUGGCAAAAUCAAGUCAUCCUCUUAGUUCAUGGUGUGUUCUCUGACAUUUCUUAGGUGGAGAAAAACCUGCUAAAGAAUUAAAGAUGAUGAGGAAAGCAAAAUUUUUAUCCUACAAUACUAGUAAUCAAUUAAUAAUAACAUAUUUGUCACUUCAUGAGUUAUCGAAACCAUGACAAAAGACAUUUUCAUUAUGAUCCUUGGGGCUAACAAGAUAUAUAAGGUAUAAACUUUUCUUAAGGAGUAAUCGCUUCCUAUUAUAGUUGAAAAAAAAAUGAUAUCUUCAAGAAUAGUUAAGAGAUAUAAACAAUAUAUAUUAUAAUCUCAUGAAAAUCAAAAGCUAAUUUCAGACCAAUACAAAGUUUGUUGAUUCACUCAUGGUUUAGGAUAAUGGAAUGAUUUUUUUUUUUAACCUACUAUGCUUUUCUAACCAAUUCAUGGCAACUCUUUAGGGACAUAAGCAAUCACUCACUACCAAAGGGAUGGAAAGAAAAUUUUUAUAGAGUAUUCACAAAUUUUUAUUUGGACAACAUAGUUAUGGUCAUAAUGGUUGAAAAGGCAUAAAUUUUAAUUUGAGGGGAAGAAGCUUUACACUUUCUAUGUAUUACAAUUCUUUAAAAAAAAUAAACUUUUAUGAUUUUAUGAAGUCCUUGUCAAAGGAUAUCUUCAUCAUGUUUUGAGAUAAGCUGGGGUGUGCAUAUUCUUUUCGACUCCAAUUUGAGCUUGCAUAUUAAGGGAAAUAAUAAAAUAAGAUAAAAAGCACAUAGGAUUGCAACAUGUAGGAUGAUAAAAAUCCGAUUCAAUUAAUAUUUCCAUAAAUCAAGAGUAAUCAAAUAUUAAAAUAUUUGAUUCUCCUAAUUUAGGAUAUAAUAUUUAUUUUAAAUAAAUAAUGAACAAUCAAAUAAUAAUAAUAUUUUAUUCUCUUAAUUUAGGAAAUAAUAUUUAUUUUCCUUAAUUUUAGUAUACUUGUUAUUUAUUUCUUUGUAUAAUUCAAAAUGCAUUCUUGUAUAAAUUUUCUAAAAGAAACAAUAAAAUUCAUCAUUUUCACUACCAAAUUAUCAAAUCCUUUACUAAUGACCUUAUGAUUAAAAUCUUGUUUGUUUGGUAAGUGUUAAGCAAAAUGCCUUAGUAGCUACAAACAUUAUGGAAGACGUGUGAAAGUUGUUGUGAACUGAGGAAGCUUAAGAAUCUGUUAAGAAGGUUGCUGAGGUGUGAAGAGAUGUUGAAAUUGAGGCUGCAACCAUAAAACAACUUAGUCAAUGAAGUUGUUAUGCUAUUGUUGCUGUUGUUGUUAAAAUCUUGUUUCAUGGAGUUGUUAUGUUGUUGUUGUUAAAAUCUUGUUUCAUGGAGUUUUUAUGCUGUUGUUGCUAUUAUAUAGGAAAUAAUUGUUAGUUCCAACUAUUUUUGCUACUUUUCUAUUGUUUUCUGUUGCAAAUUUGUGUAUAAAUGUUGCAUUGAUCAUUCAACAAGAGUAGACAUUUUCGUUGUCUCAAAUACAACUUUUGGUUGUUACUUCCAACAUUUCUAGAUUCUAAAACCUAUAGAUUAGUAUCAGAGCCUUCAAUGUUGAGGAACAUGUGAGGAUUGAGUGAAGCCAAAAUACCUUCACACAUACUGAAACUCCAAAGCCAACAUAAACACACAACCUUUGACAGGUUGUAACUAUCAUUCUACAACAAAUGGAUGGAGAUACAAGCUUUCUGUUAGUACCAGUUUUCAAUGGUGAUAAUUAUCAGGCGUGGGCUAUUAGAAUGACAGUCCACCUUGAAGCUUUGGAUCUUUGGGAAGUAGUAGAAGAAGAUUAUGAAGUACCACCACUUGGAGACAAUCCAAGUAUCAAUCAAAUGAAGAUUCACAGGGAAAUAAAAACAAGGAAAGCCAAAGCCAAGGCUUGCCUCUUCUUUGCAGUUUCACCUUCUAUUCUCACCAGAAUCAUGCAAAUAGAGUUUUUUAUAGCAAUCCGGGAGUAUCUAAAAAAUGAGUAUUGGGGGAAUGAAAGGGUGUAGAAUAUGCAGGUAAUGAAUUUAAUAUGAGAAUUUGGAAUGAGCAGAAUGAAAAAGUCUCUAACUAUCAAAGAUUAUGUUGAACAACUGCUUAGCAUAGCAAACAAGGUAAGAUUGUAUGGUAAGGAAUUUUCUGAUGAAAGAAUUGUUAAGAAAAUCUUAGGAACUCUGCCUGAAAAAAUAUGAAGCCACAAUCUCUUCCUUGGAAAACUCUAAAGAUCUGUCAAGUAUAUCUUUGGUAGAAAUUGUUAAUGCUUUGCAGGCCUUGGAACAAAGGAGAAUGAUGAGACAAGAAGGAUAUGUUGAGGGAGCAUUCUAAGCCAAAUCAAAGAACAAUGAUUCCAGCAAAGACAGAAAGAAAAACAAGAAAUAGAAGUCAAGCAAUAACAAAAUGAAUCAGAAAGGAGCUGAUCCACCUUGCCCUUAUUACAAAAAAACAAAUCAUCCUCCACAAAAGUGUUGGUGGAGGCCAAAUGUCAAGAGCAACAAUUAUGGUCAAUUAGGCCAUAUGGAGGAGGUAUGCAAAAAAAAAAAAAAAAAAAAAAACAAACAAGGAGAGAUCAAGGCUACAAUUGUUGAUCAAUAUCACGAAGAACAAUUGUUUGUUGCCACCUGUUUUUCCAGCAAAAACAUGUUUGAAAGUUGGCUCAUAGAUAGUGGUUGCACAAACCACAUGACUUAUGAUCAAGGACUUUUUAGGGAACUCGAUAAAAUAACCGUUUCCAAAGUAAGAAUUGGAAAUGGGGAAUACAUCUCAGCAAGGGGCAAAGAGGUUGUUGCCAUUGAAAGUCUCUCAGGUUUGAAACUUAUCCCCGAUGUUUUGUUUGUUCCUAAUAUUGAUCAAAAUAUCUUGAGUAUUGGGCAGCUACUUGAGAAAGGUUUCAAGGUGCUAUUUGAGGACAAGUUCUGUAUGAUUAAGGAUGCAAAUGGAAAAAAUGUGUUCUAGAUCAAGAUGAGAGGCAAAACCUUUGCCUUGAAUCUGCUUGAGAAAGAGUAGGUUGUUAUUUCUCAAGAAAAUAAUGUCACAAUUUUAUGGCAUAAGAGAUUGGGGCACUUUCAUCAUAAUGGAGUGCUCUACAUGAAGAAUAAUCAACUUACAGUAGGUCUACUUGACCUAAAGCAAAAUCUUCCUACUUGCAUAGCCUGUCAGUAUAGAAAACAAUCCAGACUUCCUUUCCCAUAGAAAUCUACAUAGAGAUCAUCACACAUGCUGCAACUUGUACACAUUGAUGUUGGAGGACCUCAGAGAACACCAUCUCUAAAGGGCAGUAAGUACUACAUUGCCUUUAUAGAUGAUUACACCAGAUAUUGUUGGAUUUUUUUCCUAAAUUUUAAAUCUGAGGUUGCUGAUGUAUUUUGGAAGUACAAGGCCCUAGUAGAAAACCAAAGUGGUGUCGUCUUGUAGGUUAUAAGGACAGAUAAUGACACUGAAUAUACUUCUGAAAUAUCCAACAAUUUCUAUGAAGAAGUAGGCAUAAAGCACCAACUGACUACACUUUACAGACCACAACAGAAUGGAGUGGUGGAGAGGAAGAAUAGUGGAGAGGAAGAAUAGGACUAUAAUGGAGAUGACAAGAUGCCUUUUGCAUGAGAAAGGGCUACCAAAAAAGUUUUGGGCUGAAGCCACAAACACUAUAGUGUUUCUACUGAAUAGACUCCCAACCAAAGCUUUUAAAAAAAAGACUCAUUUUGAGGCUUGGUUUGGAUAUAAACCUCUAUUAUUAAACUUAAAAACAUUUGGUUGCCUUUGUUUUAGUUAUGUGCCUUAGGUGAAACAAGACAAGUUAGAUAAAAAGGCAGAAGUUGGGAUCUUCGUAGGAGACAACAACCAAUCAAAGACUUAUAGAGUUAAUAUGCCUCAUGCUAACAAAGUCAUUGUUAGCAUAGAUGUCAAAUUCAUGGAGGAUGAUAAAUGGAGUUAGGAUGCUAAAAAAAAAAUUAGAAUUUUGAGUUACUUGACGAAAAUAUUGAUGACAUUCCUAUAAGAAGCACCAAAUCACUUUUUGAUAUUUAUCAAAUGUGUAAUGUGGUUGUGUUUGAGCCUGUAGGGUUUAAUGAAGUUGUUGAGGAUAAAAAAUGAAGGGUUGUAACGUGGGAGGAGCUUAGAAUGAUAGAGAAAAACAACACUUAGGAGCUAGUUGAUAGACCAACACAUAAAAAGACCAUUGGUGUCAAGUGGGUUUAUAAAACCAAACUCAAUUCUGAUGGUUCUGUAAACAAACAUAGAGCCUGGCUGGUUGUCAAAGGUUAUGCUCAAAUGUUCGGUGUGGAUUUUUCAUAAACCUUUGCACCUGUAGCUAGGUUGGAUACAAUAAGGAUGCUGCUAGCUUUGGCUGCUCAAAAUGGUUUGAAAAUCUAUCAGCUAGAUGUAAAAUCAGCUUUUCUAAAUGGCUACCUUGAGGAGGAAAUCUUUGUAGAGCAACCUGAAUGAUUUGCAGUAAAAGGCAAAGAAGACAAGGUUUAUCAACUAAAGAAAGCCUUGUAUGACUUGAAGCAAGCCCCCAGAUCUUGGUACAACAGGAUUAAUGCACAUCUGCUUGGUUUGGGGUUAAAAAAAGUCAGAGUGAAUCCACACUUUAUAUUUGAAAAAUUAAUGCUGGCAUACUUAUUAUUUCAUUAUAUGUUGAUGAUUUGCUUGUAAAGGAAGCAAUCAAUUUUUAAGCUAAAAUAGAGAAGGUCUUUGAGAUGAAAGAUCUUGGAGACAUGUCUUAUUUUCUGGGAAUGGAAGUCCAUCAGAAUCAGCAUGAGAUAUUCAUCUAUUAGCAAAAGUAUGCAAAGGAAAUUCUAAAACAGUUCAAGAUGGAGGAAUGCAAGGCCACAUGCACACCUAUGAAUCAAAAAGAAAAGUUUUGAAAAGAAGAUGGUGCUAAAAAAGUAAAUAAAGAGUUAUACAGAAGCAUGAUUGGAUGUUUGAUGUAUUUGAGUACAAGAAGAACAAAUAUAAUACAUGUUGUAAGUCUACUCUCAAGAUAUAUGCAUUGUGCUAGUGAAAUUCACUUGUAGGUAGCAAAACGUAUUGUGAGAUAUAUAAAAAACACUAUCGACUUUGGCAUCAAGUUCAAGCAGGUGCAGAAUUUUCAUUUUCAUGGAUUUUAUGAUAGUGAUUGGGUUGGCUGCAUUGAUGAUAUGAGAAGCACAUCAAGUUAUUGCUUUAGUUUUGGUUCAAGUUUUUUUCUCUUGGUGCUCUAAAACAUAGGAUAUCAUGGCAUAAUCCAUAGUUGAAGCAGAGUACAUUGCUACUGUUGCUGCUGCAAAUUAAGCACUUUAGAUAAGAAAGCUACUAACAGACUUAAACAUGGAGCAAACUAGGAGCACACAAGUCUUUGAGGACAAUCAAGCUGCAAUUUCAAUUGCAAGUAAUCCAGUAUUCCAUGGUAGGACAAAGCACUUCAAAAUCAAGUUUUAUUUCUUAAGGGAAAUACAACUUGAUGGAGAAGUAAUUUUGGUACAUUGUAAAACAGAAGUAAAAAAUGUUAAUAUUCUAAAAAAAGCUCUACCAAAAGCUAGGUUUGAAUUUCUCAGAAAAAGACUUAAAGUUUGUAGCUCCCAAGUCAAGGAGGAGUGUUAAGCAAAAUACCUUAGUAGCUAUAAUCAUGUUGGAAGACGUGUGAAAGUUGGUGUCAACUGAGGAAGCUUAAGAAUUUGUUAAGAAGGUUGCUGAGGUGUGAAGAGAUGCUGAAAUUGAGGUUGUAACCAUAAAACAACUUAGUCAAUGAAGUUGAUAGAGUUUCAUGGAGCUGUUAUGCUGUUGUUGCUAUUUUAUAGGAAAUAGUUGUUAGUUCCAACUAUUUUUGUCGCUUUUCUAUUGUUUUCUAUUGCAAACUUGUGUAAAAAUGUUGCAUUGAUCAUUCAAUAAGAGUAGACAUUUUCGUUGUCUCAAAUACAACUUUUGGUUGUUGCUUCCAGCACUUCUAGAUUCUAAAACCUACAGAUUCUAUGAAUUUUAAUGAUAUUCCAUCAUUUCUAGGUCUCUCAAACCUUCAAUUUAGUAGGGUUACAAAACAUAGCAUCUCUAUUUGGCAUUUCAUCAAACGCCUUUCUCACUUUUUCUUGAUCCACAUGGGCAUAAAUCACUCUCAACUAUUAACACAAACAACAUAGAUUUUAGCUAAUUACAAACCAAAUUGAUAUAUCACCCCUAGUAGUUGUAAUUUCCUUCAUUAAUUGCCUUCCCAUUUCCACAUCUCUUUUUUUACGCAACCCAUAAAAAAAUUUCAUGAAAUUUGAGUCUAGGUAGGAGAAAGCACGAAUCUCAGUGCACAAAAAUUUGAUUUCAAUCAUUCACAAAAAAAAAUUAAUUUUAUGGAAAAACAUUAAAAUAGUAAAAUAACAAAUUGAGAAGGACUUUCUAAGAAAAUAUAAUCAAAGGAAAACAAGGUAAUCAAAAGACUCAUAUAAUGUUUUACUUCCAUUUUCUAAGUAACUAAAUAGAAAUGUUGAAAUGAAAGUACCUCCAACUAUGGAUGUAAAGAGUCAUUGUUAAUGAGAAAAUGGUGAGAAUUGGAAUCAUGAAAAGUGUAGAAGAAGACUGUUUGGACUAUGGAGAGUGAAGGAGAAAGAGAAUGCUUGUUGAAAAGGAAAGAGUGGGUUAUUGGGUAACACUUAAGGUUAUUUUAGGUAUAUUUGAAAAUUUUAAAAGUAUUUUUUUUUUAAAUAAUCAGCUCUUAAGUGCUUUUCUAAAAAUUACUUCAAGUGAUUUUUUUCUUUUAAAGGUUUUUAAAAGUGUUUUUGAAAUCUUGCCAAACAUCUAUUUUUCACCCAAAAAAAAACUCUUUUAAUUAUUAAAAAUGCUAGACACUCUUCUUAAAAAUACUACUAAACAAGUUCUUAAUAGGAUUUUAUUUAUUAUCGCAUGUUUCUUAGUCUUUAACCAAGGAUAUGUCUAUACUUCAAAAUAAAAGAAGGGACACAAUUUUAUUCUAACCAUCCUUCAACCUUAUUUUCUUUAAAUAUCUACUAAAAUGGGAUUACUAUGAUUUCACCCCAAUUCCAACUCCCUUUUCUACAAAAAGUAAAACUAAUUUUUUGGGAAUACGUAUGCAAAGGUAAUGGCAUAGAUGAAGUUGUAAAUGGAGAUUAAUGGAAGUGAUAGAAACGGGAUUAUGCUAGGGUUUUAGAGCCAAAGAGGAUGGGUUGGUGAUGGUGGGUCUUAAGGGAAGUGAUAGAGAAGUUGGGAAUUAAGGUUAGAUUUAAGGUUAAGGUUAGGGCUAGGGUUUCAUCAAUGGAUGGUGAUGAAGAUGAAGAUAUGGACAUCCCUUGCAAAAUCUACCAAUAUAAUUAGUUUCUACUAUAUAAUCAACUAAAAUUGGAAUCAAUUCUCCUUCUCAAACUAUGAUAAUAUGACUUUAGAUGGUUUUUGAUAAUGAUUUCUUUUCCUCUCAAUGAAACUAUAGAUCAAUUAUAUGUUUCAACCCAAAUAAGGGAUCCUUAGAAUCCCUUAAUCUUUAGUUUCUAUUUAGAUUAAGGAAUAAGAGAUCCCUAAGAUCUUUUAAUCUUUAAUUUCUAUUUAGUUUCCUAUAUAAAAUAAGAAGAGUGUAAUGGGGAAAGAAAUGGAAAAAUAAUCUCAAUAUGAAAAAUUGGUUCUCUCAAUUUUGCAUCUUCUCUUUGAGUCAUAAGAAUUGGUGUUAGAACACGAUCUUGGCACCAAUCAUGGAUGAAGGGACUAGAGUGUAAGAACAACAUAGACUUGAAGAUACUAUUAAAUAGUUGAAAAAAUCAUUGGAUAAACAAGCGACUACCUCAUUAGAACUAUCAAAGAUGGUUGCAACCAUAAACUUGAAAUUUAAACACAUGAAUUCAAGAAUAGAGAAGUCAAGUAAUGGGUACAAUGCCUCAAUCAAUAGAAGCAAGACAAACUAUCAUUCAUAUGGCAUAAACUCCAUUCAAUCCAGGUUUUCCAAACUCAAAUUUCAAAAUUUUGGAGGUGAGAAUUGGGAAUUAGGAAAAGGUAGGAUUGGCUUCAUUACAUUUAAAAGGAAGGGCCUUAGAAAGGUUUCAAGGGUACAAGGCUAGUAACAAGGAAAUCAACUGGACACAAUUUUAUAUAGUUGUUGUUUCUAGGUUUAGCCCUAGUGUUUAUGAUAGCCUUAUGAGGUAAAUAACCAAAUUGAAAUAGGUUUAUACGAUUAUGGCAUACAAAAAUUAGUUUAAAGUAUUGAUGACCAAAACUAAUGGGUUAUCAAAGGAAUUUUUUGUCUAGUAUUUCAUUAGUAUCUUGAAAGAGGCAAUUAAAAAUCAAGUCACCAUGUUUCAACCGAUCACACUAGCCCAAACCAUCGAAUUAGUCUUGUUGCAGAAAUGAAUAGUGGAAGUAAUUCUCAAGGAAGUCAAGGACUCUAACGAAAGUGAGGAUAGUACAAUGAACUUUACAAGAAUCAUAAUGAAUCAUAAUAACAAAUUACCACCCUUAAGAAGAUUUCAGUUGUAGAAGUGCAAGAGAGAUGAAAAAAAUGUUUUGUUAUUAUUGUGAUGAGAAGUAUAAGUCUGGCUAUAUAUAUAAAAUGAGACAAUUUUUUCUACUAAAUGGUCAUAGAAGUGAAGGGAAAGCAACGUGUGAAGCUAAAAAUGAUAUCAGGAGGAUGAUCUUAUGGCUUUAAUAAAUGCAAUAUUUGGUUCAACAUCUCAUCAAACCAUGAGAAUCUGUGGCAACAUAAAAAGGAAGGUCGUGACCAUACUAAUUGACUUAGGAAGAACCCAUAACUUUCUUGAUCUCGUAGUGGCCAAAAGAACAAGAUGCUCAAUACAAACUACCGACCCCAUGAAGGUGGCAAUAACAGAUAGAACUAGAAUUACUAGUGAUGCAAUUUGUCAGCAAUGAUAGGAUAGAACCCUUAAAAGCAUGACAUAAUGUAAUAAACUGGGAAUUCAUUAUUUAUUCAAUGAUAUUCCAAUUUCAGUUUUAUCUAUCCUUAUUCCAUGUAUUAUACUUUAUGAACUUUUUUGUCCGCAUCUUUUGCAUUAUAUGUGACUUAGGUGGAUCAGGAGUUGCAUAGAAGAUCUAAGUCAUGAGUUCCUUGUAAAUAGAUGACUAGUUCACAACCAAUUUAUGGGUCUAGGCAAUCCAUUAGAGGUUUCGGUGCACCACUUCCUAAUUAGAGGGAUAACUGGUCUUGGCUAUUAGGAUGAGUUUUACUAAUAUGUAUGGAUGCACAUUGGGCAGGACUGAUUAUAAGCUUAAGGCUAUCAAGUAGUCAUGACUUCACCAAGUUGUUUCAUUAUGUUGUUUCUCAACCUUGAGAGAAUAUUGCAUUUGUGUAGAAGUUAGCAGUGCUUUUGAUCUACGGGUAAAAUCGUAAGCUAAUCAUAUGCUCUUUAUGGAUUGGAUCACUAUUGACGGAUGCCAGUAGCAAUAAGUAUUCUAAAUAGAGACACCAUGAUAUCUCUUAGGAAUAAGACAGUGUGUAUCCUUGGGUGAUCCUAAGGAGGUGUGUUCAUGGAAACUAUGGUCAUAAUAGUUCCUUAUGUGGAACUUGACAUAGGCUCUUUGAAAGUUAAGAUAUGUCAAUUGAAUACACAAUAGGAGAAUCUGUAACUCAAGGAUGGUAGAGGUAGUCUUAAAAAGCUUAUAGCUUUCACUUUAUUAGACUACGAACACCAAUUCAUGGGGAGACUAAACAUAAUGGAUAGCAAGUCAUGGACUCGAGCACUUGGUGUCUUAUUAUUAUUUACAUAGGAUAUUUGAGUUCAAUUGAUUCUCUAUAGUGGGAUGUUGAAUCCACUUUAGAAUUGGAUUAUGAGAGAACUAGUAUUUCUAUAGGUCCUAGUGGUCUUUGUUUUGAGCUCAUAUACCUUGUUGGCACUGAUUAUGAGGGUCAGAUUGGCUUUAGGUUCACUUUUGUACAUAAAGGUGUUUUGGUAAUCACACAAGGUUGCACAAAGGUAAGUGAGCAAAGUCUUUGGAUUAGGCUAAUUGAUUAAUUAGUAGGCCCUAUUGGGUUAACUAAUCAAUUAGGACCCAUUUUGGGAUAGAUUAAGUGACCUAAGCCCUUAGUGAACUCAAGUCACUUAAGUCUAAUAGGAAACCACAUAAAUACCCCCUUAGGGGUUAGGGUUCCCAUUGCUUUUUCUAGAGAUCCAUAUUCCAUCUCUAGAGAGAGAGAGAGAUUCAUAGCAUGUACUCUUCCUUCUAUCCCCACCAGAAGUGUGUCAAGAUCAAGUUUCGAGUCAUUUGGCGAAAGACUUCGGGUUUAUGAGACUUCUACGAUUUCAUUCUUCAUCUUCACCAUGUAGAUUUGAUUCACAAACAUCCGAAUCUAAGGUAUGGAUUUUGUUUGCACUUUCUGAAUCCCUUUAAAGUUUAAAAAUGUUAUUUUUCCGUUGUGCAAAGGAUUUAGAAAAAGCCUAGGAUAGUUAUGCAUAUUCCUAACUUGAUCCGAUCUUAGGAAACAAAGAGAUCCUAGUUUUUCCCAUUAGGCAAUUGACAUGGAACAUGCAAGGGAAGAAAUUUUAGAUAGAUUUGAGGCUCAUCCUUUUGAGUGGGUGCGAUAUGGUAUUGGGAAUUCAAUGGCCAACUGAAUUGGGACUCAUAUUGUGGGAUUUCAGGAAUUUUAAAUUUGAAUUUAUUGUUGAUGGAAGGAAAUUCGUGUUAAGAGGUACAACUAUAGGUCCUAAGAAGUUAGUUUCAACUAAUGAAAUUCAAAAUUAUUGAAGGCAUAUGUCUCAAGCAUCUACAAUUCAAAAUUUCACUAUACAAGGGAAUGAGGAAAAUAAAGUUGAAAAUGAACAACAUGGCAGCUGUCCAACUCAUUUCCAAAUAAUGUAACAUAGAAAGAUGCUUACUUUCAACAAAAGUUUCCAUAGUUUCAACCUUGAGGACAAUGCUUCUUUUGAUGGGGGAGAGAAUGUUACAACCCUGAAUAAAGGAUCCCUGGGAUCCCUUAAUCUUUAGUUUCUAUUUCUGUUUAGUUUCUACUUCUAUUUAAAUUGGGGAAUAAAGUAUCCUUAAGAUCCCUCAAUCUUUAGUUUCUAUUUCUAUUUAGUAUCCUAUAUAAAAUAAGAAAAGUGUAAUGGAGAAAAAAAUGAAAAAAAAAUCUCAAUAAGAAAAAUUUGUUCUCUCAAUUUUGUAUCUUCUCUUCAUAUCAUAAAAUUCUACAUGUAGAUUUUCUCCUUCUAAAUCUCUAUAUGAUACAAAAUCAAUUCUUUUUUACUCCAAUUCCAAGUAUGUAUUUAUAGAAAUAGGUAUGCUUUGACUCUCAAUGAACACAUUUUUUCAAUUUUUCUACCUACCUAAGUGGAAAUAACAUAAGGUAACUAAACUUGCUUUGAGAUUAAUUAUGGUUUUGACAAUACAAAACUAGGUAUAGUACAAGACCUCCUAAACAAAGUUUCUAGCAUUAAUGAAUUCAAAAGAAGCUGGGUAAAACAAGUUUCUACUCACCAUCCCAAACAUCCCUUUAGAUGUAUUGUAUGAUAGAGGAUUAUUCUUUUAUUAUUAUUAUUAUUAUUAUUAUUAUUAUUCUUUUUUCUUUUUCCUUUUAAUGGUUUGGAGCAAAUUCAAAUGGCAUUAUAGAAGUAGAAUUUCCUAAUUUAAUUUGUUGGACAAAUUUGUUUUGGUUUUGCUAUAUUUUAUGUUUUGAAUACAUAGAAAUUGAAAUAUAAUAAGAUAACAAUUAUAAUGUAUUUUUAAGGGGAAAAUGUUUUUAUCUUCUAUAAUUAAAAAAAAAAAAAAAACAACAACAACAUCAACAACUACAAUAAUAUAGACAUUUGCAAUUUUUUUUAAAGUGUCUUUGUUAGGACAUUGAGUUCUAUUUGUAUGUUGGCAAUUUUGUUCCGAUUUAUUUUUUGCCUUAGAAAUCUUUUUAGAUAGUGACUUACUUUCCAUUGAAGAUCAAGGAUUGCUACUUGUCCAACUGGAAAAUCACAGGCAUGUCUAAAAGAUUUGACUUGUAGCAAAUUAGGGUUCUAAAAGGUAUAAAGAGGAUCGUUAUUCUUUUUUUUUUUGGAAUAAAAUUGAUUUUUAUUUAUCUUUGUCAAAAAGGCAGGAUUGCUCAAGCAAGGAAUAACACUCAAGCGUUAGGAUGCUCGAGCACUUGACUAGCGCUCGAAUGCCCGAGUUGCUUAAGUGAUGGUUAAGUGGACUCGGCCUCGAGCUCUCGAGCAUUCAUACCAAUUCUACCAAAGAUUAGCAUAAUAUUUUUGGAGAUUUCAUGCAAAUCCUUUCUGGAAACCUUGAGAUACCGACUCUCUUCAACCUUUAAGCCUAUAUGUACCCCAUUAUGGCCAUUCUAAAGUUAGGAGAUUGAUUUAUUGUCGUAAUUGAUAGAGAGUCUCCUAAAUAGAAAGCCUAAUGAACCACACGAUUCCUAAUCUCUCAUUUGAAGGAUAAUCUAGGGUUGAAAACUUGCAUCCCUUCAGUAAGGUUGAAGAGUACUCAGUGGAGUAAUUAGAGAUUAUUGCAUCACAGACGUCAAUGAAGUUGUAGGUAUUAGAGGGUAAGUCUUUAGGAUAAAACGACGAGGUAAAUUUGUGUAACUUGAUCUUGUAUAGUGGAUUUUGAUUAACAAUCUUAGACCUCGUGGUUUUUUUAUCUCCACAGUAGUGCAUGGAUUUUCCAUGUAAAAAUCAUUGUGUCCAUUGUUAUAUCUUGUGAUUAUCAUGAUUGUUUGGAUUUUUUUUAUCUCUAAUAUUAUCUCAUAGGGUAAAAAUUGAGUAUAACAUAUAAUCUUUUUUUUAGAAUUCUUUUAAUUACACCCAUUCACCCCCCUCCUCUCUUUGGGUGUUACCCUACUAGACUUGGCUUUUUCAGUCUCAAAUACUACAAUAGCAUUUUUUUACUUAAGUUAUAAAUGGAAAAAGUUAUAAACCCAAGAUAACUUGCUAAAAAAGUGAGAAAUAAUAAAGGACUCGUGUUAGAGUAUAAAUAGUUAAUCUAUUCUAGGCUUAAUAUAGCUCCAAUGUCAAACAUGAAUACUUAAUUAUUUAUUAUAUUUUGAAAAUAAAGUAAGUAUUUUUUAUAUAAAAAAUGAAACAACUUUUCUAGAACAACACAAGGCACUAAUGCAUAUAGUUGGUAACAAGUUGGAGAAAGAAAAUAAUGUGGAGAAAUAAAACAACAUGUAGAAAGAAACAAAAUGGAGAGAAAGAAAAUGACUAACAAAAAAGAAAAUAGAGAAAUUAUAGAAAAUAAGAUAAUUAAACUUAUUUUCAUAAAAAUAAUAUAUUUUCGAAAAAUAGAAAAUUUCAUUCAUAUUCUCUUUUUCACUUAUUUUAAAAAUAAAAGUAAAAAUUAAUAUUUAUCAAAUAUAUAAGAUUAAGAUUGAGAUAUAAACUUUUUAUAAUCUAAACUAUUAUUUUCAUUUUAAACAAGAAAGUUCGAUGUGACAUAAUAAAAUUUGUACACAAAAUUUAAAUUAUCUCUAUUCAUAUAGAAUUAUAUAUAGGUAUAGAUUCAUUUCAAAAUUCGAAUAAUUAUUUGAAUUUUACAUUUAAAUUUUAUUUUAAAAUUUAAAACUUAAUUAUUUUGUAAUAGGGUAUGUGUCAUAAAAUUGAAGCUUAUAUAUAUAAAUGCCUCCACUUCCAUACCUCUCAUAAAAUUGGAGCCUACUUUUUUUGUUUUCUUUUGUGUGUUUAUAAAUGUCUCAAAUUCCAUAUCUAGUUGUGAUAUAGUUUUGUAGAUGAUUGUGAUUGAAGUAUACUUUCUUUUGAUAUGUUUCCCUCCAUACAAAUCUAUUUAAAAGAAAAAAAAAACACAAAGUGUGGACCCCGCAUUUCGGCUCAUGCGUUUCCCACUCGAUGGUGAAACUCGCUUUUUAAAUUAAAAAAUGAUUUUUUGUUGUUGAUUAAGAAAAAUGACUUAGAGUCGCCACUUAUUUUGUUUUAUUUUUAAAGGGUAAACAAAAUAAGAAAGAAAACCCUAAGUGUAACUCCUUAUUUCGGAAAAGGUGAUAUGUGAAAAACCGGAUCGGGUUUGGGGGUUAGGUUACUUAUCAGGAAGGUACGGUAAAAAAAAAACCGUAGCACCCUUCUAAGCCCCUAAAACGGGUCUCUUCUAAUAAAAUGAAGCUGACAUGGCCAUUGAUGAGGAAAUCAAUGAAUACCCGGAACUAUCAUGCACAUAUGAGAAUCAGAAUAUACGUAACGAAUGAUCAGAAUGAGUGAAUGCGUACCUGGGCAGCAAACUGCAACGCGCUAUCAUGUGUGGACCCCGCAUUUUCGACUCAUGCUCGAAUGCGUUUCCCACUCGAUGGCGAGCUCGAUUUUGCCAAUUGAUGAAUAAAUCAAUGAAUACACAGAGUGAUCUUGCACAUGUGAGAAUCAAAAUAUGCAUAUAGAAAUACCAGAAUGGGAAUAGAUGCGUACCUGAGCGACGAACCACUAGGCGCUAUCAAGAAAGAGGGUUAGUGCACAAUUAAGGACUAAUAACAUGCAUGUAAGAGAGCAGGAUAAAUCAAUCAUGUAUCAUAAUCAAAUCAAAUCAAUCAGUCAAUCAAUCAAUCGGUCACAUAUGUGGGGGCCCCCACCAAAGCCCGUUUAUUUUGCAUGAAUUAAUUCCAAUAACUCCAUUACUUGGAAUUACGGAAUUUAAUCCUUGCUUAUUUAAAAACAUUUUAAAAUCCGGGAAGUCUUGAAAGUUGCAUGCCGAAGAGAGGUGGCAUCAAAUUUUAUUGAAAAACAGGAUUUUUGGAACUCAAAGGAAACGUAAGGAUGAAAGAUGGAAAUUAUUUAAAUUAUUUGAAAACCGACAUAAAAAAAAAUUAUUUGCAAGAAAGGUAUCAGGAAAUUAUUUUUUUAAGCCAAAAGAUUGAGGGAAUGGGAGGUGACACGUGGCCCAAAAGGUGGCCAUGCAGCUGGGUGUAUAGAGUAGAUGGCAAGUGGACCCCUGAGUCAUUUUGUUUGACAAACAGCUUGCUGUUGUAGUCUGCAUCCAUAUUGAUAAUACCCAAACUUGGAGCGCUGACCUUAUUUUUCAUUGGAGACAUCAAAUGACGUGUUUCAUGGUGGUGAGGCACGUACACUGCUGCAAAAUGGGUGACUUUGCUCCUAUGACUCAUGUUUUCUCCUCUUGAGUUGUUCAUCUGGGAAUAUACAAUAAUUUUCCAGCACAAACAUUCAGAAUCUGGAUUCCUUUCACUCAAUUUAUCUGCUACCACUUCUGAUAUAUUCAGCUCGAACCAGGGUCGUUCAUGUUCUCGGUAUAUUUCCCUUAUACCCUGGUCAACAUGGAAUUCGCGGAAACUGCUUGGUUGAUCUGCAUUAAAUGGAAUUAGUGAGCUCAGUGAUAGCAAAUCUAGCUCAGCACUUGCUGCUAAUUGCCUUUGUUCGCGCAACUCCCUUCCUUUUGAAGGUCGUUACUUCCACCUCGAGCCAAGCCAGUCUGGAUGUCUCCCCUAAUUGAGCAUUCAGAAUACUCAAAGAAUCUAGACUGCGACAGAUGACCUGUCUGACCUUCGCAUGCUAUGUGCUUGCUGCACUGAGCUUUGCUCCACCGUUGAAGGCGACGCUGGAGGUAGCAACGACACAGGUCUGAAUGACGGUGUUCUCCUGCCUUAUGAAGGGCUGCUUAGGGAAUUGGAAAACUCACAACCACUUAAAGUUCCAAAUUGACUGCCACCAUUCGAAACUAAGCCUUCAUCUGAUUCAAAAAUGUCUCGGCUUUAACAUCCAUUAGAGCCUUUGUCCUGAUGUUAAUAGAAUCUGGAUCAUAUUGCUCAGAAAAAGAUUUCGGUGCUUUGCUUCCCCCAGAGAACCCAGCUAUCCUUGAAAACUUUGUCUCAUAUUGAAUUCCCAAAACAACCAGUGGGAUUGCUACAGCUGGACCAUUUCCCCUUUUGACCAACGUGGCUGUUAAAGCUGGAAGAUGAGGUCAGAGGUGUUCCAUGAUAUCCUUGUUCGAGAUCCCUUAACAUUCAUUCCAACAGCUACCGAUUUGCACCCUUCAGUAGACAUUGCUCGGGUAAGGACUGUAGCAUAGGCGGUACCAUCUCUUGCCACAUUAUUAAUGGUAUUUGCAACCUAUUUUGCAAGGCUUGCACAAAUAUUCUUGACUGUAGCAUUAAGCCUCGAACUUCAACCCCGAAUCUGAUGUCUUUAGCAGUAUGGUUCCUGCCCUAGUUCAGCCUACUACCGAUAUGAUGGGUGUUGUGCCAAGUGGUCUGAACCUUAGGAGCAAGACUGGUGACGAGUGUGAAGGUGAUGGGUGAUGUUCACUUGCACCAUGCCCUUUUCUAAUUGGAGAUAUCACCAAUAUAAAGCAGGGUGGAUUUUCUGAUGAGAGAUUUCUAUGUCCUAGAGUGGUUCAUGUCGCAUGGGCAUAGGGAUUAAUGAAGGGGCAUGAUGAUGCCAGACGGGUAUGAGUUGUUGAUAACGGAUGUGAGGGAUAGUAGGCUCUACUAACAGAUGAACAAUGUCAUGCAAGCCUUGCACAACAAAAUGCGGAGAGCACAGUACCCGAGAAUACUUCCUUUGUCCCCUUCAACUCAUUUUCUGCUUGAACACUUCCUCUUCCUCUCAUCCUUAGAUGACAUCUCUUCUUUCAAAGGUAUCUCUUCUCUCAAAACCCAUAUAAUGAACAAGAUCCAGGAACAGAGGUGGCCUCAACCAUGAAAAGAAAUGCAUGAAAACAGAGCACAAAGGGAAACAAAUAUAAAGGUCCUCAAAGGAAGAUUCACAUCAUGAGUCAUCAGUGAACCUUCCUAUUAGGUGAGGAAAAACAGCAUCAAAUGCAAACAUUGGUGGGGUUCUCGGGCAUUUCAUAGUCACAAAUAGAAACAGAACAUAUUAAGAUUGACAAUGGCAGGUAUGAAUUCAGGAUUAUAUCUCAACAAGCAACAAGUGGCCUUCAUUAUCCACCCCAAGCAAAACAACAAAUAUCCAAAUAUCAACAAGCAAUGCAGAGGGAUAGCAAGGAUCCAAAUCAAACAAUAAACCUGUUGCCUUCAUACCUGAGAAUGUCCUUCUCCAGUAAGGCUCUGUUCUUCUACAAACACCUCAAGUUCCCCUUUAAAAUCAACGAAAACUAAUGAGACAGCAGCACCUCUUCUACUCUCCAAACACACAGCUCUCUCCCUCUUAAUUUUCUCUCAAACUAAACAGCCACCUAAAAUCCUCCAUCAACCUCUCUCUCAAAACUCCUCCUGUGAAAACUCUCCCCUCUCUCAGGUUCCUCUAAACGGCAGCCAAUAGCACCCCUACCUCUCACAGUUUGCUGCUCCCUGUUCUCUCCUCCGAUAGCCUCUCCUCUAAGCUAGAAACUUAUCCUCAAACUCUCACCCUUUUCUCCUCUGAUUCCCCUGUUUUUCUCUCUCUCUAGUCUCCCUCAGUAACCAGCCUGGAGACCCUAGUUCUCUCCCAAGCUCUCCUCUCUCGUUCCCCCAAGCAAAGGCCCCCCUAACAAUAUCUCCCGGUAGCCUCCUUCUUUUGCUCUCUAGCCUCAAAACUCUCUCUGGAAUCCCUCAGACUUCAGCAGCCCAGGUACCUCUCUCUUCUGAUUUUUCUCUAUUUUCUCUCUAAAAAUCCUCCCCCUUGAGUAACCAGCCUCCUCCUUACCCAAGCAAAGGAUCCCCUAAAAAAAUAUCUCUAACGGCCUGCUCAGAGAGCUCCUGCAGCUGCCAGACGACACCCCCUUCCAGCUGCCUGCCUCCAAAAUAUCUCAUAACUGCCUGAAGAAUCCCUUUACAGGUGUCACCCUCUGGUUUGCCUCUCAAAUCCACUACUUGAUCCUUUAGCAGCCUGUCAAGAGGCACCAUGCGGCCUCCUCAAGUUGCUCCACCUGGAAAAAUUUGCUACAACAAUUACCUCCCAAAGUGGGGGUCUACAUCAUGGAAUGGGGUUAGUGAAUAAAUGCAGAAUGAUUAUAUGUAUAUCAAGGAAUAGAGUGAAUCAAUCACGCAUGGCAAACAAAUAAAUAAAUCAAUCAAUCAAUUAUGAAGUCGAGUAUAUGGGGCCCCCACCAAAGCCCGUUUUAUCUUGCCUGAAUCGAUUCCGAUAACUCCAUUGCUCGGAAUUACAGAACUUGAUUCCUUGCUUAUUUCAAAACAUUUUAAAAAUAGAGGAAGUAUGAAAAAUUGCUUGCCAGAAAUAAAAGUGGCAGCAAAGCUUUAUCAAAAAUGUGAUUUUGGAACCUAAGGAAAAUGCUCUAAGGAUGAAGAAAAAGGUGGAACAUCGGUUGGAUAGAAUUCCGGAUGUGAGAUAUCCAGAGAAGGUGGAACGUCGGCGGAUAGGAUUCCAGGCGUGAGACACCCGGUGAUUACUACCAAAAAUUGCUAUUUUUUAGACCUAAUUAUAAUGGUUUUAAGCAUCUUUGAGUAGUAAUCAUAUUCAUUUAACCUAAUUAAUUCAUUAAGGUCCUUAGUAAUUGGUUUUAACCAUUUUGUGGCAAGUUUACAUGUUUUUAUCAGCUUAUGAAUCAAUUCAAGCAUGCCAAAUGAUGGAGGAGCUACUUGGACAAGUUAAAGCAAUGAUUUUGGAAGUUUACAGGCUUGAAUUUCAAGUGGAAACACGAGCACAAACAAAGGGAUAGCCAUUUCGCAAGGCAAGGCAAAGUACCUUGCCAAAAUGCAAUUUUCGCAAGGUGAAUUUACUCAUGAUGCGAAAAUAAGGCACUUCGCAUCAUGAGUAAUUCACCUUGCUAAAAUUUAGCAAGGUGCCUUUUACCUUGCCAAAUUACCUCUGUUUCUCCACGCACGCACCAUCGACUUCCCAGAUAUUUUUAGCUUGAUAUUUUCUCGUGUAAAUUCCUUUUGUAACCUUGUAUUCAGCCGACAUAAGGCUUUAUCUUGUAAUUUUGCUAUAUAUAGAGGUGCACAACACCUCCAAAAGAUAUUGGGGAUCGAUCCUCUGUACAUUAACUUAGAAAUAUAUAAAGCUCUGUUUUUCUCUCUUCUCCUGUUCUUCCCCAUUUCUAUUUUCUUAGUAACCAAACAACCUCUGAGGGCUUUUCCUUAGAGGAUAAUUGGCUAAAACUUUUAGUUUCUCAAAGUAUGGAUGUUAUGGGAUGGCUUGGAUGCAAUCCCAUGGAAAUUUCUCGCACCUAGAAGGUAAGGUAGUCGUUUUUCAUUAAUGGUUCAUUAAUGCAAAGUUUGGUUUUUAUUUCCUUUGGACAACUUCCAACGGCCAAUACUUGAUAAGCUUUUGGAUUUCUAUCCAUUAGUUAUCUCCUACGAACUAUUGGAAGGUGAAUUUUUCAAUUCCAAGUUUUACAUUAAUCCGUUAGAACCAAUUUCAAUGGCCAUUGAAAGGUGAGUUUAUCACCUGGAAUGACUUUGAGCUGCCAAUAUUUGGUAAGCUUUUGGUUUUAGACCAUUAGUUAUCUCUUACGAGCCAUUCAAAGGAAGUCUAAGAUGAAUAACCAUUGAUGAAAUUCACUACCAUCUGUUUUGCCAUUUUAAAGGAUUAAAACUUGAUUUGCUAAAUCCAUACCGGUUCGGGAAUCAAGCAUCACCAUAGUUGCAACCCCAACGCGAGGAGCCUAUCUUGAGAUUUCCAAUUUGCAUAAGAGCCAGAGCAUAGCUAUCCUAUCUUUGAGAAACUUGCUUUUACACCCUUUCAUUUUAGUCUUUAAUGUUAGCUUAGAUUAGUUUAAAUCUUUCUAAAACAUUUACAUCUUCUUUUAAAGCUAACAUCCAUAAGAAAAUCACCUAUUUUCCUAAUUUGAAUAUCACUAGUGUUUGCGAAAACCCUUCCCAGUGAACGAUCCUAGAACCACUAUGCUAUAGUAGUUUGGCUACUUUAGUAAUAGUAUUUAAGGUAUAAAUUUUGUUGAUACGCCUUCAAAGCUAAGCUACCAUGAGUCGCAUCACCCGGGAAAGGUGGAACAUCGGCGGAUAGGAUUCCGGAUGCGAGGCAUUCGGAUGGAAUGACAGCGGAGAGGACUCCGGGUGUGAGACACCCGAGGAAGGUGGAUCGUCGGCGGAUAGGAUUCCGGGCGUGAAACACCCGGGGAAGGUGGAACGUCGGCGGAUAGGAUUUCGGAUGCCUUGCAUCCGGAUGGAAUGACGGCGGAGACGACUUCGGGUGUGAGACACCUGGGGAAGGUGGAUCGUCGAUGGAUAGGAUUCCGGACAUGAGACACCCGGAUGGAAAUGACGGCGCAGAACGAUUCCGGGUGUGAGACACUCGGAUAGAAAUGGCAGCACAGAAGGGAUUCCGGGUGUAAGACAGUCGAAUGAAAAUGGCGGUGGGGAAGGAUUCCAGGUGUGAGACACCCGGAUGGAAAUGGCGGCGCAGAAGGAUUCCAGGUGUGAGACACCCGGAUAAGGUAGAAUGUUGUUACGAGUAGCAUGAAGGAUAGGUAUGGGUUGUGUGGAUAUGGGGGCUUGGGUGAGUGGUUUUAAUGGGUAUGCGAAAAAGUGAAGGAUAGCAUGCACCCAAGAGACCCCAUGUACGUGGGGGGAGUGGGGUGGAGAAUGAAUGAGAGGAAAAGGAGUGCAGUGGAGGAUGCCCGAUUCCUAUAAGCUUGAGUGAGGAAAUGGGUAUGACGACCUAGAAAGAAAGGUAUAUAGAUGAACGAUGGGUAUGGGGAUGCUGAUGAGGUGAGCUUUGCCGCCACGAAAACUACUCCAGAUUCUCUAGGAUCUCUUUCGAGUAGGGAUGAGAAAAUGGAUGCGUACCAUGGACGGAUAUCAAGAAACAGGGGAAGUAGAGAAACAGAGCGUGAAAGAAGACGAAUAAACAAAGAAAAAAAAGAAUCUCAGAAAAUCCAUUUCAUGGAUCAUCCAUGAACCUUCUGUGCAGGUGAGUAGAUCAUGUCAAAUGCAACCACCCCCCUGAUUCUCAAGCAUUACGUAAUCAUAGUAGGAUUAGAGUAAGUAAAAAUGGACAGUGGCAAACACAAAUACAAGGUCAUACUUCAACAAGUAGACUGGUGGCCUUCAUUAUCCACCCUAAACAGAUCAAUGAGUAUUCAAAUAUUCACAAGAGAUGUAAAAGAGUGAUAGUCAUACCUGAAAGCCUCUUCUCCCGCUAGGCGUCUCUGGCUAAACUCUCCUCUCCUCUCCCCUCUGUCUCCCUUUUUCCUGGAUUCACCUUCCUUAGCAAGUCAGUACCUGCCUCCUCCUAUUCAUGCAUCAGCCAGUAUGGCUUGCCCAACUACCGUCACUGUUGUUGUACGCUUCAUGCAGACGACAUCAAGCUCCCAGCUGGGGGUCCCCUACCCUAUCUCAAAAAAUGUAAUCCAAAACCAAGAAAAAAACCGCUCCCCCCUCCUCACAAAAAGCUCAUCUCUAACAACCAAAAAGCUCCUCCGAAUAUCCUCCAACAGGUGUCUCCACCCCAUUGCAUUUCCAAACCACUACCUGGUUCAUUGACCACCCAACCAGGAAGCAACAUCUGGCUCUUCAAGAGCCCUCCACUUGGCCAGAAGCGUGAACUGCAGCAAAUGAAAAAAACGAGCCCCAUAUGGGGGUCUACACAAACAAAGACAACAACAGAUGAAAAUAAUUAUUCAUCUGUUAGUGCAAAAUAUGAAAGAGAAGACAACAGUGUGCAUCUUCACUAUGACUGAGGAUCAAAUUCUCUUUGAGAUUGAUAUAAAUUAUUUAUAGCUUCAUUGUUCAUGGAGAGUUGAUUCAGUAGUGUCUUCCAUUUGAAGACAUACAAAAAUGGUUAGAAUUAUCUAUUCAUUUCAAGAGAUAACUUGCAUCUAUGACCCUUAUACUCCCAUGAACUUUGAGCAUCUAUUAUUUAUAAAAUAUGGAUGAAAAGAGAAUAAAAAAAAAAAAUUCAUGGGAAGUGUAUUUUGGAAAAAAUAAUUCUCAUUUGAUACAUUGGAAAAGUGUCUACCUCACAUUACCCAAAAAUGACGUUAUAUGUGUACAUGGGUCAUCAUCCAUAGUAACCCAAUUCACAUGAGGAUGGUAUAUCAUUUAUAAAGGUACAUUAAGCUCAAAACAGUGGUACAUUAUAAUCAAAACAAUAUUACUUUAAUAUCAAAAUACAUGUAAGGACAUUUUCAGGUAAUGUGAGGUAAAUACUACUAUAAUACAUUAAAUAAGAAUUAUUUUCCCAAAAAAGUACUUCCCAUGAAAAUGACUUAUGUAGGUUUUCUUUUAUUUAUUUUUUAUAAAUAGUGCAUGUUUACAUGAUUCCCUUAUUAAUAUAAUAUAAUCAUCUAUACAUGAUAAUUAAGGAAAUCGAAAAUAUUUACAUACUAAGCAAGGAUAAUGGAAAUUAAACAGUAUGAAAAAAGAGAAAAAUAAAUAUUAAAUAUAAAUUAAAACUCUAAAAUACAAGCCUUCAUUUGCACAUAUAGGCCAAUAUCUUAGGAGGUAUUUGAUUAAAAAAUAAUAAUGAUUAAAACUGGAAAAAUUUAUGGGUCCCAUUUUUUAAGUGUUUUCAAUAACAUAAUUAUAAACCUCUUAAAAUUUAAAAUCAUUUAUUUAAACCACUUUAUUCAUUUAGCAACAAGGACUUAAUUAAUCACUAAGAUCAAACAUAAUGAUUUAUAAUUUUUAUAAUUUUUUCUUCCAUUACUAUCAUUUUUUUGUUAAUAAAAUGAAGAUUUCUAUUGAUGAAUUUUUUACUAUUAAAAAAAUUAAUUCAUCUAUGAGAUUCUUUUAACUAAUCCUUUUAGAAUUUUUAUAAUUUUUUUUUUCAUAUUUAAAGAUAAAAAAAUUGUUAUGAAAUAAUUAAAUUAAUUAUAAAAUUUAUCUUUCUUUUCUAAAUCAGAAUUUUUGUCAUGUCCAUUCAUAUAAUAAAAUUAAAAUUAUAAAUAAAUAAAAAAACCUAUUUUAAUUGACAGCAUCAUGGAAUCUCUCCAUGCACACUCAUGCAGCCAGCCAUCAAUUCCCACGGCAGCCACGUGUCUUCCAACAAGUAUAUUCCCUUUCUUUGGCUCUCCACGUGUUUGUGUUCUAUUUUUAUUUAUUUAUUUUAUCCUGAUUAGUAGUUCACCGAACAAGCAUAACAAGGAUAUGAGUAGAUAUGUCAUGGCUAUGAUCACUUCUAACACUAAACCUUCUUAAACAAAGUGAGGUAUGAAUGUAGUAUGCCAGUCUAAAUAAUGGUGAAAGAAUAAAAACAAUGGAGAAUGCAUGUAAGAUGUAUAUAUAACUAUAAAUAAGGAUUCAAAAUGAGGGGAAAAAUCAUUGAGAAGGGUGAACCAUGGGUGAUAAGCCACUUUAAGGUUCAUCCUUUGGAUAAAUAUUAAAAGUUAAAGAGUAUAAAAUGUCUACUUAUGUCAUCAUUUUUUUUUUUCACUUUUAAGUUAAAUAUAUUUUUAUUGUUAUAAAUGAAGUAAUGAAUGCCACCACAUUUAUUAUAUUAAAUGUUCAUUAAAAGCAUAUAAAAAUGUUUCCUAUCCCCUAUAAAAUGCAUCCCAAGCAAAGAAAUACAUUUUCUUUCUCUUUUAUUCUCUUUUUUUAUUUUUUUAUUUUAUUUUUAUUCUCCAUAUCUUUCAUUCUUUCAACUAUCUUAAUUGUCUUUUAUGAUUCCUUCCUCUCCAUUAUAUAUCAUUGUCAAAAUAAUAUAUAGUUGUUCUCUACUUUUAUUGUCGUUGCAUUUAUCCUCUUUUUAUAAUAGGUUAUUAGCAUGAAUUGCUCUGAAGGUAAUUCUCAUAUCUUAAACUUGAAGUUAUUUAUAUAGAAUAAAAUUUUACAUAUUUAUAUUGCUAUUGUUAAAUUCAUUUAAUUUGUGUUAUAUAUUAUUAAAAGCUAUACACAAAUUAUUUGAUUUUGAUUAUAAUCAAAAGUUAUACCAAUGCCAUUAAUUUAUAACUAAUUAUAGUAAUAUUGUUUUGUCAUAUAUCUGAAGUUAUUUAACAAUGUCAAAUCUCACAAAACUCAAAUUUAUGGCACUUGACAUUUCGGGAAAGAACUAUAUAUCUUGAAUCCUUAAUGCUGAAAUACGUCUUGAUGCAAUGAAUCUUGGAGCUAUGAUUAAAGAAGGAAAUCAAGCAUCCUUGUGGGAUCACGCAAAAGCGUUGAUUUUCUUUUGCCAUCAUCUCUAUAAAGGUUUUAAAAAUGAGUAUCUUAUAGUAAAUGACACUUUUACUCUAUGGAGUAAUUUAAAGGAAAUAUAUGACCACCAGAAAAUUGUAAUUAUCCGGAAAGCCUGAUAUGAUUGGAUGUAUUCAAGGUUGUAGGAUUUCAAAACUAUUGGUGAAUAUAACUCUGCCCUUUUCAAAAUCAGGUCUCAAUUAAAGCUAUGUGGAGAAAAAAACCAUAGAAGAAGACAUGUUAGAAAAAACUUUACUACAUUUCACGCCUCGAAUGUGCUCUUACAACAGUAAUACCAAGAACGUAUAUUUACAAAAUACUCUGAAUUAAUAUCAUGUCUUCUUGUUGUUGAACAAAAUAAUGAGCUUUUGAUGAGAAAUCACUAGUCUCAUCUAAUUGGAUAUGAACCAUUCCCUAAAGUGAAUGCAAUAUUGUCCCAAACUCGUGGACAUGGGCAAUGACAAGGAAAUGGUCAUGGUCAUGGAAGGAAUCCCUGAUAUAAUGGUUAUUAUGGUAAUAAUUCCACAAAUUCUCAUAAAAUGAAAGCUUCAUUGCACCACUGAUUACUACUCAAAAAGUGCAUUUUUAUAAGCUUAAACUUAAUUGUAUUAAGCACUUUUGAGUAGUAGUUAGACCUUUUAUCCCAAUUGGCAUGUUAAGGACCUAGCAAAUGUUACUAACCAAUUUUUGGUAAGUUUUAGUGUUUUUGAUAGCUUUUUUAUCACUGAAACAGCCCAAGAUUGAGGGAGAGUUUGGAGCACAUGAAGAAUCAGAGCUUUGGAGCACUUCAAAACCCCUUGCCAAACUUGAAAAAGGGUUGCCAAAACUAUCAGUAGUAAGAUGGAGGGAAAUAGAGCAUUUCGCAAGGCAAAAUCAUCAAAUUCGCAAGGUGUGCCAAAAUUCGCAAGGUGUGCCAAACUUUCGCAGGGUGAUUACUACCAAAAAGUGCUAUUUUGUAGACCUAAUUAUAAUGGUUUUAAGCACCUUUGAGUAGUAAUCAUAUUCAUUUAACCCAAUUAAUUCAUUAAGGUCCUUAGUAAUUGGUUUUAACCAUUUUGUGGCAAGUUUACAUGUUUUUAUCAGCUUAUGAAUCAAUUCAAACAUGCCAAAUGAUGGAGGAGCUACUUGGACAAGUUAUGGCAAAGCUUUUGGAAGCUCAAAUUCAUGAAGAACCAAGCUUUGGAGCUCCAUAGCCCUUUUCCAAAGUCGUUCAAAGUAUGCAAGGAAAGAACAAUGGAAAAGAGGAAAAGCAAGCAAAGUGAAGAGAAGCAAAGAGGACAGCAGCUGCAGUCUUCUUUUGCCCUUUUGGAGCACUUACCGAAGUCCAUUUUUUACAUAAUAUAUACCAUUUCAAAGCUCUGGAAGUCAAGAAUCCAACGCUUUAAACCAUGUACGAUUUGGAGCUGAAAUGAGGAAGAUAUGGCCUUCGGAAGACAACUGCUCCAGGUUAUGCGAAAAUUUUGCACGACACAAGGUGUUAUGCGAAAUUCGCAUAACACCUUCAAAAUUCGCAUAACCCAUGCGUGGUGCGAAUUUUGCUCUGUUUUUUCCGACUCCACUUUAGAUAUUUUCCUUUGUAUUUUGUGAUGUAAUUUCCUUUCUUAUCCUUGUAACUAACCAAUCACAAGCUUUUGUUUUUGUAAAGACUAUAAAAGAGGUGGAAAUCACCUCUUGAAAAAAAGAGAACAUGCGUGUUAGGUUUUAUACAGAGCUCUCUCGUUUCUCUUUUCUCUUUACUAUUUUAUUUUCUUGGAAGCCAAACAGCCUCUGAGGGCUUUUCCUUAGAGGAUGAUUGGCUGAAACUUUUAGUUUUUCAAAGUAUGGAUGUUAUGUCAUGGCUUGGAUGCACUCCCAUGGAAAUUUCUCGCACCCGAAAGGUAAGGUAGACGUUUUUCAUUAAAGGUUCAUUAAUGUAAAGUUUGGUUUUUAUUUCCUUUGGACAACUUCCAAUGGCCAAUACUUGAUGAGCUUUUGGAUUUCUAUCCAUUAGUUAUCUCCUACGAGCUAUUGGAAGGUGAGGUUUUCAAUUCCAAGUUUUGCAUUAAUCUGUUAGAACCAAUUUCAAUGGCCAUUGAAAGGUGAGUUUAUCACUUGGAAUGACUUUGAGUUGCCAAUAUUUGGUAAGCUUUUGGCUUUAGACCAUUAGUUAUCUCUUACGAGCCAUUCAAAGGAAGUCUAAGGUGAAUAACCAUUGAUGAAAUUCACUACCAUCUGUUUUUCCAUUUUAAAAGAUUAAAACUUGAUUUGCUAAAUCCAUACCGGUUCGGGAAGCAAGCAUCACCAUAGUUGCAACCCCAACGCGAGGAGCCUAUCCUGAGAUUUCCAAUUUGCAUAAGAGCCAGAGCAUAGCUAUCCUAUCUUUGAGAAACUUGUUUUUACACCCUUUCAUUUUAGUCUUUAAUGUUAGCUUAGAUUAGUUUAAAUCUUUCUAAAACAUUUACAUCUUCUUUUAAAGCUAACAUCCAUAAGAAAAUCACUUAUUUUCCUAAUUUGAAUAUCACUUGUGUUUGCGAAAACCCUUCCCAGUGAACGAUCCUAGAACCACUAUGCUAUAGUAGCUUGGCUACUUUAGUAAUAGUAUUCAAGGUAUAAAUUUUGUUGAUACGCCUUUAAAUCUAAGCUACCAUGAGUCGAAUCACAGGGUGUGCCAAACUUUUGUAGGGUGUGCGAAAAUCACUUUGUGCGCACCGACCUUUGAGAUUUUUCUCCAGAACUGUAAUUGUUCCUUUUUAAUCCUUUUGUAAUAGAUUCAUUACAUUAGGGUUUGUUUAGGAACUAUAAAUAGGGGUUGGAAAACCUCUCAAAAGAUAUUAUGUUAGGAUAGAUAUUAUGUUUUAGAUAUUUUGUAAAGUCUGAGUUUUUCUCUGCCUUUCCUUCUCAUUUUCUCUUCACUUUCUCUCUAACCACACACCCUCUGAGGAUGAUUUCUCAGAGGAUGAGUGGCUAAGUUUCACGUUUCUUGGAGUGAUGGAAGCUAGGUAAAGGACCCAGAUGCAAAGGUAUGAGUUUUCCUUACUUUAAAUGAAGGUAGUUGUGUAUCAUUAAUGGUUUAUAUUUCAAGUUUCAGUUUUAAUCCCUUAGAAUCACCUUGAAUGGUCAAUACUUGGUAAGCUUUUAGGAUUCUAUGGAUGCUUAUUGCUAGAUCCAUGGAUGUCCAUUAGUUAUCAAGUACUAGCCAUUGGAAGGUGGUUCAAGGUGAGGGUCUUUAGUGUUUGAAGCCAUUAAUGGGAAGCAACUACCAUUUUUCAAGAAUCCUUUGGAUCAAAACUUAUAUGCUAAAUAUAAAUCCGGUUCGGGAGAUAACCAUCCUUUAUGUUAUUGUCCCCAAUGCAAGGAGAAGAUCUGGAAUUUCCUGCUUUGCAACAGGAACCUGAUCCUAGUAACCAUAGCUCCAAGAGACUUUCUCUUUAUAAUAAUUUCAAUUGUUUAUGUUUGCUUAACUUAAAAUCAACCCUUCCAAUCAAUCUUAUUUUCAUUUAAAAACUAACUUCCAAAAAGGAAAUCACCAUUUCUUCUUUUAUUAAUGUUAAGUGUACAAAGAAAACCCAUCUCUGUGGAUGAUCCUAAAGCCACUAUACUAUAGUAGCUUUGUCCUUGCUAUCCUAGUAUAAGGUGUUGUAGGUUUUAUAAAUGUUUUGAUAAACACCCGACUGGGCAUGAAUCAAAUGGCGUUGUUGCCGGGGAUGGUGCCUAAGCGCAUAAAUGUUACCUUUUAUGAGUACUUGUGAUCUUCAUCACAAGUUGGUGAUUUUUCUUUCACUAACUCAUUUUCUUUGUUUUUAUUUUAUCUUAUCUUUCAUUUAGUUUUUAGAUAACCUUAAAUAUUUUCCUAGAAUUGUAGUCCUUUUUGUUUUCUUUGUUUUUGUUUCAGUAAUCUCGGGUUGUGUAUGCCCUAUUAGAUAAGAGAUAUUGAGGGAAGACUUGUGAAAAUUGAAACUCCUCAAGAAACUGAGUUGGAAGUCUGCUUGAACAUCAUGGAUUGUCCACAUGAAGAUCAGCAUAGCCAACAUGGGCAAGAGGAGAAUCUCAAUGCAUACCGAUCCAUGAGGGACCGCAUGCAUCCACCUUGAAUGAGUGCACCUUCAUGCAUAGUGCCUCCCACUAAGCAGCUAGUGAUCCGACCUCAUAUAGUGCCACUUCUACCUACUUUUCAUGGGAUGGAAAGUGAGAACCCCUAUUCUCACAUCAAGGAGUUUGAAGAAGUGUUGAUUACUACCCAAAAAGUGUUAUUUUGCUCCUUUAAUUCAUUAUGUUUUAAGCACUUUUGUGUAGUAGUUCUCCAUCUUUAUUCCAAUUGGCAUGUUAAGGACCUAGCAAUGACUUCUAAUCAUAUUUGUGGCUAGAUUUAUUGUUUUGACAGCUUUUUGGAUCAUUAAGACAAGCCAAGUAAAGGAGAGAAGCAAAGAGGAAAACAGAGUGAAGAAAAUAGAGGACAGCAUCUGCAGUAUUCCUUUGCACUUUUGGAGCACUUAAUGAAGUCCAUUUUCUACAUGCUAUAUACCAUUUAAAAUAUCAGGAAGUCAAGAAUCCAACGCUUCAAACCGUGUAUGAUUUGGAGCUAAAAUGAGGAAGAUAUGGCCUUCGAAGACAACUGCAUCAAGCUAAGUGCGAAUUUCGCACAGCAGCCCAAGCAAGUGCGAAUUUCGCACCACCAGCCAUGCAAGUGCGAAUUCGCACCAGCCCAUGCUUCUUUGGUGCGAAAUCUCCUCUGUUUUUCCGACUCCACAUGAGAUCUUUUCUUUUGUAUUUUUUGAUGUAAAUUCCUUUCUUAUCCCUGUAAUUAGCCAAUCACACGCUUUGCUUUUGUAAAGAUUAUAAGAGGGGUGGAAAUCAUCUCUCGAAAAAUGACGAACAUAUGUUAUGUUUUACACUUAGUAAAAUACAGGGCUCUCUUUGCUUUCCUUUUCUCUCUACUAUUUUCUUUUUCUUGGAAGCCAAACAACCUCUAAGGAUGUUUUCCCAGAUGAUGAGAGGCUAAACCUUUGGUUUCUUGGAGUGAAGGAAGCUAGGUGAAAAGUCCAGAUGCAAAAGUGGAAAACUCUCGUGCAUUAAAUACAGGUAGUUGGAGUUCAUAAAUGGCUUUUAAAUCUAAAGUUUUGCUUUAAAUCCCUUAGAAUCACUUUGAAUGGCCAAUACAUGUUAAGCUUUAGGUCUCUGUGGAUACUUAUUGCUAGAUCCAUAUCAGACCAUUAGUUAUCAUGUAUGAGCCAUUGGAAAAUGGCUCAAGGUGAAGACCCAUAGUGUCUAAAGCCAUUAAUGGAACCUGACUACCAUUUCUAUUGACUUUUUAUGGAUUAAAUCUUCAUUGUUAAACCUAUACCGGUUCGGGAAACAACCAUCCUUUAUGUUGUUGUCCCCAAUACGAGAAGAAGAAUCCGGAAUUUCCACUUUGCAUUCUGAACUUGAUCCUAGCAACCCUUAUCUUCGGGAGACUUUCUUUCUUCCAUUUUUACCUAGUUCUAUAUUAGUUUAGCUUCAAACACCACUUUCAAAAAAAAAUUUAUUUUCCUUUAAACUUUAAGUUUUUGACAAAGGAAAUCAUCAGAUUCAAUUUCUAAUCUUGAGUAUAUCAUUGGUAGAAUGAAAACCCAUCCCAGAUUUCGACCCUAGAGCUGCUAUACUAUAGUAGCUUUGCUACGCUAGUAUGAGGUCAUAGGAUUUAUAAAUAUUUUUUAUUAAAACACCCGACUGGGCACGAAUCAAAAUGGCGCUGCUGCCGGGGAUGGUGCCACUUUACAGUGAUAUGACCUUUUCAGAGUACUUGUGAUCUUUAUCACAAGUUUGGUGACUUUUCUUUUCCUUUUAUUAACUCUUUUUUUUUGUUUAUUUUCCUUUGUUCAUGUUUUAGUAUAUCUUUUAUUUAGAUUUUAGUUAAUCUUAAUAAUUUUCUUUAGAAUUUUAUUUUCUUUUGUUUGCUCUGUUUUUAAUUCACAAAUUGCUAGUUGUGCAUGCCAUUUCUAAAACACUAGUGCAAGCUAUGUCGUGUGCCAUUUGUCAAUCUUUUGAGCACUUGGUGGAGGAGUGUCCUAUCCUUCCAGCAAUGAGGGAGAUGUUUGGUAUGCCAUGUGGCAUUUGUCAGUCUUUUGAGCACCUGGUGGAGGAGUGUCCUAUCAAUCCAGUGGCAAGAGAGAUAUUUGGUGAUUAUAACACCUACAAUUCAUUUUGUAGGAAUCAUCCAAAUUUCUUUUAGGAACCACAACCACGUCAGUACAUGCAACCCGCUCAAGCACCACAUCAAGCCUUGAAACUUGAACAAGCAAUUGUGAACCUUACCAAGGUUGUGGAAGACUUUGUAGCACACUAGAAAUCCAUCAUUGAUCAAUUCAGGCAAGAAAAUGCUCAAGUCAGGCAAGAAAUUGAUAGCCAAGACAGAAAGAUGGAUGGGAGGUUGAAUGAUUUGUCUCAGAAGACAGACAAUCUUGAAUACUCAAGCUCAAGGCUUAUCAACCUCAACACAGAGCGAGAAAAAGAAAACUUUCCUUCUCAACCAUAUCAACAUCUCAAGGGUAUCCAUAAAGAGGAGGCCCAAAACGAAGAAAAUUCAAUGGUGAGGAAAGUCAAAGUAGUUAUGGUUGAUCAGCCCAUAUUCAAGCCAAAGCAUGAUGAAGGGUUACCUGAACCCUCAGAGAAGCUUGCUAAUCUGUUCCAUUGGACGAGAACAAAAGAAAUGUAGCCCUUAUUGAAUGCGGUGGAGAUACAGAGACAUGCGAAGGAGGAGCCCCCAAAGCUUAUUCUUAACUCGCUACCUCUAAAGAUGAAAUAUGCAUACCGGGUAGAAGACAAGCUGAAACAGGACCAGUUUUUUUUUUUUUUUAUAGACUUAGUCUUUCUAAAGACUAGCUAGUCCAUAUAUUUUUGUUUUAUUUUUAAAUUUGUUUUGAUUUUGAUUUCUUGCUUUAAUUUUAUUUUGGUUUGAUUUAACUUGGGUUUUUUUAUGAUCAACACAGGGGAAGCCAAAAACAGAGGAAAACAGAGCAAUUUGCACCACCCUACCCCCUUGUGCAAAAUUGCUUUUGUGAGCAUUUUCCAAAAAGCAUGCUCUCGGUCCCUACCCAAAAUCUUAGUGCAAAAAUGCACAGGAAUGCGAAAAUUUUUGCCAUCACUAUUCACUUUGUGCGAAAUUCGCAUUUGCUCUUUAAAAGCCAAUUUCUCUUCUUAAAAUCUAAGUUUGUUCUUCUUCAAUCCUCUCAACCCCUCUUUUCCGAUCACUCCUUUCCAUCCACAAGGUCCUCUCCUUCAUCAUCUCCCAUCCUAAAACCCCACCAUGGCAGCCCAUCUCAAAAGCUUCAUUCCAUAGUCGCGGCCAUCACUAUUCACAACAGCCCAUGCCUUUCAUUUUCAGCUUUUUCUCCUCCUUCCACCAUAAAAAACCCUUCAUUUCUUCACUCAACACUCCAAAUCCAUCCCUAAACCCAACCCAACCUUGAUUUUUCAAAAUCAAAACCUCAAGCAUAGGUUUCAAAGCCUCGAUUUCUUCAUAAGAAACCCAUUGUCGCCGGGUAUGGGAGCUUCAAAAUCUCUCAUUCUCUUCUUGUAAAGCUCCCAUUUCCAAGCUUAGCCACCAUGAAAAACUCCUUUCCUACCUCAGCCAGCAUUUCCCACCCUCAAAAACCAAGAAUUGUUGCCAUUUGAAACCACCACAAUUUCGCAUUUGCACGGGUGAAUAGUGCAUUGUGUGAAAUUCGCACAACACAUUUCCCUUGUGCGAAAUUCGCACCACCCUUCCCUUGUGCAAAUUUUUGAGCUUCUUCAUCCCUACCUUCCCUAAUCCCAAGCCUCUGAGCCUCAUUUCUUUGUUCCAUUAUGCCUAAGACCCGAGGAGGCUAUGCCUCAGCUCCCUAGAGCAGUCAGAGAGCUGCCCCUGUGCAGGCCCCACUAGAUGUACCCCCAUAUUUACCUGAUUCUGUCCCUUAGCGCAGAUACCAUACGAGGAGAGCAGUUGCCAUGCUUGUGGCCCCUACUCAGAUUCCACCUAGGAGUCCUCCUACAAAGAAAGCCAAGACUUCAAAGCCAAGAGAGUCCUCCAGAGCACCUCGAGAUUCACAGUCUCAGCCUCCUCCCACCAAGCGCCCUAUCCUCGCCAGCUCGCCCAUUGAGGGCAACUCCGAUUGCCGAUCGAGAGCAUUCCAUGUCGAGGCAUAUUUUGAUCACUCUAUUUUGCGACAGCAGCCUGAGUUAGGGGAUUCAUACCGCAUACUUGAGAGGUACCACCUUAUACCCUUUAUGACUCCCCCACAGUUCUUUUAUCCUCAAGUAGCUUUAGACUUUUACCAGUCUAUGACUACUCGUGGCGUCCCGGUACCAGCCUCGAUCCUUUUUGCCAUUGAUGGAUGCCAGGGUAUUUUGGGGGCUAGACAGAUUGCCGAGGCUUUCCAUAUCCCUUAUGCACUAGCAGAUCCCGCUACAUUUAGACGUUGGGCCCCACUUUCUGAGUGGGACAUGGUUCGUAUACUAUCUCGAGGGACAUCUUCACAGAGGAUCAUUAUGAGGAAGGAGCUUCCCCCUGGGAUGCUCCUAGUUGAUGUGGUGCUUUGUAACAAUCUUUUUCCUCUUCAGCAUAAAGUGUAAAGGCGAGGGGCCAUUCUAAAGGCAUUAUUCCGUAUCUCUGAGGACUACUACUUUAGCCCCCAUCAUUUGAUUAUGGUCGCCCUCCUCCAUUUUGAGGAGAAGGUGCAUAAGCGGCGUCUUACGAGGGCAAACACCAUUCUUUUAUUUUUCCCUCGACUGCUAUGCCAUGUUCUAGCGCAUAUGGGUUUCCCUGCAGACCCUCAUUCUGAGCACCGUCGCCAUUAUCGAGAGAACUUCUCUCUUGACCAAUGGAAUCAGGUAUGGCUCCAUCAACAUUCCCCAGAACUUCCCGAGCCAAGGGAAGUCCCUCCACAGCCUUUACCAUCUAUAUCUGCUCCGUCCACUUCAGCUCCCUCGGAGCCCGUACCAGAGGCAGCAUUGUCUGACACCCCACCUGUUGUUCCUCCUACCUAAGAGCCACCCAUUACUAUCCCUGGUGCAGAGUAUCGUGACUUGCUCGCUUCUUUCCAGACUCUGACCACUACUCAGACGGCUAUUAUGGAGCGGAUGGACCACUUCCAGCUUCGGUAGGACCAACAGACUCUCAUUCUCUGUGAGAUUCAGCAGCACCUCGGUCUUUUGCCACCAGCUCCACCUGUUGCUCCUGUGCCCUCAGAGCCUUCUACUCCAGCUGAUGAUGCUACACCUAUAGCGGUACCUUCCACAGUUGCAGCGGAUGACCCCUCCUAUCCACCAGAGGAGCCUACUACUUGAUCAUACGAUCACUCCUCUCAUUUUUUGAUUUGUAUCUAUAUUCUAUGUUUUUGGAUGUGUUAUAUAUUUUGGACUACUUUUAUAUUGGGAUUGGAUGUGUUCCAUGUUUAUCUUGUAUAUUGUACUCUCUCAGUUUAUAUAGACAUCUUCCUUUUUGUGUAUUUUAGUUUUUUCUUUUUAUUUCCUCUAAUCAUCACUCUUAUGAUUUUUCUUUUCUUAUGCAACAUGUGGUUUCUCCUAUUCAUUUAGAGUCCCUUACUAUCAGGAGGUAUCACUUCCUCCCUUUUUAUUAUCACUUGUUUUUGGAACAUUGGGGACAAUGUUCAUCCUAGUUGGGGAGAGAGUUGAGGAAGUAAUUUAUUGAAUUUUUAGUUAAGUUAUUUUGCUAACAAAUUUUUUGCAAACUCUUUUUGUUUUCUCAAAGAUAAAUUCUCAAAAAUAAAUGGGAGAAAUUAAAUUCUUAUCUUAUUGCCAUAGUCUUAGAGUUUGUAUUAUGCUUAUUAAAGUUGAUAAAUUGUUGAAGCUCCUUUUGAUUUCAAUCUUAAGUCUUCCACUCUAAUCUUUUCACACACUGAACACAUUAGAUUCCAGUUAUAAGAUGGAAAACUUUCUCACCCCCUAAACUUAGGAAAUUUUCGACUUGGUGCCUUUGACCUCAUUCUAUUAGUGUUGGGACACCUUAUAAAAGGCCAAUGUGUCUUAUGAAAAAAUUUGCUUCACUUGCUUUGAAACUCGAGCAAGGUUCGAGGGGUAUAUGGUGAAAAUCUUUGAAGUCUGGUGCCCUAAGCCUUUAUUGGUUGGGAGUCACUGACCUCACUGCUCGUUACAUAGGUGGAUGGGUGGAGUUCAAAAAAAAAAAAAAAAAAAAAAGGUGCGUUCUUAGCCUUUUAUAUGGGGGUUAGUGUUGCUAAAGUUAGAGAAAAACCUUAGUUGGGGGGAGAAUAUAGUUUGACAUACUAUAACUGGAAACUAAGCACCUUAACACUUAGAUUUUUGUGGAAGAUUAAGAGUUGGUCCUUUGGGAGUGGAAAUUAUUGUGAUACUCAAAUUUGCAUAAUGCCCACUCUUUGUAUGUUGUGAUAUGUAAGUUAUUUGAUGACUCUUGUUGAUGAUUGAGUUUUAUAUCCUUGACUUGCCAUGUGAGAUUUUGAUCUAAUCAUGCCACUUGAUUAUUUUUUCGAGUGAUCAGCAUGAUUUUGUAAAUUAUUAUAUUAUCUAUUUUUCUUUAUUUUUCUCUCCUUCAUUGCUCAGGUACUAGCAAUGUGUCAGUUGGGGGGAGUGAUUACUACCCAAAAAGUGUUAUUUUGCGCCUUUAAUUCAUUAUGUUUUAAGCACUUUUAUGUAGUAGUUCUCCAUCUUUAUUCCAAUUGGCAUGUUAAGGACCUAGCAAUGACUUCUAAUCAUAUUUGUGGCUAGAUUUAUUGUUUUGACAGCUUUUUGGAUCAUUAAGACAAGCCAAGUAAAGGAGAGAAGCAAAGAGGAACACAGAGUGAAGAAAACAGAUGACAGCAGCUGCAUUCUUCCUUCGCACUUUUGGAGCACUUACCAAAGUCCAUUUUCUACAUGCUAUAUACCAUUUCAAAGCUCAGGAAGUCAAUAAUCCAACGCUUCAAACCGUGUACAAUUUGGAGCUAAAAUGAGGAAGAUAUAGCCUUCGGAAGACAACUGCAUCAAGCUAAGUGCGAAUUUCGCACAGCAGCCCAAGCAAGUGCGAAUUUCGCACCACCAACCAUGCAAGUGCGAAUUUCGCACAGCCCAUGCGUCUUUGGUGUGAAAUCUCCUCUGUUCUGCCGACUCCACAUGAGAUCUUUUCUUUUUUAUUUUUUGAUGUAAAUUCCUUUCUUAUCCCUGUAAUUAGCCAAUCACAGGCUUUGCUUUUGUAAAGACUAUAAGAGGGGUGGAAAUCAUCUCUUGAAAAACGACGAACAUAUGUUAUGUUUUACACUUAGUAAAAUACAGGGCUCUCUUUGCUUUCCUUUUCUCUCUACUAUUUUCUUUUUCUUGGAAGCCAAACAACCUCUAAGGAUGUUUUCCCAGACGAUGAGAGGCUAAACCUUUGGUUUCUUGGAGUGAAGGAAGCUGGGUGAAAAGUCCAAAUGCAAAAGUGGAAUACUCUCGUGCAUUAAAUACAGGUAGUUGGAGUUCAUAAAUGGCUUUUAAAUCUAAAGUUUUGCUUUAAAUCCCUUAGAAUCACUUUGAAUGGCCAAUACAUGUUAAGUUUUAGGUCUCUGUGGAUACUUAUUGCUAGAUCCAUAUCAGACCAUUAGUUAUCAUGUACGAGCCAUUGGAAAAUGGCUCAAGGUGAAGACCCAUAGUGUCUAAAGCCAUUAAUGGAACCUGACUACCAUUUCUAUUGACUUUUUAUGGAUUUAAUCUUCAUUGUUAAACCUAUACCGGUUCGGGAAACAACCAUCCUUUAUGUUGUUGUCCCCAAUACGAGAAGAAGAGUCCGUAAUUUCCACUUUGCAUUCUGAACUUGAUCCUAGCAACCCUUAGCUCCGGGAGACUUUCUUUCUUCCAUUUUUACCUAGUUCUAUAUUAGUUUAGUUUCAAACACCACUUCCAAAACAAAUUUUAUUUUCCUUUAAACUUUAAGUUUUUGACAAAGAAAAAACCAAAAGCAACCCUGAAUCAAGUACCAAUUAAACACUAAUCUAAAUUAAAGUGAUCGUGAGAAGUUGCCAACUCAUAUUGGCUGGUGUAAAGUUUUUUUGGGAUUCAAUAGGUUUUGAUAUACUUCCCUUAAACCAUCGCACUUGAAUUUAAAGGCUAGAAUCAAGAAGCCUAAUGAAACUUGGUACAAGCUCAAUUACUGGACUUCUUAUUAAUUAACCAGGAGCAUCAAGUGACAAGAUAUUCACAAAAUCUAUCAAAGCAAUGAAAAUUGUGUAUCCUACAUAAUUUGAUUGUAGAGCUGAUUUCAAAUCCAUUACUCGAACUUAAAAGGAAAAAAAUUGAAGACAAUUUUGUGAGGACAAAUUAAAAUUGUGAGGAUCCCGAAUUCAACAAAUUAGCAUUUCUCUACCGGGUGCAAUUUGGCAAAUUGGUUUGACCUAACUUGAAUCUUGGUGAAGUUGAGAAACCAUUUAUAGUACUCAAGUUAGGAUUUGGUCGAGUUUCUCAACCAAAAGUUAUUUUGGGUUGAGUUCAAUUUUGGGCUAAGUUCAAACCAAUGCUUCAACAAUCUAAGCUGAAUUAAACUCCAUUAAUAUUUUAUAAUAUUUAUAGAAUAUAUUACUAUAUAAUAAUAUCAAUUUUUUUUCUAAAAUAAGUUUAAGGGAAAAACCAUCAAAAUAUAUUAAGCUAACUCUCAGAAAUUUGCCUAUCCCCUUGUGAACACUAUUUGGAAGGAAAAUUAAUUAGGAAGCCUCUUAAGCAAGCCAAAAAGGUAUCUGGUCCUUUGUAGCCUAUGCAUUCCAAAGUACAGGGCCUAAUGAACAUGCGAGCCAAGCAUGGUGCCUACUACUUCAUCACAUUUGCGGAUGGUUAUAUCUACAAGUCCAAAGAAUUGCUUUGAUUUAGAUGUUAUAUGAAUAUUGUUAAAAAAAAUGAAAAGAAAAAACUAUUACAACAUUAAGGAUAAAUCAUGGACUUGAGUAUCCAUUGAAGAGUUUUAAAAAUCUCUAUGAUGAAAAGGAAAUCCAAAGAACAAUCAAUGGCUUCAAGGACUCCACAGUAAAAUGGUUGAACUAAAAAAAGUAACCAUAAACUUUUGGAUAUGGUUCACUCAAAAAGGCACAAGCCAACUAUCUAACAUCUUUCAGGGUGGGAAAUGAGGGUUACUAUUUUGAUUGAAUAGAGUGCCCUCAAAAUCAAUUACUUCAAAUCCAUAUAGUUAAGAAGUCAAACCUAGCUCACUUGUGAUCCUAAGGGUUAGCAAGUUUAGUUCAUGUAAAUUUUCAUAGAUAUUGUGCUAUAAAGGAAACAAGUGCACUUUCAUUAGAUAUUCUAAUAAAUCAAAGGUUGUGUGAUGCUUAGUGAACAACUCAAUGGGAGUAUAAUUGAAAUAAAGUCAUAUGAAGUCAAUUUCUUAUAGGAUGAUAUUUUUAGUAGAGCAGCAUUGAACAAGAGUCUCAAUUUAUUUGAGGCAAUUAAACCAAAGGAAAAUACUAUGAUAUCUCAUAUCGAAUAGGAGAAAAAGUUCUUGACAUUAUAUAUAUGAGCUUCUCUUAAUUAUUUAGACACAUUUUAAUGUUGUAAGGGCUCUUUGAGCCCAAAGUGGAUGAUAUAUAUUUACACGGUUGGGAGUGAGUCAUUACAAAUGGUAUCAAAGUGUAUCCUCAACCAUGGUAUGGGAGUUUAUCUCAUCAUUGUAAUUAUGGGCAUUAAGGUGAAGCUUUCAUGUUUGCAUGAUAUGAUGUAACCAUAAAUGGAGUUCAUUAAUACUUAUAUUAUGACUUCGAAUUUCUAUUCACUAUCCUAUUUAUGAAUUAUGUAUGUUAAGCAUUCAAACCUACAUCACUUGCAUGUACAUGACUUGAGUGAAUUAGGAGUCACAUGAAAAAUCUAAGUCAUAGAUUCCUUACAAGUUAAUGACUCGUUCACAAUUGGUUCAUGGACUUUAAUAAACCAUUUGAGGCUAUAGUGCACUACCUCCUAAUUGGAGGGAUGACUUGCCCUAGUCAUUAGGAUGGGUUCCCCAUGGUGAGUGUACUAGUGUGUUUAAUUAUGUUGGGAAACCUAGAUAUUUCCAUUCCCAUAACCCUAGAUCGUAUAGGUGCAUGCAAAAUACCCUAGGCCUCUAAAUCCUAUGAACCAGAAGCAAAAAUCAAAAUUUUAACAUUCUAUAAUCUAGGGAAAAGUCACUAAAAACUUUGAGAAAAUUAAAGGCUAAUCUUAAUAGAGAAAACACCCAAGAGAUGAGGAAGGGGGUGAAUUGGGUUUUUAAAAAAUAUUUUUCAAACACCACAAAUUCAAGAAAAUGAAACACAAAUAUAAAGAUAUAAGGUUAGAAAGAGCAAACUUAGAUUUUAUAGUGGUUCAGCACUUCCUUGCCUAUGUCCACUCUCCUCAACCUCUUAACCGAGUGAAGGUUCCACUAUACUUGAAGCUUCAACUAAGCUUUUAAUCACCUUUACACUUGGAUUCCGGCUCCAAUGGGCUAUUACAUAAUCCCUUCAAGUCUUAACUCACUUGAAUCUUUUAGCAUUCAAAUAACAAGUUUGAAUCUCUCAACCUAGCCCAACAAGGGCUCAAAUACAACUUAAAUGUUAGGAAGAAUCACAAAGGUGCACUAAGAAAUAUGCAAAUGGAUAUUGAAUGCACUAAGGAAAGAAUGAGAGCUUUUGAGGCAAGAACAAGUAGGCAAACAAAUAAAUGCAGGUGUUCUCUACCUCAUAAAUGAAGUGGAGUUCUCAAUUUAUAGGUUUCUAGCCUUAAGAGUAAAAAAUGCCAAAAAGCGGCCAUGAUCAGUCGAGUUAGGGUUACUAGCCAUUGGAUAAUAAAUGCAUUGUAGGUGAUUGUUACGCCUCAACCGGUUUUUGACCAAAUCUCGACCAGAUCUCGACCGAGAAGGCAUAUCCCUUGACCAGGAAUGCAAAGCUAUAAGAAGAGAGAGAAGAUUUUUUGCAUUUCUCGACUGGACCUCGAUCAAGAAGGUGUAACCGAUCGACCAGUGCCCUAGCCGAUUGAGCCAGUUGGCUAGUGCCUUGACGAGUUCACCAUUUUUUGCCUGAAAACUUUUUUUUUUUUUUUUUGUUCUUUUCUCUUCUAACACUUAGGCAAGGUAUUUAGGUAAAUUAAUAUGCCAAUUUUGAAACAAUUUGUCUAAGGUUCAUCUGAUAAAACUCGGGUUUUGACGAAAAUGUAACUUUAAUGCCUAAACUGAGUUUUUAAAGUGCAUGAAAAGAUAUGAAAAUCCUAUGUGCACAAUGCAUUCAUCUUAGAUAUGUUUCCUAUUAUUAAAGGGUCUUUCAAUUGUCUUGAUCUUGCAUCCAUUGGGUUCUUUUAUGAAUUUCCAAACUAAUAUAUGAAAUUCUUUAUAAUUCAAACCAAUUAAUGACUUAACCAUGGUUUGUUAUCAUCAAAACGUGAUUAGGAGAACCCUUGGGCUAACAAACUUUACAUUUGAUUUAAAUGGUUCUUAAAUCAAUUAUGCUUAGUGAAUGUGAAGCCUAAAGAGUCCAGAGGUCUCACACAUCGAAAAUCUUUUGCUUGAUGACUUGAUCCACGAUCUUGCCACUCCAAAAUGGGGGCUUUUGAAGAGAGAAAUCCUAGGCUCUCUCUUUUUAGAGUUAGAAGAUGAUUGUCUCUCAAAAAGUGAUUGCAACCCUAACCUUUAAAUGGUAUUUAUAGAAUUUCCCUACUGGGCUUAAAUGACUUGAGCCCACUAAGGCUUGGGUCACUUAAUCUUGUAUAAAAUAGGUCUUAAUUGAUUAAUUAACCAUACAAGAUCAUCUAAUUACCUAAUUCAUGUCAAUGAGAUAAUAAAGAGAAAACAAAAAAUAUAAAUAAAUUUCUAUCUGUUACAUCAUGUCAUGCUUUUUAGGGCUCAAUCCUAAUAGGUUACACAUUAGAUAGGAUUUAUGGUGAGUCAGACAUUGGUCAUUAGGUAGUCUUGACUUCACGAAGCUACUAUGUUGCAUAAGCUCUCAACCUUGAGAGAAUAUUGAUCUAGUGCUAAGGUCUUCAAUGGCUUUGACCCAUGAGUGAGACCCUAAAGUGGUCAUAUAUUCUCUAUAAAUUGAGUCACUAUGAUUGAGGCAUGUGAUAAUGGGUAUUCUCAAGAUAAGCACCAUGAUAUCUUAAGGGAUUGAAACAUUAUAUCCCCUUAGAUGAUCAUAAGGACAUGUGAUUGUGAAAAUUAUGGUCAUAAUAAUUCCUUAAGUGGAAUUUGACAGAUGCUCUUGAAGAGAUAUAGUAUGUCAAUUGAUCACAUAAUAGGAGGAUCUAAGACUCAAGGAUUGUAGAAGUAGUCUUGAGAGGUUGAUAACAUUCAUUUUGUUAAAUUAUGGAUAAUAAUUCAUGAGGAGCUUGCAUGCAAUUGCUAGUAGGUCACAAACUGAAGUUUUCUAUCUCGGUCUAAUAUCAUAAAGAUACUAAAGUGUAGUUGACUCUCUAGAGUUAGAUUUUGAGUCAACUUUAAAAUUGGAUUUUAAGGGAGCUAGUACUUCCCUAUGGAUCCUAGUGGUUCCCACUCAAACUCAUAUUCCUUGGUCAAAAAAUAUUUGAGGAAUAGUAGGAUUCUUUAUUUAUAUGUGUGUAUAAGAGCAUUUUGGUAAAUACAGAAGGUUGCACAAGUACAUAUAAAUAGUCUUUUAAAUCAGAUAAUUAAUUAAUUGAAGCUUAAUAGAUAAAUUUAGUUAAUUAGGACCUAAUGAGUUAGAUUAAGUAACCCAAACAUAAGAUGAGCUCAAGUCACUCGAGCUAAGAGGUAAGCCUAUAUAAACUCCUUAAAGGGUUUAAGGCUUAGUACUUUUCAGCUAUUCAAUCUUCUACCUUAAUAUCUAUCCCCGUAGAGAGGAUUCUAACACCCUUGUGUAUUAGGAUACAAGAAAGAGAGUUAUCAGGCAAAAGAUCAUGAGUUAUUUGAGAUCUUAAUUAACCUCUUCACCAAUUAGAUUUAAUUCUUUGAGCACUUAAAUCUAAUAUUCAUUGUUCUGAAUUCUCCCAUUACAUAGUUCUAGCAUUUCUACGAAGAUAGUGUCAUGCACCUAAUGAUCUAGGGCUUGAAGUUAAGUAAUCUAGAUGUUCCAACACAUCAGAAGUAUAAAUUUUUUAAUAAUGUUCUCUUAUCCAUACUUGUGAAAUAUGGAAAGCUAUAGUGAAAUAACAUAUGAAGUUUAUUAGCAAGAACUCUAUUUGAGAAUUAAUUGAACUAUUGUUAAGACAUAAGACCUUAAGGAAUAAGUAGGUUUUUAAGGUCAAACUUUAGGCAAAUGAUGCAAGUUGUUAAACUUAACUCAUGAAGAAAGGCUACAACCAAAAUGAGAGUGUAGAGUAUAAAAAAAAAAAAAAAAAAAAAAAAAAGAACUUCUCAUGAGAAGUGAGGUUUGCCUCAACUCUCCUUAUUCAACCAUUAUCACAUUUUGGAUUUGAAAUUAUAUCAAAUAAACAUUCAAAUCAUUUUUUUUUCAAUGGAGAACUAAAUAAGAAGAACUAUAUAGAUCAACUAACUUGUUUUAUGGCAACUAAAUAGAAAGUCAAAGUUAACAACUACAAAGGUCCAUUUAUAGCCUACAAUAAUCAUUUAAACAAUGGUAUAUUACACUAAUGGGUUUAUGAUGGUCUAAGAACACUAUUACAUGUUUGUUAAAUGGUGUAAGGGUAGAUUCUUUAUUUUUUAUUUAUUUAUUUAUUUUUUUGUAUACAAAUGAAAUGUUAGUUAGGGAUGAUAAUGAGAUGGUUGCCUCUAAAGUGUGGUGGUCGUCAACUUUUAAAAUGAACAACAUGCUUAAAGCAAACUAUGUGUUCAAAGUUAUGAUUCUAAUCAAUCAAUCAAUGAGACUUUUUGGUUUGUUUUACAAAUCAUACACAAUGAAUAUUCUUGGAAAAAAUCUAGAUGUAAAAUUGAAAAUCUAUUAGCAUACAUAUACAGAAAGAUAAGACCUUAAGCUUUAACAUGUGUCGUAAGACUUUAAAUGAAUAGGAAAAGAUCACUCAAGGUUCCUAUAUGCUAGCAUUGUUAGUAGCUUAAAGUACCCAAUGAUGUGUACAUGAACUAAUAUUUGUUAUGUAAUUAGGUUAGUAACUUCUAAUUAGAUCUAAACCUUGCUUACAAAAAAGCAAUGGACUGGAUGCUUUCGUACCUUAAAGUCACCAUAGGCUAUAUAAUUUUCUAUUGAGGAUUGAAUUUGGACUUGAUUAGCUAUAACAAUGAUAAUUGGGGUAGCAUCCUAAAUGAACCCAAAUCCACACAUGGUUAUAAUUUUACAUAUGCUCUAUGAUGGUAGCAUAUAUUGGUGAAAUAGAAAACAAUCAUGUAUAACAUUGUCUACCAUGCAUGUAGUUAGGAGUACAUGACUUGUCGUUUAGGAAAGUGACUAGUUUAUGAUGUUCAUACAUAUUUUUCACAAUAUUGCUUGUUCUUUUGAGCAUACUACUAUUUAUUGUGAUAGCAUGGAAACUUUAGCCUAUGUCAAAGACCCCCCCAAGUAUCCAUAGUUGAACCAAACACAUCAAUCUUAAACAUUAGUUUAUAUGAGACAUGGUUGCAUAGGAACAUAUUUCUAAUUGAUAAAUGGUUAAAAAUCCCACCCUCACCCCCUUGUUGACUAAGCUAAUAUGUAAAGAUGUUUAUUAGGGUCAUGUUGAGAGCAUUGUAUUAUUUAGAUUAUGAUUACAUGGGAGUUAAGUUAAGAGCAUUGGAUCAUGUAUAUUAUGAUUACAUAUUAUAUAUUUCAAUUAACCAUUAUAUCUAUGAUUUAUUCAUUGUCCAAUCUUGUUUGAUGGUGCCAUUUAAUUAUUUGUUUUACUUUAUUGACAUACACUUUCAUUACUUUGCACAAUUGAAACAUAAUGAGUCCAAACCACUUAGAUAGUGUGUUAGAUCAUUGAUAUUUAUAAGACUCCUAUUUGUAUCCAAUAAAACUUGCAUGUUAGUAGCGACCAAGUAUAGAUAGUCCUAUAGUACACAUUUGUAAUGGAGUCAAUUGCCAAAUCUUGUUAAUGUAGUGCUUGAUUUAGUAAGCAUGUGCAAAACUUGAGUUCUUUGUUCGAUGCAAGUAAACUAAGAUUUGUACAAUAUAGAAGAUCUAAGGUACACUCAUAAUGAAGAUCUCCAUGUCAGCAUGUAUUUUCAUACUAUAUCUUCUUGGCAAUCAAACAAGAAUGAAUGAAUAUAUUCAUAGCUACUCCCUCAUCAUGUGCAUUAAUCUUAUAGGUCAUUAUAUAGUAUAACUUUUAUGCCCUUGUGAUUUUCAGUCAUAAGUUACAAGUAUGGUGUAGUUUUAAAUAUUUUUCUAAGGGGAUUCACCAUGUUUAACUCAAUGUGAAUAAAAGUGUUUAAGAUAUAACGAGACACCUUUUAGGGAUGAAUUACACUGGUUAAGAUGAAAUUUAGUUUAAUACUCUUACACCUUUCUUAUCAAUGUGUUCGACAGUUGUACAAUCCAUUAGUCAAUAUGGACAUGGAUGAUAAUGAUAUAGUUGAGAGAAAUGCAUGACGUUAUUUUGCCUACUAUGCAUGAGUGGGAAACAAUGGAGUUUCUAUUUCAUGAGAUACUCUUAGUAGAACUUCAUUAACUAAGAGCUUGAGAGUAAGUUGCAUACUUAUCAGUUAAGAUUCCUCAUGCGAGGAAAGUUUAGUUAAGAUUCCUCUCGUGGGAGGAGGUUCACAUUUAGAUUUGGUCAGAAUAUAUAAGAGUUGUUUGUCCUUUGCAAUUCCAAUUCUAGUCUUUUUGCAUGUUUUCAAUUUAGUUUGUGGCAGUUGUUAAAUACUUCUACUUUAAUUUGUAGCAAUUAUAAUUUUUAAAGCUUACUAUUUAGGUUUAGAUUUACUACAUGCUUAUUAGAUAUCUUAAUUCCUAUUGUAUUCUCCUUGGUUAAUAAUCUUUCAAUUUGAUUGUGGAGUUCAAAGAUUUUUACCAAAAUAGGGAUCGGGGUUUUCAAAGUUAGGAAAAGUAUUUAAUAAAAUUAAUUUUUGAAAAAGUUUGCAAGCUAAAUCUUUCAAUUGAACCUAAUGAGUUUACAUACUAAAUCUCUCAUUUUCAGCCUUGGUUGUUUCCACUCUUUGCAAUUUAAUUAGUUUUUUUUAAUAUACAUAUAUAUAUAUAUAUAUAGAUAAUUCAUUUUGUGUACCUAUAUACUCAAGUUUUUGAGUAAUUAUGAGUUGUAUUGUUAUAUAGUAGAAUUUGAUAAACUAAAAAUGCUUACCUUUGAACAAUCGAGUACAAUAGCACAUUUGUGUGGAUAAAUCAUAGCUACCAACUUGAUUCUCCAUGCCUCCUCUAUUAGGCUGACUAAGAAAAUGGAUUAAUUUCACAAGAACACCUUAAGAAUAAAAAUGUCAAGAAAAAGAGAAAAAUCAUGCUUCAUCUAAUUUGACUGCAAGACUUAAAGGAAAAAACAUAAUAAUAUAAUAGUUAUUAUAAUGAAUAUAAUAAAAGGAAAAAUUGUCAUGUUCUUCCCAAUACUCAUAUAACCCCUUUCAAUGAAACUUUGUAAGCUCUACUAAUACAAAAUAAUGGUUCAUAUAGUAAAAGCUCAAUAAAUGAAUCUUUGAUAAAUUGAUAAUCUUACUUAUAAAACAAAAUCUUCUAGUCUUAACUCAUACCAAUGUACUAAAUUAGCAAUCUCGUUAAAUACAUAAGAAAAAUAUUUUCAAAAAUCAUUAAGGGCUCAAGAAAUAUAAACUAAUAAUUGAUGAAGUAGAAACAAAAAUUUAUAGUAUAGCAAAUAGAACUUCGUAAUAUAGUAUUAAGUAAUUUUUCAUAACUUUUGUUUUUCUAAAUUCACUUCUUUUAGAAUUAUCACAUAUUUGAAAUAGCUUUAUCUUUUUCAACAUUAAGUUUUGAUGCCACAUCUUUUUUUAGGAGUCUUUUUAUCUUUAAUUUACAAUCAAUAACUUUUUUUUUUCUUCAGUCUCUUAGGUUUCUAUGUAUUAACUUUUUACCAUGUUUAUUAUUUUUAAAUUUAUUAAGUCAUACAUGUACUAAUAAUGUACAGUAACAACAUAAUACUCUUCAUCAAUUAAUAAAUAUUCAUUUAUCUAUAAAUCAAUAACCUUGCUAAGAUCAUAAUUUUUCUUAGUACCAAGAGUACUAUUUUAUAAGAGUUUUUCUCUAUAUAGUUCCUUCAUUGUAGGAAUUUCUUUGGGUUAAUAUUACUAAAGUUGUAAUUUUAAAAAACAUAUAUAAUGGAAAUGAAGAGAAAUUUGAAAUCUAUGAAUUAGUGUUUUAUAUCAUUCUUUUUUCCUAUGAAUGCUAAAGCCAUUGUCAAAUAAAAAGAGUAAAUAAAAUAAUUAAUCAAGUAAUUAGUUGAAAGUGAAAUAGGUGACUUAAAACUAUUGCUUUGGUACAUGUUUGUUUGAGGUAAAUAUAGUAGAUAAUAAGAAAUAAAAUCCUCUAACUAUGUUUAUUUGAUAGAAUAAAAAAGUGAGUGUGUGGUUGCUCCAUAGGAGAAGACCACAUGUUAACCAAAGAAUAAGUAACUAGAAAGCUUACACAAGUGUUAAAUGAUCAAUUUCUCACCUAAGCACAUUAAUGAGAACUAAAUGUUGAAGGUCCAUGCCUCCAUGUGGGGAGACCUUAAUUGCUACCUUAAAGGGGCAGUUUAAAAGUGGUCACAUCCUCUAUGCCAAGUUAGUAUUCCAAAAACUAAGAAAGUUAACCUUUGAGUUGAUGCUUAUUUGUUUGGUAGUUUCCUCAUUCUUCUUACUAACUUGACCUUUGAAGGCUCUAUGACUGUAAGGAGCCUAGAGUGGUCACUUUAGGUUCCUUAUUAUUGUAAGGUCCUAACCAUCCAUUGAAGUAAGAAAGUGAACUAAUACUUGGAAAAAUGGUGUCAUCUAUGGUGAAGAUACAAAAAUUCAGCUCACCAAAAAAUCUUAGUAAAGCUACUAAAAAACACCCCACCCCGAGGCAAGGACCUUCAUUUUAGUACUCCUUGAGGUCUACCCAAAUCAAAGACCCGACGUUGAAGAAAUGAAGUCAACUAAACUUAGUUCCAUGCAUGAUAAGGUUGAAAAGCCUGCAUAAAAACCUACAGAAAGCUUGCCUCUUUAUAAGAAUAACUUGAACAUAAAAAGGAAGAAGACCUAUAAAAGGAAAUCAUAAACAACAAAGAAAAAGAAGUUUUUCCCUCCUUUGAAAAAGCUUUCUGUGAAUGCAAAAACCUAUUUUUUUUUUUUUUAUCAAGAAACCUUCCUUUGUAUCCAAAAAUUGGUGGAAUAAAAAUUUUUAAUUACAUAUGAAGAGUUUUAGCUUCUUCAUAUGGGAAUGCAUUAAAAGCCUUGAAGACAUUGUUUAGAUCUAUAGCAACGGUUAGGCAAUAGAAGACUAUGUAAUAGAGUCUUGGUAGGAAAAUGUAAUCAUGAUAGAAAUGAAGUGGAGCAAUGAGUGAGAGCAAACCAUUCAAUAAAUGAAGAAGCUCACUAAAAGAAGCAAUCGACUCAUUCAAGAAAAUGUUGCCUUCAAGGUAAGGGUAAACAAAUGCCAAUGUGAUUUUGACUAGGAACUCUCAUUGGUAAGCACCAAUAAGAUGCAAGUUAAUGAAUAAUAGUUAUCAAAGCAAUUAGACCAACAUAUAGAUUAAAUUGGGAGAGAAAGGUGAAGCAAACCUUAAUUAAACUAACCAAAUAGACCACCUUGCCAGAGGUCCCAAUGCUCUAAGGGCUUCUUACCACUAAAGCUACCACAAAAUGCAUAAUCUUAGUGGAUAAGGCGAUUGAGGCUAAGUCCCUUUAGGAGGAGGAGGAGGCCACAUGAGGGUUUUCCCUCCCUAAGUUUAAUUUCUUUCAAUGAAACUAAAGGCACUCUAGAUAACUCAUGCAUUUCUAUGCAUAUGAUGAUCUUAGAGAAGGGAAAUGAUCGACUUUUAUGCAAAAUCUUCUCCUUCAUCCUCCAAGGACUAACUUUGUAUUGUUUUAUCAACUUACCUUAGAGUUUGUUCCUGAUAUUGAGACCCUAAGGGCGAUGUCUGCCUCCUAGUACAUGCACUUAACAAGACAAAAGAAAAGCCUCAAAUAACCCAAGGUAGUUAUAGCUACCAUCCAUGGUGGCUCAUCUACUAGAUUUGAGUAACUAGACAGGGUAUCAAGAUGUUACAGAAGCAUAUGGCGAUUGAAGCAAAAGUCCUCACAUCCUUGCAUGAAGCAACUACCACUUGUCCAUAUGUCAUAUGCUUCUCUAAUAAAGACUUAAAAGGAGUCCAAACCCUGCCCAAGAUCCAUUGGUUAUUACUUUAAGAAUUAUUGAAUACAACAUGCACCUAUUCUUAGUUGACCUAACAAGUUUAGUUAACUUGCUAAAUAUAUUAGCCCAUAUAUGAACAAAUGAAUAUGGACGAAGGAAAACUAGUUUCAAGUCUUGGGUCAUUAGUGGGACUAGACAAAGUCCUAUGUGGCUCAACUAGGGAAGCAGCUCUAAUGGUUUCAAUUAGUUGUUGCCAUAUAAUGACACAAUUCUUUGUUAUGGAUAUCCUUUUCCCGAUAAUGCCAUUAUGGGAUGAACAUGGAUAUACAACCACAGAGGAACACUAUUCACAUACCAUCAUACAAUUAAAUUCCUAACACUACAAGGAAUAUGGGAAAUAUAUCGGGACUAGGUGGCAACAUGAGUAUGCUACACCAUACCCCUUAAAGCAGUCAACAAGUGCAUCAACCAGGACCUUUAGGAAGUUCAUAAAUCAAAACUCAAAUACAAAUUAGUAGGUGACCCAAGAAAGCAAUUAGAGAACCUAUGGAUUCAUUAUUUGAAAGCCCCUAAACCUAGGAGGUUCCUUCUAGUCCAUGUAAAAAAAAAAAAAAAGGUUUAAGAUGGCUACUAGAAAAAAACACAUCUUUGCUAGGAAACUACAGGACAUCAUGGGCAUUGAUCCCCAAGUCACAUGUCAUCGACUCAACAUAAACCCUAGUGUUUAGCUCCUUAAAAACAUUAGAUUGUGAAAGAAAUGGUAUUUAGGCUCUUAGAUGCUAGAUUUGGUCAUCUAGGUCUUUUAACAACAAAUAGAAGUCAGUAUGCUAGUUUACAUUAAUAACAUGUUAGUAACAAGUAAGAAGAGGAAUGAGUACCUGAUUGACCUCCUAAGAACAUUUCAAACUCUUAGAAAUUACUAAAUGAAGCUAAAUUAGUGAAGUGCACCUUCAAAUGUAGGGUAUGGAAAGUUCCUUAGGUACUUGGUUACAUACAAAGGAAAAGAAGCUAACCCAAACAAAAUAAAAUCAACUUUGGAGAUACCAAUGACCAAAAGGGUUGGAGAAGUCCAAAAGCUCACUAACAAGAUUGGUUCUUGAAAUGGAUUUAUAUAUUGGACAAAAAAUAUAUGUCCUCCUUUAUUUGACAUUAGCAAGAAGGGAAAAUGGACUAAAGGAACCAAAAAAUGCAACUAAGCCUAUGAAUCACUAAAGCAUUACAUGAUGCUAACCUUCACUUUGGAUAAACCUUAGGAUAAGGAGGUCUUACAAGGUCUCAUUAGUAGUAGUAAGUGGAGUGUUAUCUCAAAAAAAAAAAAAAAAAGGAAAAGAGGAGCAACCAAUGUACUAUGUCUAAAAGGCCCUCUUAGAUGUGGAAACCUGAGAUACAUAUAAAUAUUGAAAAACCGAUGCUUGCCCUUUAGAUUGCCACAUUGAAGCUUCAAUGUUACUUCCAAGUGCAUGUUAUUAAGGUAAUGACAAAGUGAUGAGAACUCAAACUUAAUACUUUAAUGGCUUUAAAGAGCCCACUUUAGUGUGUUUGAGGUACCAAAAAAUUAACCCAAGGUUUUGUUUUUUUUUAUAAUACCUUAGAAAAUUAUGUUUGAUGCAUUCUAUGACCAUUCUACAUUCUUUAAGGUGUUUUUUUGUUAGGAUAGAGUCCUUAAAAGUAUGAUAUGAUGUAAUAAAUUUGGAAUUCAAUAUUUAUUUAAUGAUGUUCUAGUUUCACUUUUAUCUAUCCUUAUUCCAUGUAUUGUACUUUAUGAGCAUUCUUAUCUACAUUUUUUGCAUUGCAUGUGACUUAAGUGCAUUAGGAGUUGCACAGAAGAUCUAAGUCAUGGGUUCCUUGCAAAUAGAUUACUUGUUCACAUUCAGUUCAUGGGCGUAGGCAAACCAUUAGAGGUUGCAAUGCGCCACCUCCUAAUUGGAGGGAUGGUUGGUCUUGACUAUUGGGAUGAGUUUUCCAUGAUGAGUGCACUAGUGUGUAUGGUUGCACAUUGAACAGGACCUAUGGUGAUUUAUGACUUAAACCUAUCGAGUAGUCAUGACUCCAUUGAGCUACUUCAUUGUAUUAUCUCUCAAACUUGAGAGAAUAUUGAGUUUGUGCUAAAGUUAAUAGUGGCUUUGGCUUAUAAGUGAGGUCGUAAGCUGAUCAUAUAUUCCCUAUGGAUCAGGUCACUAUUGAUGGAAGUCGAUAGCAAUGGGUAUUCUUAAUAAAGGCACCAUGAUAUCUAUUGGGAUUGAGAUAGUGUGUCCCUUGGGUGAUCUUAAGGAAGUGUGUUCAUGGAAACUUUGGCUAUAGUAGUUCCUUAAGUGGAAUUUGACAUAGACUCUUUGAGAGCUAAGAUAUGUUAAUUAAACACACAAUAGGAAGAUCUGUAACUCAAGGAUGGUAGAAGUAGUCUUGAAAGGCUGAUAGCUUUCACCUUGUUAGACUAUGAACACCAAUUCAUAGGGAGAUUAAACACAAUGGACAGUAGGUCAUGAACCCAAGCACUUAGUGUCUCCGUUGUUAUUUACAUAAGAUACCGGAGUUCAUUUGAUUCUUUGUAGUGGGAUGUUGAAUCAACUUUAAAAUUGGACUAUAAGGGAGCUAGUAUUCCUGUAGGUCCUAGUGGUCCUCGCUAUAAGCUCAUAUUCCUUGUUACAUGGGUAAUGAGGGUUGGAUUGACUUUAGGUUCACUUUUGUGCAUAAGGGCAUUUUGGUAAUUAUGCAAGGUUGUAUAGGAGUAAGUCAUCAAGGUCUCUGAACUGGGCUAAUUGAUUAAUUAGUAGGCCCUAUUGGGUUAGUUAAUCAAUUAGAACCCAUUUUAAACUAGAUUAAGUGACUUCAACCCAUGUGGGCUCAAGUCACUUAAGUCCACUUAGAAACCCUAUAAAUAACCCCUAGGGGUUAGGGUUUCCAUAACUUUUGUCUUCCAUCAUCCAGAGAGAUAGAGAGCCAUAGCCUCCACCAUUUUUUCCUCCUUAUCGAAAGUGUUCCAAGAUCAAGGUUCGAGUCAUUUGGCAAAAGACUUCGGGUUUACGAGACUUCUAUGAUUUCAAUUUUCAUCUUCACCAUGUGGAUUUGAUUCGGGAACACCUAAAUCUAAUGUAUGGUUUUCUUUAGCACUUUUUGAAUCCUUUUUAAGUAUAAAAAUGUUAUUUUUCCAUUGUGCAUAAGAUUUAGAAAAAGCCUAAGAUAGUUAUGCAUGUUCCUAACUUGAUCCGGACUUGGGAAAUGGAGAGAGAUUCGGGUUUUUCCCAUCAUUUUUGGUGCAAUAGAACCUUGUUAGGAAAUCAUAUAGACAAAAAUGCCUAAGUAAGGAGGAAACAUAGAUUGCACACCUAAAAGGUGUGCAAGACUUAAUCAUGCAAUUCUUUCUUAGUGUAAAGCCACAUAGUGCACCUCCCAUGUAUACCUUAAAGACCAAACACACAAGAUCUCUCUAAUGCAUUGGACCAAAUUUCACACCCUAUUCAAGCAACCCAAUCUGCAAACCUCUUAAGUGCUUUAAGCUAAGAUGUUGUGCACCCCCUUACUUGAGUCAACAAGAUGUGUAGUAGUGCAGCCCCUUGAUGUCAUCUAAAUUACAAACCAUUCUUACCUCUACAAUAGCUAAGUACUUAAUAAUUCUUCUAAUGAUUGGCUUACACACCAAAGUAGUAUGUUGUUUAUACCUCAAAGUCUUCAAUUGUACUACCUAAACGUACCUAAGCCAAAUUACAUAGAGAAAAAGAUGCAACUACCGACCAUAAGCUAACACAUCAAGAAUGAUGGCGGGUUGAUUGCAAUGACAAAGGACUUGACCCUUAAUAUAAGAAGAGACAAGUCUUGAGGAGGGGGGGACAAGUUUUGCCUAUAAAUGGAGGAUUGUGAAUAUACAAGUGGAAGCAAAUUAUAGAAAGUGAAAUUGUAGAUAAGUUUUUUCUGCUUGUGGGAACAAAAGUAGGAAUAAGAAUAACUUAAUGUAAUUUUAGUUUUUAAUUUUCCACUGUAAUCUUUUCUUUUCAUUAUAAAUGUUCCCUAAUUUCUAGUUUAAUGAGUUUUCUAGUCUUUUUAAUUAACAUCACAUUUCAGUUUUUCAAUUUCAACUUACAAAUUUGCAUUUUUAGUUCUUUACUUAAUUUUAACAUGCUUAGAUAACCUUUAACACUCUAAGGGGUGAGAGGAGCUCAAGUCUCCCAUAUCUUAGUUUAGCUCUCUAUUGGUUUAUCUGUGCAUUAGUUACAAGCAAUAUGAUCUCUAUUAGUAAUUAUAAUGACCAAAAGAAGUAACCAUGGGGAGAAAAGUCUAUGUUGCAUUGGUUGUGAGCGUUGUAAGUCAAGCAACCUUGGAAGCAUACUUAGGCAUUGUUUUAAUGAUUCUUUCAACUAAGUAUAGGCCUAUUGACAUGAAAAGAAUUUAUCUAAAUCAUUUGGUUAUAAGGAUAUUAAAAAAAAAAAAAACAAUUAGAGGGAGAUGAACGUUAUUAAGGUGGUUCUUGUUCAUUUGAAGCAGGAAACCUUUUUGGUAUAAAUCCUUGCUUUGACCCUAAAUCUGAAAGCAUAAGUUCAAAGCCUUGUUGGUGAGUUGUAUCUAAAAGUGGUGAUCCUAGUGAAUCUCUAGGUUUGAGGUUUUCUUUCCUUUAAUUUUCUAUCUUUUAAACUUUGUGUGUGUAUGUCUAUUUUAUUUAUAAAAUCAUUUUUCUAAUCUUUUAGCUAACAUUCACACCCCUAAAGCUAUUACCUUAGUUGCUACCAAUUAAAGUUCCUUGUGGAGGCAACCUAACAAUUAUAAAAUUAUUAAUUUUAUUUUUUUAUUUUUGGUUAAGGAGUUGAAAGUUUCAAUGAAUGAUCAAGUUUAAUUUCUCUUUGUAAAACUUAACUAUUAAAUAUAUUUCCUAGUUUUGAUAAAAGAAAUGAAUUAGAGAAUGACAAACCAAAAAUUAGUGUCGUCACUAGGGUACUUUCAACAUUGAUGACUCUAAAGGUAUUUUUGUGUAUAUGCUUGUUGUUUUAGAAGCUUAACAAGUAUAUUUCACCCACUCCCCACCUCUCUUUUAGUUGGAUUUUUUUCUUUUUUUACAUAAUUUUUUUUCUUUGGAUUUUCUUUUUCUACUCAGUUAGCAUUUUCAAUUGUUAAAUCCAACAUUUCCAGCAUUUUCUUUAAAGUGAUAUGAUGUAUUAGGGAAAUGAUUUUAAAGGAAGGGAACUAAGAGUGCAUUUGGGAGCGAUUCUACAAAGCAUUUCUAACAUUUCUAACACUUGAGUGAUAAAAAUUUUCAAGUAUUAUGAAUAUUAAAAGUGUUUCCUAGAAUCACUUCCAAAUAGGUUCUAAGUAAUCAACUAGAAGAAACAAUUUUAGAGGAAGGACACUAAGUAAUUAACCAAAAAAAAGUGAUUUUAGAGGAAGGACACUAAGUAAUCAACCAACCCCUAGUUAUCCUUUUCCUCAACACACCAAACCACCACCGUCUCAUAUCUAUUUUCCAAAUUCAACUAUUGGUGGUACUAAUAGAAGUGUGAUGAAUGGGGGUUUUAACCCCAAUAACUAGCCACCUAAGACCAUGAGGGAUUACCUAGUCGGGCCAAUGCUCCUUUUUGCUUGAUAUUUUUUUUUACGCUUUUCAAAUAAACAUUGAGCUUGAAAUGAUCCAAUUUCUAUCUCUAUUUUAUGGAAGGGAGGACGAAAAUCCUUUUUCUUAUUUAAAAGAAUUUGAAUAGGUAUGGUUUAUUUUGGUAGAACUGGAUUUGAUAUCUCUAUUUUAUGAGCCUUCAUGAAACCUGGAUCAUUCGAAACUCAAGGUUUUCUUUUUUCAUUAAAGAAAGAGGAUAAGCAUUGGUGGUAUAGCAUGAGACUCUAUAGGAUAAGUUCUUAGGAUACUUGAUAAAAUAUUUUUUUCACAAAUUUAUUUUGGUAUAUAAAAUUGUUUCCUUUGAAAGACAAAUUAAAAUUUUUUGUUUUAUAGAGAAUGAGACUUUUCAUCAUUGUUAUGAUUAAUUUAAAGCUUUUUUGUUUAACUUCCUUACCAUAGUUUUGAAAACUCAAGGAUUGCUUCUUCUUUUUAAAGGGGACCAUCCCCCUAAAUGAAAUAAUUUGUUGAAAACAUGACUGGUGGGUACUUUAUACAGGAGAAACCAAAAGAAGCACUUAAGCAUUUAAAAUUGCUUGCUGAAAAAUCAAGGGUUUGGGACCCCUUAGUCCUCAAGUGCAUCUUCUAGAACGUGAAAGCCAACCCCAACAACAUCUAAUCUCUCAUCUCAUCUCUCAAUUUAUCAUUUCCCCUUAGAACAAGAGUUUUGACGAAGAUGAUUUUUGGAUGCUGUAAGAGGACGAAGCCACUGAAGUUAAGGAAAAGGAAACUGUGUACAUAGCAGUUGAAAAGAAUUUGAAGAGAACUUCCAACAGGUUGCAAAUAAGGUUAUAAGCUGCAUUUUUUCUUCUUUUCCAAAAAAAAAAAAAACCAAAGAUAGAAAAAGAAAUCCGUAAAGAGCAAGAAACAGAGGAGGAGUGGAGCAAUGUAUUGCAUGAUCACACCUACUUUAUUUGUUUCUCAAUUCCCUUCUCUUUGCAACCCAAAAAUGUUGAUCUUCAAGGUAUCAUCAGAGGGCUUCUCAAU
rnacentral:lncRNA from 1 species